GGAAAAUUAGGUGAAGAGAUGAUGUCAAAUCUUGAACCUCUUACAAAACUCUAAGUUCUUUACUUGAAGAAGCUACCAAAUUCGAACAGCAUCUACUGGAAGGCCUUGCCAUUCCCUGAUGUAUGCAGAAUUUUUGUAUUUAAAUGCCCAGAGCUUAAGAAGCUGCCCCUGGAUCUUGAAAGGGCAGGCCAAGGUAAAAUUCUUAUCAAGGGAAAGAAAGAUUGGUGGAAACAACUUCAAUGGUAGGAUCAAGUAACUCAGAAUGCAUUGCUUCCAUUUUUAAAAUCAACUGACAAGUGAUUGAAGGGGGCAUCAUCAACAUGGAUGGAGAGAUUCAGGAGCAGAUCAGCAGGGUUUAGUACGACCUGUGGUGGUAGCUUUUUUGUGACUUUUUUCCCUUUCAUUUUUUCACUUCCUGUCAUAUUAUCAUUUCUUUGUCUCUGUUUCUAUUGCUGGUGUUGCUGCAUGCUUGCUGCCCUUGACAAAGUUAGCUAGUUUUUUUGUUUAUUAAAUUUUGUAUGUUCGGGACAGUCACAAAGUAGUACUUGUUCUAUAUGGGGGUGAUGUGAAUCAACUUUUCAAUUAUAUAUUCUGUGGUAAUUGUGAAUUCAAUUUCAUUUGUCUCCUGCAAAUUAUGAAGAAAGUACAGAGUUAGAAUAUGGAAAAGUUCACUGGCAAAUACUUUGUAAAAGCUUCGGAGUGAAACAGGGAAUGCACUUGCAACUAAGGACAAAUUGGUGGCCAGCUAAUGCAUUCAUUUUAUGUACAUUCAUCUUUUUAAUUAUUGAAGAUAAGUGGUUCGUUGCUUUUGUUGUAGAUAAAAUUCAGGCGACCUCAAUUGUGAGAUGAAAAUAUUUAAAAUAUCUCUUAAAUUAUUAUAAACUUUAAUUUAUCUUAAUUUUAUUUAAAAGAUAAAAGAAAAAUGUAGUAUAUGGAUAAAAAAAUUUUUAUCUUCUUAAUAAAAUGAAAUAAAUUAAAAUUUACAAUAAUUUAAAGUAUUUUUAAAAUUAUUAUUUCAUAAGAGAUUAAUAUGAAAUUAAUCCUUUUUACUUUUUGAAUGUGAAAGGACAAGAAAAGAGAAAGCAAGUUUCACUGCUUUUUAUUUUAUUUGAAAUCGGAGUUAUCCCAUAUACUUUACUACUUUAGCUCUAACAUUACAAUGUUUUUAGGCUACACUUUUAUUUUUCUUUUUUCCCCUUUUUUUAUACAUGCAUGUGGAUUACUUUUCUCUAAGCUCCUUAAUAUUUAAGACAAAUCAUAAAAGCGAUUGAAGUAUAACAAGAUGAUCAAAACAUUUAACCAAAAAUAAAUAAAUAAAUAAAACAUUGAAAAUGGAGAUGUUGAUUAAUGUAGAAGAGAUGCAAGCAAAAGAUAUUCCCAAAAAAAUGAAAAAAAGAAAAAAGCAACGUUAGUUCAUCCAUGUCUGUCAAUGCGUUUUUUAUGGUUUUUUUUCCAGUUGUUUGUUGUAAUAGAUUGAUUGCAAAUUGAUAUGAACUUGAUGUUGUAAUAUGUUCGCUUUUGUGGAAUUAAAUUUGAAUAUUCAAGAUUAUUCAAGUCUUAUUUAGUAUGUGUUUAGUUGUGUUGUCGAUAACUUUGCAUUCGAAUAAGUUUUCACCUAAAAUAUUAGCAUGAGUAGUAGUCCUUGAAACUUUGGUCAAAAUUAUUGUUAUUGUUUCUUUUAGAGGAAAUUUUUUUAUUAAAGCCUCGUUAACACUAUUUCUUAUUAAGAUUAUAAGUUAGUGUCGGUGUAGGAUUUGCAGCGACAAAUCCUGUCUAGCCACGUGUCAAAAGUACAAAUAAAUCAAGGGAAAAGCACAUGUCGCGGAUUAGGAUCCAAUAAAAUUUAAAUCCCAAGGAAAAGGACAAUUGUAUCCUAAAGUUUCAAUAAGAGAUACUGAUAUAUCUUUUGACUAAUGUUAUUUUUUGGCUUCAUUAAUAAAAAGAUCCAAUAGUUUAUAACAAAUAAAAAUAUAGUAUUAAGCUAAAUGUGAUAAUAUAUACAUUUUACAUAAUUUCAAUAAAAAACAUUUUAAUGUUUUACAAUCUAUCAGACAUAUUUUAUUAAAUUAAUAAGAAUUUUCUUAUAAAUAGCAACAUAAUAUUAAAAUAAAUUUAUAAAGAUUAAAAUGUAAAAUAAUUUUAGUAUAAUUAAUACGUGGGAUAUAUUUUGUAAAUUAUAAAAUUACUUAACCCAAUGAUUUUUAAAAUAAAUAAAAAUAAAUUAUUCACAUUUUGAUGUAAAUAUUUAAAACAUUUUUAUACAUUAGUCCACAAUUAUUUAUGUUAUAUUUGUAUUUAUUAGAAAUUUUGAAAGUCAAAAUGUUUUUCACCUCUAUCUUAUUAGAAUUAUUGCACACAGAGAAAGAGCCAUAUAUGCUUUAUAGCUUUAAAAUCGGUUUGUUUUAUAGCUGGGAACAGAGAUGAUCAUUAUUAUAAGGAUUAAAAAAAGAUAAAGAAUAUUAAUGAUUAACGAAAUCUUUAUGGAAAUUGAAUUUAGUAAGAAAAAAUUGAGCUGAUUUUAGUGGUAUAGUAAUAUUUUAUAUAGAGAAAAGUAAAAGUUGCACCCCCAAAUGUUCAAAACUCUUUUUUAAUCAUAAUAUUCUUUUUCCUAGAUAACUUAAAAAUUUGACUCUAAUAUUUUAUAAUAAAUAAAAACAUAUAAUCCUAAAAUAAAUAAAAUAAUAUAUAUUUUAAAAUAAUCUCAAUAUUUAAAAUAUAUUUUAACAUUUUAUAGUCUAUCAGAUAUAUUUUAUUUUUUUAAAGUAAAUUUUAUAAUAAAUACAAACAUACUAUUAAAAUAGAUAUAUAAAAUUUUUAAAGUAUUUUGAAUAUUAUAUAAAAUAACUUUAAUAUUGUUAAUGCGUGAGAUGAAUUUUAUUAACUAUUAGAUAGACUAAACUAUUUAUAUUAUUUUCUAUUUAUUAUAAAAUUUCAAAGUUAAUCUUUUUAACUACUAUUCAAAAGAUGUUAUGAUAAAAACAGAAUUUUUGUGUUUUUAUUGAAAAUUUGGAGUUUACAUCUAUUUUUUCAAAAAUUCGGGGUGUAACUGUUUUUUCCCUUUUAUAUAUACGAACGGUGGUGAGAAAGCUUGAUUUAACGUUAUUUAUUUAAAUAAAAUCUCAGUUAAAAAUGUACAGAGAAGAAAUUUCUGUUGGUAUUUUAGUCUUUUACCAAUUAAUUGUUUCACUUUUAGCGCUAGUGGCGUUGAAAGUUGUCAAGAAAAAGCAAGACCAUAUUCCACAAAAGCAAAAGUAACGUAGGCUCUUUUAUUAAAGGCAAAGUAUAAAGUAGUCAAGAAUCGAAUAUCCUGUCGUCUACUCUUUUUUUAAAUUCUUCUUUUAUUAUCUUUUAGAAUAGUUUUUGGUAAUUACAAUCAUUAUUCAGAGUUAUUGUUAUCUUCCGGGGCAGUCUCUGUUCAUCGAAGUCGUUACCUUUUUUUUAUGGAUCAGUUCCAGUGGUCAGCAGUAAUUUUCUUAGAACUCGGAUCUUUAAUUCGAGUUUCUGUGUGAAUUAAUAAUAAAAAAUUUUCAUUACACGCAAUUUAAGCUACGAAUUACUUUUUGCAAAGUUGAAUAUGAAAUUGGAGAAAUUAAGUAAUUUAGAAUGUUGGUAAAAAUUGACGAACAUAUCUCCAAUUACAGUAAAACCUCUCUACAGUCAUAACAUUAUAACAAAAUUAAUUUUAUUACUAUGUUGAGGUAAUAUAGGUUUAGUUACAAAAUUAUUGUUUUAAUAUGGUUGGUGUCAAGUGAUAUAAAGGUUAAAUAUGCAGUACAAUGAUAAUUAAAUAAUGAAGCGUGUCAAUUCUAAUGUAUAUAUAUUAAUGAUAUAGAUAGACAUAGUUUUAAAAAACUAAUUAAUGUAUAUUUAUGUAGUGUUAUGAAUAUGGAAAGUCAAGCCUACACUUGACAUUAUCCUUAGUUUUUUCUCUCAGUUAAAUUCUACAAAUAUUGUACAAUGAUUGGGCAAGAACUCUAAAUUAAGAAUAAAUUAUUGUCACAAAUAAUUUUAGAAAAUAUUUUAUUUCGUCUUAAACCUUUAAUGUAAGUAAACAUAUAUAUAUAUAUAUAUGUGUGUGUGUGUGUGUGUGUGUGUGUGUGUUUGUGUGUGUGUGUGUGCAUAUUUUGCAACGUAUAGAUAAUUGUUAGUAUAUGGAGACAAGUCUUUUAAGGUAGGACCUAGAAAAAUUUAUAACUUACUACACUGGGGAGUUUUUAUUCCUUUUUAUAAUUGGCUCAUAUUGAUACAUUCUUACACAAAAAUAUUACCAUUGACAUAUUUUACUACAAUUAGUUUAGAUUCUUUAGAACAUUUGUUAGGAAAAAAAAAAAAAAGAAAAGAAAACAUCCCUUGGAUGUAGCUCUCCUGACUAUUUAAAUCUUUUAAGGAAAAAAAGAAAAAAAGAAAAACUGACACAUUCAAAUCUUGAAGCAAUUACAUUAAAACCUCUCCAUAAUGAUAGGAAUAAUCUCCAUUUAGUAAUAAAAAAUUUUGUUCGCAAUUUAGGCAGAGUUAUAAAUAAGAAUAAAAUCCUCAUUGUAAUAAGUUAUAUUUAUUAUGGAUCCCAUCCUAAGGAACUUGUCUCUAUAUAGUAAUAAUUAUUUGCAUAUUAUAAAUAUAUAUGUUGCAUUAGAUUAAACGAACUUGUCUCCACAUACUACUAAGACAACAAGAGAAAGUUAUUAAAGAGAACACAAAUAUUUAGAGAUUUUUAAGAUUACUUUGCAUAUUUAUAACAAUAAUACAUUGAUAUAUGUAUUAGUUUUUUGAUAUAUUAGAUUUGACAUGCUCUAUUAAUAAAUUAUUAAUAUGAUGCAUACUUCAUCUCCAUAUCCUUGCAGUAAAAGUAACUAAGUUGUAACAAUAAUUAUUAAUACGAUGCGUACUUCAUCUCUAUAUCCUUGCAAUAAAAGUAACUAAGUGAUAACAAUAAUUUUUGUAACUACAUGUUUAUUAGGUUUUAACUGCUUCAUAAUAAUAAAUUAGUUUCGUCCUAAUAUUAUAAUUAUGUAGAGUUGUAGUGUAUAGACACACCCAAUUUAAAUAGUAUCUCAAAUAAAAUUGUCCCCACAAAAAAGAAAAAAGGGUAAAGGAUUGUUAUUUCUUCAAACAUCAGGAGCACGUUUGUACAAGUGCGAUGCCUUUCUUUUUUUUUUUGAAGGCAACGUCAGUGGGUACUAAAUAGGACGUGCGUAAAUCUUUCUAAAAUUUCUCCGGUAUAACUCACAGAGAUCAUUACUUUUCUCUUCCACAGACCACAGCAGCUUCAGUUAAUCCGACUCAAUCAAUUUUCUUGGUUUCUUCGCUUAUCAAAAUUCCAAAAUAUGGGUAGCAUAUUUCAAAUCACAUGCGAUGGUGCUUUUUUCAAUCGUUGUUUGGAUUGCUUUCUUGGAAAAGUAGCAAACACAAGUAAGCUCCAAGAUAACCUUGUUGCCUUGGAGACUGAAUUGGGAAAACUAAUCGCAGCAAAGAACGAUGUGAUGAUGAGGGUUGUCAAUGCUGAACGGCAACAACUGAGAACGCUGGACCAAGUGCAAGUGUGGCUUUCGAGGGUGGAAGCUGUUAAAACUGAAGCUGAUGAAUUGAUAAGACACGGCUCUCAAGAAAUUGACAAAUUAUGUGUUGGAGGCUACUGUUCCAAGCACUGCGCGUCAAGCUACAAGUUCGGGAAACAAGUGGCUAAAAAGCUACGGGAUGUGCAGACUUUAAUCGGCGAAGGAGUUUUUGCGGCGGUGGCUACUGAGGUGGUGCCUGAGAGAGCUCCAGAACCUGUAGCAGAUGAAAGACCCACUGAGCCAACAAUAGUAGGCUUGCAAUCACAACUUGAACAAGUUUGGAGAUGUCUUGUAGAAGAAUCAGUGGGAAUCAUUGGCCUAUAUGGUAUGGGCGGUGUUGGUAAAACUACACUAUUGACCCAUAUCAACAAUAAAUUUCUUGAGAGUCCAACCAGUUUUGAUUGUGUGAUUUGGGCCGUAGUUUCAAAGGACUUGCAACUCGAAAAAAUUCAAGAAGAUAUUGGGAAAAAGAUCGGUUUGGUUGAUGAUUCAUGGAAGAGUAAAAGUGUAGAGGAGAAAGCUCUCGACAUCUUCCGGAGUUUAAGAGAGAAGAGAAUUGUAUUGUUGUUAGAUGAUAUAUGGGAGCGGGUUGAUUUAACAAAAGUGGGCAUUCCACUUUCCGGACCAAAGAAUACUACCUCAAAAGUCGUAUUCACAACCCGUUUCGUCGAUGUUUGUGGUAGCAUGGAAGCUGACAAGAAGUUCCAAGUGGCAUGCUUAUCAGAAGAGCAUGCUUGGGAACUGUUUCGAAAAAAAGUUGGGGAAGAAACUCUUGAGAGUGAUCAUGAUAUCGUUGAGCUAGCCCAAACUGUGGCCAAAGAGUGUGGUGGUUUGCCACUCGCACUUAUUACUAUUGGUCGAGCUAUGGCCUGCAAAAGGACAGCCGAGGAGUGGAGACACGCAGUUGAAGUGCUAAGAAGAUCAGCUUCUGAGUUUGCAGGUUUGGGAAAAGAGGUGUAUCCUCUUUUAAAGUUUAGCUAUGAUAGUUUGCAGAAUGAGACGAUUAAAUCUUGUUUCUUAUAUUGUUGUUUAUAUCCCGAGGAUUAUGGCAUUCUUAAAUGGGACUUGAUUGAUUGUUGGAUUGGUGAGGGAUUCUUAGAGGAAUCUGACAGGUUUGGUGCAGAAAACCAAGGAUACUACAUUGUGGGCACUCUUGUUCAUGCGUGUUUACUAGAAGAGAUAGAAGAUGAUAAAGUAAAAAUGCAUGACGUUGUUCGUGAUAUGGCUUUAUGGAUAGCUUGUGAAAUUGAGAAGGAGAAGAGAAACUUUUUGGUUUGUGCAGGUGCUGGAGUAGGAGCGGUACCAGAUGUUGAAGGAUGGGAAAAUGUGAGAAGAUUGUCAUUGAUGCAAAACCAAAUUGAAAUUCUGUCAGAGGUUCCCACAUGCCCUCAUCUCCUCACUUUAUUUCUUGACUUUAAUUAUAAAUUGGAGAUGAUCACCGAUGGCUUCUUCCAAUGUAUGCCUUCUCUCAAAGUUUUGAAGAUGUCAAACUGUGGGCAUGUCAAAGUUUUGAAAUUACCUUUUGGGAUGUCAAAGUUGGGUUCACUACAACUUCUUGAUAUUUCACAUACCGGCAUAAGAGAGUUACCAGAAGAGUUAAAGUUGUUGGUAAAUCUGAAAUGUUUGAAUUUGAGGUGGACACAUAUGUUAAAUAAAAUUCCACGGCAGCUAAUAUCAAAUUCUUCAUGGUUACGUGUGUUGAGAAUGUUCGCUAUUGGCUUUGAAAAUUCCAAAGAACCAUCAGAAGACAGUGUUUUAAUUGGUGGGGGUGAAGUUUUAGUACAGGAAUUGCUCGGUUUGAAAUAUUUAGAGGUAUUGGAGUUGACCUUGCGAAGUUAUCAUGCUCUCCAUUCUUUUUUGAGCUCAAAUAAGUUAAAAAGUUGUAUUCGAUCUCUUUUCCUCAAUAAGCUGGGAGAUACAAAGUCGAUUGAUGCUACGGUUUUGGCAGAUCUAAAGCAUCUCAAUGAACUAUGCAUUCGUUCGGCUGUGGAGUUGGAAGAAUUGAAGGUUGAUUAUACAGAGAUAGCGCCAAAAUGGUCGGAACAUUUUGUUUUCCGCAGCCUUCACAGUGUUACUAUGGAGCGGUGCCAUAAAUUAAAAGAUUUGACAUUCCUCGUUUUUGCUCCAAGCCUCAAGUCUCUUUCGCUAUACGGUUGUAAUGCUGUGGAAGAAAUAAUCAGCGUUGGGAAAUUUGCUGAGGUUCCUGAGAUGAUGGGACAUAUAAGCCCUUUUCAGAAUCUCCAAAAGCUUGAUUUAUCACAUUUGCCAGCUUUGAAGAGCAUCUACUGGAAGCCAUUGCCUUUCGCUCAUCUGAAAGAAAUGGUGGUGCAUUGGUGUGAUCGGCUUAAAAAGCUUCCGCUCGAUUCCAACAGUGCAAAAGAGCGUAAAUUUGUUAUUCGUGGAAGAGCAGACUGGUGGAACCAUCUUCAAUGGGAGGAUGAAGCCACUCAAAUUGCUUUCCAUUCCUGCUUCCACUCUAAUGAAAUAUAAAUUCCUUAGCGGUGGUUGCAAAAUUUGAUUUGUGCUUUUUCUUAAACUCUUACAUUUAUUUCAGAUUCGUUUUUUGUCUCCUGCAAAUCACAAUUAAAUGCUCAAUUAUAUGGAGUCAAUGCUUUAGAAAAUUUUCAAGGCACUGCCAUUUCCUUUUUUUCAUUUUUUUUUUGGGUCGAAUUGAUGCUCUGGCUUUUUACUUUUUGUUGUCAAAUUUUGCUCUGUUUUUUCAAGUUGAUGCUUGAAUAGUUGAAUUCAAUUAAUGCUCACAUAAAUUUGUUUAGUUGCCGUGAAAGGAUAUAAUUAGACUGAAGUACACACUUCUAGAAUGAAUACAAAAUGUGAAGUAUACUAGCCCUCUUUACAGAAAAUCAAAUGAAAAUCAAUUUUUUGGGGCGUUGAUUUUCUAUGGUCUAUUAUAUACUCUUUUUAAUAUCUUCUGUUCUAACUAUAACCAAAUCCUUUGUUCAAGGAUUUUUAUUUGGGGUAUUGAUAACUGUCCACCAAAAGAGUGAACACUUGGAUGCUGCUCAAGGAUCUCUAAUCAAUAGCUGGAAGCAACUGAGAAGGCGGUCGCUACUGUUUACAAAGCGAAUCAGUAUUUGCCAUUCAUCUUAAUAAUUAUGAAGCUUUGGUAAAAUUUUCAAACAAAGUUGAACAUGUUGUUUUGAGAUUUGGUUCAUGAUUUUGGAUGAAUAUCGUUGUUCCGUUUGAGUUGGAUGUGAAUUCAAAAUCUAUAUAUUCUUUGGUUUUCAAUUCUGAACUCAAUUUCUUUUUCUCAAGCAUGUUAUGCAGAAAUGAAUUUUACUAAAUCAUUUUUGAUGAAUUGUUCAAAUUAAACAAUUGGAAUAAGAAUUGUAAAGGUUUAUCAUAAGCAUGCUAAUAUGAUAAGUUGUUUUAUGAACGAUUAAUUAAUUAAUCAAUUAAUAUUAAAGAAUAUAUUAGGCAAUUAGAUAUGCGUUACAUGUCAUGUUUAAAAACUAUUUAUUUAUAUUUCAAACAAAUUUGACUGGAUGUUGUGUAGGUAAUACUCAUAAUUAAUUUCAAAACAAAAAAAGUAAUAAAAACACGUUAAAUUUUGUUUUUAUGAAGAAAAAUUUAAAAUUUUGUUAAAUAGGUGAAAAUAAUAAAUGGAUUCGUGUAUGGUUUGAGAUUCUUGACAUAAUUAUGAAAUAAGCCGGAUUCGACUUAGUUCAAUUUUGACGCGAUAAGAAGACGACACCACACAAACACACGAUAAGAACCGGUACCUGAGAAGAUUGCCAUCAGGAAUUUUGAAAUUGAUUUCACUACAAUACCUUAAUCUUUCAGAUACUCCCAUCACUGAGCUGCCAGAGGAGCUAAAAGCCUUGGUAAGUCUUAAGUGUUUGAACUGUACACAAAUUAUCUCUCUACAAUUCAAAAACAACUGAUUUGUUACUUUUCAAUGCUACAUGUUCUGCGAAUAUUGAGUUGUGGUUAUCUUGUUGAAAGAUCAGAAAAUAGAGUUCUAUUUGGUGGUAGUGAAUUGUUGGUUGGGGAGUUGCUUAGUUUAAAACGUUUAAAUGUAUUAAGCAUCACCUUACAAGGUUUUUCUGCUGUCCAAAAACUUACGAGCUCUCAAAAGUUUCAAAGCUGUACAAAAUGUUUGGAGCUUAUAGACUGUGAUGAUUCAAAGUCUUUUGCCUUGGCAGAGUUGAAGCAUCUCGAAAAACUAGUUUUUCGAAUUGUGGAAGAGUUUAAGUUCUGCUGUGUUGAAGUUGGAAAAGCUCAAGAAUGUUUUCGUUUGAACAGCUUUCACCGAGUUAAUAUAAAGGCUUGUCAUAAAUUGAGGGACGUGACAUGGCUUGUAUUUGCUCCAAAUCAUACGGUUAUUCAAAUAGAAAAAUGUAUGCAGAUGGAAGUAAUAAUCAGCGCAAGGAAAUUGGGUGAAGUUCCAGAGAUGAUGGCAGAUCUAAACCCUUUUGCAAAACUCCAAUAUCUUCGCCUGCGAGUUCUACCAAAAUUAAAAAGCGUCUAUUGGAAUGAGUCACCCUUUCCGCAUGUCAGGGAAAUUAUUGUAUCUGAAUGCCCAAUUCUCAAGAAGCUUUCACUCGGUUUUAACAAUGCAAAGGAAUCUAAAAUUGUCAUUUAUUACAUGUUUAUAUCUAACUUUUGUUCUCCUUUAUGGUUAAAUUUUACUAUAUAUAUGUUGUUAUACGGUGACAUUCUCGCAUCAAUUAUUAGCUUUUUAAUUCUCUUCUCGUAUUAAUUGCCCUUCUGAUCAUGUAGGAUAUGCCGAUGUCAAAGAGUAGUAAAUUGGGAUACAAAUGUAAGAAUUAGCCAGAUGACAUGUUGUUUUGAAGCUUUCGAAGGACUAAUUAUGUCAUUCAAAGCAUCCAAUUUCGCUACUUUUUUUUUUUUUUCAUUUGUUGCUUUUUCUAUUUUUAGAUAGCUUGAUUGUCAGUUGUCGUAAUGUAAUGUUUUAGUAUAGAAAAAUGAUAUUCGGCCAAGACAUCGAUAGGAGGGCACAUUGUGCAUGCAUACUCGUGGAUGAUUUUGGCAUGCCGAAUCCAAUUAGUGUGAAUAACCCUUUAUAAACAUCAGGCUUCUCUCAUACCAGAUAGAGGUGGCAAAAAUACCCGCUCGGUCCGGAUCCAGACCAUACCCGGGCGUUGUGGGUCGGGUAUUACUUAAUCUGGGUAUAAAGUCGAGUCGGUCUUGGGCAUCACUUGAUAAACCCGGAACCCAGAUUUUAUUAAAAAAAUAUUAUAAAAUAUAUAUUAUUUUAAAUAUUUAUAUUUAUUUGACUCAUUUAUUAUACAUAUAUAAAGUUUUAAACACGUAAAGUUUAUAUUUUCAUGUCAAAUUUUAUUAAAAUAAAUUUAACACUUAUAAAAUUACCUAAAAAUAAAAAAUAUAUAUACAUAUAAUAUUAAAAAAUAUACAAUUCGGGUACCCAGAUUAAAAUCUAGCCUGGACUCGGACCCAGACCGAUUGCAUCCAAGCAGGAUCCAGUCAUUGCAAUAAUCGGACCUGGCCUGGGGUUUCGCCAUCUCCAAUACCAGAGCAAUGUAGAAUAUGUUUAUAAACUGUGAAUUACCCUUUAUAAGUAUUAGGCUUCUUUUAUACUCGAGCGAUGUGGAAUACCUUUAUAAGCAUUAAGCUUCUCCCAUACACUUUAUGUUAAAAAUAAUAAUAAUAAAAUAAAUCCAUUUUAAAAUAGGCUUUUUUUUUUCUUUUUCUAUAUAAACAAAAUGCAUUCUUCAAAUCAAUAGUGGGUGGAAGAAGUGAGUAGAGAAGAACUAGGCCCCUUUCAUUCCCCUAAAACCUCACCGAAACCUCUCUUGUGAACUUCUCAGAUUCUCUCUCAAUAUUUCUUAUGAUCUCGUUUUUGAUAGAAUCACUUCUUUUGCAUGCUGCAUUUUGUGAGUUGUUUUUGGGUAAUAUCUUAUCUGGAAUGCUGUUAUGAUCAAUAGAACAAGUAAUCAAUUUUUGGUUCGACGGAAGUCGAUUUAUUUAUUUACUAUUAUUUUUAUUUGAAAUUUUGUACAAUUGUGUUUCAUUCAUUUCUUUUCUUCUUUUUUUUUUUUAUAUUUAUUAUGUAGAAUUGUGUUUCAUUUGAUAUUGAUCAUACUGUAGAUAACUAUGUGAUUGUAGCUGGGGAUUUUAAGUUUUGUGAAUUCAAGAAACUGUCAAAAUGCUAGUGAAAUUGGGACCUUUAUUCAUAAGCUUGUGGUUUUGAAAAGUAGCCCGGUUCAACUGAUGAAGUUCCUUUUUGGGAUUCUUUUUUUUCUAGGCUGCAAUUCGGAUAUGUACGUGAUAGACAAUCUUUUGUGGGUUUAGCAUAUCUUCUUCGAUUUUGUCUUUUAUUCCCCAAUUUUACAGCUACACACCAUGAAUGCUGGGUGAUUGUACAGAAAAUUUGUGUUAGAACAAAAGCAUUGUGAAGGAGUUUCUGUGCUAUAAGUUAUUGGCUUCAGUUUUAUUGGCAUUAAUUGGGUAGAUUAUGUGUUACAGUGAUUCAAUUUGUGAUCCACACUUUAAUUUUCUCUUUUCCCCAAUUAUUUAUGUCAAAUUCAAAUCCAGAAGCAUGUGCUGAUUUUUUUUUUUUUGUGUUAAUCUGUGAAGUUUAUUUGGAAAGGAUGUAUCUGGGUCUAAUGGAUUAAAUUAUGACAUUGAGGAAAAGGCACUAAAGGUUUUGCUUGACACAUUUGGUCUGUGUUUACUCUGCAAUAAAUAGCUUCGCUUAUCGGAAAUCCCGAUUUGGCUGGUGAAUUUCUCAGUGACAGACAGGCAAACACCUAAACCGCUUCUAUCCAUUUUUCUGCUGGUGAGGUAAGGGGUAAAAAGUCUUCAAAAUCAUCAAAUAGUAACAUCUCUCAGAAUUCAUUUUAGAAAAAUGGAAAAUCUAGACCUGCUAGGACAAAAUGGCGUCCAGUAUCAGGAGGUACCGUUUCAAGUUUUCUUGGUAAAGAAUAUAAUAAACCUGCGCAACCAGCUAAUGGCACUUUUCUGGCAUCAAAGCCAUUGAAGUUGGAUCUAAAGGAGUUUUCCCAUGCCUGCACUGUGCAGAGAAGAAACUAAACCAAAACAAUCAAAGAAUGACCAUUUGCAGAAGGAUACGGAAGAUUUUCUAUUUAAAUUGUUAGUAGAAGGGUCCCAGCUGAACAGGGAUGUGAUUCAGGAGGUUCUCGGUAAUGUCUUAAAUAUACUGAUGCCAAUUUAAUACAUAUUGUCCUUUUCAAUGUUCUUUCUUUCUUUUUUUUUUCCCUUCUUCUUCUUUUUUCUUUUUGUGUGCAUGUGAUCACUGAUUUGGUAUUACGCUUAAGUUGCAGAUAGUUGUGGAUUUGAUAUGCAAAAGGUAAGGACUAUAUCUUCCUGAUGUAGGCCUCUGCUUUUUCCCCUUCUAUGUAAUUUAGUAAAUCACAUCUUCCUUUGUGAUUGUUAUACCAUAUCAAAGUCAAGUCUUAAAUACUGCUGUCAUAUGUUAAGGUUCAACUUGUAUUUUGAUUAACAUCCAUUUGCUGCUGCUUCCAAAAGUGAGAAUGAGAUACUUUGGUUAAUUUCAGUGGUUGAACCCAAUAGAGAACUUUAUUUAGAUCUUCAUGGUUCAAAGGCCUGAAAAAACUUCCUGUAAUUGUAAAAUGCCAUUCUGUGCUUUUUAUGCAAUAGGGAACAGGGAAGUAGAGCUUUGGAAAAGCCUGGAUUGAUAACUAUGGAGAGACUUAUUAUUUAAGUGAUGAAAAAUUCCCAUCACCCGCGGUCAAGAAAAUUUCAGAUAGUUAAAGACUCCAUUUUGCUUCAGCCAAAAAUGUUUGUUGCAAUGAAAGACUUGAACCAUUUUCAUUGAACCUGAUUGUGAUCCUUUACGUUAUGCAUGUUCCUCUCAAUCAAGAAAAGUUGAGGUCAUGAUUCUAUAUUUCUAUAUUGUAACUUGAAAUAAUAAUUGGUCUACUUGUUUCUGUAUCUUGAUAAGAUGAAUUUUCCUUCUCAAGUUAAUUUGAUCAAUAAAGUAAUUCUUCAAAGAAAAUAUGCCCAUUCUAUAAUCAUUUUCUUAGCUAAGAUGUUUUUUCUUCACUCUUCAGAGCAUGUCAAAACUAAUUGAUCGCUUGGCAGAUACUUUGGGUGAGAAGACAAAAUUUCUUGGUAAAUCCUCGGAAAAGGUAUGCAUAAUUCCCGAGUAUUAAAUAACCAAUAGUCAUAAUUUUUGUACAUGACUCUUUUUUCUCUUUUUUGUGGAGAUCAUUAAAAUUGGUUGAUGAUCCAUUUUGUAAUAUCAUAGAGGGAUCAUCAAUUCCUUCUCUUUUCUGUGGCUAGGCAACACUUUCUGGCCAAAGUAAGAAAAUCUAUUUAGGUAAUGUGAAAACCAACGGUAGGAUGUAAUAGUUUAUUAUGCACUGACAAUAACUUUUUGUAUGAUUGGCAGUUUAAUGAAUACAAGAGGAACUUUGUUGACAAAUUCAUCCAAGAUAGAUGCUAAAAUUAUUUAUGCAUGCCAGUUGCCUUAACUAAUUUUUCUUAACACUUGUAUUGAACAGGAAAAUGAAUAAACAAUCUGUAUAUUGUGCCAUUGUGGAGUAUUUGGAUAUUCUGAUUUAAGUAACAAGGAGAAUACUUGUCUCAUCUUUAAACAAUGAAUCUUUGAGAAAUGAGGAGUGGGGGAUUGGAAGUGUCUUCAUGUAAAUGUUCAUUUAUUUGUAUUUUGAACUAUUAUGAGAAUCUUAUAUGCCAAAUCAGUAAUACAAAUGUUCAGAUGAUUUUUGCUGUUGAUCAUGCAUUUGUGUCUGCACACAACCAUUGUAUAUCACUUUAUUCUGAUGUGCAGGUAUGUGUAGCUUAGAAGAAACGGAAUAAUAAUCAUCUAUUAUUGCUUGGUUCAUGAUUAUUAAACGAUUAUGGCUUUAAAAAGUCUACAAAUUCCUUCUGUUCAUAUGUGAAUGUGUGAUGGGUGUCGAAGCCAACAAAAAUAAAUUCCUACUCUAAAUAAAUUGUGUAUAGUGAUUGAGCAGGGUCGUGUCCACAGAGAUCGGUAAUUAUUUAAAUCCUUUUGAAACGUAAAACGUAAAAUGGGGGAAUUGUUGACAAUAAUAAAAAUCAAAUUAAAAUAACAAGAAUGCAAAUUAAAGUUGUAAUUCAAAUUGGAGAAAGCUCUGGUUGAAGGAAUUAACUCAGCUUGAUUCGACUACUGAUCAUUGAUUCAAAUAUAGAUUAUUAUUACUCAUGAAUAGACCGGUUAUAGCUACUGAGACCCUCGAAUAGCCAAUCUCUCCUUAACUAGUCGAUAACCAAGGUACGACCGUUGGUUAUUUCCCUAAUCAAUAGACAACCCUAGAUACGAUCAUAGGAUUUAAUCAAUUGACAGCCUGAAAAAUCAGAGAGACCCAAAUCCUAAUCAACACAUAUGAUGAUUCAUUUAAAUUAGAUUGUUUAUUCUCACAACACAACUCUCUGCUAUGUUAUUUGUCACAAACAUUAAAUUCUUCAUACGAUGAAUCCUUUAAUUGACAAUAGAUUAAGUUGAUAAUUAAAUAGUGGCCAAUUACCUAAUUAACAAACAUAAUCAUGAAACUAAUUCAGAGAAUAAACAAAUACCCAAAAAGUAAUAAAACAAUUAAAGCAUAAGAAAGAUCUCACAGUAGUGAUGAAUCAAAGCUUCAUUAUCCUUCAACCAGAAAAAUAAGUUUAGUUCUUCAUAGAGAGAAGAGAAAAAUUAGAUCUAGGGUUUCUUUCUUUGUCUCCAAUCCAAAAAUCCCCCUUUUUCACAAUAGAUUCCUCCCUUAAAUACUCUCUCUCUCUUCUCUUUUAGAAUUCUAUUUAAAAUAAAAUACUAAUAUCUUAAAUAUUAAAUUCGUAAUUACAAAAAUAGCCAAAAAUACAAAACACGUUAAACUAAAAACUGCAGGUCCGCAGUUGACAGCACGCGCCCACGCCUUAUCAACAAAGUUCUUCUGACGCUCAUAAUUUCUCCAAGAGAACAAUCCUCCUUAAACAUCAUCUUUUAGCUCAAUUUUAUCACCAAUCAAUAGAAUUGCACCUACAAAAGUAAAACACAAGUAAAAUAUUAUUAUUAAGUGCAAAACAUCGAUAUUAAGGGAAGUAAAUAAUGCAAAACUAGUGCAUAAAUUGCACUCUAACAAAUUCCCCCACACCAAGACGAUGCUUGUCCUCAAGCAUAUAACUCAAGAUUAAUCCCAAAUCUCCACUCAAUUCUCAUCUCAACUCAUCCAAAAAUAAUUUUAAGCAAGCAUACCUCAAGAAAUUAAGUCGAUCAACAUUCGAGAGACAAGGAUUUUAAAGCAUAGAAUUUCAUAAGAUAGAAUAAGAACAUUCAACCACCAAGAAGAUCCAUUCAAAAUUCAAGUGCAACAAGAUUUAAUAGCCCUCUCAAUAACUUCACUCCAUGCACUCAAAGUGUUUAGGGUGUCAUUUAUUCACUCAAAUCAAAUCAAAGAAUGCUAUUACCAUAAGCUUGCUCAUAUAUCACAUCUCAAUCCACAAAACAUGAAUAAAAUGCAAAAAUCUAAGGGUCUUAAAAGGGUUGUAAUGGGGUUAAAUGGGUUAAAUGAAAAAGAAAGGUUUACGAAAGAAAACAAAAAUCAAAAUGAGAAGAAUGAACUCAUUGAAUGAACUUAUGAUAUCAAAAUGCUUAUUUCUACUCAAGUCACCAAGAAUGUAAACAUUUUUUUUUUCAAUUUUUUUUUUCGAUUUUUUUUUUCUUUUUUUUUUCUCUUUUUCCUUUUCUUUUCUUUUUUUUUUUUUUUUGAAUCAAACAAAAGAAAUGAACCUUGCACAAUUUAAUUCAAGCAUAAUGCUUGUUGAUCUAAUUGAGAAACUUUAAUACAAGGUAGAAAAAGCAACAAAAUAUAUCCACACAAUGAGUCCAAAAAUCUCCUUAAAUUGAGGCUCAAAAAGAAGAAAAAUGGUUAAGUAGACGGAGAGAAUUAGAUGGGUAAUGGUUAAGGCUCAAACAAAGGUAGCAAAUAAAGGUCUUCGGGUAGAGAAAAAGGAAAAAGCGAGAAUAGAAAAAUGGUAAAUUGUUUGCCCUUAUUAUUUUAAUGCCUAAAAUCCCGUAAUGUGGCUUCAACAUGCAUAACAAAGCAAGUUCUAGAAUAAACAAACUAGGAUUGAUAUUCACAUAACAAAAAUAAUUAGAGCAAAGUGGUUGCUCAUAGGCUCAAAUCCUCACAAAGUUGGUAAAUUUGCCAUCAAAUCAUGUACACUCUUCAAAUGAAUCAACCAUCAAUAGUGGUGUAGAAUGGGAAGAAGGUAUGAGUGAAGGAAAGGUAAAAAUGAUAAGAAGUGAGAAAGAUGUAUGUAGUAAUAUGAAAAGUGAAAGAUAAAAUGUGAGUGAUGAAAGAGUAUGAUAGAAUAAAAAUAGAUGUAAAUAAUUUGAGAUAGAUGGGAAAAAAGUAGUGAGAAAGAAAAGAAAAGAAAAAUAAUAAUAUAUGAAGCAUACUAACUCCAAAAUCAUUUAAGGAUGAGUAGAGUGAAAACAAUAAUUCCAGACAUCAAUAAUGCAAAAAUCCCUCCCCCACACCAAGAACUUACAUUGUCCCCAAUGUAAGAUAAUUAAAGCUCACAUAAAAAUUAAAGCGCAAGGAUAAAAGAUUAAAGGCAAAAAAAACUUCCCUGAAUUGUGAGCUUUGAUCCACAUAACGUCUAUGGUUGCGUUGCGAUUGCUGCUCGGCUGGAGCUUGCUUGAUGGGCGCGGGAUGGAGCUGAUUGUGUUACGCGCGCGCGCUGGGGCUGCUGGAUCUGCGCGCUGCGUGGGCUGUGUUGCGCGCGAGAGCAGGGCUGACGCUGGUUUUGCGCGCUGCUGGGCGAAGGCUGGAUCUACGCGCGCGGUUUGCUGCUUGCUAGACGCGGGAUGCUGGUGCUGCUGGUUGCGUUGCAGGUGGGACUGAUGCGGUUGCUGCUGGUUCUGCGCGCUGGAGCUGAGGGUUGCUGCGGGAAAACGAUAAUCAACAGUGAAUUUUUUUGAAUUAGGGAUUUGUGAACAGUGAUUUGUGAUUUUUGUGUUUUUUUUUGUGUUUUUUUUUUAAAUAAAUAAAGAAAAUAUAUAUAUAUAUAUAUAUAAGAAAGAAAAGAAGGAAAAAAAACUUUUUUUUUUCGUUUUUUUUAUAAAUAAAUAAAAAAUAUAUAUAUAAGAAAAGAAAAUAAGGAAAAAAAAACUCUUUUUUUUUUUUUUUGAAUCACUUUGAGACACUAAAAAUUUCAGAAGUACUUUUCUAAUAAGCACGUAGGCACGCCUUAAAACUAUUUUACUUUAAAAAUUACAGAAGUACUUAUUAGUUAAGACGUGGGCACGCCUUAUCAAAAAUUUUCUUCUGACCAAAAUAAGCAAACACAUUAUUUAAAAAAAAAAAUAUGAAUCAAAAUUAAAAGAAGAUAUAACAAAAACCAAAAUAAAUAAAUCAUUUGGGUUGCCUCCCAAAAAGCGCCUUUGUUUUAUGUCUUUGGCUAGACACAUUUAUGCAUCAAUCUCCAUAAUUAGGACUCUCGAGAGCCACAUCCUCCACAAUAUUCACCGAAAAACCUUCAUAAAAAGGUUUUAAGCGAUGACCAUUAACCUUAAAAACUUUGUCAGAGGUCGGACUCCGAAUUUCAACUGCACCAUGAGGAAAAACAUUAGUAACAAUAAAAGGUCCAACCCAGCAAGAACGUAAUUUACCCGGAAAAAGUUUAAGCUUAGAAUGAAAAAGAAGAACUUUUUGACCAACAGAGAACUCCUUUCUCAAAAUCAUUCUAUCAUGAAAUGUCUUCGUCUUUUCCUUGUAAAAAAUUUCCUGCGCUAUAGGGUUAAUAACAUCCACAGAAAAUACCGAAUGUUCCUCACUAGGAUAUUUCAUGGCAUCAUUCAUAUUGAAUUCUAUAACCUCUCCAUCAAACUCCAUAGUGAGAGUCCCUUUAUGUACAUCCAUUUUAGUCCUAGCAGUCUUAAGAAAAGGUCUUCCUAGCAAAAUUGGGACAGAAUUAGAGGAGUUAUCCUCUUCCAUAUCAAGUACAUAAAAAUCAGCAGGAAAAACCAACUCAUUAACUUGUACUAAGACAUCUUCUAAUACCCCAUCAGGAUAUGCAUUAGACCUAUCAGCUAGUUGAAUUAUCACGCCAGUUUCUUUUAAUGGACCAACAUUCAAAGAUGAAUAAAUGGAACGAGGCAUGACAUUAAUAGAAGCUCCUAGAUCUAACAUAGCCUUUUCAACUCUAACACUACCAAUUUUACAAGGGAUAGUAAACAUACCUGGAUCCUUGCACUUACGAGGUAGUUUCUUUUGGAGAACUGCUGAAACAUUCUCCCCCAUGUGAACUUUUUCAUCUCCUCUUAAUUUUCUCUUGGAGGUGCACAGUUCCUUAAGGACUUUAGCAUAUCGAGGUAUUUGUUUUAUAGCAUCUAAUAAAGGAAUAUUUACCUCAACCUUGCGAAAUGUCUCAAGGAUGUCUUUCUCUUGUUCCUCCUUCUUGGAUUUUGCAAAUCGGCUUGGAAAAGGAGGAGGUAUCACAAUAGGUAGGGGUUUAGCUCUGGUGGGUUCCGCAUCAUGAGAUUGAGGCAUCAAUUCAUUCUUCUCAAGUUCAUCUUCUACAUGCUUUGUCACUUUCUUACUAGGCUCUUGCAACUCCGUCCCACUUCUAAGAAUGACAGCACUAACGUUUUCCUUUGGAUUCACCUCAGAUUGUGAAGGCAAUCUCCCCAAUACUUGAGACUCCAGACGGCUCACUGUAGUCGCCAAUUGACUCAUUUGGUUCUCCAAGUUCUGAAUGCUUGCUGUAGUUGCCUGCUGAAAUUGUUGAGUGUUAGUCGCAAGUGAUUUAACAAUUUCUUCAAGAGAUAUACCUGACUUGGAGUUUGACUGUGGAAGUGCUGGUUGUCUUGGUGGAUACUGUUGUGGGAAUCCUGAUUGCCUAACUCCAUAGCUGAAGUUGGGAUGAUCCUUCCAUCCCGGAUUGUAUGUUUGUGCAUAAGGAUCAUACCUCCUCUGAGGCAUGCCUGGAAAUCCUCCAAUUGCAUUGGCUUGUUCAACGGGUUCUUCUUGAAGUGUAGGACACAUAUCAGUUGAAUGACCCAUAUUGUAACAAAUGCCACAAGUCUUCACCUGUUGCACAUUACCUACAACAAACUUUUCCACAAGAGAAGUAAGUUUAUCUAAACGUUGUUCAACAGAAGAAAUAUUUACCUCAUUCACCGUUCUUGAAGUGGCAUCUUGUCUGCUGCCAAAUUGUUGUGCAUUGGCAGCCAUAUUUGAGAUCAACUCCCUUGCUUGAGUAGGGGUCUUGUUCACCAACACACCUCCACUAGCAGCAUCUAUCAUACUCCUAUCCAUCAAUGAUAGUCCUUCGUAAAAAUAUUGAAUAAGAAGUUGAUCAGAGAUCUGAUGCUGAGGACAACUGGCACACAAUUGUUUGAAUCGCUCCCAAUACUCAUACAAAGUCUCCCCAGGAAGUUGUCUGAUCCCACAAAUAUAUUUUCUGAUGUUGGCAGCUCUUGAAGCAGGAAAGUACUUCUCAAGGAACUGCUUCUUCAAACCAUUCCACGUUGUAAUCGAUCCAGGAGGCAAGUAGUACAACCAAUCUUUAGCUAGCCCAUCUACAGAGAACGGAAAAGCACGCAGCUUAAUCUGCUCUUCAGUCACGCCUUGUGGUCUCAUACUUGAACACACAACAUGAAACUCCUUAAGAUGUUUAUGAGGAUCUUCACCUGCAAAACCAUGAAACUUGGGUAAUAAAUGAAUAAGACCAGACUUUAAUUCAAAAUUUACCUCCAAAUCUACAUAUUGAAUGCAGAGUGGUUGCUGAUUCAAGUCUGGUUCAGCUAACUCUCUAAGAGUUCUUUCUACAGGUGCAGGUCUAUUCAUCACUUGUUCUUCCGAAUCACUAGAUGAUUCAACUAAAUCAGGCACUGUAUCUGUUUCAGAAAGCAAAGGCGACGAGGAUCGUUGCUUAGCUCGCUUCGUCUGCUGUCUCAGCUGGCGAGCUGUCUUCUCAAUUUCGGGAUCAAACGAAAGUGUACCUGUACGAGAAGAACGAACCAUACACAAAGUAAAACGUAAAAAGGAUUAAAUAAAUGACACCAAUCCCCGGCAACGGCGCCAAAAUUUGAUGGGUGUCGAAGCCAACAAAAAUAAAUUCCUACUCUAAAUAAAUUGUGUAUAGUGAUUGAGCAGGGUCGUGUCCACAGAGAUCGGUAAUUAUUUAAAUCCUUUUGAAACGUAAAACGUAAAAUGGGGGAAUUGUUGACAAUAAUAAAAAUCAAAUUAAAAUAACAAGAAUGCAAAUUAAAGUUGUAAUUCAAAUUGGAGAAAGCUCUGGUUGAAGGAAUUAACUCAGCUUGAUUCGACUACUGAUCAUUGAUUCAAAUAUAGAUUAUUAUUACUCAUGAAUAGACCGGUUAUAGCUACUGAGACCCUCGAAUAGCCAAUCUCUCCUUAACUAGUCGAUAACCAAGGUACGACCGUUGGUUAUUUCCCUAAUCAAUAGACAACCCUAGAUACGAUCAUAGGAUUUAAUCAAUUGACAGCCUGAAAAAUCAGAGAGACCCAAAUCCUAAUCAACACAUAUGAUGAUUCAUUUAAAUUAGAUUGUUUAUUCUCACAACACAACUCUCUGCUAUGUUAUUUGUCACAAACAUUAAAUUCUUCAUACGAUGAAUCCUUUAAUUGACAAUAGAUUAAGUUGAUAAUUAAAUAGUGGCCAAUUACCUAAUUAACAAACAUAAUCAUGAAACUAAUUCAGAGAAUAAACAAAUACCCAAAAAGUAAUAAAACAAUUAAAGCAUAAGAAAGAUCUCACAGUAGUGAUGAAUCAAAGCUUCAUUAUCCUUCAACCAGAAAAAUAGGUUUAGUUCUUCAUAGAGAGAAGAGAAAAAUUAGAUCUAGGGUUUCUUUCUUUGUCUCCAAUCCAAAAAUCCCCCUUUUUCACAAUAGAUUCCUCCCUUAAAUACUCUCUCUCUCUUCUCUUUUAGAAUUCUAUUUAAAAUAAAAUACUAAUAUCUUAAAUAUUAAAUUCGUAAUUACAAAAAUAGCCAAAAAUACAAAACACGUUAAACUAAAAACUGCAGGUCCGCAGUUGACAGCACGCGCCCACGCCUUAUCAACAAAGUUCUUCUGACGCUCAUAAUUUCUCCAAGAGAACAAUCCUCCUUAAACAUCAUCUUUUAGCUCAAUUUUAUCACCAAUCAAUAGAAUUGCACCUACAAAAGUAAAACACAAGUAAAAUAUUAUUAUUAAGUGCAAAACAUCGAUAUUAAGGGAAGUAAAUAAUGCAAAACUAGUGCAUAAAUUGCACUCUAACAAUGUGCCAAGUUUGCUAUAUCUUAGAUUAUCUUCUUCCAAGAUAACAAGUUCAUAUUCUUUUUAAUCUUUUUCCAUCACAGUUGACUUUUAGGUGUUAAGAUUUGUUAUUAGUCCCCUGUUAUUAUGAUUUCAUAAACAGUGUACGGAUAUGUGCUCUAACUUUGGAGGACCUCCACGUGAAAGAAAAUUGCAACAAUUGAAUUCUUCCGGAGGGUAUGGUCUUUAAUUUAUUUUCUCAACUUCUCGUAAGAUUAAUAUAUUUCAUUCAGUAGGCACAGCAUGGGGGGAAGGGUUUUUAUUGAAAGAAUUCUGAUAUUUCUUAGACUUCGUUUUGGAAUGGGGUGGAGGGAUUUCUCAUCCAUGUAUGGUUACUUGAUUAGCUUUUGACUGUAUUUCCUCAGUCAUGUAAAGGAAGAUCCAAAUACCAACGAAGGAAAAUUGCCUAGACACCCGAAAGACAGAAAUGAGCUACAGAAGCAAGUUUUAGCUACUUUAUUUAGUGCUCCUGAGAAAUCUGAUGGAGACCGAAUGGAGGUCCAAAGCACUGGGAAAGGUAGUGAGUGAACCGCCGGAGGAGUUGGCACCGGAAUGCAAGGCUAAUGUGGUGCACUUGCAGCAAGAUAACCAAACCGGUAUGUGCUCUUAUAUUAACUAUACUGACAGGAUUUGUGAGUGUGUGCAUUUUUUUGUGUAUACUCUUGUAUUUAUGCAUAUUAAUGUGUGUAGGAAUUUCUGCCACUUACUGGAGAACUAGUGGAAAGCUUUAUACCGAUAUAUCUGCAAUAACUAAUUGGAAACUAUGAUAUUAAUAUUUUCUCUCACCUGAGGAACUGUGUAACAGAUAUACUUUGUGGCUCUGGAAUACUAGAGAUUCUGCAAUAACUAAUGGAAACUAUGAUAUGAAUAUUUUAUCUCAACUGGAGAACUUUGUAACUUGUAGCUCUGGAAUGUCUAAGGAAUUUUGUCUGCUUCAGUUAGAUCAAAUAUCUUUUAGUUGCAUACAUUAUAGAAAAAGAUAAAGUUCUCUGAAUCUGAAAGACUGAAACAUUUUGUAUAUUUUGUGAAAGGGAAAUAUCUGUAUAUACUAGUUCAUGCAUUGAGGUAACAUCAAUGUUAAAGAAAAACAGCAAUAAGUUAUUAUGUGGAACAAGGUUCACUUGCUUUAAAUGCUGGUCUGGUCAACCAUAUGAACCUGUAAGUUCUGCAGAAAUAUAUAUAUGGGGAGAAACUAGCUAAAUUUUCCGUUCAUUGAUGGCUUUGGUCAUUUUUUUCCCCUUAUUUUUCAGCUUUCCUUCUCCUGAAGUAUGUCAACAACUGCAGAUAAUGAUGAAGAGGACAGCUUGCAGGCUCUUCUUAGAGCCAUGAUGGAAUAUAGGGGCACAAUGAAGGAACAUUGCAAAGCUGUAGGUUCUUUUUCUCCUGUCAUUUAUGUUUUCUCACACAUUUUUUAUAUGCUCCAAGCAUGCAAUUUUGUAUGUGUCAACUGCUUCCUAAGUUUUAAAAACCAUAAUGUAAGAAUACAGUUCUUUGUCAGGUUAUUGAUGCAUUUGCUCAGGGGGAUCAUGUUCGAGCAGGAAAACUUCUAGAGCUGACAAGGUUUUCCAUCUACAGCCAUCUAUUGACAACAGAUACAUUUUCAUUCAGCAAACACUGUUAGCAUUCAAGAUACUGGCAGAUUCACUUGAUUCUUAUUAGUUUGUUUAGUAGCAAAGCAUAUAACCUGUAUUUCAAAGCCAAGUUGUGCUAUUGAUUAUGUUAACUUUAUUGUUCACAUAAAGUGAUAUGGAGGAAAUAAUCAAUGUAGGAAAAUUAGGUGAAGAGAUGAUGUCACAUCUUGAACCUCUUACAAAGCUCCAAGUUCUUUACUUGAAGAAGCCGCCAAAUUUGAAGAGCGUCUACUGGAAGGCAUUUCCAUUCCCAGAUGUAUGCAGAAUUUUUGUAUUAAUGCCCAGUUCUUAAGAAGCUGCCACUGGACUUUCAAAGGCGGGCCAAGGUAAAAUUCUUAUCGAGGGAAAGGAAGAUUGGUGGAAACAACUUCAAUCGGAGGAUCAAGUAACUCAGAAUGCAUUGCUUCCAUUUUUAAAAUCAACUGACAAGUGAUUGAAGGGGGCAUCAUCAACAUCAUCAACAUGGAUGGAGAGAUUCAGGAGCAGAUCAGCAGGGUUUAGUACGACCUGUGGUGGUUUCUUUUUUGUGACUUUUUUCCCUUUCAUUUUUUCACUUCCUGUCAUAUUAUCAUUUCUGUCUCUGUUUCUAUUGCUGUUGUUGCUGCAUGCUUGCUGUCCUUGACAAAGUUAGCUAGUUUUUUUGUUUAUUAAAUUUUUUAUGUUCGGGACAUCCUUGACAAAGUUAGCUAGUUUUUUUGUUUAUUAAAUUUUUUAUGUUCGGGACAGUCACAAAGUACUACUUGUUCUAUAAGGGGGUGAUGUGAAUCAACUUUUCAAUUAUAUAUUCUGUGGUAAUUGUGAAUUCAAUUUCAUUUGUCUCCUGCAAAUUAUGAAGAAAGUGCAGAGUUACAAUAUGGAAAAGUUCACUGGCAAAUACUUUGUAAAAGCUUCGGAGUGAAACAGGGAAUGCACUUGCAACUAAGGACAAAUUGGUGGCCAGCUAAUGCAUUCAUUUUAUGUACAUUCAUCUUUUUAAUUAUUGAAGAUAAGUGGUUCGUCGCUUUUGUUGUAGAUAAAAUUCAGACGAUCUCCAUUGUGAAAUGAUAAUAUUUAAAAUAUCUCUUAAAUUAUAAUAAACUUUAAUUUAUCUUAAUUUUAUUUAAAAGAUAAAAGAAAAAUGUGGUAUAUCGAUAAUUUUUUUAUCUUCUUAAUAAAACGAAGUAAAUUAAAAUUUAUAAUAAUUUAAAAUAUUUUAAAGAUUAUUAUUUCAUAAGAGAGUAAUAUGAAAUUAAUCCUUUUUACUUUUUGAAUGUGAAAGAUCAAGAAAAGAGAAAGUAAGUGUCCUUGCUUUUUAUUUUAAUUGAAAUCGGAGUCAUCCCAUAUACUUUACUCCUUUAGCUCUCUCCUCAAGGUGAGAUGCGUGAGUUGGGUGAAGAUUUGGUGAGUGUUGUGAUAUGCGUGCUACUUUGAGAAUUUAUAGAUAGCACAAAACGCAGCGUUCUGUGUUAAUUGUGGUUCUUACUGUGGUAAGAAUCUCAUUUUCUUAUUUCAACAGGUUUACCAGAAGAAAAAUCCCUCAGAUCACAUCACUGCCUUUUCUCUCAUUUUCUCUCUCUAUAUUUUCUAAUACAUUCUACAUAUUUUUCAUGUCCUCACAUACUUGUAUUUCAAAUGCAAUAGAUGUGUUUAUAUAGAGGCUAAUGAGAGUGAUUAAAGUUAACUAAAAAACUUCUAUGUAAAAUAAACUUCUAUGUGUUUAAAACCAAUAAAAUAGUAAGUAUAGCAGCCCUUUUUACAAUAAUGAAGUGAAAAUUAAUUUAGCAAGAUAUUUUCUUAAUUUAUACUUUCUUUUUUGAAGUUUUUAUUUUCUAUGGUCAAUUAUACCGUUUACAAUUUCUUUUGAUCUAACUACAACUAAAUUUUUGGUUUAAGGAUUCUUAUUUGGGAGUAUUAAUAUGUGAGCGAACGCUUGGAUACUGCUCAAUGAUAUCUAAUCAAUAGCUGGAAACAAUCGAGAAGGCGGUCGCAGCUGUGCACAAACAGCUUUGGUAAAAUUUUUAAACAGAGUUGACAUGCUAUUCUGAGAUUUGGUUCAUUACUUUGUAUGAUUUUUUCUCAAGCAUGUUAUGCCGAAAUGAACAAUUAAAAAAGAAGAAGGAAAAGUUAGGGUAAAAUUUUUACUAAAUCAUUUUUUAUUAACUAUUUAUAUUAAACAAAUGGAACAAGAAUUGUAGUCAUUCGUCAUAAGCGUGCUAAUAUGAUAAUUCUCUGACUACCAUUUUCUAUUUACCCCUUUUGCAGCAGGGAAUCCAAAUUUUGAAUUGUCCAAUGAUCCACAAUCAAUCCAAUGGUCCAAAACUUUUGGUCGUUAUGCGAAAAAUUUUCCCAAUUUUGGGCCAAUAUUCUAACAAGUUUUAUUGAAGGGCUGGACUAUUGGCACCCCUCUAAAAUUUCCUUAAAACCCCUUUUCUAUUACAAUUACAUUUAAAGAUAAAAAUAAUUACCAAUUCAUCUAUUUUAAUAUUUUAUCCCUCUUCAAACUUUUCUAUUUUCUUCUCAUCAAAAUUUUUCCCUCAAAUUCUCUGUAUUUUUUUGUUUUAUUCAUUUAUUAACAUAUUCUUUUUAUUAUAACAAAUCCAAAUUUUCAAGCAAAAUUAUAGUACAAUAUUGAUUGUUGUUUGCUUUAUUAGAAGGGACUUUUUAGCUGAGGAAAUAAAAACUGUAUAUUUGGUUUCUUCUAACUGCUCGUUGACGAUAGUCACGGCAUCCUGCACAUUUCUAAUGACUUCCUUUAGUAUGUUCUGCUUCUACCUCAUUAGUUCCAAAUAGCUUCUGUUAUCCCAUGCGUACUUCUUAAAAAUAACUUCUGCUAUUUUUUUAAUUAAUUAUUUGAAUCUUGGAGUUUUCUUUUUUAUCUUUUCCACAAUUUUUCAUUCGGAUUUAUUCAUAAUCAUACUAAAACUUUUUACAUUAUAAUUCUAAAGAUAUUGAAUCUAAUUCACUAAUUUGUAUUAAGAAGUUUAUCGCAUAAAUUUUGUGUGGAGAUUGAUAUAAUAAGACUCUAAAAUAAUUUUAGAAAUAAGAAAAUAUUAAGAAAUCGAAAGAUUAACAAAUUAGAAAUAAGGGUAAUUCUGACAUUAAAUGAAAUAUUAGGGACAAAGGAGUUUUUAGAGGAUUUUAACGGGUGCCAAUAGUUCAACUCUUUAUUGAAAUAAAAGGGAGAGGAUCGUUAAAUUGAAAAGUCCAUUUUAUUAUCAAGUGUUUUAAAUUAGUGCAACGUGACAAUUUUUACUGAUGAUAUCUUCUAUUUUUUUCAUAUAAAAUUAAUGUUAUUUUACUUACAAAUAUAAACUCCUAAAUAUUUGUAGUAGAUUUGAAGUUGAGCCCAUGAAACGGUAAUGAGGAAUUAAUGAGACUGAGGAUCUGCAAUUUAGUCAUGAAAAAUUUGUAAUUAAGCACGACUAAAUUUCAAUUUUCUCUUUGUAAUUUCUUUGGGUGCCUGAAAUUUUUUCUCCCUUAAUUUUCUGAUUACAAGUGCAUAAUUGUAAGUGCAACCGAUUUUAUUUUCAGGGAAUACUAUCGGACGGUGUGGAUAUAUAUAUAUAUAUAUAUAUAUAUAUACGAGAAAUGUUCCAAUUCAGAAUUUUAAAGUGUAGGAACGUCUGGGAAAACGCAUAAACCGUGCAGUUUAAACGCUUUAAGUUUUAAGCCUUUAAAACCCCGCAGUUUUAAAGUUUUCCUAGAUGUUUUCCGCACUUUAUGAUCCCGGACUAGAAAACUACUAUAUAUAUAUAUAUUAUCUGCUCGGUGAAAAGUUUUUUAAUCCGAGCUUAGAAUCUAGGAUUAAAAUUAUGAAAAAAAUUUAAGUAUUACACACACACACACACACUAUUCGGUCAUUUUUUUUUAAAAUCUGAGUUUAGAUGUAGAAUUAAAGUUCGAAAUGAAUUUACUGUGUUAUAAAUCAAUUUUUACAAUGUUGUAAAUUGAUUUAUGAUAUUAAAAAUCCAUCUUAAAUUUUAAUCUCAGAUUCUGAGUUUGGAUCUAAUAAACACUCUCUCCGAUUAUGUUGUCUAUAAUUUUGCAUUCAAAGAAACUUCACGAAAAAUAUAAUAUCAUGUGUAGCCCUAGAAACUUUAAUAACAAUAAAAAAGAUAUCAUAAGAAAAGAAAACUCAUAAUUGUUCAGAUAUUUAUAAAUUGGUGGCCGUUGGAAAUUUAACUGCAAGUGCCAAUCCGAGAAAAGUCUUCGUGCAGGAAAGACUUUUAGCCAUACGUUCUUCCAAGUCAAAUGAAACAGUGGAUGUACAAAGAAUAAGACAUGUCAUUCAGCUGCAGAUUUCAUGGCCAGUAUGACUCAUUCAGUCCCUUAUGGGUUACAUGUUUUUGAUAGCCCGCCUGUGGGUAUUUAUUCAAUUAUUUUACAAGACAUAUUUGGGGUUGCUAAACCCCGUAUGGUUCUGUCUUAGCUCGUUUUAUUGAGCCCAUUUUAAUCAAAAAAAAAAAAAUAAUAAGACAUGUCAUUCAUUGUUUGUUUGCUGCAUUCCCUCUCAUUUUCUUAAUUAUUGAAGACAGGUUGCUCAUAGCAUGUACUUUUCAAAUGUGGAACCGCAGCUAAUGUCACUAUUUUAAUUUGGAAUUAAAUUAGGGCCCAUCUAUAAAAUUUAUAACAUUAUAUUGCAGUGUGAACUAACUUUUAUGUUUAUCUAAACACCUUAAAUUUAAGGCAAAUUAUGGCAUAAAUAAGAAUUAAAACAGAACACUUAUGAUGUAUAGCAAAAGAGUUGUGAUGAAGAUCUUGAAGAAAUAUAAUAUUAGCGCCGAAUUAAGUAACUAAGAACACCCCUGAACUGAAUAAUGGUUAUCAAAAUUGUGUUACUUGCACUCCUAUUUACUAAAAGUCUGGUUCUGUUCCAUUUGAGUUUUUAUCUUCAAAUUUCAAAAUCUUGCUAAGUUUUGACAACAAAAAGGCUCAGUUUGCUUGUUCUAUAUUUGUAUUAUAUGAAUCCAAAUUUUUGUGUUCUAUUUUCUCAAUUUUGAAUACAAAUUCUUUUCUUCUCCCACAAACCAGAAAGAAAUGCUGUAUUAAAAAAAAUGGAAAUAAAUUCAUUACAACAAAAAUUAGGAAAAAUAAUACAAACCAAAUUAGGAUAAAUAACAUCACUUUCUAGAGAAGCAGGCAAAAAUGGAAAAUGAUAUUUCAAUUCUUCAAGAUCCCAAAUCUCUGUUUCUAAAUUUUCUUUCAUGUUGCUUCUCGCAUAGAAUCAUUUGGUAUUAAUAAAAUUUUUACUUAUUAAACAAAAGUUUUUAAAAUUUUUUUUAUUCCUGCUGUUAAUCUAUGAAUGGUUUCAUUGUUGGAGUUUCUUUCAGAAGACAAGAAUACUUUGGUUAAGUGUUUGGCUAAGUACUAAAUUAAAGGUUGUUAGAUAGAAGAAAUUAAAAAAAAAAAAAUCCUAACCCUUUUAUUCAGUGUUUAAUCAGCAAAUAUUCAACUCAACAUGAAUCUUAAUCAUCUUUAAAAAAAAAUUAUUCAAUUUUCUAAUAAUAUUUAUUCAGGUACUAGAAGUUAAAACCCUACUUACAUGGAUGCGUGGCCAUCGGUCCAAUUUAAAAAAAAAGAGAGAAAAAAUAAAUGUAAUCCAUGAAUUUGGUUAAUUUUCCUUUGUUUGUUUGUUUCUGUUCUCCCCCCCCCCCCCCCCCCCACCCCCUUUUCAAUAUCAUUCCUUUUUGGCCGCCCAAGGACAUUUUCACAAAUACCUUUUGUGCAUAAGUCUUUUAAACCAUCAAUCGGAAGAAACAUGCUUCCAGUGAUACCUCCAAUUAUCAUUGAUGACUUUUCUUACUCUAAUGCUAUGUCAAUUCCAACAUUUGUAUGUUAAUAUAACAUAAUCAAUGAUUUGGAUAAUUGAUGACUUUUACAGAUUGUGGAUUCUUGCGGAUUUUCAAUCUAAUCCAAUCCACCAAUUCACAAAUUCAGAUUUUUACGGAUUAAAUUUUUACAGAUCAGACGAAUUGAGCAGACUAGAUUGGAUUUUGAACAUUGCUAAUUUGUAUGUUAAUUAUAAGAUAAUCAAUUAUUUGGAUAAUCCCUUGUGUUUUAUCUCUAAUUAGAACAUCAAUCUUCACAAUAUUUACAAUGCUACAAUGGCUAUAAACAAAACCUGCUUGCAAAUUGUCAAGGAUACUUAUCCUUUCGCUUGACAAGUCAUUUGGAAAAAUAUUGUCCCUUGGCGGCUCCAUGUCUUCCCCGCCCUUCCUUUUGGUCUUAAUGUACGGUUGCUUAAUGAUAGUUUAGGCCCUUUAGGGACUACUUUCCCUGGUGUUGUUAAGUCUUAGCUUGUGCUAGGCUCGUUUUUCUUACCAAAAGAAAAGGAAUACUUCUCCUAUAAGAAAUAAUCUCUAUAUAUAGGGUGGUUGGAUUCACUUGUUUACAUAACAGAUCAAUUAGUUCUCUGUAAAUAGAGAGUUUCAAGUAUGAAAGAAACGGUAGGUCUAUUGAGAGAUUAUGUGUUAUUAGGAUUUUGGUUGUGAAGAAAAGUACUAGAGUGAUUGUGUUAAUUUUCUACGUAGUUGAUUUUUCUAUCGUCAUCUUUGUGGCUGUGAUUUUUCUUUCAUAUAGAAGUUUCCCACGUAAAUUGUUAUGUUAUGUGAUUAGUUUUGAUAUUUUAUUUGUAAGAUGUUGGAUGGGAUUAAAAGUUCAUAUUACUGCUAGAUGAUAUAUGGGAGCGGGUUGAUUUAGUAAAAAUGGGUGUCCCUCUUCCUAGAUCAGAAAACAACACAUCUAAAGUGAUAUUUACAAACCCGUUCUAAGGAAGUUUGCAGCUUAAUGGAAGCUCGUAGGAGUUUUAAAGUGGCGUGCUUAUCAAAUAAAGAUGCUUAGGAAUUGUUUCGAUACAAAGUUGGGGAAGAAACUUUGAACAAUCAUCCUGAUAUCCUUGAGCAAGCACAAUAGUUGUUAAGGAGUGUGGUGGUUUGCCACUUGCACUUUUUACCAUCGGCCGAUCUAUGGUGUGCAAGAAGACAUAGCCGAAGAAUGGAGAUAUGCUAUUCAAGUGUUCACUUCGUCCGCUUCCCAUUUCCAGGUCUGGAAGAAGGGAUAUAUACUCUUGUAAAUUCAGUUAUGAUAGUUUACCCAAUGACACAAUUACACCUUGUAUGUUAUAUUGUAGUUUAUAUCCAGAAGAUUGUUGCAUUUCUAAAGAGAAUUUCGUAUAUUGUUAGAUUAGUGAAGGAUUUUUGAAUGAAAGUGAUUGGUUUGGAGAAAAAAAUCAAGGAUAUUUCAUUUUGGGCAUUCUUCUUCAUGGUUUUUUUUUUUUUGGAAAAGGGAGGAGAUUGUGAAGUGAAAAAUGCAUGCAUGACGUUAUUCGUGAUAUGGCUUUGUGGAUCGCAUGCGACCAUGAGAAGGAGAAGGAGAACUUUUUGGUUUAAGCUAGUGUUGGUUUAACUAAGGUACCAGAUAUUAGAGAUUGGGAAAAGGUGAGGAGAUUGUCAUUGAUGAAAAAUAAAAUUGAGAAUCUAACUGAGGCUCAUACAUGCCCUCAUCUCCUCACUUUCUUUCUUGAUGAUAAUGAGUUUCGAAAGAUCCCCGAUGACUUCUUCCAGUUUAUGCCUUCUCUCACUGUUUUAAACUUGUCACAUAUUAAACUAAAGUCAGUUCCUUUAGGGACUUCAAGGUUGGUUCCACUACAACAACUCGAUCAUUCAUAUUCAAGCAUAAAAGAGUUGCAAGAAGAGUUAAAUGCCUUGAUUAAAGUUAAAUGCUUGAAUAUAGAUCAUGUAGAAGAGCUAAUUACAAUUCCACAACAACGAAUAUUUAAUUUUUAAGGUUAUAUGUGUUGAGAAUGUUCGAUACUAUUAGUUUAAAUUUUCAAGAAGCAUUAAAUAAAGACAGUAUUUUAUUUGGUGGGAGUUAAAGAAACAGAAAAUAAGUGUUUGGCUAAUAAAAAAAUAAAAUGAGAUCUGGAAACUUUUAAUCCUUUUAUUUUCUCAAGCUUAAGUUGCUACUGAACGAUUACAAACAUAUAUAUACAAGUGUAGCUGCUCAGCUGAAGAUUACUAAACUAACUAACUGAUUACAAAUUGAUUAACAAACGCAUCACGUGUAUGAGUACAAGCAGCUACAUAACCACCUGGUGCCAGCUGGCAGUACAUGUCAUCAACUUGUAACUGAUUAUAGAAGCUUCUGUGAUCCUCUGCUCUGUGGUCCUCAGCUUGACUACAAAUAUGAGUUUCCUUAAGAUCCCCCCCAAGCUCAAAGGUCUACUAAUGACAUGGAGUUUGGACCUGAAGUAGCUGAAUUUUGGAAGAGAUGAAGCCUUCGUGAGAACAUCAGCAACUUGUUCAUCUGUAAGAAUGUAUCUCACUUCUAAUUGCUUUUGAAGUACCUUAUCUCGGAUGUAAUGGAUGUCCAACUCGAUAUGCUUAGACCUGGAGUGAAACACAUGAUUUUUGGCUAAUUUCCCAGCACUCUGAUUAUCACACCAAAGCACUGGUGUUGGCAGUUUUACAAUGUUGAGCUCAUAAAAUAAAGAUUCCAGCCAAGAGAUUUCUGAACUUGCUGAUGACAGUGCUCUGUACUCAUUUUCAGUGCUGGAUUUUGCCACUAUGGCUUGUUUCUUAGAGGACCAUGAAAUCAAAUCGUUGCCAAGAUAGAUGCAAUAUGCUCCAAUAGACUUUCUAUCAUCUAUAUCACAAGCCCAAUCUACAUCUGAGUACCCAUUCAAACCUGUAACUUCAAGCUCCCCUUCUUUCUGAAUAUAUAUUCUAUAAGUAACAGUUGCUUGAAGAUAUCUAAGUACAUUUUUACAAGCAAGCCAGUGCUGAAGUGUAGGAGCACUUAGAUACUGACUUAGCUUAUGAACUGAGUAUGCAAUAUCAGGCCUGGUGAGUAUCAAGUAUUGGAGCCCUCCAACAAUGCUUCUAUAGAGAGUUGGAUCUUCAAAUUCUUUCCCCAAACAACCCUUUGCUACCUUUUCUAAUUUCUAACUUUGUGCUGAGAGGUGUAUCAGAACCUUUACAGUUCUGCAUUGAAGCUCUACUUAAGAGGUCUUCGAUAUAUUUUGUUUGUGAUAAAUGUAUCCCACUAUCUGUAUAACACACCUCAACACCAAGAAAGUAGGAUACCGAUCCCAAAUCUUUUAAGGCAAAAACCUUACUAAACUUAAUGAUGAAGGUUUCCAACAGGGAAAAAUCUGGUCCUGUAAUGAGAAUAUCGUCCACAUAGAUAAGAACAAGAAUGAUACCUCUUCUGUCAUGUUUGAUGAACAGGGAUGUAUCAGCCUUGGAGUUGAAGGAAUUCUAGCUUGUAAGACACCCUUUGAGUUUGUCAUACCAAGCUCUAGGAACUUGCUUCAAGGCACAAAGAGCUUUGCUAAGUUUACAGACAUAGCCCUCUUUGGUUAUGAAGCCCUCUGGUUGUGUCAUGUAUAUAUCCUCUAAAAUAUCUCAAUUAAGAAAAGAAUUAUUUAUAUUGUAGAAAAUAUGGAAAGAUUAGAUUAGUUGACAUUCCUGAUUUCUAGGAUUAGUUGUCUAAUUUGUCUGAUUUGUACAGCUAUUACUAAUUUGUAUAUUUUCAGAAAUUAGAAAGUUAAAUUUGGAAUAUGUUGUCCUAUAAAUUAACCCUAUUGUACUGGCUGUUAGAGGUACUUAAAAAUAAGAAAAGAUAUUUAUUCUUCUCCUCUGUUAACAUGGUAUCAAAGCUAUGGCAGAAUUAAGCCUAGCUUGACUCCCAUACGGAUCAGUUCAUUGCCUUGUUGUAAUGGCGCAAAACACCAUGCCUGGGGUUACAGUAAUUGGUGAUACUAAUUCCACUGCUACAUCUAUUGGAAUUGGUACAGGGGAGUUUCUUCCGUCGGGAUUUGGAAACUUGAACGGAAGUGAGAGUUUUCCCAUGCAAUUAACCGGUCACAAAUUGAACGGUAAAAACUAUCUAGAAUGGGCGCAAUCCAUUAAGUUGGUGGUCGAUGGCAAGGGUAGACUUGGCUACAUCACCGGUGAGACGAAGGAGCCGGAAAAAACUGAUCCAACAUGGAAGACUUGGAAGUCAGAAAAUUCCCUAGUUAUGUCCUGGUUGAUCAAUUCCAUGGAGGUUUCUAUUGGGAGGACGUAUUUGUUUCUUCCCACCGCAAAUGAUGUAUGGGAUGCAGUCCGAGAAACGUAUUCUGAUCUAAAAAAUUCAUCAUAGAUUUUUGAAUUGAAAACAAGACUAUGGCAGACUAGGCAAGGUGAUCAUGCUGUUUCUGAGUAUUACAACGAGAUGAAGGCUUUAUGGCAGGAGCUUGAUAUCUGCUAUAAAGAUGAUUGGGCCUAUAUGACAGAUAGUGUUCGUUAUUUAAAAAGAAUUGAAGAUGAUCGUGUUUAUGAAUUUUUGGCAGGUUUGAAUAAGAGCCUUGAUGAAGUGAGAGGCCGGAUUCUUGGCAGAAUUCCUUUGCCAUCAAUCCAGGAAGUAUUUUCAGAAGUACGACGAGAGGAAGGUCGACGCAAAGUGAUGUUAGGAGAAAAAACUGUAUCUGCUCCAGAAGUUUCAGCCCUAAUGACAGGGACUAAUCACAAUAAUUCCCCAUACCAAGCACGAUAGAACAAGAAAGGAGAAAAGGUGUGGUGUGAUCACUGCCACAAACCACGUCACACUAGGGAGACUUGCUGGGAUUUACACGAAAAACCUCCUAAUUGGAAGCCACGAAAUUUUAGUCAGUCAAACCGUGACUCAAAGGCCUUCCACUCAACCACUGAGGAGAAUGGAAACACUGCAACUACAACUACGACACCUUCAUUCAGUAAGAAAUAGUUAGAACAACUGUACUUUUUCUGUCCAGAUAAGUGACCAAUCCAGUAUCUUCUUCUUAUUCCUUAGCCCAGAAAGGUACUUAUCAAUUUGCUAUCUUCAAUGUGUCCACUAUUCCUCUUUGUCCAUGGAUAAUAUAUUCAGGUGCCACCGAUUAUAUGACUGGAUGCUCUAAAUUAUUUUCUUUCUAUAGUCCUUGUACAGGCAAUCAAAAAAUUAAGAUUGCUGAUGGCUCCCUCUCGGCAAUUGCUGGGAAAGGGUCAAUUGUUAUAUCUAAUACUCUCGUUCUUCACGAUGUCCUUCAUGUUCCAAAUCUCUCUUGUAAUCUUUUUUCUGUAAGUAAAAUAACUCGUGGUUUAAAGUGUUGUGCUAAAUUUCUUCCAAAUUGUUGUGAAUUUCAGGAACUGGAUACGGGGAGGAUGAUUGGCAAUGCUAGAGAGUAUGGCGGUCUCUAUUACUUUGAUGAUGGGAACUCUAUGUGUCAGCAACAGAAAAUUUUGAAUCUUGGAGCAUGCUUUAGUUCUACUGAUGAUAAAAUAAUGCUAUGGCACCGUAUGUUAGGCUAUCCUAAAUUUUUAUAUUUAAAACAUUUGUUUCCAACCUUAUUUCGUAAUAAACUUUUAUUGUCUUUUCAAUGCGAUAUUUGUCAGUUAGCUAAACACCAUCGUGCAUCUUUUCCUAUUCAACCAUAUAAAGCAUCCAAGCCUUUUACCCUUAUUCAUAGUGAUGUGUGGGGUGCCUCUAGGACAUCCACCAAUUCUGGAAAAAGAUGGUUUAUAACAUUUAUUGAUGACCAUACACGCCUAAGUUGGGUCUAUCUACUCAAAGAAAAAUCUGAAGCAGAACAUGUUUUUAAAAACUUUUAUAAUAUAGUUGAAACACAAUUUCAAACAAAAAUUCAAGUGUUCCGAAGUGACAAUGGGAAGGAAUACUUUAAUCAAAUAAUGGGGUCAUUUUUCUUAGAAAAAGGAAUUGUUCAUCACAGCUCUUGUAAUGACACUCCUCAACAAAACAUAAUAGCAGAACGGAAAAAUAAGCACCUCCUAGAAGUAGCUAGGUCUUUAAUGUUCACCACUAAAGUUCUUAAAUACUUAUGGGGAAAAGCAAUUCUUACUGCUACAUAUCUUAUUAAUAGGAUGCCAUCAAGAGUUUUGAACUUUCAGCCACCAUUGACAGUUUUUAAAAAAUUCUUUCCAAUGACACGUUUGACUUCAGAUUUACCUUUAAAGGUCUUUGGAUGUGUUGCCUUUGUACAUAUACACAAUCAUAAUAGGGAUAAACUAGAUCCAAGGGCUGUAAAAUGUGUUUUUCUGGGCUAUUCUCCUACUCAGAAAAGGUAUAAAUUUUUUUAUCCUAACAAACAAAAAUAUUUUGUCACGAUGGAUGUUACCUUCUUUGAGUCUCAAAGUUUUUUUAAUCCUCCUCUUCAAGGGGGGAAAGGAAAUGAAGACUCAGUGUUUGAGCUUGACAUGAAUACUAAUGGUGAGGCAAAUAUUGAAACUGAAAUUUUUAAUCCUAAUACCUUGAAUAAGGAGGAUAUGAGGAUUACCUUAGUGCCUGAACAUAAAACUGACACUACGAUAAUAGACGAGACAUGCUUCAAUGAUGAGAGAUUGUUCGGGAAAACUUACACUAGGGAGAAACGGAUUCAAAGUAAGAAAAAUGCAGCGAUACUUCCUCAACGCCAUGAAUCUGAUCCAAUUCCAGAUUCGAAAAACAUUGAUUCUGAAAAUCCAGGUACAAUCUCUAAAUUUAUAGAGUAUGAGUCUUUAUCUAUCCCACAAGUACAUUCUGACCCUCUAGAUCUUCCCAUUGCUCUUAGGAAAAGAAAUAGAUCAUGUACUCAACAUCCCCUUUUCAAUUUUGUGUCUUAUAAGAACCUGCCAUUAUUUUAUCAUACUUUUGUCUCACAAUUUUCAAGUGUGGAUAUACCUAAGUCUAUACAGGAAGCGCUAAAGGUUCCUAAAUGGAAGAAGGUUGUUCGUGAAGAAAUGGAGGCUCUAGAAAAAAAACAGAACGUGGGAGAUGGUUUUACUUGCCUGAAGGAAAAUUGAUUAUUGGUUGCAAGUGGAUUUUCACUGUGAAAUACAACUCAGAUGGAUCCUUGGAACGCUAUAAAGCAAGGUUAGUAGCAAAAGGAUUCACACAGACCUACGGAGUUGAUGAUCAAGAGACAUUUGCUCCCGUAGCCAAACUAAAUACCAUUCGAAUACUACUCUCUGUAGCUGUUAAUUUGGAGUGGCCAUUGUUUCAAUUGGAUGUUAAAAAUGCGUUCCUCAAUGGAGAAUUGGAAGAGGAAGUAUAUAUGGGUGCACCCCCUGGUUUUGAAGACAAGUUUGGAGGAAAGGUGUGUAAAUUGAAGAAAUCCUUUUAUGGACUGAAGCAGUCUCCUCGUGCUUGGUUCGAGAGAUUUACUAGGUUUGUUAAAAAAGAAGGAUAUAGUCAAGGACAAUCUGAUCAUAUAAUGUUCGUGAAACACACAGAUGGUGGAAAGAUGGUUGUCCUAAUUGUAUGCGUAGACGACAUAAUACUUACUGGAAGCGAUAAUGAUGAAAUGAAUAAGCUGAAGAAGCACCUGGCAUCGGAAUUUGAAAUUAAGGAUUUGGGUCCCUUACGCUAUUUCCUGGGUAUGGAAGUUGCAAGAUCUAGAAUGGGAAUUUCUCUGUCACAAAGAAAGUAUGUUUUGGACUUGCUAGAGGAGACAUGAAUGAGUGGUUGCAGACCAAGUGAUAACCCCGUGGAUCCUAAUCAGAAGUUAGGAGAGGUUUCCGAUGGAGUUCGAGUUAAUAAAGGUAGAUAUCAACGUCUCGUAGGGAAACUCAUUUAUUUAUCUCACACAAGACCUGAUAUUGCCUUUGCCGUUAGUGCUGUAAGUCAAUAUAUGCACUCACCCUAUGUGGAACAUUUGGAGGCAGUUCACAAGAUUCUCAGGUACUUAAAGAGGACACCUGGAAGAAGGUUAUUAUUUAAGAAGAGUGAUCAAAAGAGUGUAGAAGUCUUCACAGAUGCAGACUAGGCAGGCUCAAUUUCAGAUAGAAGAUCAACAUCUGGUUACUGUACAUUCUUAUGGGGAAAUUUAAUUACUUGGCGAAGCAAAAAACAAAACGCGGUUGCCAGGAGUAGUACUGAAGCUAAGUUUAGUGCCAUGGCAAAUGGAGUUUACAAGGUAUUAUGGAUUAAAAGAGUCCUUGGAGAACUGAAAUUAGAUAUUGAAGCACCUAUGAGACUGUUCUGUGAUAAUAAAUCAGCAAUAAGCAUUGCAAAUAAUCUUGUUCAGCAUGAUCGUACAAAGCACAUUGAGAUUGAUAGACAUUUUAUUAAACAAAAGCUGGAGAAUGGAGUUAUAUGUAUGCCAUUCAUCCAUUCAGAGUAAUAAACAGCAGAUGUUCUUACCAAGGGACACUUCAGGCCAAAGUUUGAAUCUUUCAUUGACAAGUUGGGCAUGAUUAAUAUCUAUGCACCAACUUAAGGGGGUGUAGAAAAUAUGGAAAGAUUAGAUUAGUUGACAUUCCUGAUUUCUAAGAUUAGUUGUCUAAUUUGUCUGAUUUGUACAACUAUUACUACUUUGUAUAUUUUCAGAAAUUAGGAAGUUAAAUUAGGAAUGUGUAGUCCUAUAAAUUAACCCUAUUGUACUGGCUGUUAGAGGUACUUAAAAAUAAGAAAAGAUAUAUAUUCUUCUCCUUUGUUAACAUAUAUCAAUUUGCCUGACUUUCCAACACUUCAUCACUGCCAAACUCAGUAUAGUUCUAAUUGUAAAAGACUUUACCACAGGACUGAAAGUUUCCUUAUAAUCCACUCCUGCUGUCUGGUGAAAGCCCUUGGCCACCAAUCUUGCUUUGUGUUUAGAAACUGUACCAUUUGUAUUGUACUUGGUUCUAAAAACCUAUUUACAUCCAACCAACUUGUGCUAAGAUGUCACAGGUACUAGAGUCCAUGUGUUAUUGUUGGUUAGAGCAUCAAAUUCUAAUUGCAUUGCAGCUUUCCACUUAGGAUCAGAUAAAGCUUCAUCAACAGUGGAUGGUUCCAGGCUGUUAUGUGAUGUUAAGAAUGCUUUAGGCUUGAAUAUACCAGCUUUUACUCUGGUAAUCAUAGGAUGAUUUGGCAGAGAAUGUUGGGAUGGUUGUGUGGAUUGAGUAUGAGAUGAUGAUGGCUGUUGUGUAUGUGAAGCAUCUAUGAUAGAGGGUUGAAAAUGUAUUUGAGAAGGUGAAACAACAAAGGUUGUAUUGUGAUUGUCAGAUGAGGAGUGAUCACUGAAAUGAUGAGAUUGAGCUUUAUCUUCUGCAGAGCCAGCUUCAAAGGUUUCUUGAUUGCUAUUGGGAAGUGAAAUAGUAUAAGAUUGAAGAAGACUGUAAUGAAAAUCAGAGAGUUUAGAUGGUGAAGUUAAAAAUUGUGAAUUUGAUGUGUAAGGAAAAGAGGUUUCAUCAAAUAAAACAUGACUGGGUAUAAAAUUCUUUCCAGAAGAAUGAAUACACUUGUAACCAUUGUGUAAAGGGCUGUAACCAAGAAAUACACAUUUUGAGGUAUGAAAAUGGAAUUUGUGAGUAUUAUAAUCCCUUAGGAAUGGAAAACAUGAACAACCAAAGACCUUGAGAAAUUUGUAAUCAGGUUUGGUUUUGAAAACACAUUCAUAAGGUGACUGCAUAGAUAGUAUGGGUGUGGGAAGUCUAUUGAUAAUAUAGGUGGCUGUAUGGAAGGAAUCCCACCAAAAUUUUAUAGGUAAAGUGGCUUGAGCAAGUAAGGUGAGACCUAGCUUGGUUAUGUGUCUAUGUUUUCUCUCAAUUAAGCCAUUCUGAUUGUGAGUAUAGGGACAUGAGUUCCUAAAUUGAAUACCUUCCUCAUGAAGAAAAUUAACAAAUGAUCUAUACUCUCCACCCCAAUCUGAUUGAAUACACUUGAUGGAUCUAUCUAGCUGUUUCUAAAUUUGCUUUUUAAAGAUUUUAAAAACAACUAGUGUUUCAUCCUUGGUUUUUAAUGGGAAUAUCCAUGUGAACCUCGAAAAAUCAUCCACAAAACUCACAUAGUAUCUGUAACCUUGAACUGAAAGCACAGGGGCAGGUCCCCAUAAAUCAGUGUGCAAAACCUUUAAUACAUGCUUUGUUUUGGUAGUAGAAACUGGAAAAUGUAAUCUAUGCAUUUUUCUCAUUUUACAUGCAUCACAUGAAUCAAGAAAUUUACUUCCAUUUAAAUUCUUGAAAGCUGAACAAGAGUUUAUUACAUGACUUAAAACUUUGGAAUUAGGAUGACCAAGUUUCUGAUGCAAUACAGAAACACUCAGCAUAUAAUUUGGACUGAUACAAGGUUCUGCUGCAGUAUGCAAGCAGGUGCUUGUUUGAUUAUUGACAACUGAUUGAACAACUGAAAACAUAAACAGGGGAACAUCUGGAAUUUUGGAUUGAGUGGCGUCAAGAGACCUUUGAAAUGAUUGAGAAGAGACUUUAUUAGAGGGAAACAAUAGCAAUCUGUAUAAACCUUUUUCAGCUUUGCCCUGCAGUAUGAUCAAAUUCCUUACCUUGUCCUUCACAUAAUAGGAUUGAUCAGUAAAUUCAAUAACAAUAUUGUUAUCUUUGGUUAGCUGAGAUAUGCUAAUAAGGUUCUUGGAUAUUUGUGGAACAAAUAGCAUGUUGUUUAAUUUGAGUGUGUUAUGAUCAGAAGAGUUAUGCAUUCUUAACACAGCAUUUCCAACAUGUGUUAUGUGCAAACCAGUACCAUUUCCAAUUAUGAGUUUAGAGUUACCUGCAAAAGGUUCUGUCAUAGUCGUAUUUCUCAUGUCAUUGGUAAGAUGGUGUGUAGCUCCACUAUCCAGAUACCAGUUGACAUCAGCUGCACCAUCCAUAUCAGCUAGAUAUGCAGCUUUGGGAUUUCUAUUUGGAGGAGGUCUGUAAGCACCAGAGGUAAAGAAUUCUUCAAGUUUCUAGCAGACAUUUGCAGUAUGACCAGUUUUGAAGCAGUUUUAGAAGCAUUCCACUGAGGUUUAGGAUUCAUUUGGGGCCUAAUAGAGUUAUUGUUACCACCCCCACCAUUGUUCCAAUUUCCUGAGCCUAAUCCCCUUUGAUUAUCACUUUGAAAUCCUCUGAACUGGUUAUUUGAAUUAUUUCCAGAACCAUUUCCAAUGAAACCAGAUCUUCCAUAGCCACCUCUGUAAUUAUUUCCAAAAUUUCCAGCAUUAUCUAAACCAGAAAAAUAGUUAUGAUUUCCAGAUCCUCUACCACCUGAGAAGUUUCCUUUCUUAAAACCUCUGUUCUAAGCUAAAUUAGCUUCAAAAUUAUGCUUAACAUCCAUUCCAGAAAGCAUAUGUGCUUGUUGCUCAAUUCUAGCCUCUUAAGUCAACAACAUAGCAUAAGCCUCAUUCAAAUUCAUUUUAUCACCACUUAUUUGACCAGUAAUAUAAGUAGCAACAACAUUAUAAUCUGGUCCUAGUCCUGAGAGUACAUGCAAAAUUAAAUCAUCACUGCUUAAGGCACUUCCUGCCGCAACCAUGUUAUCAACAAUAUUCUUCAUUUUAAUGAAAUACUCAUUGAUUUUCAAAUCAUCUUUCCUAGUUGAAUUUAUCAAAUAUCUCAAAUGUAAGAGUCUGGAUUUUGAUUGUGAUCCAAAUUGGGUUUCAAUAGCUUUCCAUACCUCAAGAGAAGUUUCCAGAUUAAACACCAGGCUUAUAAUACCUUCACUCAUCGAUGAUAGCAACCAGCCAAGGAGUACUUGAUCUUGUGCUUUCCAGCUUGACAAAUCUGGAUUCUCAAUAGAUCUAAGUUCAUCGUCAAUCCUCUGAGCAAUAUGAGAUGGAGGAGGAGUGACAGUUUCAUCAAUGAAUUUUUCUAACCUAUUGCCGCAUAUGGAAGCUAAAACUUGGGACCUCCAGAUCAGAUAGUUUGCCUGAUCCAGUUUCACAGGAGUAUUGAAAGUGAAUGAGAAGUUUGUUGAGUUUGCAUGAACAUUUGAAGUGUGGUUUGAUGAGGCAAUAUUCAGAGACGCCAUGACUAGCUCUGAUACCAAGUUAAAGAAACAGAAAAUAAGUGUUUGGCUAAUAAGAAAAUAAAAUGAGAUUUGGCAACUUUUAAUCCUUUUAUUUUCUCAAGCUUAAGUUGCUACUGAACGAUUACAAGCAUAUAUAUACAAGUGUAGCUGCUCAGCUGAAGAUUACCAAAUUAACUAACUAAUUACAAAUUGAUUAACAAACUCAUCACGUGUAUAAGUACAAGCAGCUACAUAACCACCUGGUGCCAACUAGCAGUACAUGUCAUCAACUUGUAACUGAUUAUAGAAGCUUCUGUGAUCCUCUGCUCUGUGAUCCUCUGCUUGACUACAAAUAUGAGCUUCCUUAACAGUGGGGAGGAAGUUUAAGCAGAGGAGUUGCUCGGUUUGGAAUAUUUGGAGGUAUUGAGCUUCACUUGAGAAGUGUUCGUGCUCUCCAAUUUAUUUUGAGCUCACAUAAGCUACGAAGUUGUACUCAAGCGGUGUUCCUCCAAUCCUUCAAUGAUUCGAUAUGGCUUGAUAUUUCACUUUUGGCAGAGUUAAAAGCACCACUACAGAUUUAAGUAUUUUUGGGUGUAGAAAAUUGGAGGACUUGAAGAUGGAAUAUACAGGGGGAGCGAAAAACAAGCGGCAACCUUGUGUUUUCUAAGGCCUACAUACAGUUCACAUAGAGGUUUGUUCUAAAUUGAAGGACUUAACAUUCCUUGUUUUUGCUCCAAAUCUCAAGAACUUGUAAAUACAAAAUUGCCCUGCUGUGGAAGCAAUCAUCGGUGUGGAAGAAUUUGCGGAAGCUCUAGAGGUGGUGGAAAAUCUAAACCCAUUUGCAAAACUCCAGUAUCUUGGACUAGAAAAUCUGCUAAAUGUGGAGAGCAUCUAUUGCAAGCCUCUGCCCUUUCCAUGUUUGAAAAGAAAUGACUGUGGAUGGUUGCCGUUGUCUUAAAAAGCUUCCACUCUACUCCAACAGUGUAAAAGAGUGUACAAUUGUUAUUUCAUCAUUCGGAGAGUUAAUGGUGCAAUGAGAUUUGGCAGUUAACUCUCGUGGGAAGAGCUUGAAUGGGAAGACGAAGCUGCUCGAAUUGCUUUUCAUUCCUGUUUCAAAUCUCUGAUUGGAUUGGAGAUUGCAUUUCGCCUCAGGUUCGUACUUUUCUUGAAUUUUUCUUGUUAACUUCAUUUGUUCAUUUAUCCAUUUUUUUUUAAAGGAAUCAGAAGGGUUAAUAUUUUUGGUUGUGUUAGGUCGACUUCUAAUCACGAGGCAGAAGGAGUUGAGAUGAAGUUUAAUUUUGGUGGAGAAAUUGUUUGAUUUAAAAAAUUUAAAUGAGUUGAUCAUCAUUCUUUAGCAUAUUUGUAUGAACAGGAGUGUGUAAAUAUGCAAACUGUCCAGCUGUAUGUGUGUAACGUAAUAAUUUUGAGGAGUUAAACAUUGAAGAGUAUUGAUGUUUCCAUUGUCAAACCAAAUAUACUUAAUUACUUGAGGAUAAUGAUUACUGCUAAUACAUUUGCAAAGAAAAAACAUGCCUAUUGAAAAACUCAUCUUAUUAGCAACAGCAUUAUAAGUAGUAUCCAAUCAUAGUUUCAUGCAAGAUUUUGAGAUUUUUCAAAUGCUGAUUCCGGGAAUGGAGAUUAAUAGAAAAUGGAGACAGGUUGACUGCAAUGGCUAAUUGCAAGAGGGAAUUUUAGUCGUAAAAACAGACCAACUAGCAAAGCAAAUUCCAAAUCUUGGAAUGAAGUGGCAAAAAAACGAAACAAACAAAUGGCAAGAGGAAGUGACUAUACAAUAAUAACAUCGACUUGCAAUUCAACAUUUAUACAGUUUUACACACCAAGAAAAGAGAAAAUUACAAUAGCAAUUUGGCUACUAGAAGAUGGUCAUUCAUGCUUAUGCCUGUCAUAUGGAUUUGAAACAAGGAGUAAAAGCAUUUAGAGUGGCUUCAUCCUUCCACUGCAGCUCAUUCCACCAGUGUUGCUCUCCCCUAAUAACAAGUUUUCGUUCCUUGGCGCUGUUGUAAUCGAGUGGAAGCUUCUUGAGGUUCGGGCAUCCAGAUACAAACAAUUCCAAGAGAUUUGGAAAGGGCAAUGCAUUCAAACAGAUCUUCUUCAAAUUUCUUAGAACUUGCAACCGAAGAUAUUGGAGUUUCGCAAAAGGUUUUAGCCCUGGAACUUCUUCCACUUUCCAAACACUGAUUAUUUCUUCCAUCUCAUAACAACGUUCUACAUGGACCAUCUUCAGAUUUGGGGCAAAAACAAGCCAUGUCAUCUCCCUCAAUUUACUGCAAUAGUCUAUGGUAACACUUUGAAGGCUGUUGAAACCAUAAAGUUCUCUUGUUGUUUGAACUUCUGCAUAGUCAACCUUUAGCUCUUCCAAACUUGUACAAUACACAAAAUCUAGUUUGUCAAGAUACUUGAGAUCUGCUAUGGACAAAAUAUUCCAUGACCUUGAAUCCUCACAGCGGCGAAGCUCUAAAGCAUAUUUACAACUCUUGUACUGUUGGCAGCUCAAAAGUCUUCGUAGAGCAUAAAAACUUCUUAACGUGACGCUUAAUACAUUUAAAUGUUCCAAAGUAAUCAACUCUACCAAAAUUUCACUACCACCAAAUAGAACGCUAUCUUCUGGUACUGUAUUAGCAGAGCCACAAUCUAGCAUCCUCAACACCUUUAACCCAGAAAAAUUACAAAGCAGUUGCCGUGGAAUCGUAUGGAGAUAACGCAUGUACUCCAAGUUCAAACACUUUAGAUUUUUCAAGGCUUUUAAUUCAUGUGGCAACUCUUUGAUGAAAGUUUCUGAAAGAUUAAGAUAUUGUAGUGAAACCAAUUUUGAAAUUCCUGAAGGCAAUUGACUCAAGGAGCGAUUCUUUGAUAGGUUUAAAACUUUAAGAGAAGGCAUAAAAUCGAAGAAAUCACUAGGGAUAGUAUCUAACAUAUUAAUGCCGAGGAACAAAGUUAUAAGAUGAGGGCAUAUUGGAGUUAUUGGUAAAAUCACAAUUUUAUUUCUCAUCAACGAUAUCCUUCUCUUAUCUUCCCAUUGUUUAACCUCGGGUGGUUCAGUUAAUUCAAUACCGGAAGAAACCAAAAAGUUUUCAUUCUCCACUUCACAGGCUAUCCACAAGGUCAUAUCACGAAUCACAUCAUACAGUUUUACAUAAUCUGAUCCUGCUUCUUCCAAUAGGCAUGCAUGAACAAGAACACCAAUAAUGUAGUAUCCUUGGUUAUGUACUCCGUUAAUUCCUUCAUUUUCCUUCAGAAAACCCUCACCAAUCCAACACCCGAUCAAUUCAAUUUUGCUAAUUUGAUAAUCCUCAGGAAAUAAACCACAGUAUAACAGACAAGAUCUAAGGACGUCACUAGACAAACUAUCAUAACUGAAUUUUAAAAGACGAAACACCUCUUUCUCCAUACUUGGAAAUUCAUAAGCUGAUCUCCUUAACAUCUGAAUUGCAUAGCUCCAUUCUUCGGGUGUCUUCUUGCUGCUCAUGGCACGACCGGUGGUAAUAAGUGCAAGUGGCAAACCACUAGACUCCUUUGCCACAGUUUGGGCUAACUCCGGAAUAUCGGGAUGACUUUCAAGAGUCUCUUCUCCGACCUUCUUUAGGAACAAUUCCCAAGCAUCUUGAUCUGCCAAACACUCCACCUUGAACUUUUUUUGAGCUUCCAUGAGGCCACAGACGUCCACAAGACGAGUCGUAAAGACUAUCUUUGAUGCAUUUCUUGAACUCGCAGGAAAAGGGACACCCACUUUGGCUAAAUCAAUUCUUUCCCACAUAUCAUCUAACAAUAGCAGAAAUUUCAUUUUGCUCAAUAAAUUGAAUAUGCCUGAUGCUUUCUCUUCAAAGCUUCUAUUCUGAAGCCAUCCUAUUCUUUCUCCGAUUUUCUGUUGAAUUCUCUCAAGCUGCAUGCCUUUUGACACCACCACCCAAAUCACAAUAUCAAAAUAAUUUGGUGUUUUAAGGAACUUGUUGUUGAUUUGGGUUAAUAGUGUAGUCUUGCCGACUCCCCCCAUGCCAUAAAGUCCGAUGAUUCCAAAUUGUCCUUCUACAAGACAUCUCCAAACUUUAUCAAAUGAUGAUUCUAGGCCGAUUAUUGUUGGCUGAAGAGGCCUUUCAUCCACUGCUGGUUGUGGUACCUUUUCAGCUACCACUGCAAAAGCUCCAUCAUCUAUUAAAGUAGCCACAAGCUGCAGCUUUUUAGACACCUUUUUCCCAAACUUGUAGCUUGACUUGCAGUUCUUGGAGCAGUAGCCUCCAAGACAUAGUUUUUCAAUUUCUUGAGAGCUGUCCCUUGUCAAUUCACCUACUUCAGCUUCCACAGCCUCCACCCUUGAAAGCCAACCUUGCACUCUGUUCAGCCGUCUUAGUUGUUGUUGCUCAGCAUUAGAGACCCUCAUCAUCACAUCGUUCUUUGUUUCAAUUAGUUUCUGCAAUUCGGUCUGGACGGCAACCAGGUUAUUUUCAAGCUGGCUUAGAUAUGCUGCUUUUCUGCGGGUACAAUUUAUGAAGCCAGUGGAAAGGGCAUCACAUGUAAGUUGGAUUCCCAAAAUAUUACCCAUAGUUUGUAUGAGAUUCAGAGUACAAUAGAAGGAAUGCAACACAGUAUGUAUUCGGUUGUGGUGUCUAUGAUUUUACAGUCGCAGAAGCUUUUUCACCUUGUGAGGGCUGAUCAGGUGGGCACCAUCACUCUCUUUACGCUUUAUAGAGAGCGAUAGUCCAUGUGGUCAGAUCUCAUUCAGAUAACUAGCCAAGUGGGCAAUCGCUCCACCUUAUCAAAAUUCUUCAUCUUAUAAUAAUAUCAUGAGUAGGCCUUGAAUUUUUCUUUUAAUUUUAACAUUUAAAAGGUAGAGGUGAAAAAGUCUAAAUAGUAUUUUUGUCCUCGUACUUUAACUAAAUAACAUUUCUUGAAAAUCACUCAAUCUUAAAAUUUAAUUAAGAAGAUAUUAUAGAUUUAUAAGCCCUUAAAAUUUAUUUGCAAGUAACAAUUAGAGAAAAGUCGUCAGGCCCAAAAGACUUACUAAAAGUCGUCAACUCGUCAUGACCAAAAUUCUUCCGCGUGUGAAAUACGGCAUGCGCAGAUGCAUUAAAAACAAAGGCCAGCUAUGAUAAUCUUUGUAGUAUUAAUAAUUUCAGACGCGUCGUUCGUUGCCUGUGACUUUUCAUAUGCAAAAGCGGAGUCAGUGUUACUUGCAUUCCCUGUCACCUUAUUAAUAAUUUCAGACACCAUCGUUGGUUGCCUGUGAUUUUCAUAUGCAAAAGCACAGUCAGAAUUACAAUUUUACAUUUGGAAUUGAGUGCCAUCUAUUUAUUCUAGCUGGAUCUAAAAUGAUAUUGCAGUAUUGCACUGACUUUUUAGUCACAGCGUUUCUCUAUGAAUUCCUUAAAGUUUAAACACAUCAUGGAAUAAUUAUUUUCUUAAAGACCAAAUUAACAUAAUUCUUAAAUCAUUUAUAAAACAACAUUUAUCAUAUAACAGAUCGUACAUGAAUAAAUUUACCUUGAACCGUAGCAAACAAACAAGAAUCUCAACCACAUCAAUAUCAUAACCCCUUCUGACCUUAACAAUAAUUUUAUUCGUCCUUAAUUCAUAGGUAUAAGUAUCCCAAUAUAUACUUGAUGUCAACCUUUACAAUUCUUUACAGAAUUGCAGCAGACCAAAUUUGUAUGCAAAACUGAAAUCAUACAGUAAUUGAAUACAGUGAAAAUAGACAUGAUGGGAAUUAGUAUAUAUAAAUAUCUUAAUAAUUUAAAAGUUUCUUAAACUGAUUUUACAUAUCUGAAAAAUUAUAGAAAUCGGAACUGCUGCAGAAAUCAUAAUUUUCCAGCGAAUGUGUUACAACUUCAGAAACUCAUAAGAAAUUAAAUUCUUGGGAUCACAAAAUAAUUCAAUAGAAAGCUUAAGAUGUCUAGUUCAUAAAAUCUGAUUUUUUUUUUUAAUAAGAUCUUUGGAAUUUAAGAGAUUCAGCAGUACUUUUAUUACAUCAAUUCUUCAAACAAUCACCAAUCUAACAUUCAUCAAAAUUAAGUCAUAAAAAUCAUGUGGUUUAUAAAAAAGAAUUACCUGAAAAAGAUUAGCCUUCCCCUUUCAAAAGCAACGUGAAACUCCAAAAACUCUUCUUCCAUUACCUAUUCAAACAUGAAAAAAAAAAAAAAAAAAAUUGGUAUCUCCUCUUUAAACGCGUGAUGAGUGUGCUCUGUUUUCUCUGUUCUUCUUUUUCUUUUUUAGAUUUCGAAAACGUAAAGAGUGUUGGAGUCUUUAUUUUCUAAAAACAAGACUUUUCCAUGUAUUCAAUUAAAUUAAAUUAUGUCCUAAUGCUAUGUCAGUUCCAUCAUUAACAUUUUUUUUUUUCCUUUUAACACCAACAUUAGCGUAUCUUAAGUAUCAUAAUCCAUAGUUGGACAAUUUGAAAUCUCUUCGUGUUUUAUCUCAAAGUAGAGCUUCAAACAAUUUGUACCUCACAAAUUUACAAUAUCUAUGAGGGCUAAUAAGACCAAACUCAGGCAUAUUGUCAAAUGUGCUUAUACUUUCGCUUGACAAGUCAUUUUAAAAUUGUCUUUCAAUGCCAAAAAACCACAUAAACUAAUGGUCCACUACUUUAAUUUGAAAGCAUGCAUGCGAUCGCCAAUAAUCAAGGAUGUUAGGGUCAUGCUACAGAGUAUAGAACAUGAUUUGAUGGUAUAGCCUUUUUUCUUUAUAAUUUUUAAGUUUAAUACUGUUACGUAUGUAGCACAUAAGUUGGAAAACAUAACAUAAAAUUUGAAAAAUGUGUAGUUUUCGUUCCCUUUUUUCCCCUCUAAAAAUGGGAAAAAAGAACGUAAUUUUGAUUUAUUUAAAUUACUGUUGUGAUAACAAUUUUUAUUUUAUUGAUUAGUUACCCAUACAUGUGGCAAAUUUUUUAAGAUAAGGUGAAGGAUGAAGCUCAAAUAUAUAAAUUAUAUAAUUAAUUACCCUCUGUAGUAAGUUUAAAGUUUAUUAUUUUUAACUACAUGUUUAUAAUUUAUUUUUAUUAUGUGUUAAUCUAUAGAUCUAAAUUCACUUCGGAACCAUAUACAUAUUUAGACAUAAUGUGCAUGUUAAUCUAUAGAUCUAAAUUCACUUUAGAUCUAUAUGAGUAUUUAGACAUAACGUAUUGCAACCAUAUUGGCAUGUUCUCACUAUAGUAUUGGUGUAUUGAGUAUUGACAUUAUAUCUAAUUGUCCUUAUAAAUCCAAAAAUAAUCUAGAUAUACAAAUUAACAUAAAAUAAAUAUAAUUGGUAGAAAAUGCAAAUUAUAAACAUAUAAUUGAAAAUGAUAAAUUUAAAUUUACUUAAGAAAGUAAUUAAUCACUUAUUUCUUUUUUAUAAUAUGACAAAUAUUAUAAUAAAUAUUAAUUAAUAAUAAUUAGAAUAACAAAUUAAGGAUAUUUUAGUAACUUAAAAUAAUUCAUUUUGAUUUCGAGACAAAAUAAACACAUCAAUCACAAUACAACUCAUUCUGAUUCCACUCAUUCAGAUUUCAACAUAUUUUAAUUAAUUCAAGUGCUCUCCAUUAUAAUUGAAGCCGCUGCCCCACUCGUGAUUCCAAACUUUAUCUUUUUCCUUUUUUAAAUUAAUGCAAGCAGCCGCUGUCCUUUUUAUUAAUUAAUUAAUUAAUUCGGCCUCCCACAUUUCUUUUCCUAAUGUCUUCGGCUUUCGAUUUUCUUUUAUUUUCUCUUUAUUCUUAAAAUAGACUUAUAAUAAUAAAAUAUAAAAAUAUAAAAAAAAUUAACAUAAUCAAAAUAUAAUUUAACAGAAAAUUAAGAUAAAAAAUGUGAAAAUAAUAUAUAAAUUAUGAGCGUAUCAAUCAAUAAAUGAAAAAUAAUAAUUUUUAUUUUUAUUAAAUAUAUAUUUUUCAGUAUGAAUCAGUUAUCUAAAUAACUAAAAUCAGUUAAAAAUAAAUAAAUAAAUUAUUCUUAAAAAAAAAAUUUUAUACCACUCACUAUGCUGGCUGUCAAGGGUAGAAGCUUUGGGGACUGAAGUUGGUAACUUCUACAAGUAGUCUUAAGUUGACUGGCAACAACUACAUUGGCAUGUUCAAAUGUUCUCACUAUUGUAUUGGUGUGUUGAUAUUAUCUCUAACUGCCCUAUAGAUCCAAAAAUAAUCUAAAUUUACAAUUUAACAUAAAAUAAAAUAAUUGGUAGAAAACAAUUAUGGUUCAUUUACUUAUCAGUAAUUAGAAUAAACUAAAAUCAGAAUGAGUUGUAUUGCCGUUAAUGUGUUUAUGUUGUAUCGGAAUGAAUUAUUUUAAGUUACUAAAAUACCCUUGGUUUGUUAUUCUAAUUAUUAUUAUUAUUUAAUAUUUAUUAUAAUAUUUGUCAUAUUAUUAAAAAGAAAUAAUAAUGAUGAUAAUAUUAUCAUUAUUGUUUGUUAUAUUAUUAUUAUUAAAAAAAUUAUUGUUAAUAACAAUAAUAACUUUAUUUCAAUAAUAAAAAUGAUAAAAUUAAUAAUAACAAUCAUGACAACAACAACAAUUAUUUAUUAUGCCAAAAAAUAACAAUAAUAAUAAGAAUAAUAAUCAUCAUCAUUUUUUCCCAAAGAAGCAUUAUCAUCAUCAUUUCAAAAAAAAAAAAAAAUCAUCAUCAUCAUCAUUUUUGUAGUGGCUGCCUAUCGGCUGCUGCUUUCAUGCGAGAUUGACUUGCGACGCUUCAACUGCUAUUAUUUCUGGCAAUGUCAGGUGUUGUUGUUUCAAUGGGGGGAGAAGUUGUUUCGGUGCGCUAACGAUGGGAGGUAAUGACGGUAGGUGUUGCUGCUCAAUGCGAGGUCCAUGGCCAGUUGUCUUGUUUUACAACCAGCUCUUGUAGGAAAUUCUUCAUCCAAAAUAUUUUUUUGUAACCUUCAAUAAUUGUAAUAUCAUUUGCUUCCGUGGUAGAAAAGACAACUCAUUACUAAAGUCUAGAUUGUGAUGAGACUGCUCUCCCUGCAAAAGUGAGCAAAUAUCCUAGUAGGGAUUUUUCAGAAUCAACAUCUCCUGUCAUAUCUACACACUUGUAACACAGGUUUGUCACCACCAAAAUAUAAACAUAUUCUGGAAAUGCCUCUAAGAUAUCUGAGAAUUCAUUUCACUGUUGUCCAGUGCUCUUUGCCAAGAUUGAAGAGAAACCGACUGACUACACUAAUUGCAUAGGCAAUAGCUGGUCUUGUACAAAUCAUGGCAUACACCAAACUGCCAAUUGCUGAAGCAUAAGGAACUCCUCUCACUAAGAAAUGGGUUUUGCUCUUGAGAUUUUUGGGAACAUGAAGAAUAAAGAUGUAAUUUCUUGGACUACCAUUGUUUCGGGGUAUAUAAAUAGAGGACAAGUCGAUAUAGCUCGACAGUAUUUUGCUCAGAUGCCAGAACGAGAUUAUGUCUUAUGGACUGCCAUGAUUGAUGGGUACCUUCAAGUGAAUAGGUUCAGAGAGGCUUUGACACUUUUCCGGGAGAUGCAAACUUCAAAUAUAAGGCGAGACGAGUUUACCAUUGUUAGGAUUCUUACAGCUUGUGCGAAUCUGGGGGCACUAGAACCGGGAGAAUGGAUAAAGACUUAAAUUGACAAAAACAAGGUCAAGAAUGAUAUAUUUGUGGGGAAUGCUUUGAUAGACAUGUACUGUAAAUGCGGAGAUGUUGAGAAAGCUCAAAGGGUAUUCAGGAAGAUGCUUCGAAAGGACAAAUUCACAUGGACGGCCAUGAUUGUUGGCCUUGCCAUCAGUGGCCAUGGUGAUAAAGCUCUUGAUAUGUUUUCCCAAAUGCUUAGGGCUUCGAUUAGACCAGAUGAGGUAACUUAUGUUGGUGUUCUGUCUGCCUGUACUCACAAUGGUAACGAAAUUUUUUUGAUAAAUAGUUGCAACUUAAGGUGAGAAUUGGAGGAAACGAAAUAGACUGAAGUUGUUCAAUCAUCGGUGGUUGCUAUUUGAUUUUAAGUUGUUCAAUCAUCGGUCGUCUCUAUUUGGUUUUCUCCAAUAUCUCAUCUCCAGUUUUGACUCAGAUUCUGUCUUACCACUAGUAAUUACAUAGACUUGCUGCCAAAGGUAAGAAUGGUAAUAAAUUAAAUAGAUUAUGUCGAUAACGAAAUAGAUUUACUAUUGCUAUGUGCAUUAUAUUUGGUUCCUGCAAAAUAUUUUCUCCUGCCUAAAAUUUUUUGAAUCAGUAAGUUUUUACCUUACGCAAGAAUUGUGCUAAGAGUAAUUCCAGUCUCUCUAUGUUUCAAUGAAGACGUAAAACUUGUGUUUUAGAGCACCAAUGUUAUGCUUCUUACAAUUGGAUUUUAAUUUACUUCGUAAAACUUUUGUCAAGAAGUACUAAGCGUGUAUUUGAAAUUGAGGUACUGUAGUUUUUAAGCUACAACUGCUGUGGAAAAAAAAUUGUAAUUAUGAAAUAAAAAUUAAUAAUAUAUAGUAAAUAUAAAUUUUAAAUAAUAGUUUUGAUAAAAUUAUUAAAGAUAUAAUAGUUUUUUUUAUUAUACAAGUGAAAAAUUAUAUAAACAUAGUUUUCAAGUUACAGCAGUUAGUGUUUACCAAACACUUUAGUGCUGUACUUUUUAAGUUGCAGCUGCCCAACAUCAAUCUCAAACGCACCUUAAGGAGUAGUGCGCCAAACACCAACUUUAUUACAGAGAGGACUUUGGUUAAACUUUAAGAAAAACACUCAAAGGAAGAGUUAUAAAUUAUUAUAGAAAUAUUUCACAUAAAUAAAAGCCAUUCCACAAUGCGAAGAUCUUGCUAUCAUCACCAGAAACCAUCGGGAGCUUUCAGGGUUUCCAUGAAAACGCCAUUUCAUUCCAAGAGUCAAUGGUGGGUAGAAAGUGGUGCAAACGAUACUCAUUGUUAAUGCUAUAAGUUUUUGCUAAAUUAUGUCUUACCCAAAAUGAUGAUUUAAUUUCCAUUCUCAAUUAAUUUUCAAGUUUCAACACUUUUCUUUGUAGCAUGACAUUGGAAAGGUCUUGUACUACUAAAAGCUAGCACCACACGUUAAUUAUUGUUAAGUUCUUUUUCAACGUGAAAUAAAGGAAGUAGUCCUUCGUUAAAACCAUUAUAGCCAAAUUUCAUGUAAUUGGACACUUACAGACUUUCAUUUCAAGCUGGAAUUUGGUCCAACGUUUCAAAGUUGACCCAACUAAUUGUCUGAUCAAGUCCUACACAGCUAAGACCCUCAAUGAAUGAGGGUGAGACUGCUAAAAAUUACGACAGUUGAUAUUAUUAUUAUUAUUAUUAUUUUGGGAUAAAUCCUCACCAAGGUGAGUGAGGAGAUUUUAUCAAAAUAAAAUAAAAAUAUAACAAGAAAACUAGCUAAAUUAAAAUAUUACAAAAGCUAGAUGAACUGAAAGGCAGCCUAAAAACAACCUUAUGGAAAAGAGAAGCAACAUGCUAGUAUUCCAAGCUUCUUGUUAUAAAAGUGUAGAAUGAAGUAGGUGACGUAGUUUUAAGUUACACCUCCAUGCCCAAUCACAAUAUCAAAUAAUGCUUAAAGUAGUUAUAUUAACUCUUAAAUUUAUAAAUAAUUAAAUUUGUAAAAGUAUGGAUUUAUAUUAAAAAAUUUAUAUAUAAAUAAAUAAUAUAUGCAUUUUUACAACAUAGUCUUUAAAUUUAAACUUUUCUAGAAAAAUCUUCUGGAUAUCUUUUCUAUUAAAAAAGAGUUUCUCAAAAUUUAUAAAAGUAACUUAAAGUUUUGUCUUCCCUUUUCUUUUAGCUUAUACAUAUGUGUGUGUAUUCUUUUAUAGCAAUAACUAACGUUAUUUAUUUUUAAAUCAUAAAAAAAUUAUGAAAAAAAAAUGUACCAAAUUUAAUUGGACCCAGCACAAUGCACAUGCAUAGAACACAUUCUGAAAAGCCAUGCUAUUCGGAAAUUGACGAAUGGAAAGUGAAGAGGCAGCAGUCAAUGCUAUUUCGGCUUGGCCCAAAAUUUCACCAGUUUGUUAAUCAGUGUUCUGCAGCUCUUGCUGCUUUCCUAGAGAUUCUGCAUGUUUUGCAAUCUGAUAGAAUUAAAAAAAAAAAAAAAUUAGUGGCCAUUUGGAAUGGAGGAGAGAUUUGUGUGAAUGGUAUAGGUGAAAAAUUGGAUGAAAAUAAACAGGCAACCGUCCGUAUAAAACAACAAUAACAAUAUACAAAAAGAUAAGUAAUUCACGAAAGGAAAUUUACGGUUGUUUCUGAAAAACAUACAUAUUAAUUUCACUUAUACUCUAAGAUUUGCCAUCAUGACUGGGCUUGUGAGGAAUUUGGAAACAUGUAUGAUGUAGAAAUGCUGAAGUAGCUUGAACCAGAUGGUGAAAUCGUCUAGCGGUCAGCGGGACAUGAAGCUAUAGGGGUUGUUAGUUGUGUUUUGGAUAUUUACAGACAUGCUGAGUUUGAGUUUAUAUCUUAACUUAAAAUUUGUAGUUUUCACUUGAAAAGAUUCAGUUAAAAAUUGAUUGGUAGAAUUGUUAAAAAGUCUAAAUUUUUAGUUCAAACCUAUUGCAUAUUUAAGAACAUCUCAAAUGAAUUGUUUAUUGCUAUCGUCAUCAUCAUUGCCCGUAUAAUUAUUAUUAUGUCUUUAUAAUUAUUAGUAUCGCUGUUAUUAUUUUUAUGGGUAAAUGGGCUUUCUAUCCUGGCAAUUUAAGCCAAUUACCUAACUAAUCCAUGUAAGUUUAAAAAUGUUUCAAAAGAUCUUUAUUUUAUAUAUGUUUCCACUAAAAUUUAUUUAAUUAUUCUUUAUUUUUCAAUUAUUGCAUGUUGGAUUUUUUUGAGUUCUAAGCUAUAUCAAUAGAAAUGUUAUCUUAUAUAUCCACAAAAAGUUAGAUCCAACAAUUAUGAAAAUUACUAUAGAGCUGCUUUGAAUAAUUUUUAAAAAAUACCACAAGUAAAUAAUAAUUAGUUUAAAUAGUGGAGACUAAAAAGCAUUCACCCUUAUUUUUUAUCUGUUAUUUGUAUUUUUUCCCGUUAAUGCACAUGUUAUACAUUUGAAACAUUCCGUUAAUUGCCAAUUAUGUAAGCGAGAUAGUAAUUUAAAUUUUUUUUUAAAAAAGUGAAAAUUAAUCCUAUGCAAUGUGAAUAAAUUUCUUUCCUUUUUCCUUCACUCUUUUUAUUUGAUAAUUAAGUUUCAAUCUAUGUACGCAAAAUUUCUGCAACAGGUGCAAAACAUAAAAAUAUAUGAUUGUUAAGGGAAACACGCGGAAGCUCAUCAUUUCAAUGUUCAGUAUUUCCAAUUUUGGCAUACGAAUAUAUUUCACUUAGAAAGCCAAAUAUUAGAUUUGUGAUUUUAAUUCAUUCAUCAUAUCUCAUUUCAAUCCCAAAAUAUUCAAGAGGAUCCAAGUUACCAUAAGACUUCAGAGGCUCGAGCCUUAGCCAGAGACGGUUAAUUGAUAGACUAUGUGCCCGGGUCGAGCACUGGAAGCGUGCAAUGCAGACUGAUUGAUUUAUCAGUUUGAUGUGUGCCAGGAAUGAAGAACUGGAAUAUCACCGUCAAGCAAGCACCCAGUGAAGCAAUACCAUAGAAUGCACAAUCCGGCCUUGCUAGGUGACACUGGGGGCUUUUUGAAAAGUGCUUCAUGCUCACUUGCACAGAUUGAGCAUCCCCUCUGGAUAUUGCCCUCUCUGAUCGAGUCAGAGCACUCAAAUUUCGGUCCUCAGAUGGAGCUACAGCUUUCUCUCCAAUAACCAACAAUUUUCUAAACUCAGCACCUAGUGUGAUCAGAGUUGUUGAUAUUUGUAAAUGGAGAUCCCCAUAUUUGCAAAUGGAGACAUUUAACAAAUCACCAACAUGCUUCAUCCGGUCUACGAAAUUCUGCAGCUGAUUCAAAUCCGGAACCUGAACCAGAGUCGGAGGUAAAUCUUGAGCCAUAUCUAAAGCAGUUUGAAGUUCAAGUACUUGAGCCCUCGACAGUGGUUUUGAAAUUGGAACAUCUUGAAUUACUGCAGACUUGUACCCUUUGGUUUCAAAGGUAAGGAAAGGCAUUGCUUGAGUACAAUUUGGAGGCAGCUUCUUCACCAAUUUUAUUUGGAGGCGAUUGGCAGCAGAUCCAGCUGCACCAUUUUCAGAGCAAAUACUGACACUACUUCAAACAGCACGCUGAAGAAGCGCUAUGUCUACGGCAAAGGCAAUGCAGUCCUCAUUUUGGCUUGAGAUGCGGUAAUCAUCGAAGAGAGUUUCCUUAUGAAACUGGGCAACACAUUGAAUCCCUUCACCACUGAGAAGGUUGUGGAGGAAGUACGCUUUCUCUCUAGUGAGGAAGAGGUGGCAUACCUUCCCCAUUUUGUCUAGGGCAGUUAGGAAUCUUUUUUCUAAGAGAUUUACUCCAUUCUCUGUGAGAAAUGCUUUGAACUUCAUCCCUCUGUCUCUAUCCUCACUUAUCAGUAAAACAGUUGAAAGUGAUACAAGGAGAGAAAAGGAGAGUACUAAGAUAUAUAGACAAGAAAAACAUUAGGUGUCGAUCUUACAUGUUAAUACUUCAAACAGUAUCCUAGAAAGCUAAAAACUGCAGAAUGGCUUGAAAUUUGAAAAGAACACAUGCUUUUCCUCCUUAACUUGAGAAAAUGUUUAACAUAGCGCGCCUUACAGAAGCAAGCAAUUAGAACUUUGCACAAAAACAUUCAAGAAGACCAAUAUUUCAACUAUUUUACUGAUGAAAAUCUCAAAGCACAAAUGGCAUUGCAUUUUGUCCUCAACUGUAAUAUUUAUUGAUGAAAAUCAGUACAGGUCCCUCAUUUGUUAUGGAAAGCUUUCUUGCAAAGUGACGGACAUUUCUUUCGAUUUAAAGUCUUUGCAUCACCACUUCAUCACACACCAAGCCAAUAUUCUGUCUACCUCUACAACAAAAAGUUUUAAGUAAACGAUCCUAAUGCACGCAGCCAAAUAAAAUGCAGUAAGAAUAUUCAACUUAAAAAUCUGAAAGUCAACUUGGUGAAUUGCCUUCUUAGGGGAAGUUCCAUGAUUUACUAUACUAGACAGAACUGAGCAAAAGCUUCCAUACGACAGAUUUUGACAAUAAUGAUGCCAACAGAUCCUCAUUAAAUCCAUUAAAACUCCUAAGGUUCAUUGUUCAUGGAUGUUUACAGAGUGAAAAUUAGAUCACCAGCAGCUAAUUGUAAAUUCAAACUUAACUCUUCAUCUCCUUUGUAAACAGGAAACAAAAUGGAGACACGCAAAAUGAAUAAGGAGAACAUUUGAACUCAAAUGAAAUGAGGGCACGAAAGCAAACAAAUGGCAUGCACAAACAAACCAAGCCUCAAUAAAAAACUAAUUAACCAUUAAAAAAAAAAAAAACUGGUCAGAGAAUGAACUCCAAAUUCGGUUCGGGAGUGAAGCAAGAAGCUUUAUUAUUUCAGAAGCUCCUGUACAAAUUAAUAAGUUAUGCUCUUUGGAAACAAACCUAAAUUCCAUGAGAAACAGAACUCAAAAAAUUUGCAAUUAUACGCCAAGGAAGUGAAGCACAGCAUUCUAUCACACGUACGAAUUGUAUAACAAGAGAUCGACACAUCGAAUCAGAAGAACUCAAUUCAAAUUUGUCUCAAAAAUCAAAAUUAGAAGAUUUCACAUUUCGAGAGGAACAAGGGACAGGUCAGAUGCAAAAUUUUCAGCCACAACAUGCCACAAUUAACGGUUUAUUUCCAUGGAUUUAGAGAGCUAACUGACCUUUUGGCUUUUGGAAUUGAGAAGAUCGCGCGCCAAAAUGGAAGAGGGAAAGCGAAAGUGCGGGUUUUAAUAGGGUAUUGGAUUAGCAAAUUUUAUUAGUUUGCGGGGGUAAAAUAGGAAAGAGAUAUCACUAUUAACCUUUUUUUUAUAAGAAAAAAGAAUAAUAAAGAAUAUUUUAUUGUCAUUUGCAGCCUUUAAUUUUUUUUUAAAUGCUAUUAGAAAAAUACGACGACAAAGAAAUGCUAUUUUUUUAUUUUUUUCUUGAAGGUGAAAUCAAUUAUUUAGCUCCUUAUAUGUAAUCAAACUCCAUUUCUUACUUUAAGUCAUAUCCAACGGACCAACAAAAUAAUUAUUUUUUUUUCAUUCAUUUUUGCAGAAAAUUAAUAACUUAAAAAUAUUGAAAGCUAUUGUAAAAUUUUUUAUUAUCAACCUCAUAAUUUAAUUUUUUUGGGGAAGAAUUGAAUUUUUUUUUUUAAUUUCCAAGAAUUUCAUUCUCUAGUUUUUCCAUUAAUAUUACUUAUCUUCAUACCCAUCUUAAUUAAAAUCUGUAGUUUUAUUCAAGAGUCAUGCUAUUCAUUCACUCGGACCAAAGGCUUUCCGCAGCAAUAUUAUUAUUUAAAUUACAACAAAGGGGAAAUCAAAUACGUCAUACAGAGGCUUAAAGCUCAAUCUACAAAAUCUAGAGUUCUCAACUACAUAAAUUACACUUGAUGAUCCUCUACAAGAUGAAUCUUGUUCAAUAUCUCAUCCAAAGCUUAUAAAGUAACCUUGUAACGAUCUUGAGAUUGCCUGCCUUCCUCGACGACCUGCACCAUGCGUUUGUACAAAUCAUCUGUGAUCAAGAACAUAAGAGCGUUUAACAUCUUUUCUCCAUCGAGAAAGAAUGUAGUGAGAUGGGAUCUCCUCCAUACCACUCUGGUUUAGAACACAAAGAAUGUGUCUGCAUAAAUAUCCUCUGAAAUUGAACAACCCACAAACACAAAGCACCUCCAAGUCGGAGGCAUUGUACAAAACAUCGAAAGCCCUUGAAUCUUUCUCGUUGCUACCAACCUCAAAUUCUUCCUUCACUAUGUAUGUUAUAGGUCCAUCAGCACUGACAUGUUUUGUGCUAUAGCAAGAGUACAUAGCCUCCACCUCCAUCUGAAACUUCCUUAACAUUUCAUUUGUGUACAGUUUUGAGAGUUGAAAUUCAUAGGAACAUCUUGGUUUCUGGAUACAACUUGAAUUUCUUGAAUCCAUAUCUGCCAAGGCUUCCAGUUGAUAAUUCGCCUGCAGUGCUUGAUCAUAUUUGUCUAAGUAUUCUUUCAAAGGAGUAUUCUUAUCAAGAUAUCCUUCAAAGUAUGAAGUAGAAACCUCACUCUGCAGGAAUGAAAACACUCCUGAUAAAAAUGUUUCCUUCAAAUAAACAGGAGCCCAACUUUUACGAUCCUCAUAUAAAGUUUGAAUCCAUCCAUGAUCCCUUAUUCCAUGACGUUGAAUCGUGUCCUCCCAAGCUGUCUCAAAUUCCUCAGGCCUAAGAGAGUGACAAAUUGCUCUAUGCAAUGCAGCUCUAAUAGCUUCAUAUUCAAAAUAUCCUUGGAGAUUCUCUGGAAUUUUUUGCAUGACGCAUGACAAUGAAAAACAAUGAUAAGCUCUUGGGAAAACAUCGCCGACAGCAGUUUGCAAGAUCUACAUUGGUCAGUGAUGAUUGUUUGUGGAGAGCGUCCUAACAUACAUGUAAGCCACACCCUAAACAACCAUGUAUAUGAUUCUAUAGUCUCACCGGCAAGUAAACCACAGCCCAACAGCACUGAUUGUCCAUGAUGAUUCACCCCAAUGAACGAAACCAGCGUUGCAUCAUAUCUUUCUGUCAAGCAUGUAGUAUCAAUUGAUUUGAGCUAUUAACAUCAUUUCCAAAUACUCCAUUGGCAUCUACAUUACCAUUUCCCUCGGCAUCAAUGAUAAGAGUUCGAAACAGUCUAAUCUUUUGAACUUCUUCAGCACCAUCUAAGAGCAAUGUUCUUUUGGUUCCAAUACCCAUGUGCUUAUGAGACUUGUAAAACUUCCCGCUUCUUGGGCUUAACAAGUGGUUAUGCUCAAGCUCGACUUCAAUGAUUCUCCACCUUUUGGUUUCCAUCAACCUAAACUUUAUCAUUGCUGGACAGCCCGUUCUUGUUUCUGGUCUUGGGCGGUUUGCCUCGCUUUUCUUCUUGAAGCCUGCAUUACUACAGCUGAGCUUUCCUUUAUACUUUUCUCUACUCUUUUGGUACCAUGUAUUGCUAACUCCAACACCAAAACCCUGUUCCUUGGCAUAGCAAUUAUAAAAGUAAUAUACGUCAUCAUACGUCUCAAACUCCAUUCCAACAGCAGGAGGCAAUGGAUUUUGGAUUAUCCCAGUUUGUCCAACAUAUUCAGUCAUCGCACAAUCUCCUACGACCUCAAAAUCAUCAGCUUCAUCAUCACCUACUGGUUCAGUAUUCAGAGAAACUUCAUCCAUCUACAAUAGAUGUUUAAUGAAGUGAGCUUUAAGGAGAAAAAGCAAAAUCAGUUCAAGGAAAGAUAAUAUAACCAUACAGUUACUUUCACAAAGCUGCGUAUUUCAUCAAUACUUUAACAACAUACAACUGCCUGAGAACAUAUAGACAUGUCAUAGACGUUUGAAUUAAGUAUUGGUACAAAUUAGCACACAUCAUGUGGGACACAAUUUCAGUCACUAAACCCAAUGCCUUUUUUUUUUCACAUCAUACCAAGGAACGGAUUAAACCCAAUACCUUCUUUUACGCCAUACCAAAGAACAGAUUAAAUCAUCAAUGAAAAUUUAAUCAAAUAAUAAUUUAACUAGACAAUUGAAGAGCUUGAAACAGCACAAAACUUGAAUCUGAUUAUGAUAAUUGUUGAGUCCUUGUAUCCACAGCUUUCCUUCAAUGAGAAGAUUAUGAACAUAAACUACACAUAAAAAAAUUAUUUAAACUGACAGCCCAUGAUAUAAAUCAAACAAAAUUAACUCCUUUUACAAAUCACAUCUCGUAUUCAGUUACAUUGAAACACAAAAAAGGAAGCAGGAGCCGGAGAAAAACAACAACAGAGAAACUUAUUUCCAGAAGGUUUACGAAAUAAGGAAUUUAUUAAGACACAAAAUUUGAGGUCAACAAUAAGAAUUUGGUUCUCAUUCUCUUUUUCUUCAUUUUUCACUUAUUGAUGGAGUUAGCGUACAAUCCUAUAUGAUAAAACCCCAUCUCCAUCUUUUUGAACUAGAGCUAAAGCAAAGCAUUUUAAGAUGUUUUUCCCUAAAAGACUCAAUAGUACAAUGCUUUUCAAUAUUAAAUACACAACUCAAUCUUCCCCUAAUUUACUCUAAUAAUCUCUUAACUAAGGAAGAUUAAGCUCCACUUGUAAGCUAAAACAAGUUUCUUAAAUCAAGCCCCAAUGCUCUAUACUAUUCAACAAGGCCUCAUAAAUGAUAAAACUACCUCUGCAAAGAUACCCAUUUUAAUUUCGCAAACUAAAAUCAAACUUCUGAAACGUAACGAGCAUUAAAACAAACAAGUCCGAACAAGAACUGAAAAAUGAUACGUAAACCCGUUUACACGUUUCGACAAACACUUUCCAAUCAAUGAGCAAAAAGGUUAAUGGAAAACAUGAAAUUCAAACAAAACAUACCUUAGGUUGAUAAAUUAGUAGGGCAAAAGAAAUUUUAGCGAGAUAUGGGAUCAGGGAUUUUGCCACGGUGAUGUUAAUUGCGACAUUCGGGUGACUCAGCAGCCUUCGAGGCUGAAACUUUGAUUGACCAAAAGGUUCCCGUUCGUUGAUUCUCUAAUUGCAGAAACGAAACUGGCAGUGUACAGAAAAAGUACGCUGAUUUGAUAAUUCUGUGAAAAUCAUUGUUUUUUUCAGAUUUUAAUGUGUUCGAUAAAAUAUCAAAAUCUCAAAAACUUUUGUCUUUCAUUUUGGGGGGAAAAACACACUGAGAUCCUUAUGUUUUUUCUUAUAUAAUCUGGCUUAAUAAUUUGCAAAGUCUAUUACUUUGCACCCAUGCAUGCUGCGUUACAAUUUACAAAAUUGUACGUGAGUGCAUCCAGCUAAAAUUUGUAAAAAGAAAAUAACAAUAACAUGUUAAAAAUGUGAUUAUUAUGAAGAAAUUUUAAUUUAGUUAAAUAGGUGACGAUGGAUAGGUAUAAAAUCUGAGAUCUUUUAUGAGAUUAAUAAAUAUGUUGAGUUUGGAUUAGUUCAAUUUUGACAUAAUACAGAAUAAACACAACCUGCUAAUCUAAGUUACCAUCUUUUCCCGUCAUCAGGUACCUGUUUGAAAAAUAAUUAUAUACAAUUUUAUUUGCGUUGUCUCUCUAAAAAUUUGGGACUCAAAUGUUAUUUCUAAUUGCUAAAAGUACGAAAAUGCCCCAUUUCUCUUCAGCUAAAGGAGUGCAAAGUCAUCUGUAUAAUUGAAGCUGCAUCAUCAGUUUCUAUUGCUGGUGUUUACUGCAUGCUUACAGUUGCUUGACAAAGUGAGCCAGUUUUUUGUUUAUUAAUUUUUUUUCUUGUCGAGAUAGUCACAAAGUAUUACUUGUUCUAUAUAAGAAUGAUGUGAAUCAAUUUUUCAAUUAUGCAUUCUGUGGUAAUUGUGAAUUUAGUUUCAUUUGUCUUGUCUCCUGCAAAUUUUGAAGAAAAUGCAGACAUACAAACUUACAAUACGGAAGAGUUCACAGGCAAAAACUUUGUGAAAGCUUCCAAGUGAAACAGGGAAUGCGCUUACUAGUAAAGAACAAAUUGGUGGCCAGCUAAUGCAUUCAUUCUAUGUCCAUUGAUCUUUUUGAGUUAUUGAAGACAAGUGGCUCACCGCUUUUAGUAUUGGUAAAAUUCAGAUAAUCUCUAUUCCGAAAUAAUAAUAUUCAAAAUAUCUCUUAAAUCAUUAUAAACCUCAAAUUUAUUUUAAUUUUAUUUAAAAGAUAAAAGAAAAAUAGGUUAUGUUGGUGAUUUUUUAUUAUCUUUUUAAUAAAAAUGAAAUAAAUUGAUGUUUAUAAUUAAUUAAAGUAUUUUAAAGAUUGCCAUUUUAUGAGAGAAUAAUAUUUCACUUUUUUUAGUGUGAAAGACCGAAAAAGGACAAAGCAAGUUUCCCUAAUUUUUAUUUUAUUCGAAAUUGGUCAUCUCAUAUACUUCACCCUUCAACAUUAUAAUUUUUUUGGUUAUAAUUUUAUUAUUUUUUUUUCUUUUACACAUGCAUGUGAAUUACUUUUCUUUAAGCUCCUGAAUAUUUAAGACAAAUCAUGGAAGAGAUGAGAGUAUAACAAGAUGAUCAAAAUAUGUAACAAAAAAAUUUUAGAAGUGAAAAAUAUGUUAGAGUCGAAGUAAAACUCUGAGGUGAUGUUUGAUUUGAAGAAAAUGGAGGAGAGGAAAUGAGUGGAAUGGAGAGGAAAAGAGAGAAAAGGAGAGGAGAGGAGAGUGAAAUUUUUUUCUAAUGUUUGGUUUGUCACAUAAUUAUACAAAGAAAAGAAAUCUCUAAUUUUUUAUUUAGACAAUUUUAACCUUAAUAAGUAUUAAGCUUUCAAUAUUUAUCAUGUGUAUAAUUUAAAAAAAGUAAAUGGUAGAAAGCGGUUUCUGAUUCCGGCCACAUCGCCGGCAAUGGAAGGUACUUAUCAGAACAUCAAGAGCCGACCAUCAUUCCCUAGCCAUCACUGCUGUCGGAACACUGCCAGAAAGCUGCCGAUUGAACCGCAAAAAGUCGUGGAAAUCGCUGCCUCAAAUCGGUGAGUUUCGCCUUUUUCUGGUCACGCCGUCACCUUGGCUUUGUCCAUCAAGGCUGCCACUUCCAUUUUCAACCAUCCAUAGCCACUAUUAACGGCCAAAUCGCCGCCGAUCAGCGGGAUAUGUGGAAGUUAAAAAGUUUCUAAAUUUUUUUUAACUGGAUUUGAACAACAUACGACCAUUUUUUGAUCUCGAUAACGACGUAGUAAUGUUGAUCAUUGGUCGGCAAGUCGAAUGGUAGUGGCGGUGAGUAACACGCGCCAAUGACAUCGGCGGCGGCACUAUCCGGCGACUGUUAAAAUUAAUAUUUUAUAUUUUUAGAUUAAAUAAAUUUAUUUUAUUAAACUUUUUAAAUCAUUAUUUAAAUUUAAUUAAUUUAAAAUUAUCUAUAAUGUUGAAUUGAUAAAAUAAAUUUAUAAAUAAUAAUUAUGUGAUUACAUUAAAUAAGUUAAAAAGUUGAAAGGUUAUUUUUGGAAGAUUUAGUUUCCAACACAAAGGGAAUUUGAAUUCUUCACUUCUUAGUGUGGAAUUCAAAUUCUAUAUUGUAAUGGAUAUUAAAUUCCAAUAGAAAUUAAAUUCUUAUAAGUUAUGUCAAACCAAACAACGGAAAUAAAAAAGGAAUUUAAAUUACUUUCCUUUCCUCCACCCUCUCCUUCCAACCAAAUACAUCCUGAAAAUAGAGAUAUUGAUUAAUUUAGAAGAGAUGCAAGCAAAAGAUAUUCCAAAAAAAAAAAGCAAUAUGUCCCUUUGGAGGGCAAACUUGUCAGUUUUAAAAAAGUACAUGCUUUGGAUUGAUAGUUGUAGGAUAUUUGUUUUGUCACUAUGUAUUAGUUGGAGAAGUCAAGCCUUGUGAAGAAUGUUAUGAAAGAGCAAAUGUUAGAGUACAAUUUAUGCACUAGUUUUGCAUUGUUUACUUCCAUUAAUAUCGAUGUUUUGCACUUAAUAAUAGUGAUUUACUUGUGUUUUACUUUUGUAGGUGCAAUUCUAUUGAUUGGUGAUAAAAUUGAGCUAUAAGAUGAUGUUUAAGGAUGAUUGUUCUCUUGGAGAAAUUUAGAACGUCAGAAGAACUUUGUUGAUAAGGCAUGGGCGCGUGCUGUCAACUGCGGACCUGCAGUUUUUAGUUUAACGUGUUUUGUAUUUUUGGUUAUUUUUGUAAUUACGAAUUUAAUAUUUCAGAUAUUAGUAUUUUAUUUUAAAUAGAAUUCUAAAAGAGAGGAGAGAGAGAGUAUUUAAGGGAGGAAUCUAUUGUGAAAAAUGGGGAUUUUGGAUUGGAGAAAGAAAGAAACCCUAGAUCUAAUUUUUCUCUUCUCUCUAUGAAGAACUAAACUUAUUUUUCUGGUUGAAGGUUAAUGAAGCUUUGAUUCAUCACUACUGUGAGAUCUUUCUUGUGCUUUAAUUGUUUUAUUGCUUUUUGGGUAUUUGUUUAUUCUCUGAAUUAUUUUCAUGAUUAUGUUUGUUAAUUAGAUAAUUGGCCACUAUUUAAUUAUCAACUUAAUCUAUUGUCAAUUAAAGGAUUCAUCGUAUGAAGAAUUUAAUGUUUGUGACAAAUAACAUAGCAGAGAGUUGUGUUGUGAGAAUAAACAAUCUAAUUUAAAUGAAUCAUCAUAUGUGUUGAUUAGGAUUUGGGUCUCUCUGGUUUUUCAGGCUGACAUUGAUUAAAUCCUAUGAUCGUAUCUAGGGUUGUCUAUUGAUUAGGGAAAUAACCAACGGUCGUACCUUGGUUAUCGACUAGUUAAGGAGAGAUUGGCUAUUAGAGGUUCUCAAUAGUUAUAACCGAUCUAUUCAUAAGUAAUAAUAAUCUAUAUUUGAAUCAAUGAUCAGUAGUCGAAUCAAGCUGAGUUAAUUCCUUCAACCAGAGCUUUCUCCAAUUUGAAUUACAACUUUAAUUUGCAUUCUUGUUAUUUUGAUUUGAUUUUUAUUAUUGUCAACAAUUCCCUCAUUUUACGUUUUACGUUUCAAAAGGAUUUAAAUAAUUACCGAUCUCUGUGGACACGACCCUGCUCAAUCACUAUACACAAUUUAUUUAGAGUAUGAAUUUAUUUUUAUUGGCUUCGACACCCAUCAGCAAAGGAUAUUCCUGAUAGCUGAUAGAGCUCUAUUUGAUUAUGUAUCCAAUGAAUGGAUGUGUUGUUGGAAGAUAUCUGAGUGCAUUAGUUCAUAUGUGUCUGUCAAUGUGCUUUUAAUGAUUUUUCCACUUGUUUGUUGUAAAAGAUUAUUGUAAAUUGAAAUGAGCUUGAUGUUGUAAUAUUUUUUCCUUAGUGGAAUUUCACCUAGUAUGUAUUCAGUUGUGUUCUCUAUAAUUUUGCAUUCGAAUAAGUUUCACCUAAAAUAUUAGCAUGAGUAGUGGCCUUUGAAACUUUGGUCAAAAUUAUUGUUAUUAUUUCCGACUAGAUGUAAAUUUUUUAUUAAAUCUCGUUAACACAAUUCUUAAUUAAAAGUAUAGGUUAGUGUUGGUGCAAGAUUUGCCACACCAAAUUCUGCCUAGCUGUCAAAAGUGCAAAAUAAAUGAAGAGAAAGCACAAAUACACGACUUGAAUAAGGAUACAACGAAACUUAAUUUCAAGAGAAAAUGAUAGCUAUAUCUCAAGAUUUGAAAAAAUGGUCAUGUAGAUUUUUAAGAUUUCAAUAAGCGACUGAGAUUCAAAUAAUAUCCUUUAAUUCUAUUAACAAAAAACAAAGACUCAAAUAUUUUAUGAUAAAGAAAAAUAUAAUAUUAAAAUAUAUGUGAUAAUAUACACAUUUUAAAUACUUUUAAUCCAAAAAAAUAGUUAUGUUUUACAAUCUAUUAGACAUAUUUUAUUAAAUUAAUAUAAAUUUUCUAUAAAAUAAUAAUAUAAUAUUAAAAUAAAUUCACAAAAAUUUAAAGAAUUUUGAAUGUAAAAUAAUUUUAAUAUAUUAAUACGUGAGUUUUUUAUUAAUAUAAAAAUUAUUUAACUUUAAGAUUUUUUAAAAUCUUUACAAUAAGUAUAACUAUAUUAUUUACAUUUAAAAAUAUUUAAAUAUUAUUAACCUACAAUUAUAUUUGCAUUUGUUAGAAAUUUUUUAAGUCAAAUAUUUUGCACUUCUAUAUUAUUAGAAUUAUUGCACACAAAGAAAGAAACAUAUACCUUUAGAAAUUGUUUUCUUUUAAAAUAGAGAUGAUGAUUAGUAUAAGGAUGAAAAAAAGGAUAUUAACGAAAUCUCUAUACAAAUUGAUUUUAGUAGGAAAAAAAUGAGUUAAAUGAUUUAGAGUGCGUUUGGAAUUGAGAUUGGGCAGUCAUAGAUUUUAAGUUACAACACUGAAGUGUUUGGUAAAUACUAGCUACUGCAGAUUGAAAGUUAUGUUGAUAUGAUUUUUCACAUGUAUCAUAGAAAAUAUAUUACAUCUUUAAUAAUUUUUUUAAAAUUUAUAUUUGCUAUAUAUUAUUAUUAUUUUUUUUUAUAGUUAUAACUUUUUUUCCAUAGCAGCUGUAGCUUAAAAGCCACAGCACCUCAAUCUCAAACAAGUCCUUAGACAUUCAUAGUGUGUUUAUUUUUUGGAUUGGUGAAUCAAAAUUAUUGACAACGCUAACUUCAUCUUCACCGUUCGCAAUCCAACAGCAGCAAUUGUCACCAAUAAUGAUAUCUCCAAUGAUGAUGACAAUUAUUAUUAUUAUUAUUAUUAAUUAAUUAAUUAAUUAAUUAAUUAAUUAAUAUAUUAAUGUUAAUAUUAUUAUUGUUAAGAUUAACAAUAAUUAUUAGUAAUACAAUUUUUUGAAUAAAAAUAAUCACAAUAAUUAAAAUACAAAUUAAUAAUUAUGACAAUAGUUAAUUAAUUUCUUUUUAGUAAUUUGUAACAAUCUAACUCAUUUUAAUUCUGAUUAUUACAGCUUAAGUAAACAAAUUAUUAUGAUUCCUAUUCUCCUUUCCCAUUUUAGCUCACUUCGAUUCCAGUCUAUUCCGAUUUCUAUCUAAUAAAUGCACCAUUAGUGCUAAAGUAAUAUUUCAUACAUAGAAAAGUAAAAACUACACCUAAGGUUAAGGGAAAGGACUUCAAAACUCUCUUUUGAUCAUAAUACAUUUUGUCCUAAUUAACUUAAAGAUUUUGAAUCUAAUAUUUUAUAAUAAAUAAAAAUAUAUUCCUAAAAUAAAUAUAAUAUCAAUAUUUAAAAUAUGUUUUAAUAUUUUACAAUCUAUCAUACACAUUUUAUUAUAUUAAAGUAGAUUUAUAAUAAAUAUAUAAAAAAUUUAGAAUAUUUAGAAUAUUAUAUAAAAUAAUUUUAAUAUAAUGCGUGAGAUAUAUUUUAUUAAUUUAAAAUGUCAUUUUACCUAAAAAAUAUGAUAAAUUAAUAAUUACAUAUUUGAAGUUAUUUCAAAUAUUAAAAAAAUUUAAUAUUAUUAAUCUUUUAGAUAGAUUAAAUUAUUUUUCAUAAGAGAGAUUAAUCUUUUACUAAAAUUUCUCUUCCACAGCCCACCGCAGCUUCAGUUAAUCAAACUCCAUCAAUUUUCUUUCUUAACAAAAUUCUAAAGAUGUGUAGCAUUUUUCAGAUCACAUGCGAUGGUGCUUUUUUCAAUCGUUGCUUGGAUUGCUUUCUUGGAAAAGCAGCAUACAUACGUAACCUCCAAGAUAAUCUUGAUGCCUUGGAGACUGAAUUGGGAAAUCUGAUCGCUAGAAAGAACGAUGUGAUGAGGAGGGUUGUCGAUGCUGAACGGCAACAAAUGAGAAGGCUGGACGGAGUGCAAGUGUGGGCUUCGAGGGUGGAUUCUGUUAAAACUGAAGCUGAUCAAUUUAUAAGAGACGGCUCUCGAGAAAUUGAAAAAUUAUGUGUUGGAGGCUACUGUUCCAAGAAUUGCAUGUCAAGCUACAAGUUCGGGAAAAAAGUGGCUAAAAAGCUACGGGAUGUGCGGUCUUUAAUCAGUGAAGGAGUUUUUGAAGUGGUGGCUGACAGAGCUCCAGAGUCUGUAGCAGAUGAAAGACCUACUGAGCGAACAGUAGUAGGCUUGCAAUCACAACUUGAACAAGUCUGGAGAUGUCUUGUAGAAGAAUCAGCGGGAAUCAUUGGCCUAUAUGGUAUGGGCGGUGUUGGUAAAACUACACUACUGACCCAUAUCAACAAUAAAUUUCUCGAGAGUCCAACCAACUUUGAUUGUGUGAUUUGGGUUGUAGUUUCAAAAGACCUGCGACUCGAAAAAAUUCAAGAAGAUAUUGGGAAAAAGAUAGGUUUGGUUGGUGAUUCAUGGAAGAGUAAAAGUGUAGAGGAGAAAGCUGUCGACAUCUUCCGGAGUUUAAGAGAGAAGAGAUUUGUAUUGUUGUUAGAUGAUAUAUGGGAGCGGGUUGAUUUAACAAAGGUGGGCAUUCCACUUCCCGGACCAAAAAAUACUACCUCAAAAGUCGUAUUCACAACCCGUUUCAUCGAUGUUUGUGGUAGCAUGGAAGUUGACAGGAAGUUUCAAGUAGCAUGCUUAUCAGAAAAGGAUGCUUGGGAACUGUUUCGAGAAAAAGUUGGGGAAGAAACUCUUCAGAGUCAUCAUGAUAUCGAUGAGCUAGCCCAAAUUGUGGUCAAAGAGUGUGGUGGUUUGCCACUCGCACUUAUUACUAUUGGUCGAGCUAUGGCCUACAGAAAGAAAGCGGAGCAGUGGAGACGUGCAAUUGAAGAGUUAAGGAGAUCAGCUUCAGAGUUUGCAGGUUUGGGAAAAGAGGUGUAUCCUCUUUUAAAAUUCAGCUAUGAUAGUUUGCAGAAUGAUACGGUUAGAUCUUGUUUCUUGUACUGUUGUUUAUAUCCUGAAGAUUAUGGCAUUCUUAAAUGGGACUUGAUUGAUUGUUGGUUUGGCGAGGGAUUUUUUGGGGAAUCUGACAGGUCUGGUGCAGAAAACCAAGGAUAUGACAUUUUGGAAACUCUUGUUCGUGCAUGUUUAUUAGAAGAGGUGGAAGAUGAUGAAGUAAAAAUGCAUGACGUUAUUCGUGAUAUGGCUAUAUGGAUAACUUGUGAAAUUGAGAAGGAGAAGAGAAACUUUUUGGUUCGUGCAGGUGCUGGAUUAAAAGAGGCACCGGGUGUUAAAGGAUGGGAAAAUGUGAGAAGAUUGUCAUUGAUGCAAAACCAAAUUGAAACUCUGGCAGAGGUUCCCACAUGCCCUCAUCUCCUCACUUUAUUUUUUGACUUUAAUAAGGAGUUAAAGAUGAUCGCGGAUGGCUUCUUCCAAUUUACGCCUUCUCUCAAAGUUUUGAAGAUGUCAAACUGUUUGAAUUUGAAAUUACCUAUUGGGAUGUCAGAGUUGGGUUCAUCACUAGAACUUCUCGAUAUUUCAUAUACCGGCAUAAGAGAGUAACCGGAAGAGUUAAAGUUGUUGGUAAAUCUGAAAUGUUUGAAUUUGAGGUGGACAAUUUGGUUAAAUAAAAUUCCACGGCAACUAAUAUCAAAUUAUUCAAGGUUACGUGUGUUGAGAAUGUUCGCUACUGGCUUGGGCAUUUUUCAUGAAGCACCAGAAGACAGCGUUUUAUUUGGUGGGGGUGAAGUUUUAGUACAGGAAUUGCUCGGUUUGAAAUAUUUAGAGGUAUUGGAGUUGACCUUGGGAAGUUAUCAUGCUCUCCAAAUUCUUUUGAGCUCAAAUAAGUUAAAAAGUUGUAUUCGAUCUCUUUACCUCGAGUUGACCGGAGAUACAGCGUCAAUUAUUGAUGCUACGGCUUUCGCAGAUCUAAACCACCUCAAUGAAUUAUAUAUUUUUAAAGGUAUUGAGUUGGAAGAAUUGAAGAUUGAUUAUACGGAGAUAGUACGAAAAAGGCGGGAACCUUUUGUUUUCCGCAGCCUUCACUGUGUUAUUAUGGUUUCGUGCCGUAAAUUGAAAGAUGUGACAUUCCUCGUUUUUGCUCCAAACCUCAAGUCUCUUUUGGUAGACGGUUGCGAUGCUAUGGAAGAAAUAAUCAGCGUCGGAAAAUUUGCUGAGACUCCUGAGAUGAUGGGACAUAUAAGCCCUUUUGAAAAUCUCCAAAUGCUUGAUUUAACGGCAUUGCCGGAGUUGAAGAGCAUCUACUGGAAGCCAUUGCCUUUCACUCAUCUGAAAGAAAUGGAGGUACUUAGGUGCGAUCGGCUUGAAAAGCUUCCACUCGAUUCCAACAGUUCAAAGGAGCGUAAAUUUGUUAUUUGUGGAUACACAAAGUGGUGGAACCGACUUCAAUGGGAGGAUGAAGCCACUCAAAUUGCUUUUCGUUCCUGUUUCCAACCAAUGGGAGUACUGAGCGGUGGUCGCAAAAUUUGAUUUCUGGUGAGUGCGUUUUUGUUAACGCUUAUGUUUUUAUUCCAGUGUGUUUUUCUUCUGUCUUCUGCAAAUCAAUGCUUUAUAAAUUUUCCUUUUCCCUUUUUUUUUGGGGGGGGGGGGGGGGGCGUGGGUCGAAUUGAUGCUCUGGUUUUUUACUUUUUGUUGUCAAAUUUGGCCUUUUUUUUUUUUUUUUUUUUUUACAAGUUGAUACUUUAUUUAUAUCUUCUUAGCGAUUUAAUUUCCUGUCAAAAGACGAGCGAGAAGAACAUAUGACUUAAAGCAAUUGAUACUUUAUUUAUGUGCAUUGUAUGUAAUAAAUAUUAAGUAUACUUUAUUUUGCCCUGUUCUCUGUUUUUAUUUCAGUCUCUCUCUCGCUCUCUCUCUUUCCUGUCUUCUGCAAGUCAUAAUUAAAUGUUGAAUUAUAUGGAAUUAAUGCUUUAUAAAUCUGCCUGCGCUGGCUUUUUUUUUUUUUUUUGUGGGGUCGAAUUGAUGCUCUGGUUUUCGACUACUUUUUGUUGUCAAAAUUUUCUCUGUUUUUUCAAAUUUAUAUCUUAUUCGUGAAAAGUGAUUUAAUUUCCUGCCAAAAGACGAACGAGAAGAACAUUAGAGUCAAACUAAUGCUCACAUAAAUUUCCCGUAAGAAUAUAUAAUUAGACUGGAAUGCACACCUCUAGAUUGAACAGAAUUAAAGCUGAGAAAAUAUUGAGUAUAGUAGCCCUCUUUACAGAAAAUGACGCGAAAGUUAAUUUAGAAAGAUAUAUUCUCGAUUAAUCCAUUUUCUGAAUUUUUUUUUUAUUUUGUAUGGUCAAUUUUUUUUUUAAAUUACAACCUCAUAGUCAUGCUAUUCAUUCACUCACAGACCAAAGGCUUUCCGCAGCAAUAUUAUUAUUUAAAUUACAACAAAGGGGGAAUCAAAUACGUCAUACAGAAGCUUAAAGCUGAAUCUACAAGAUCUAGAGCUCUCAAGAUGAAGCUUGUUCAAUAUCUCAUCCAAAGCUUGUAAAGUAACCUUGUAACGAUCUUGAGAUUGCCUGCCUUCCUCGACGACCUGCACGAUGCGUUUGUACAAAUCAUCAUACUUGUGCACUGGAUUUUUAAUAUCAACGCCACUGCAGCUGUGAUCAAGAACAUGAGAGCGUUUAACAUCUUUUCUCCAUCAAGAAAGAACGUAGUGAGAUGGGAUCUCCUGCAUGCCACUCUGGUUUAGAACACAAAGAAUGUGUCUGCAUAAAUAUCCUCUGAAAUUGAACAACCCACAAACACAAAGCAUCUCCAAGUCAGAGGCAUUGUACAAAACAUCGAAAGCCCUUGAAUCUUUCUCGUUGCUACCAACCUCAAAUUCUUCCUUCACUAUGUAUGUUAUAGGUCCAUCAGCACUGACAUGUUUUGUGCUAUAGCAAAGAGUACAUAGCCUCCACCUCCAUCUGAAACUUCCUUAACAUUUCAUUUGUGUACAGUUUUGAGAGUUGAAAUUCAUAGUAACAUAUUGGUUUCUGGAUACAACUUGAAUUUCUUGAAUCCAUAUCUGCCAAGGCUUGCAGUUGAUAAUUGGCCCGCAGUGCUUGAUCAUACUUGUCUAAGAAUUCUUUCAAAGGAGUAUUCUUAUCAAGAUAUCCUUCAAAGUAUGAAGUAGAAACCUCAUUCUGCAGUAACGAAAACACUCCUGAUAAAAAAGCUUCCUUCAAAUAAAUAGGAGCCCACCUUUUACGAUCUUCAUAUAAAGUUUGAAUCCAUCCGUGAUCCUUUAUUCCAUGACGUUGAAUCAUGUCUUCCCAAGCUGCUUCAAAUUUCUCAGGCCUGAGAGAGUGAUAAAUUGCUCUAUGUAAUGCAGCUUUAAUAGCUUCAUAUUCAAACAAUCCUUGGAGUUUCUCUGGAAUUUUUUGCAUGACGCUUUCCUUCAAUGAUAAGACAAUGAACAUAAACGAGACACAAAAAAAAUUAUUUUAAACUGACAGCCCAUGAUAUAAAUCAAACAAAAUCAACUCCUUUUUUUACACAUCACAUCUCAUAUUCAUUUGCAUUGAAGCACAAAAAGGAAGCAGGAGUGGGAAAAAAAAAACAACAGCAGAGGAACUUAUUUCCAUAAGGUUUAGGAAAUAAGGAAUUUAUUAAGACACAAAAUUUGAGGUUACCAAUAAGAAUUUGGUUCUCAUUAUUUUUUUCUUCAUUUUUCACCAAUUGAUGAACUUAAAAUACAAUCAUCAAUGAUAAAACCCCAUCUCCAUCUUUUUGAACUAGAGCUAAAGCAAAGCAUUUUAAGAUGUUUCAUCAUUUUUUUUAAUAAAAAAAAACCUCAAUAGUACAAUGUUUUUCAAUGUUAAAUGCACAACUCAAUCCUCUCCUAAUUUACUCUAAUAAUCUCUUAAUUAAGGAAGAUUAAGCUUCAGUUGUAAGCUAAAACAAAUUUCUUAAAUCAAGCCCCAAUGCUUUAUGCUAUUCAACAAGGGCUCAUAAAUGAUAAAACUACUUCUACAAAGAUACCCAUUUUCUAAAUUAAUUUCAAAAACUGAAAUCAAACUCCUGAAACGUAACGAGCAUUAAUAUAAUCAAACCCGAACAGGAAUUGAAAAAUGACACAUAAACUCGUUUACACAUUUCGACAGACACUUUGCAAUCAAUGAGCAAAAAAUUAAUGGAGAAGAUAAAAUUCAAACGAAACAUGCCUUACAUUGAUAAAUUAGAAGGGCAAAAGAAAUUUUAGUACGAUAUGGGAUCAGGGUCUUGCCACGGUGAUGUUAUUUGUGAUGUUCGAGCGACUCAGCAGCCUUCGAGGUUGAAAAUUUGAUUGACCGAAAGCUUCCCGUUCGUUGAUUCUCUAAUAGCAGAAACGAGACUGGCAGUAUACACAAGAAGUUCGCUGAUUUUAAAUUCCGUUGUUUGAGAUGGAAAUUUUUUUGAAAAAAUUAAUGUGUUCGAUGAAUAUCAAAAUCUCAAAAACUUUUUGUUUCUCAUAGCACCCAUGCAUGAUGUGUUGUUUCUCUAAAAGUUUGAGACACAAAUGUUAUUUCAAAUUGAAACGCCAUGCACUAGUAGUAGACUAGUAGGUAGGAGAAACCAAGGUUGAAGUUACUGUUCAUUUAUUUUUAUUUAUGAUUUUUUGUAAAAUGUAAGAAAUAUGUAGAAAUGUUGCCAGCAAUGAUUUUGGAACUUUGCAUAAAAUUUUUAUCAUUAUUGUUUUUGGUAUUAAGAAAUCCGAGGCGGUGAUUAGACGUAUGUUGCAACAAUUAAGAAAUUUCUUAUUGGAGAUAAUUUGGUAGGUUGCAACAAUUAGAGAAUCAUUUUCCUGUCAGUUAAUCAAUCAAUAAUAAAUUUCAAAUUGCAGAAAAUAAAAUAAUACUGUCACACUUAGAAUCAUCUUUUCUAUCUCUUUCAAUUGUGGCAAUCAUUUGUAACAAAUAAAUCAAUUUGAUGCACAUCAUUUCCCCAAUUCAAAGUUCAAGUCACUGCUCAAUUGCAGAGUAGUUAGUAGACAUGCAUGCAUGUUUAAUUAAGUACUGCAUUGUAGUAUCGAAAAUCAUAAUAUCUCACCAAGCCCGGAAGCAUAGCUCUUUAUCUUGUAAACGUUGAAAUCUUAUGCAAACUAUGGGAAACAUGAUCUCACUCUCAGUGUCACUUGAUUCCAUUUUCUGUUCUUGCCUUGAUUUCGAUGUUGGGAAUGUGACGUCUGAGUCCAAGGUUGAAGAUAAUCUCGAUGCCUUGCGGACUGCAAUGGAAAAAUAAGCGGAAACGAGAAAUGAUGUGAUAAGAAGAGUUACUGUUGCUGAAGGACAACAUCAAAUGCAACGAAUGGAUCGAGUGCAGGGCUGGCUUUCAAGGGUAAAAGCUGUGGAAAAUAAAGCUGAUGAUUUGAUGAGACACAGCUCUCAAGAGAUUGAGAAGUUAUGCCUUGGAGGCUUCUGUUCCAAGAACUGCAAAUGAAGCCACAGCCGUGGGAUAGAAGCUGCUACAAUGCUACGAGUUGUGGAGACUUUAAUGGGUGAAGGAUCAUUUGAAUUGGUGGCUGAGAGGGUGCCAGAAGAUGCAGCAGACUGAGCAGAGGAGAUAAAUUGUGAGUCAACAAUAAUGGGCAUGGUGUCGACUUUUGAGAAAGCCUGGAGAUGCCUUGAAGAAGAAUCAGUUGGAAUUAUUGGCCUAUAUGUCAAUGGGAGAGUUGGAAAUAUUUACUCAAAUCAACAACAAGUUCCUUGAUAGUCCAAAUAAUUUUGAUGUUGCAAUCUGGGUAGUGGUCUGCCAAGAUUUGCAACCCCAGAAGUUUCGGGAAAAGAUUGGGAAAAAGAAAGGCUUGUUCGAUGAGUCAUGGAAGAACUGAAGUUUUGAAGAGAAAGCACUCGAUAUAUUCAAGAAUUUAAGCAAGAUGAAGUUUGUAUUACUGCUGGAUGAUAUAUGGGAGCAGGUUGAUUUAAUUAAAAUUGGUGUCCCUCUUCCAAGCACAAAAAUUACAUUCAAGAUAGUCUUCACAACUCCUUCUAUUACAUUUGUGGCCUCAUGGAAGCUCACAACAAGAUUAAAGUGAAGUGUUUAAAUGACGAAGAAGCAUGGGAAUUAUUCUGCAAGAAGGUUGGAGAAGAUGUGGCGACUCUGUACAAGUGCUAAGGAGCUCAGCCUCAGAAUUUCUAGGUAUGUAAAAACAAGUAUAUCCUCUUUUGAAAUUCAGUUAUGAUAAUUUACCUAGCGAUAAAAUUAGAUCGAGUCUGUUAUACUGUAGUUUGUUCCCAGAAGACUUUCCAAUUAGCAAAAUGGAAUUGAUACUGAGAUACGAAAUCAAGGAUACUACAUUAUUGGUGUUCUUGUUCCUUUAUGUUUAUUGGAAGAAGAGGCUCCACUGUUUGUAAAAGUGCAUGAGGUGAUACGCGAUAUGCUUCUGUGGAUAGCAUGUGAAAUUUUAUUUUUAUUUUUUUAUAGGGAUAUCAUGUGAAGUUGAGAAGGAGAGAGAGAAUUUUUUGGUUCGUGCAGGUGCAAGGAUUAACUGAAGUACUAGACAUUUGGAAAUGGGAAGGGUUGAGAAGGGUGUCUUUGAUGAUCAACAAAACUGAGAAGGUAUCAGAAAUUCCUUCAUCUCACGAUCCACUAACUUUGUUGCUUCAACAUAAUUAUUUAGAGGUGAUCAAUAAUGACUUCUUCCAAUCUAUGCAUUCCCUUAGAGUUUUGAACUUAUCAUGUAAUCAUUCUCUAACUGAUCAUUUCAAAGUUAGUUUCCCUACAUACGAGAGUUGCCGAAUGAGUUAACGUUCGUAGUGAAUCUUAAGUUUUUGAAUGUGGAGUCUGCACGGUUUCUUCAUUCAAUUCCAGGGCAAGUGAUAUCCAGUUUUACGAUGUUACAAGUUUUGAAGAUGUUUGGUUGUGGCAGGUCAUCUUCUGAUCGUGAGCCACACCAGAAGAUAGCGUUUUAUUUGGAGGCAGUGAACUUUUGAUUGCGGAGUUGUUUGGUUUGAGAGACAUUUAGAUGUGUUGACCAUCAUCCUAAGAAGCUCCCAUGCUCUGAAAAGAUUUUUGAGCUCCAACAAACUUCAAAGUUGUACUCAAUCUCUCUAUCCUAAAUGCUUUGAUUCGAAGUCAGUUGAUGUUUUUUGCCUGGCUGAUCUGAAGCAUCUCAAUAGGCUAUAGAUAUUGCGAGUUGUAAGCUUUUGGAAGAAGUGAAGAUUGACUUUGUUGGGAAAGCACAAAUGAACUCAUGGUUUUCACAGCCUUAUGUCACGGAAGUUGUGUAAACACUGCACGGGUUGCUGCGCAAAGUAACCAUCCUAUGACAUUGAGCCAUGUUGAAAUAUCAUUUUGCUGUAAACUGAGGGAUUUGACAUAGCUUGCUUUUGCUCCAGACCUUCUUGUUGUUUCCAGAAAGCAUUGCCAUGAUAUAGAGGAAAUACUCGGUGUUGGAAAAUUAGGUAAAGAGAUGAUGUCAAACCUGGAACCCCCUAUAAAACUCCUAAGGUUAUGUCUGGCAUGUAGGAUUGGAUUGAACUAAAUUAUUAGGACUGGAUUAAAUUGGGUUAUAUUUAUAUUCUUAUGUUUGGUACAGUACUGGAUUGAACUAUAUUAGAUUAUAUUUAAAUAAUAUUAAAUAGUAUUUAAGUUGGUAUUUUAAUAUAAAUAUCAAUUAUCCAUGAAAUUUUAUAAUCAUAAUUAAAAUAAAUUUAAAAAGCAAUUACUAGAAAAAUUAAAUAUAUUACAAAAAGUUAUUGGGUAGUCAUAAUAUAAUAAGCAAAUAAAAUUAAAUAAAACAAAUUAAAUAUUUAAUUAAUUUUUAUCAAAUAUUUAAAAAUAUUAUAUAAAAUCAAUUAAUUAAUGGUUUUAUUAAUUUUCAUGAUUAUUUUUAAUAUUACAUUAGUAAUUAUUAAAUUUAAUACAAUCAAAUAAUGCAAUAAAUAAUUAAACGUUUAAUUUUAUCGAUUAAUUAUUAAAUAUACAAGUAAUGAAAAUUUAAUCUCAGGAGUUGGCAGAAGCAAAAGUACUAAUUUAAUUAGAUCAUAGAUAAUAAAUAAAAAUUAAUUUUAAGUAAAUCAUAAUAAAAAAAUUAAUUAAUUGAUUCAAUCAAUCAAUAUUAGGUGUAAAUAAAAAAAGAGUAAUGAUAUAGCCACAAAUUCUUGUACAAACUUAUUUUGUACAAACUCAUGUGUCAUGAUAAGAUUAGUUGAAUUAAAUAUCACUUGGCCCACAUGAUUUGUUUUUAUUAUUUUAUAUUUUUAUUCAACCAAUGAAUUAACGCCACGUCAGUUUGUACAAGAGUUUGUGGUUGUAUCAUCACUCAUAAAAAAAAAGAUACAAAUAAAAAUCUCAUAAAUGGACAACUUUUAUCUUUAAUCUUAUCCCAACUAAACACAUGUGUGAAUUAAGAUUAUUAAUCCCAUGAUUUUAGGAUUAAAUUCAAAUUAAUUCCCCCUUAAUCCAAUCCAACUAAACUUGUCAAACAUGGGAUAAAAGUUUAAUUCUAAAAUUAGUCCAAUUCCAUACUUAAUCCUAGCAUCCACAUAUAGCCCAAGUUGUUUGCUUAAAGAAGCUACCAAAUUUGAAGAGCGUUUACGGGAAGGCCUUGCGUUUCCCAGAUGUAUGCAGAAUUUUUGUAUCCAAAUGCCCAGAACUUAAGAAGCUGACGCUGGAUUUUGAAAGGGCGGGCCAAGGUAAAAUUCUUAUCAAGUGAAAGGAAAAUCGGUGGAAACAACUUCAAUGGAAGGAUCAAGCAACUCAGGAUGCAUUGCUUCUGUUUUUCAAAUCAACUGACAAGUGAUUGAAGGGGGCAUCAUCAGCCUGGAUGGGGAGAUCCUGGAGCAGAUCAGCAGGGUUUGAAUCUGCAUCAUCAACAUCAUCAGGAUCUCUAUUUCUAUUGCUGGUCGUAAUGCCUGCCUACUGUUACUUGAAAAAGUGAUUAAGUGAGCCAGUUUUUUGUUUAUUAAAUUUUGUCUUGUAGAGACAGUCACAAAGUAUUUUUCUUAGUUGUUCUAUAUGAGAGUGAUGUGAAUCAAUUUUUCAAUUAUAUAUUCUGUGGGAAAUUGCAAGUAUUUUUAAAAUAUGAUCGUUAUUAAAGGAAACAAAGGAAUCAACACAGCAUACUGAACCUCAGCAGUAUGAAGCUAAUGAUUAAACUCCUCACACAAUUCAUAACAUGCAAAACCAUUCACAAAAUCAUCCCCAGCAACCAUAAUUGGCGUCCAAUAGAAAUUUACAAGAAUUACUUUUCUGUUCAUGCAAUCGGCGUCCGAAUGCGGCUGAUCGGUCACCGGUGUUGGCGUUUACUGUGAUUAGACAAAUUGUAGGAAUUCAAAAAUAACUUCUAUAGGGGUAAUUUCGAUUUCACAUAAUUAAUUUUAUUUACAAUAUUUUAUUCCUGCUAGAUCAAUUGAGAUUCUUUCCACCGGGCACACCCUUCAUGUUCUUUUAUUUUCUGUCUUUUAUUAGCCGUAGGAUUUUACUACUCUUAUAUCCAACGGCUUGCCACAACAAGACAAAUGAGGUGGUACCUUCCAACCGCUGAAAGGUCGUUUUGGCCCCAGGUGAAAGAGGGAAAUAGGGAAUUGAUGCUAUAUUUUAUAUUUUCUAUUUUACUACUCUUGUAUCCACCGGCCUUUCUUAUAUUUUAUUGCAAAUUGAUGCUAACAAGAAAAAGCUACAUCAUAUUCCACAAAAAACAAAAGUGACAAAACAACCAGUUGGAUUCUUUUAUUAAACUACAAAUUAAAUGGACUUUUUUUUAAUAAACUAUAUAUGAAAGUAGAAUCUUUUGAAUAUAAGUGGGGUAGACUUCCUUUCCAAAACAAAAAAUGCGGGGUAGGCUCUUUUAUUAAAGACAAGUCACAAGACGAUUAGAGUCUUUUAUUAAACUGCAAAUUGUAUAGUCUUUUUCAAAUUGUACAGACAUUUAUAAAUUGGUGGCCCCUUGGAAAUUUAAUGCCAAGCAGAGAAAAGUCAUCAUGCACAAUCCUCAAUAAUUGUUUCGAUAUUUAUAAAUUGGUGGCCCCAACGAAUAAUUGGGAUCGGUUAUGGUGCAAUUAUAGAACCAUGGCACAGUUGCAUCCAGCCGUUAAAUGCACUUAGAUUGGUGAGGUUUAUUGGCAUCUAAUGGCUGAAUGUAACUAUAAUACGGUACUACAGUUACAACACAAGUUUCCACCAAUAAUUGUUCCGAUAAUUAUAAAUUGGUGGCCCCUUGAUAAUUUAACAGCAGCCUGCAAGUGCCAACCAGUGAAAAGUCAUCAUUCACAAUCUUCCAAGUGAAAUAGGAGAUAUACAAAAUAAUAAAAAAAAAACAUGUCAAUUCUUUUUUUUUUUAUUCAUUCCCUUUCAUGUUCUUGAUAAGGGAGGGAGGACGUGACAUGUAAUGUAACUUACACCCAAAUACAUAAAUAAUAUAAAAUGAAUGGAUAGAUGCCCGAGCAGAUCGGCAGGGUUCGAAUAUGACCUUUGGUGCUUGCUUUUUUUUUUUGUGAUUUUGUUUUUCAUUUUUUCCUUCCUGUCAUUUUAUCAUUUCUUUGGCUUUGUCUCUAUUGCGGGUGUUACUGCAUGCUUACUGUUGCUUGACAAAGUUUGCUAGCUGAAAGAAACUUAGUUCUAUAUUGUUUGGUAGGCUAGAAAAUGAAAGGAAAUAAAAGAAAAGCUUUGCAAAGAAAUCUGUUGGAUCUUUUAUUAUUCCAAACUUACAGUUUAAUGACUACUAAUUGAUAUUUAUAUUGAGCUACAAUCUCUUAACAUACACACGAGAUUGUUGCAACACAUAACCAUUUGCUGUAUAACUAACUUGACACAUCAGCUCAACCAGCUAACUAACUUUGACAGGUCAGCUUAAUGAUUUGAUCUGCUACAACCAGCUACACAACACAUCAUGCUCUGCUCCAGCUACACAGCAACAUCAUGCUCUGCUCCAGCUUCAUCUAAUUCACUAACAUCCCCCUUCAAGCUGAAAUGUUUAGGAUGAACAUUCAGCUUGCUGCGGAAGUAACUAAAUUGUUUGAAAGUAAGAGCUUUAGUCAACACAUCUGCAGUUUGAUCUUGACUAGGCACAUAACAGACUGCAACUUCUUUAGCAGUAACUUUAUCUCGGAUGAAAUGGAUAUCCAAUUCAACAUGCUUAGUUUUAGCAUGAUAGACUGGAUUAUAAGCUAAAGCAAUGGCUCCUUGAUUAUCACACCACAUCAUAGGAGUAGAGCUCAAUUUGAUGCUAAGUUCACCAAGUAAAGACUUGAUCCAGGUAACCUCUGAAGCAGCAUGAGCAAGAGAUCUAUACUCAGCCUCUGUGCUGAAUCUGGAAACAACAGCUUGCUUCUUGGACGACCAAGAGACAAGAUUAGGACCUAGAUAAACAGCAAAGCCAGCUACUGACUUCCUAUCAUCAUGAUCACAAGCCCAAUCAGAGUCUGAAAAACAAUGGAGUUGCAGAGCUCCUUGGUUGUAGAAUUGCAGCCUAAGAUGGAUAGUACCUUUUAAGUACCUCAAUAACCUUUUACAUGCUUCCCAAUGUUGAGUCCUAGGAUUGGAAAGGAACUGACUCAACUUAUUGACAUAAAAAGCAAUGUCAGGUCUGGUAAGAGUAACAUACUGAAGAGCUCCUAUAACACUUCUGUAUUGAGAAACAUUGUCAAUUGGCUCCCAUGAGUCUUUGGUGAGAUAAUAACCUGUAGACAUUGGAGUUGGCACAGGACUGCAAUCAAUCAUGCCAUGUUUGUCCAGAACAUCAGCAAUAUACUUUGCUUGUGUCAAGGAAACCCCUUUUGAAGACUUGCUGACUUCAAUCCCCAAAAAAUAGUGAAGUUCCCCUAAAUCCUUUAAAGCAAAAGUCUGAUGCAUAUUCUGAAUAGCUUGCUGAAUCAAUGAUGGACUGGAACCAGUGAUGAUAAUAUCAUCAACAUAGACUAAAACAAUAGUUAUAUGACCACUGUUCCAGGCAUAAAAAAGAGAGUUAUCAGACCUUGAAUGCUGAAAAUGCCACUGGGAGAUCAUUGCAUCCUUAAAUCUAUCAAACCAGGCUCUAGGAGCCUGUUUUAAACCAUACAAAGCCUUAUUCAGCUUGCAAACAUGAUUAAGUUUAGUUGAAUCAACAAAACCUUGAGGUUGAGCCAUGUACACAUCUUCAAUUAAAAUGCCAUUGAGGAAUGCAUUAUUAACAUCCACCUGCCUAAUAACCCAGUGGUUCAAUAUUGCUAAGCUAAGAAUAACUCUGAUAGUUGAAGAUUUAACCACUGGACUGAAGGUUUCUGUGUAGUCAACCCCAUGUGUCUAAUGAAACCCCUUAGCAACAAGCCUGGCUUUAUACCUUGAAACCGAGCCAUCUGAGUUAUACUUAAUUCGAAACACCCACUUGUUACCAACUAUCUUCACUGGAGUAGCAGGUAAAACCAAAUCCCAGGUGUGAUUAGUUUUAAGUGCUAGAUACUCUUCUUGCAUAGCUUUAUACCACAUAGGAUCAGAGAGUGCUUUGGAAACAGAAGUUGGUUCUGAUUGCUGGGCUAACAAGGCUGACAAAUAAACUUUUGGCUUAAAAAUACCUGCUUUUGAUCUGGUUACCAUUGGAUGACCAGAUGGUGCAUGUUGUGGUAAUGUAUGUGGAGGUGAGGAAUGGGAAGAUGAGAAAGGAGAAACUGAGUUGGAAUUAUCAGAAAAAUAAACUGGAGUAGAGUUUGGGAAUGAAAUAGAAGCAUUAGACUGAUGAUCAGUAGGUUGAGGUGCUGAUGAUGCUGCUAAAGGUGCUUGUAACUGAGUAACAGAAGAAGUAGAAGACUUAAAAGAAGACUCAGAGUGUGAUGUAGACUGACAGCUUAAAGAGGUUGAAGAAAACUCUACCCCAGACUCAUAAGGAAAGGAAUUUUCAUCAAAGGUGACAUAAUUGGAAAUAUACACCCUUCCAGAAGAGUGAAGACACAUAUAUCCCUUGUGUUGUGAACUGUAGCCAAUGAAUAUACAUCUAGCAGUUCUGAAAUCAAACUUAUAUCUAUUGUAUGGUCUGAGUGUUGGAUAACAAGCACAGCCGAAAGUUUUAAGUGUUGAAUAAUCUGGUUGAUAAUGAAACAACUUUUGGAAAGGAGAAAUGUUAUUUAGAACUGGAGUUGGAAGUCUGUUUAUCAAAUAGACAGCUGUGUGGAAUGCAUUCCACCAAAAUUUGAGUGGUAAAUGUGCUUGAGCUAAUAAAGUCAGACCUACAUCAACUAUGUGUCUAUGCUUCCUCUCAAUUCUUCCAUUUUGGUGAUGAAUAUGUGGGCAAGGGUGUCUAAAAUGGAUACCAGAAGUAGUGAGUAAUGAGGAAAAAGAUCUGAACUCCCCUCCCCAGUCAGUUUGGACAGUUUUGAUGGAAAGUUGAAGAUGCUUUUCAAUGAAUGUUUUGAAAUUUUUAAAAACUUCAAGAGCAUCAGAUUUUGCUGAUAAAGGGAAUAUCCAGGUAAACCUACUAUAAUCAUCUAGGAUUCACAGGUAGUAGUUAUAUCCUUGGGUAGAACAAACAUGAGAAGGACCCCACAGAUCUGCAUAUAUUAGUUGUAAAGGUUCUGAAGUUUUUGUUUCAACUGAAUCAAAAUGCAGCAUAUGAUUUUUCCCAUAUUGACAUGCAUAACAAAAUUUCAAACUUUCAACUUUAUUAAGAGCAGUAAAGUUGUUACAAGCUUUGAGUAUGGUUUUGAGAGUAUAAGGAGCUGGGUGUCCUAAUCUUCUAUGUAGAAGAUUUACAUAAGUUAAACCCUUUGCAACAACUGACAGACAUGACUUUUUAUUCAGCUCAUAAGAACUAACAGCAGAAGGCUUAUCAGAAGUAAAAACAGGAGAACAAGCAAAAAGAGACUGAAUUUUUUUUUUACCAACUGAACUGAGAAAAACUGAGUGAGCAGCAGCUUGUGAAGAGACUCUAUACAAGCCACCUUUAGCAACACCUUCAUGUAAAAUUUUCCCUGUGUUCCUGGCCUUUAUAAAACAGAAAUCACCAAGAAAUUCAACAGUAACUGGAUUGUCAGCCAAUAAUUUGGAAAUGCUAAGUAAAUUCUUAGUAAUAAAGGGAAUAUGAAGAACAUGGUUAAGAAAUAAAGAUUGAGAAUUUGAAGUGUUCAGCACAACUGAUCCUAUAUGUGUAACAGCUAAUGCAUUUCCAUCCCCAACAAAUAACUUCUCAGUACCAGUAUAAGCUUGUGAAUCUAGAAGUUUACCUAGAUCAUUAGUAAUGUGAUUUGUGGCUCCACUGUCAAUGUACCAGGAAAGAUCUUCAAUGUGUUCUGGAAGUGAAGAAGACAUAGUUGAGGAAGAUGAAGCACUUGACUGUCCAGGAUUAUUGUUUCCUUGACCAGCAACAAAAUUAGAUGAUCCAGGAGUGAAAGAGUAAUAGGCAGAAGGAUUGUUAUCUGGAUACACUAUAUUUCCUUGAUAACCAAAACCCCUGGGUGCAUGACCAAAACUAGCAUUUUGUCCAAAACCAGCAUUUGAACCAAAACUUCUUCCACUAUUACCAUUAUAGACUCUUCCUCUACCAUAUUGCCCUUGAUUAAAACCUCUGUCACCAUUCAUAUUGCCUCUACCAUGAUUCCUCUGUGGAACAUAAGAUGAGUUGUACCUAUUCCUGCAUCUAUUUGCUGCAUGACCAGGUAUGAAGCAAAUUUGACAAACAACUUCAGAGGAAUUACUACCAGUAUUAAACUGACCAUAUCCAUAUCCAUUAAAACCUCCAUAUCCAGAAUUAUUACCACCUCCAUAGUUAUUUCCAUAAUUUUUCUGAAAAUUUCCAUUAUUCUUUCUAGCAUAUGAGUUCUUCUGAGCAAUAUUUGCUGUCAUGUUAUGCAUCACAUCACCAGCAAUUUUCCCUUUCUUUUGCUCAACUCUAUUUUCAUGAUUCAACAACAAAGAAUAUAGUUCAUCUAAUGUGAUCUUUUCACCUCGAGCUAACACAGCUGUGACUAAAGACUCAUAGUCUGAUGAAUCAAGACCAGUUAAUAUAUGCAUCACAAGAUCAUUUAACUCAAUAGGUUUUCCAGCUAGAGCUAAAGUAUCAGCUAUGCGUUUUACUUUUACAAAAUAAUCAGACAUAUGCAUUGCACCUUUCUUAAUAGUUUGAAUCUGCAUUCUAAGUGUUUGAAUUCUAGCUUGUGAUUGAGAGAUAAACAUACUAGCAAGAGUCUCCCAAAGCUGUUUUGAAGUUGUAGAAUCAAUCACAGUAGCAAGCAGAUUUUGCUGUAUCGAUGACAUCAUCCAACUCAGUAAGAGUUGGUCAGUCUUCAUCCAAGCUACGAAUUCUGGAUUAAUAGAUCUGGAUCCAGAUUCAGUUAAAACUUCAGCUCCAUUGUUGUUUCCAGAAGAAAGAAACUGCUCAGGACAUUCUCGAUCGCCAUUGAUAAAUCCUUCCAAACCGUUUCCUUUGAUUGAAGUUAAAAUUUGUGUGCGCAACAGAAUGAAGUUGUUUUGAUCUAGCUUUACUGGCGUAACAAAACUGAAAGAGUUGUUGUUUUGAACUAUAUUUGCCAUUUAUGGCUCUGAUACCAUGAAAGAAACUUAGUUCUAUAUUGUUUGGUAGGCUAGAAAAUGAAAGGAAAUAAAAGAAAAGCUUUGCAAAGAAAUCUGUUAGAUCUUUUAUUAUUCCAAACUUACAGUUUAAUGACUACUAAUUGAUAUUUAUAUUGAGCUACAAUCUCUUAACAUACACACGAGAUUGUUGUAACACAACCAUUGCUGUAUAACUAACUUGACACAUCAGCUCAACCAGCUAACUAACUUUGACAGGCCAGCUUAAUGAUUUGAUCUGCUACAACCAGCUACACAGCACAUCAUGCUCUGCUCCAGCUACACAGCAACAACAUGCUCUGCUCCAGCUUCAUCUAAUUCACUAACACUAGCUUUUCCUUUUGUUUAUUAAAUUUUUUUAUGGUCACAAAGUAUUACUCGUUCUAUUUGACAAUGAUGUGAAUCAAUUUUUCAAUUUUAUAUUUUGUGGUCAACGUGAAUUCAAUUUCAUUUGUCUCCUGCAAUUAUGAAAAAAUUACAGUCAUAAUAUGGGGAAACCUGUGGUGCAACUGUGGUACCAUGUCACAGUUGCAUCCAGCCGUUGGAUGCCAAUAGAUCCCACCAAUUUAAGUGCAUCCAACAGCUGGAUAUAACUAUAGCACGGUACCACAAUUACACCGUAACUUGAUCCCAUAAUAUGGAAAAGUACACCGGCAGAAACUUUGUAAAAGCUUCGGAGUGAUACGGGGAAUUCACUUACUACUAAAGACAGUUGGUGGCAACCUAAUGUCCAUCCAUCUAUUUAGUUAUUGAAGAUUAGUGGUCCAUUUGUAAAUUUCAGAUUGUCUCUCUCUCUCUCCCUCUUGAAAUAACAAUAUUUAAUAUAUCUAUUAAAUUAUUAUAAAUUUUAAUUUACUCUCGAUUUAAAAUGGAGCAUGUCGAUAAAUUUUUUUUCUUCUUAAUAAAAUUGACGUAAGUUGUGUUUACAGUAGUUUGAAGUUUGAAAUAUUUUAAAGAUUAUUAUUCUAUAAGGGAGUAAUAUGAACUGAAAUUUACUUUUCAUGUGUGAAAUGAAAAACGACGAAGCAAGUGUCCCUGCUUUUAUUUUAUUUCAAGGAGGAGUCAUCUCACAUACUUUAGCUCUUAACAUUACAUUUUUUCUGGUUACAUUUUUAUUUUUUAUUUUUUUUAACACAUGCGUGUGGGAUGCUUUUCUGUAAGCUCCUUAAUAUAUAUUUAAGACAAAUCAUGGAAGAGAUGGGAUUAUAUCAAGAUGAUCAAAGCAUGUAAAAAAAGAAAAAAGAAAAAAAAAUUAAGAAGUAAGACACUGAAAAUGGAGAAGAGAUGGAAGCAAAAGAUAUUCCAAACAAAGCAAUCUAUCCCCUUUCGAGGGCAGACUUAUCAGGUUUAAAAAAGUACAUGCUUUGGAUUGGUAGUUACAAUCAAGGGAAAAUAAAUAGGAUCCAAUGAAAUUUAAAUCUUGGAGAAAAUAAAUAAUCAUGCAGAUUUUCAAGAUUUUAAUAAGGGAUACUAAUAUCUUAUUUUGAUUAAUAACAUUCUUUCACUGUGUUAACUCAAAAAAAAUAUUAUAAUGCUUUACAAUAAAUACAAAUGUCCUAUUAAAUGAAUAUAUAAAAAAUUUAGAAUAUUAUAUAAAAUAAUUUUAAUAUAAUGCGUGAGAUAUAUUUUAUUAAUUUAAAAUGUCAUUUUACCUAAAAAAUAUGAUAAAUUGAUAAUUACAUAUUUGAAGUUAUUUCAAAUAUUAAAAAAAUUUAAUAUUAUUAGUCUUUUAGAUAGAUUAAAUUAUUUUUUAAAGAGAUAGAUUAAAUUAUUUUAAAAUACCUUAAUUGUUUUUACUUUAAACAUUACCGGCCUUUCUUUUAUUUUAUUGCAAAUUAAUGCUAACAAGAAAAAGCUAGAUCAUAUUCCACAAAAGCAAAAGUGACAAACACAGCCAGCUGGAAUCUUUUAUAAAACUACAAAUUAAAAUGGAUUUUUUUUUUUGAUAAAUUACACAUGAAAGUGGAUUCUUUUGAAUAUAAGUGGGGUAGGCUCUUUUAUUUUAUUUUUGAAUAUUGUAUAACGGGACUGUAGACUCUUUUAUUAAACUACAAAUUGUAUAGUCUUUUUAAAAUUGUUAUAAAUUAGUGGCCCCUAAAAUCCUCAACAAUUGUACCGAUAUUCACAAGUUGGUGGCCCCUACAAUUCUGUUCAGUUAAUUUAACUGUGCAAGUGCUCAUUCACAAUCUUCCAGGUCAUGCUCUUAAUAAUUUUUUUUUUUUUUUCUGCAUUCCCUUUCAUGCUCUUAAUAAUUGAAGAGCAUACUUUUCAUUUUCAAAUGUGGAGCCGCAGCUAAUGUCGUUAAUUUAAUUUGGGAUUAAAUUAGGGGACCAUUAUAUUGCAGUGUGCACUAAUUUUUGUGUUUAUCUAAACUCCUUAAAUUUAAGACAUAUUAUGGCAUAAAUAAGAAUAUAACAAUAACAAAAGAGUUAGAAAGUGUAGAGAAGAUCUUGCAGAAAUAUAAAUAAUAUCUAUUUUAAAAUAAUUUUUAAUAUUUUAUGAUCCAUUAGAUAUAUUUUAUUAUAUUAAAGUAAAUUUUAUAAUAAAUGAAAACAUACUAUUAAAAUGAAUAUAUAGAAAAUUUAGAGUAUUUUAAAUAUUAUAUAAAAUAAUUUUAAUAAAAUAUGUGAGAUAUUCAUAUUUUAUUAAUUUAAAAUACCAUUUAACCUAAAGAUUUAUUUAUGAUAAAUUAAUAAUUAUAUUUUUGAAAUUACUUCAAAUAUUAAAAAAAUUAAUAUUACUAAUCUAUUAGAUAGAUUAAAUUAUAUAUAUUAUUUUCUAUUUAUUAAAAAAUUAAAAUUAUUUUUAAUUACUAUUCAAAAAAUAUAAUGAUAAAAAAAAAUCUUAACAUCUUUAUUAAAAAUUUAAAAUUUACAUGAUCAAUUCUCUAAAUAUUUAGGGUAUAUGUGAACAUCGGUGGAGAAGCUUUAUUUAAUAUUAUUGAUUUAAAUAAUAUGUCAAUUAAAAAUGUGCGGAGAAGAAAUUUCGGUGGGUAUUUUAGUCUUUUCAGCAAUUAUCAUGAUCAGAUCAGCCUUUAGCCUUGAAACGUCGGUCAGAAAGUUUUAAAAUUAACGCUAACAAGAAAAAGCUAGGUCAUAUUCCACAAAAGCAAAAGUGACAAAACAACCAGUUGGUUUCUUUUACUAAACUACAAAUUAAAAGUGGAUUCUUUUGAAUACAAGUGGGACAGACGAUUAGGCUCUUUUUAUUAAAGGCAAGUAAAAAGUAGUCGAAUAGUCUUUUUCAAAUUCUUGUUUUAAUAUUUUUCAAAACUAGUUUUUGGUAAUUACAAUCGGGUCAUUCAUUAAUCAUUAUUCAGAGUAAUUAUGAAUUUCCCAAUUAUAAUUACUAACUGUUUUUCCUUAACCACUCGGCUCAGCCCGAGUGGCCAGGGCUGCUGCCCUCCAAGUUCGAACCCCCACAAAAGUAUUGUGGGGGUAUUUUCUUUCUCAAUUAAUUUGAGUGAAGGUAGUCUUUUCCUUUAUCCAUGAGUGAGGAGUAGACAUCCCUCGAAUAUUUGUGAGGGUUAAAAUCUGAGUAGAGCUCUAUUAGCAUUGAUGUAAGUUGAUCCCAGUAAUUGUCUGAUCUGUAAAUAUCAGGUUAAAAUCUGGGCAAAGCUCCAUUAGCAUUGAUGUAAGUUGAUCCCAGUAAUUGUCUGAUCUAUAAAUAUCAGUUAUAGUCUCAUGUAAUAUGAGUUGUAAUCUGAGCAAUAGUCUCGUGUAAUAAAAAAAAAAAAAAACUAUUUUUCCUUCAAAAGUUAGAGACUCGUGUUUGCAACUUGCAAGUGUGAAUGUGCAAUGCUCUUUGUCUAAAGGCUAGUGUUUCUAGUGGGUCCCGACUCGAGCGUGCCUAAAUCAUUUUAAAAUUUUUCCCGUAUAAUGGACAGAGGUCAUUACUAAAAUUUCUCUUCCACAGGCAAUUACAGCAGCUCCAGUUUAUCAAACUCAACCAAUUUUCUUUCUUAACAAAAUUCCAAAGAUGUGUAGCUUUUUUCAGAUCACAUGCGAUGGUGCUCUUUUCAAUCGUUGCUUGGAUUGCUUUCUUGGAAAAGCAGCAUACAUACGUAACCUCCAAGAUAAUCUUGAUGCCUUGGAGACUGAAUUGGGAAAUCUGAUCGCUAAAAAGAACGAUGUGAUGAGGAGGGUUGUCGAUGCUGAACGGCAACAAAUGAGAAGGCUGGACGGAGUGCAAGUGUGGGUUUCGAGGGUGGAUGCUUUUAAAACUGGAGCCGAUGAACUUAUCAUAGACGGCUCUGAAGAAAUUGGCAAAUUAUGUGUUGGAGGCUACUGUUCCAAGAACUGCAGGUCAAGCUACAAAUUCGGAAAACAAGUGGCUAGAAAGCUACGAGAUGUGGAGACUUUAAUCGCCGAGGGAGUUUUUGAGGCGGUGGCUACUGAGGUGGUGCCUGAGAGAGCUCCAGAGCCUGUAGCAGAUAAAAGACCCAUUGAGCCAACAAUAGUAGGCUUGCAAUCACAGCUUGAACAAGUUUGGAGAUGUCUUGUAGAAGAAUCAGUGGGAAUCAUUGGCCUAUAUGGUAUGGGCGGUGUUGGUAAAACCACACUAUUGACCCAUAUCAACAAUAAAUUUCUUGAGAGUCCCACAAACUUUGAUUGUGUGAUUUGGGUCCUAGUUUCAAAAGACCUGCGACUUGAAAAAAUUCAAGAAGAUAUUGGGAAGAAGAUAGGUUUGGUUGAUGAUUCAUGGAAGAAUAAAAGUUUUGAAGAGAAAGCUGUGGACAUCCUGCGGAGAUUAGGAGAGAAGAGAUUUGUAUUGUUGUUAGAUGAUUUAUGGGAGCGGGUUGAUUUAACAGAAGUGGGCGUUCCACUUCCCAGCGCACAAAAUACUACCUCAAAAGUCGUAUUCACAACCCGUUCCAUUGGUGUUUGUGGCAGCAUGAGAGCUAGGCCGGUUAAAGUGGCAUGCCUAUCAGAAAAGCAAGCUUGGGAACUGUUCCGCGAAAAUGUUGGGGAAGAAACUCUUGAGAGUGAUCAUGAGAUCGUUGAGCUAGCCCAAACUGUAGCCAAAGAGUGUGGUGGUUUGCCACUCGCACUUAUUACUAUUGGUCGAGCUAUGGCCAACAGAAAUACAGCUGAGGAGUGGAGACAUGCAAUUGAAGUAUUAAAAAGGUCAGCUUCGGAGUUUGCGGGUUUGGAAAAAGAUGUAUAUCCUCUUUUAAAGUUUAGUUAUGAUAGUUUGCAGAAUGAGACGAUUAGAACUUGUUUCUUAUAUUGCUGUUUGUAUGCGGAAGAUUAUGUCAUUCCUAAAUGGGACUUGAUUGAUUGUUGGAUUGGUGAGGGAUUCUUAGAGGAAUCUCACGGUUUUGGUGCAGAAAACCAAGGAUACUACAUUGUGGGCACUCUUGUUCGUGCAUGUUUAUUAGAAGAGGUGGAAGAUGAUGAAGUAAAAAUGCAUGACGUUAUUCGUGAUAUGGCUAUAUGGAUAACCUGUGAAAUUGAGAAGGAGAAGAGAAACUUUUUGGUUCGUGCAGGUGCUGGAUUAAAAGAGGCACCGGAUGUUAAAAGAUGGGAAAAUGUGAGAAGAUUGUCAUUGAUGCAAAACCAAAUUGAAACUCUGUCAGAGGUUCCCACAUGCCCUCAUCUCCAUACUCUAUUUCUUGCCUCUAAUAAUAGUUUGCAGAGGAUCACCGAUGGCUUCUUCCAACUUAUGCCUUCUCUCAAAGUUUUGAAGAUGUCAAACUGCUGGAAUUUUACUUUGAAAUUACCUUUGGCGAUGUCAGAGUUGGGUUCGUCACUAGAACUUCUUGAUAUUUCAUAUGCCAGCAUAACAGAGUUACCAGAAGAGUUAAAGUUGUUGGUAAAUCUGAAAUGUUUGAAUUUGAGGUGGACAGAUACGUUAAAUAAAAUUCCACGGCAACUAAUAUCAAUUCUUUCAUGGUUACGUGUGUUGAGAAUGUUGGGUACUGGCUGGUUCAAUUUUCUUGAAGCACCAGAAGACAGCGUUUUAUUUGGUGGGGGUGAAGUUUUGAUACAGGAAUUGCUCGGUUUGAAAUAUUUAGAGGUAUUGGAGUUGACCUUGGGAAGUUAUCAUGCUCUCCAAAUUCUUUUGAGCUCAAAUAAGUUAAAAAGUUGUAUUCGAUCUCUUUACCUCCAUUUGACCGGAGAUACAGCGUCAAUUAUUGAUGCUACGGUUUUCGCAGAUCUAAACCAACUCAAUCAAUUAUGGAUUGAUGAAGGUAUUGAGUUGGAAGAAUUGAAGAUUGAUUAUACGGAGAUAGUACGAAAAAGGCGGGAACCUUUUGUUUUCCGCAGCCUUCACUGUGUUCGUAUAGAGCAGUGCCAUAAAUUGAAAGAUGUGACAUUCCUCAUUUUUGCUCCAAACCUCAAGUCUCUUGACCUAUCCUACUGCUCUUCUAUGGAAGAAGUAAUCAGCGUCGGAAAAUUUGCUGAGACUCCUGAGAUGAUGGGACAUAUAAGCCCUUUUGAAAAUCUCCAAAGUCUUCAUUUAUCGCAAUUGCCAGCUUUGAAGAGCAUCUACUGGAAGCCAUUGCCUUUCACUCAUCUCAAAGAAAUAUCUGUGGGUUAUUGCCGUAAUCUUAAAAAGCUUCCACUCGAUUCCAACAGUGCAAAGGAGCGUAAAUUUGUAAUUCGUGGAGAAGAAGACUGGUGGAACCGACUUCAAUGGGAGGAUGAAGCCACUCAAAUUGCUUUUCGUUCCUGUUUCCAACCAAUGGGAGUACUGAGCGGUGGUCGCAAAAUUUGAUUUCUGGUGAGUGCGUUUGUCUUUUAAAAGCAGAAUUUAAAAGAAAUUUAUUCUUGUCGUUUUCUUCUCUGUUUUUAUUUGAUUUCUGGUUAGUUUCUCUCUCGCACUGCCAUUACUGUUUUAAUUUCCUGUCAAAAGACGAGCGAGAAGAACAUAUAUAUGACGUAAACCAAUUGAUAAAUAUUAAUUGCCUGUUCUCUGUUUUUAUUAAGUAUACUUUAUUUUGCCCUGUUCUCUGUUUUUAUUUCAUUCUCUCUCUCUCCCUCUCUUUCCUGUCUUCUGCAAGUCAUAAUUAAAUGUUGAAUUAUAUGGAAUUAAUGCUUUAUAAAUCUGCCUACGCUGGCUUUUUUUUUUUUUUUUGUGGGGUCGAAUUGAUGCUCUGGUUUUCGACUACUUUUUGUUGUCAAAAUUUUCUCUGUUUUUUCAAAUUGAUGCUUUAUUUAUAUCUUCUUCGUGAAAAGUGAUUUAAUUUCCUGCCAAAAGACGAACGAGAAGAACAUUAGAGUCUAACUAAUGCUCACAUAAAUUUCCCGUAAGAAUAUAUAUAUAAUUAGACUGGAAUGCACACCUCUAGAUUGAACAGAAUUAAAGCUGAGAAAAUAUUGAGUAUAGUAGCCCUCUUUACAGAAAAUGACGCGAAAGUUAAUUUAGAAAAAGAUAUAUUCUUGAUUAAUCCAUUUUCUGAAGUUUUUUAUUUUGUAUGGUCAAUUAUACCUUCAUACUAAAAAUUUCUGAAGUUAUGGGGUUGUUGGAUGUGUUUUGGAUAUUUGCAGCUAAGUUUGAGUUUAUAUCUCAACUUAAAAUUUGUAGUUUUCACUUGAAAAAAUUCAGUUAAAAAUUUAUUGGUAGAAUUGUGAAAAAAGUUAAAAUUUUUAGUUCAACCCGAUUGCAUAUUUAAGAACAUCUCAAAUGAAUUGCUUACUGCUAUCAUCAUCAUUAUUGUCCAUAUAAUAAUGGAUCUUUAUUAUAUAUAUAUAUGUUUCCACUAAAAUAUAUUUAAUUAUUCUUUAUUUUUCCAUUGUUGCGUGUAAGAUUUAUUUGAGUUCUAAGUUAUAUCAAUACAAAUGUUAUCUUAUCCAUAAAAAAGUUAGAUCCAACAAUUAUGAAAAUUACCAUAGAGUUGCUUUCAAUUAUUUUUUAAAAAUACCAGGAGUAAAUAAUAAUUAGUUCAAGUGGUGUAGACUAAAAAGUGUUCACCUUUAUUUUUUAUCUGUUAUUUAUUUAUUUCAUUAAUGCACAUGCUAUACAUUUGAGACACUCCAUCCUAUGCAAUGUGAAUAAAUUUCUUUCCUUUUUCCUUUACUCUUUUUAUUUGACAAUAAAGUUUCCAUCUAUCAUCUAUCAUCUAUCAUCUAUGUACGCAAAAUUUCUGCAACAAGUACAAAACAUAAAAAUAUAUAUGAUUGUUAAGGGAAACACGCAGAAGUUCAUCAUUUCAAUGUUCAGUAUUACCAAUUUUGGCAUUAAGCUUGUACGAAUAUAUUCCACUUAGAAAGCAAAAUAUUAGACUCAUGAUUUUAAUUCAUUCAUUAUCUCUCAUUUUAAUCCCAAAAUAUUCAAGAGUAUCCAAGUUACCAUAAGACUUCAGAGGCUCGAGCCUUAGCCAGAGAUGGUUAAUUGAUAGACUAUGUGCCUGGGUCGAGCACUGGAAGCCUGCAAUGCAGACUGAUUGAUUUAUCAGUUUGACGUGUGCCAGGAAUGAAGAACUGGAAUAUCACCGUCAAGCACGCACCCUGUGGAGCAAUACCAAAGAAUGCACAAUCUGGCUUUGCUAGGUGACACUGGAGGCUUUUUGAAAAGUGCUUCACGCUCACUUGCACAGAUUGAGCAUCCCCUCCGGAUAUUGCCCUCUCUGAUCGAGUCCGAGCACUCAAAUUUCAAUCCUCAGAUGGAGCUACAGCUUUCUCUCCAAUAACCAACAAUUUUCUAAACUCAGCUCCUAGUGUGAUGAGAGUUGUUGAUAUUUGUAAAUGGAGAUCCCCAUAUUUGCAAAUGGAGACAUUUAACAAAUCACCAACAUGCUUCAUUCGGUCUACGAAAUUCUGCAGCUGAUUCAAAUCCGGAACCUGAACCAGAGUCGGAGGUAAAUCUUGAGCCAUAUCUAAAGCAGUCUGAAGUUCAAGUACUUGAGCCCUUGACAAUGGUUUUGAAAUAGGAACAUCUUGGAUUACUGCAGACUUGUACCCCUUGGUUUCAAAGGUAAGGAAAGGCAUUGCUUGAGUACAAUUUGGAGGCAGCUUCUUCACCAAUUUUAUUUGGAGGCGAUUGGCAGCGGAUCCAGCUGCACCAAUUUCAGAGCAAAUACUGACACUACUUCGAACAGCACACUGAAGAAGUGAUAUGUCUACGGCAAAGGCAAUGCAGUCCUCAUUUUGGCUUGAGAUGCAGUAAUCAUCGAAGAGAGUUUCCUUGUGAAACUGGGCAACACAUUGAAUCCCUUCGCCACUGAGAAGGUUGUGGAGGAAGUAAGCUUUCUCUCUAGUGAGGAAGAGGUGGCAUACCUUCCCCAUUUUGUCUAGGGCAGGUAGGAAUCAUUUUUCUAAGAGAUUUACUUCAUUCUCUGUGAGAAAUGAAUUGAACUUCAUCCCUCUGUCUCUAUCCUCACUUAUCAGAAAAUAAGUUGAAAGCACUUCGGAGAGAGAGAGAGAGAGAAUUAAGAUAUAUAGACAAGAAAAAUAUUAGACGUUGAUCUUACAAACUAAUACUUCAAGCAGUAUCCUAGAAAGCUAAAAACUGCAAGAUGGCUUGAAAUUUGAAAAGAGCACGUGCUUUUCCUCCUUAACUUGAGAAAAUGUUUAAUAUAGUGCACCUACAGAAGCAUUUAAGCAAUUAGAACUUUGCACAAAAACAUCAAGAAGACUAAACAAAUCAGAUGCAGUGUAUUUGUCCAAGCACAAAUUGCAUUUUGUCCUCAACUUUAAUAUUUAUUGAUGAGAAUCAAUACAGGUCCCUCAUUUGAUAUAGAAAGCUUUCUUUCUUGUAGUCUCACCAGUUAAUUCACAGGUCUAUAAUCAUCUUGCAAAGUUAAGGGCAUUUCUUUCGAUCUAAAGUCUUUGCAUCACCACCUCAUCACACGCCAAGCCAAUAUUCCAUUUACCUCUACAACAAAAAGUUUUAAGUAAACAAUCCUAAUGCACGCAGCCAAAUAAAAUGCAGUAAGAAUAUUCAACUUAAAAAUCUGAAAGCCGACUUGGUGAAUUGCCUCCUUAGGUGAAGUUCCAUGCUUUACUAUAGUUGACAGAACUCAGCAAAAGCUUCCAUACAACAGAUUUUGAAAAUGAUGAUGCCAAUAGAUACUCAUUCAAUCCAUUGAAAAUCCAAAGGUUCAUUGUUAAUAGAAGUUUACAGAGUUUUGGUCAUCAAAUAGCUCAGACCUAAUCCCAAACAAAAAACGAGUGAAAAUUAGAUCACGAGCAGCUGAUUGUAAAUUCUAACUUAACUCUUCAUCUCCUUUGUAAACAAGAAACAAAAUGGAGACACGCAAAAUGAAUAUGGAGAAAAUUUGAACUCAAAUGAAAUGAGGGCACGAAAGCAAACAAAUGGCAUGCACAAAAAAACCAAGCCUCAAUCAAAAACUAAUUAACCAUUAAGAAAAAAAUUGGUCAGAUAAUGAACUACAAAUUCAGGAGUCAAGCAAGAAGCUUUCAUUAUUUCAGAAGCUCCUGUACAAAUUAAUAAGUUAUGCUCUUUGGAAGCAAACCUAAAUUCCAAGAGAAACAGAACCCAAAAAAUUUGCAAUUAUACGCAAAGGGAGUGAAGCACAGGAUUCUAUCACACAUAGGAAUUGUAUAACAAGAGAUCGAUAUAUCGAAUUAGAAAACUCAAUUCGAAUUUGUGUCAAAAAUCAAAAUUAGAAGAUUUCACAUUUCGAGAGGAACAAGCAACAGAUGAAGUUCAAAAUUUCAGCCAUAACAUGCUAAAAAUGCUACACUUAACGGUUCAUUUUCAUGGAUUUUCUCGGGAAACAAACAGAAAAUUACGGUUUAGAGAUUUGACUGACCUUUUGGCUUUUGAAAUUGAGAAGAUCGCACGCCAAAUUGGAAGAGGGAAAGUGAAAGUGCGAGUUUUAAUAUGGGUAUUAGAUAAGGAAAUUUUAUUAGGUUGCGAGGGUAAAAAAGGAAAGAGAUAUCAUUGUUUUAUUAUCGAUAAUUAUUAAAUUUUUUUCCAAAAAAAAAGAACAAGCAAGGAUAUUUUAUUGUCAUUUGCAACCUUUAAUUUUUUAAAUGCUAUUAGAAACACAAGACAAUAAAGAAAUACUUAUUUUUUUCUAAAACUAAAAUCAAUUGUUUAAAAAAAAUUGUUUCAAAAUUACUUGAGUCAUAUCCAAUGGACCAACAAAGUAAUCGUUUUUAUUUUUAUUGAUUUUUGCAGGAAAUUAAUAACUUAAAAAUACUGAAAGCUAUUGUAAAAAUUUUUAUUAUCAACCUCAUAGUUUUUUUUUUUUUUUUUGGGAAGAGAAUUCAAACUUUUUUUUUUAUGAAUAUCGCUGUUUCGUUUGAGUUGGAUGUGAAUUCAAAUACAAAUAUUCUUUGUUUUUCAAUUCUGAACUCAAUUUCUUUUUUUCAAGAAUGUUAUGCAGAAAUGAUUUUUACUGAACGGCAACAAAUGAAAAGGCUGGGCCAAGUGGAAUGGUGGGUUUCGAGGGUGGAUGCUGUUAAAAUUGAAGCUGAUGAACUUAUCAGAGACGGCUCUCAAGAAAUUGACAAAUUGUGUGUUGGAGGCUACUGUUCUAAGAACUGCACGUCAAGCUACAAGUUCGGGAAACAAGUGGCUAAAAAGCUACGAGAUGUGGAGACUUUAAUCGCUGAAGGAGUUUUUGAGGCGGUGGCUACCGAGGUGGUGCCUGAGAGAGCAGAGCCUGUAGCAGAUGAAAGACCUACCGAGCGAACAGUAGUAGGCUUGCAAUCACAACUUGAACAAGUCUGGAGAUGUCUUGCAGAAGAAUCAGAGGGAAUCAUUGGCCUAUAUGGUAUGGGCGGUGUUGGUAAAACUACAUUACUGACCCAUAUCAACAAUAAAUUUCUCGAGAGUCCAACCAACUUUGAUUGUGUGAUUUGGGUAGUAGUUUCAAAAGACCUGCGACUUGAAAAAAUUCAAGAAGAUAUUGGGAAAAAGAUAGGUUUGGUUGGUGAUUCAUGGAAGAGUAAAAGUGUAGAGGAGAAAGCUGUCGACAUCUUCCGGAGUUUAAGAGAGAAGAGAUUUGUAUUGUUGUUAGAUGAUAUAUGGGAGCGGGUUGAUUUAACAAAGGUGGGCGUUCCACUUCCCGGACCCCAAAAUACUACCUCAAAAGUCGUAUUCACAACCCGUUUCAUCGAUGUUUGUGGUAGCAUGGAAGCUGACAGGAAGUUCCAAGUGGCGUGCUUAUCAGAAAAGGAUGCUUGGGAACUGUUUCGAGAAAAAGUUGGGGAAGAAACUCUUCAGAGUCAUCAUGAUAUCGUUGAGCUAGCCCAAAUUGUGGCCAAAGAGUGUGGUGGUUUGCCACUCGCACUUAUUACUAUUGGUCGAGCUAUGGCCUGCAAAAGGACAGCCGAGGAGUGGAGACACGCAGUUGAAGUGCUAAGAAGAUCAGCUUUUGAGUUUGCAGGUUUGGGAAAAGAGGUAUAUCCUCUAUUAAAGUUUAGCUAUGAUAGUUUGCAGAAUGAGACGAUUAGAUCUUGUUUCUUAUAUUGUUGUUUAUAUCCCGAAGAUUAUGGAAUUCUUAAAUGGGACUUGAUUGAUUGUUGGAUUGGUGAGGGAUUCUUAGAGGAAUCUGACAGGUUUAGUGCAGAAAACCAAGGAUACUACAUUGUGGGCACUCUUGUUCAUGCAUGUUUAUUAGAAGAGUUAGAAGAUGAUAAAGUAAAAAUGCAUGACGUUAUUCGUGAUAUGGCUCUAUGGAUAACCAAUGAAAUUGAGAAGGAGAAGAGAAACUUUUUGGUUCGUGCAGGUGCUGGAUUAAAAGAGGCACCGGAUAUUAAAGGAUGGGAAAAUGUGAGAAGAUUGUCAUUGAUGCAAAACCAAAUUAAAACUCUGUCAGAGGUUCCUUCAUGCCCUCAUCUCCAUACUCUAUUUCUUGCCUCUAAUGAUAAUUUGAGGAUGAUCACAGAUGGCUUCUUUCAAUUUAUGCCUUCUCUCAAAGUUUUGAAGAUGUCAAACUGUGUGGAUUGGCCAGUUUCGAAAUUACCUUUGGCGAUGUCAAAGUUGGGUUCACUACAACUUCUUGAUAUUUCACAUACCGGCAUAGAAGAGUUACCAGAAGAGUUGAAGUUGUUGGUAAAUCUGAAAUGUUUGAAUUUGAGGUGGACAUUUGAGUUAAAUAAAAUUCCAUGGCAACUAAUAUCAAAAUUUUCAAGGUUACGUGUGUUGAGAAUGUUCGCUACUGGCUUUGCCCGUUUUGAUGAAGCAUCAGAAGACAGCGUUUUAUUUGGUGGGGGUGAAGUUUUAGUACAGGAAUUGGUCGGUCUGAAAUAUUUAGAGGUAUUGGAGUUGACCUUGGGAUGUCAUCAUGCUCUCCAAAUUUUUUUGAGAUCAAAUAAGUUAAAAAGUUGUAUUCGAUCUCUUCUCCUCCACUUGGCCGGAGAUACAACGUCGAUUAUCGAUGCUACGGCUUUCGCAGAUCUAAACCACCUCAAUGAAUUAUGGAUUGAUAGGGCUAAGGAGUUGGAAGAAUUGAAGAUUGAUUAUACAGAGAUAGUUCGAAAAAGGCGGGAACCUUUUGUUUUCCGCAGCCUUCACCGUGUUACUAUACAUAGCUGCCAGAAGUUGAAAGAUACGACAUUCCUCGUUUUUGCUCCAAACCUCAAGUCUCUCGAUCUAGACCGUUGCGAUGCUAUGGAAGAAAUAAUCAGCGUCGGAAAAUUUGCUGAGACUCCUGAGAUGAUGGGACAGAUAAGCCCUUUUGAAAAUCUCCAAAUGCUUGAUUUAGAAGAUUUGCCACAUUUGAAGAGCAUCUUCUGGAAGCCAUUGACUUUCACUCAUCUGAAAGAAAUAUCUGUGGGUUAUUGCCGUAAUCUUAAAAAGCUUCCACUCGAUUCCAACAGUGCAAAGGAGCGUAAAUUUGUUAUUCGUGGAGAAGAAGACUGGUGGAACCGACUUCAAUGGGAGAAUGAAGCCACUCAAAUUGCUUUUCGUUCCUGUUUCCAAUCUCUUUUUGAUUAACUCUUAUACAUUUUCUCGUCGUUUGCUUCGUGCAAAAAAGACUACGUCUUUUGUUCUCUGUUUUUAUUUCAGUUUCGUUUGUUGUCUCCUGCAAAUCACAAUUAAAUGUUGAAUUAUAUGGAAGUAACGCUUUAUAAAUUUUCCGGCACUGCCAUUUCUUUUUCCUCUUUUUUUUUUUGGGUCGAAUUGAUGCUCUGGCUUUUUUACUUUUUGUCAUCGAAUUUUGCUCUGUUUUUCAAAUUGAUGCUUGAAUAUGUGAAUUCAAUUAAUGCUCACAUAAUUUUGUUUAGUUGCCGUAAAAAGAAUAUAAUUAGACUGCAAUUCGCACUCCCAGAAUGAAUAGAAUCACAACAGAGAAAAUAUUAAGUAUGCUAGCCCUCUUUACAGAAAAUCAAAUGAAAAUAAAAUUUUUUGGAUAUUUGAUUUUCUAUGGUCUACUAUAUACAGUUUAUAAAUUCUUCUGUUCUAAGGAUAACCAAAUCCUUUGUUCAAGGAUUUUUAUUUGGGGUAUUGAUAAUAGUCCACCAAAAUAGUGAAUGCUUGGAUGCUGCUUAAGGAUCUGUAAUCAAUAAGCUGGAAGCAAACGAGAAGGCGGUCGCUACUCUGUACAAAGCCAUGCAGCAAUUGCUAUUCAUCUUAAAUUCUUAAUAAUUACGAAGCUUUGGUAAAAUUUCCGAACAAAGUUGACAUGUUAUUUUGAGAUUUGGUUCCUGAUUUUGUAUGAAUAUCGCUGUUUCGUUUGAGUUGGAUGUGAAUUCAAAUCCAAAUAUUCUUUGUUUUUCAAUUCUGAAAUCAAUUUCUUUUUCUCAAGAAUGUUAUUCAGAAAUGAUUUUUACUAAAUCAUUUUUGAUGAAUUGUUUAAAUUAAACAAUUGGAAUAAGAAUUGUAACGAUUUAUCAUAAGCGUGCUAAUAUGAUAACUUAUUUUACGAACGAUUAAUUAAUUAAUCAAUUAAUGUUAAAUUAUAUAUUAAUCAAUUAGCUAUGUGUUGCAUUUAUCAUGUUUUGUAGGUGAUUCUACAUAAUUUCUAAAAGAAUAUAGUAAAAACACGUUAAAAAUUAUUUAAUGAAGAAAAUUUUAUUAAAUAGGUGACACAAUAAUAAAUGGAUUUCUGUAAGAAUUGAGAUUCUUGAGAUAAUUAUUACAUAAGGAGAAGUUUAGUUGGUUCAAUUUUGACAUGAUAAGAAGACAACACAGCACAGAAAACCCAAAUUGCCACUUCCACUAAUAAAAGAUACCUGUUUGAAAAGUAAUUAUAAACUAUCUUCUUUGUGUUAUUUCUCAAAACUUUUGUGGCACAAAUGUUAUUUCCAUUGACAACAGUACGAAAUACCACCCCUUUCACUUGAGCAGGAGCAAAGCAAAGGUAUGAUGAGCUAUCUCUGUAUAAUUGAAACGCCAUUACUAAACGAUUCUUGAUGAUGGGAGCCACCGUGCCAGCUUUGUCGCUGAUUUGCAUGAUUUAUUAGUUGUCCAGAUGGCGGAUUUUGUACUGUUACCUUCGUUUCAUUCUUCAGAGCCAUGUACAGUUCUAGGAUACCAGAGAAACCAAGGUGGCAUUGAAGUUGCCCCAGUGGUUAGUUUUCCGAUCAUUUUUUUUAUUCAAUUAUUUAUGUUUGUAGAAAAAUGUAGGAAAUAUGUAGAAAUGUUGACAGCUAUGAUUUUGAAACUUUUGCCUAAAAUUGUUAUCAUUACUUCUUGUUUCUUAUUUAAAGAGAAAUUCUAGAAACAUGAAAUGAUUAUUCUACGCUUGUUUUAAUAUUAUGCUAUGAAGAUUAUGAAGGUUUGAUUAUAUGUCACUAUCAAUUGCCUUAAUCGUUUGUCGUAAAUCAAUUAAGCAUUUUGAUGCAAAUGAUUCCCUAUUAAAAAAUUCAAGUCAGAGCUGAAUUGCAAAUUAGUUAGUCGUGCUUGCCAUUCAAAUUAAGUAUUGUAUUUUCUCCCUGAUUUGGUUGAUUCAACUAUGUGCAUUUGCUUAUGAACGUUGUAGUACAGAAAUUGAAACAUCUUGUCUUUUGCUAAGCCCAGAAGCAAAUUCUUUGUAUUCUACUCAUCAGUUUUCUUCAUUCUCUUCGUUGAAAUUUUAUCCAAACAGCGGUUUCGAAAUUGUUUUCACCACAAUACCUUAGUCUUUCAGAUGCUCCCGUCACUGAGUUGCCAGAAGAGCUAAAAGCCUUGGUAAAUCUUAAGUGUUUGAACCGGAGUACACAAAUUAUCUCUCUACAAUUCCAAAACAACUGAUUUGUUACUUUUCGAUGCUACAUGUUCUGCGAAUAUUCAGUUGUGAUUAUCUUGUUCAAAUACCAGAAAAUAGCGUUCUAUUUAGUGGUAAUGAAUUCUUGGUUUGGGAGUUGCUUAGUUUAAAACGUUUAAAUGUAUUAAGCAUCAUCUUGAAAAGUUUUUCUGCCGUCCAAAAACUUAUGAGCUCCCAAAAGUUUCAAAGCUGUACACAAUGCUUGGAGCAUAUAGGCUGUGAUGAUCCAAAGUCAUUUGCCUUGGCAGAGUUGAAACAUCUUGAAAAACUAGGUUUUUCGAGUUGUGGAAAUUUGGAAGAGUUAAAGUUCUGCUGUGUCGAAGUUGCAAAGGCUCGAGAAUGUUUUCGUUUGAACGGCCCUUGCUGAGUUAAGAUGAAGGCUUGUCAUAAAUUGUGGGAAGCGACAGGUUAUUCAAAUAGAAAAAUGUAUGGAGAUGGAUGUUAAUCUUAAGGUUAUUCAAGCAGACAAAUUCGAAUAAAACUUAUGGUAAGUGCUUUUCCAUUUAUUGCAUAUUUAUAUCUAAUUUUUAUUUUCCUUUAUUGUUAAAUUUUGCUCUAUAUUUGUUGUUGUAUGGUGGCAUUCUUGUACAAUUAUUAGCUUUUCAUUUCUCUUCUCACAUUAACUGCCCUUCUGAUCAUGUAGGAUUUGCUGAUGCAAAGAGUCAUAAUUUGGGAUACAAAUGUAAGAAUUAGACAGAUGACGUGUUGUUUUGAAGCUCUCGAAGAAGAAGGACUAAUUAUGUCAUUGAAAGCCUCCAAUUUUGUGAUUGGUUUCUUUUUAUUUUAUUUGUUGUUUUCUCUAUUUUCAGAUCGCUUAAUUGUUAGUUGUUGUAAUGUAAUGUUUUAGUAUAGAAAAUUAUAUUCGGCCAAGACAGCGAUAGGAAGGCACAUUGUGCAUGCACACUAGUGGAUUUGGCAUGCCAACUCCAAUUAGGAUGGAUAACACUUUAUAAGCAUUAGGCUUCUCUCGUACUUGAGUAAUAUAGAAUAUGUUUAUAAGUUGUGAAUCACCCUUUAUAAGUGUUAGGCUUCUGCUAUACUCAGUGAUGUGAAAUAUAUUUAUAAGCACUAAACUUCUCCCAUACACUUUAUGUUAAAAAUAAUAAUAAUAAUAAUAAUAAUAAUAAAAUAAACCCAUUUUAACAGACUCUUUUUUCUUUUUCUAUAUGAACAAAUGCAUUCUUCAAAGCAAUUGUGGGUAGAAGAAGUGAGUAGAGAAGAACUGGGCCCCUUUCAUUCCCCUAAAACCUCACCAAAACCUCUCUUGUAAGCUUUUCGGAUUUUCUUUCUAUAUUUCUUAGGAACUCAUUUUUUAUUGAAUCACUUCUUUUGCAUGCUGCAUUUUUUGUUUGUCGUAUUUGGGUAUUAUCUUAUCUGGAAUACUGUUAUGAUUGAUGGAACAAGUAAUCGAUUUUUGGUCUAAUGGAAGUUGAUUUAUUUAUUUAUUGUUAUUUUUAUUUGAAAUUAUGUACAAUUGCAUUUCAUUCAUUUCUCUCUCUCUUUUUCUUUUUUUCCCCCCAUAUAUUUGUUAUGUAUAAUUGCGUUUCAUUUAAUAUUGAUCAUACUGUAGGUAACCAUGUGAUUGUAGAUUGGGAUUUCAAGUUUGUUGAAUAUUCAUGUAAGUGAAGUAACCGUCACAAUACUAGUGAAAUUGGGAGCUUUAUUCAUGAGUUUGUGGUUUUGAAAAGAACCACAGUUCAACUGAUGAAGGCUCCUUUUUGGGAUUCUUCUUUUUCUAGGCUGCAAUUAGGAUAUGUACAUGAUAGACAAUCUUUUGUUGGCUUGGCAUAUCUUCGCUGAUUUUUUCUUUUAUUCCCCAAUUUUAUAAUUACACACCAUGAAUGUUGGGUGAUUGUAUAGAAAAUUUGUGUUAUAACAAAAACAUUGUGAAGGAGUUUCCGUGCUAAUAGUUAGUGGCUUCUGUUUUAUUGGCAUUGAUUGGGUAGAUUACGUGUUACAGUGAUUCAAUUUGUGUUCCAAACUUUGCUUUAAUUUUCUGUUUUCCCCAACUAUUUAUGUCAAAUUUAAAUCCAGAAGCAUGUACUGAUUUUUUCUUUUUGUAUUAAUCUGUGAAGUUUAUUUGGAAUGGAAGUAACUGGGUCGGGUCUAAUGGAUUAAAUUAUGACAUUGAGGGGAAGGCACUAAAAGGGUUUGCUUGACACAUUUGGUUCUGUGUUUACUCUGCAAGAAAUAGCUUUUGCUUAUUGCAAUGCAGGGGGAAAUCCCGAUUUGGCUGGUGAAUUUCUCUGCAACAAACAGGCAAACACCUCAACCUCUUCUGUCCAUACUUCUGCUGGGGAGGCAAGGGGUAAAGAGUCUUCAAAAUCAUCAAAUAGUAACAUCUCUGAGAAUUCAUUUUAUGGAAAUGGAAAAUCUAGAGCUUCUAAUACAAAAUGGCAUCUGGUAUCAGGACGUACCGUUUCAAGUUUUCUUGGUAAAGAUUAUGUUAAACCUGCACAGCCAGCUAAUGGCACUUUUCUGGCAUCAAAGCCAUUGAAGUUGGAUCCAAAGGAGUUUCCCAUGUCUGCACUUUGCAGAGAAGAAUCUAAACCGAAACAAUCAAAGGAUGACCAUUUGCAGAAGGACAUGGAAGAUUUUCUGUUUAAAUUUCCAGGAGAAGGGUUCCAGCUGAACAGGGAUGUGAUUCAGGAGGUUCUCGGUAAUGUCUUAAAUAUAUUGAUGCCAAUUUAAUACAUAUUGUCCUUUUCAAUGUUCUUUCUUUCUUUCUUUCUCUUCUUUUAUUCUUCUUCUUCUUCUUUUUUCUUUUCGUGUGCAUGUGAUUGCUAAUUUUGUAUUAUUUUUAACUUGCAGAUAGUUGUGGAUAUGAUAUGCAAAAGGUAAGGACUAUAUCCUCCUGAUAGAGGCCUCUGCUUUUUCCCUUCUAUGUACGUAAUUUAGUAAAUCGCAUAUUCUAUAUAUCAUACCAAAAUCCUGUCUUAAAUGCUGCUGGCAUAUGUUAAGGUUCAACUUGCAUUUUGAUUAACGUCCAUUUGCUACGGCUUCCAAAAUUGAGAAUGAGAUACUUUGGUUAAUUUCAGUAGUUGAACCCAAUAGGGUACUUUAUUUAGAUCUUCAUGGUUCAAAGGCCCGAAAAAACUUGCAGGUAUUUGCAAAAUGACAUUCUGUGCUUUUAUUUAUACUUAUUAUUUAAGUGAUAAAAAUUCCCCAAACCUGCGGUCAAGAAAAUUUCAGACAGUUAAAGACUCCAUUUUGUUUCAGCCAAAAAUGUUUAUUUCAAUUAAAGAUUUGAACCAUUUUCAUUUAACCUGAUUGUGAUGCUUUACAUUGUGCACGUUCCUUUCGAUCAAUAAACGUUGAGGUCAUGAUUUUAUAUUCCUAUAUUGUAACCUAAAAUAAUAGUUGGUUUGCCUGUUUCUGUAGCUUGAUAACAUGAAUUUUCCUUCUGAAGUUACUUUGAUCAAUAAAGUUAUUCUUCGGAGAAGAUAUGCCCAUUCUAUAAUCAUUUUCUUAGCUAAUAUGUUUUUUUCACUCUUCUGAGCAUGUCUAAACUAAUUGAUCGCUCGGCAGAGACUGUGGGUAAGAAAACAAAAUUUCAUGGUAAAUCCUCUUAAAAGGUAUGCAUAAUUGAAAUGACCCGCCCCGAAUUCCCCUCAGGCGAGUCUAUCUAGUCUCAUCAAAACGGACUUGAUAAUAAUUCUAUUAGUAAAGACUCUGCCAAAAAUUCGGCAGAAUUUUUUUUUUUUUAUAUAUAACACUCCCAAUCUACAAAUAUGAAUAUAACACUCCCAAUACAAUUCAGUAUACAACAAACUCCAGUGAUCAACAUCUUCAACCAAAAUGCUGAGCUUUAUAUCUCCAGAGUCUCAAAAGAUAAUAUUAUAACUAAUAUUAAUAUCUUAGUUUAUUCUUAAUCCCAAAAGAAUAAUAUAACAAAAUUAUACAAUCCCAACAGGACGAGAUAACCAAGAUGUCCUAACAAAAAUAUUUAUAUCUUCUAACACCAUCACGUGGCCGAGAUUCAAAAUAUAUUUACAGUCGCUAGGUCGGUCUGGUGUACCUGCAACCUCCUGGUGAGGGGGGAAAAAUAUAAUAAAAACGGGGUGAGUUUAAAACUCAGUGAGAUCAGUGAGUGAAUAGUAGUUUUGAAAAUUAAUUCUUACUUUAAAAAAAAUAAUCGUAUCAUUUCCAAACACAAUUUCAUUAAACCAUAAGCGAGAAACCAAUAAUAAAUCAUUAAACAUUUAAAUCAUAUUACUAACCAUAGAAAUCAUAUCACAAUAUCAUAUAGAAUACACAAAUCUAAAAAUCAUCACCAAACAAGUACCCAGAGAAAUAAUCUCGUCAUAUCCGAACCUCAACAGACGGGCAAUGACGUACUAUCUAGGUAACGUCACACCCCGGAGCUACACGGAUAGACAGGGAAAUACCAUCUCAUAUCUCAUCAUAUAUGUGCAUGCAUAAUCUAGUCCCCAAGGGACAAAAGCGCCCAAGCACACGGCCCAAAGCCUCUGUGUAUACUCAGAGGGACCCCAAAGGCCUAUAUCUCAUAUGUAUCAUAUGUAUCAUUUGUAUCUCAAUUAUCUCAUAUCCGUAUAUCUGUAAUCAUCAUACCGCAUGCAUAUGCCCCCAAAAGGAAAAAGCGUCCAAACACACGGCCCAAAGCCUUUAUAUAUAUUCAGACGGGUCCUAAAAGCCUCUCAUCUCAUCUUAUCUGUAUCACUGUAUCUGAAGGGAAUGGUACUGUCUAAUGAUUUCAAAAACAAUCAUUAUACUCAUAUUCACAUACCUCUUAAUCAUAUUUUAAAUCAUACCACAUUUGAAUCCACUUUUCUUAUCUUUAAAAUACUAUCAUGCUUUAUUCAAAGUCGAUACGCAAAAUCAAUAACCAAACAUUUUAAUAAAAUACCAAUGCGUAAAUAAAAUCCAUUUCGAGAAAUCAUUAAAUCAGAACAUUUAAAAUACUUAUUUCGCAAACAUGCUUUACUAUCAUCGCUAACUAUGAAAAUAAGUUUUGUAUAUUCCACUCACAGUGACGGUGUUCACGGUCGGUUCUCGCUCGCGGAUCCUCCUAAAUCAACGAAACGACAUAAUUAUUUUCCGUAAAUCGGAAUUAUGACUAAAUUUUAUGCAAUAAAUUUAAAACGAACAUAUAUUCAUAAUUGACAACUCCUGUGUCCAUAAAAUUACUAAAAUGCCCUUGAGUCUGUAAAUCAUUAACAUGCUUCGAAAUCGUAAAUUACUGAAUUACUCUCGGAAUCGUAAUUACACUCAAUCCUCAAUUCUAGGAAUUACUAACAUAUCCACGGGCUCAGAAAUUACAAAUUUGCCCUCAUAGUGUGAAAUUACCAAAAACUGGAAUUUGGUCAACACUGGCUAGGAAGCUCAAAUCGUAAAGUUCCAAUCACGCUGAGUUCAAUGGUACCGGCGAUGAUCUCCAACGCGCGGCAACGACGCCGGAAUCUAGCUCGGCAGCCGUGAAUUCCACCAAUCGACCGGCGGCAAAACAGUGACUCUCGGUGCCUAUGGAUGGUCGGAAAUGGAAGAGGGAGUCGUGGGGAACAAAAUUCAACCGGUGGUGUAGCCAAAACCGGCGAAAAUCCCGGCGGAGCAAAGUGAAACAGUCGCGGGUUUCAAGCUUCGAUCGCCGGUGUUCCGAUUGGUUUUUGGCGAGGAGGAUGGCAAGGGAACGACGGCCGGCUUCUAAGCUUCAGAUUGGUACCAAGCUCGGCCGAAACGGUGGCCGGAAAUGGGAGAUAUGGCCGGGUCAAGGUCGCGGGUUCCGGGUCGGGUUUUCGGGUCUGUAGUUGGGUCGGUUUGGCAGCUUCUCUCUCACUCUCUGUUACACGUGCAUAUGUUUCCUCUGUUUCUAGCUUAUUCUUUUGCUUUUACUAACUUCUUAACCGCCUCAUACUUAUUCAUUUUUAAUUCACAUAUGUUACAAUAAUUCCCGAGUAUUAAAUAACCAGUGGUCAUAAUUUUUGUACACGACUCUUUUUUUUUUUGGAGAUCGUUAAAAGUGAUUGACGAUCCAUUUUGUAAUAUCAUAGAGGGAUCAUCAAUUCCUUUUCUUUUCUGUGGCUAGGCAACACUUUUUGGCCAAAGUAAGGAAAUCUAUUUUAGGUAAUGUAAAAACCAGUUGUAGGAUGUAAUAGUUUAUUAUGCACUGACAAUAACUUUUUGUAUAAUUGUCAGUUUAAUGAAUACAAGAGGAACUCUGUUGGCAAAUUCAUCCAAGAUAGAUGCUAAAAUUAUUUAUGCAUGCCAGUUGCCUUAACUAAGUUUUCUCAGCACUGGUUUUGAACAGGAAAAUGAAUAUGCAAUUUGUAGAUUGUGCCAUAGUGGAGAAUUUGUAUAUUCUUAUUUAAGUAACAAGGAGAUUAUUUACCUCAUCUUUAAACAAUGAAUCUUUGAGAGAUGAGGAGUGGGUGAUUGGCUGUGUCUUCAUGUAAUUGUUCAUUUAUUUGUAUUUUGAACUGUUAUGAAAAUCUUUAUAUGCCAAAUUAGUAAUACAAGUAUUCAGAUGAUUUUUCCUAUUGAUCAUGCAUUUGUAUCUGCCCACAACCAUUGUAUAUCACUUUAUUCUGAUGCGCAAGCAUCUGUAAUUUAGAAGAAAAGAAAUAAUAAUCAUAUUUUAUUGCUUGGUUCAUGAUUAUUAACGAUUAUGGCUUUAAAAAUCUACAAAUUUCUUGUGUUCAUGUAUGAAUGUGCCAAGUUUGCUGUAUCUUAGAUUACCUUCUUCCAAGAUAACAAGUUCAUAUAUAUUUUUUUUUAAAAUCCUUUUCCAUUACAGUUGAAUUUCAAGUGUUAGUUUUGUUAUUAGUACCUGGUUUCCUGUUAUUAGGAUCUAAUAAACAGUGUACGGAUAUGUGCUCUACUUUUGGAGGGCCUCCACGUGAAAGAAAAUUGCAACAAUUGAAUUCUUCCGGAGGGUAUGGUAAUUAAUUUAUUUUCUCAACUUGUUGUAAGACUAAUAUAUUUCCUUCAGUAGGCACGGCAUGGUGGGAAGGGUUUUUAUUGAAAGAAUUCUGAUAUUUCUUAGACUUUGUUUUGGAAGGGGGUGGAGGGAUUUCUCAUCCAUAUAUGGUUACUUGAUUAGCUUUUGACUGUAUUGUCUCCGUCGUGCAAAGGAAAAUCUAAAUACUAACGAUGGGGAAUUGCUUAGGCACCCAAAAGGCAGAAAUGAAUUACAGAAGGAAGUUUUUGCUGCUUUAUUUAGUGCUGCUGAGAAAUCUGAUGAAUUUCCUGAAAUUACGGUGAAGACCGAGUGGAGGUCCAAAGCAUUAGGAAAGGUGGUGAGUGAACUGCCGGAGGAAUUAGUACCAGAAUACAAGGCUAAUGUGGUGCACUUGCAGCAAGAUAACCAGACCGGUAUGUGCUCUUAUAUUAACUAUAUUGACUGGAUUUGUUAGUGUGUGCAUUUUUUUGUGUAUACUCACUUUUGUAUUUAUGCAUAUUAACAUGUGUAGGAUUCUUGAUUUCUGCCACUUACUGGAGAACUAGUGGAAAGCUUUAUACUGAUAUAUCUGCAAUAACUAAUGGAAACUAUGAUAUGAAUAUUUUCUCUCACCUGGGGAGCUGUGUAACAGAUAUACUUUGUGGCUCUGGAAUGCUGAAGAUUCUGCAAUAACUAAUGGAAAAUAUGAUAUGAAUAUUUUGUCUCACCUGGAGAACUUUGUUACAGAUACCCUUUGUGGCUCUGGAGUGUCUAAAGAAUGCUUCCGUUAGAUCAAAUAUCUUUUAGUUAGAAAAGAUAAAAUUCUCUGAGUCUGAAAGACUGAAACAUUUUGCAUAUUUUGUGAAAGGGAAAUAUCUGUUGAUACUAGCUCAUGCAUUGAGGUAAUAUCGAUGUUAAAGAAAAACAGCAAUGAUUUAUGAUAUAGAAUUGGGUUCACUUGCUUUAAAUGCUGGUCUGAUCAACCAUAUCAACCUGUAAUGAUUCUGCAGAAAUAUAUAUACAAGGAGAAAGUAGCUAAAUUUUUCUUUCAUUUAUGGGUUCGGUCUUUUUUCCCCUUAUUUUUCAGCUUUCCUUCUCCUGAAGUAUGUUAACAAUUGCAGAUAAUGAUGAAGAGGACAGCUUCCAGGCUCUCCUUGGAGCCAUGAUGGAAUAUAGGGGCACAAUGAAGGAAUAUUGUAAAGCUGUAGGUACUUUUUCUCCUGUCAUUUAUGUUUUCUCACACAUUUUGUAUAUGCCCUGAACAUGCACCUUUGUAUGUAUCAAUUGACUUUUAAAUUUUAAAAGCCAUAAAGUAAGAAUACGGUUCCUUGUCAGGCUACUGAUGACAUUCGCUCAGGGGGAUCAUGUUCGAGCAGGAAAAUUUCUAGAACAGGUAAGGUUUCCAUCUACAGCCAUCCAUUGACAGCAGAUAAAUUUUCAUUCAGCAGACUCUGUUAGCAUUCAAGAUGCUGGCAGAUUCACUUGAUUCUUAUUAGCUUGUUUAGUGGCAAAGCCUAUAACCUGUAUUUCAAAGCCAAGUUGUGCUAUUGAUUAUGUUAACUUUUUUGUUAACAUAAAAUGAUAUGGAGGAAAUAAUCAGUGUUGGAAAAUUAGGUGAAAAGAUGAUGUCAAAUCUUGAACCUCUUGCGAAACUCUAAGUUCUUUACUUGAAGAGGCUACCAAAUUUGAACAGCGUCUACUCGAAGGCCUUGCCAUUCCCUGAUGCAUGCAGAAUUUUUGUAUUUAAAUGCCCAGAGCUUAAGAAGCUGGCACUGGAUCUUGAAGGGGCAGACCAAGGUAAAAUUCUUAUCAAGGGAAAGGAAGAUUGGUGGAAACAACUUAAUGGGAGGAUCAAGUAACUCAGAAUACAUUGCUUCCAUUUUUUAAAUCGACUGACAAGUGAUUGAACGGGGCAUCAUCAAUAUCAUCAACAGGGAUGGAGAGAUGCCGGAGCAGAUCAGCAGGGUUUGAAUAUGACCUUCGGCGGUUGCUUUUUUUUUUUGUGAUUUUUUUUCAUUUUUUCCUUCCUGUCAUUUUAUCAUUUCUUUGGCUCUGUUUCUAUUGCGGGUGUUACUGCAUGCUUACUGUUGCUUGACAAAGUUUGCUAGCUUUUUGUUUGCAGCGCUGCUAUACGCCCCGAGUCAAGCCCCGAAAAUUUAUUAAACGACGCCGUUUCGACAGUAACAAUUCUUUUCUUUUCCCUUUGCCUGUUUCUUUCAUCUGCUGUUUCUCUAUCACUUUUCAUUUUUGAUUUCCGUGCUUCCCAGCUGCCCCUAAAUUGUUAUUCUAGCAAUAUACUUUCUCAUCUUUGAAUUUUCAUCCUUGAGUACUCCCACAGCCGUAAUUUCAUCAUUAUAGACUUCACUUGGAAUGCUAGAUUUUUUCGAUUCUUGAGCUACUUCAAUUACAUCUUAGUAUAGGAUCCUCAUCUUCCUUUAUUUCUUCAUCUUAUGAGGUAACAAAUGGAUUUCACAACUCAUCUACUUUUAAGCAAUUACAUAUUAUACCCUGAAUGAUUCAACUGUUCCGACAGUUAAAGAUUUUAUGCUCAACCUGCAGUGCUACGAACAUUGUCCAUGAAAGAUGAGUUUCAGCAUAUAAAAUGAAAUAUAGAUGUUUAAUCUAAAAUAACCCUUCACUGCCAGAAACCUAGGUCACAAAAUUCACAGAUAAUGAUAAAGAACUAAAAAAUUUGAAAAACUCUACAGAUCACACAUCAAGCAAGAUAUCAUGUUUUUUUCCCUCAUUCGGUGGUGAUUGAUUCGCUUUUUGAUGAUGGAUAUGGUAUAAAAGUUUUGACCCAAUUUCAAGCAAACACAAAUAGAAACACAAACACAAUCAGGACUAGAGUUGUGGGCGAUUAUCUCAGGUGUACAAGUGAAACGGUGGUGGCUGUCGAUGGUGGUAGUGGGGUGGUUGGGUAUGCGUGAUGGCUAGAUUUUAGGACAAUAAUGGUUGGAGUUGACCUCAAUCAACGAAGGAAAGUGACAACAAUUUUGACAUCAAAUGGUGCAUUUUUUAGCUUAGUAAAAUGGAACCGUUUUGAAUUUGGGGUUUAAUCCGGGGUUUGACUCGGUGCAAGUAUCAUUUUCCUUUUGUUUAUUAAAUUUUUUAUGGUCACAAAGUAUUACUCGUUCUAUUUGAGAGUGAUGUGAAUCAAUUUUUCAAUUUUAUAUUUUGUGGUCAAUGUGAAUUCAAUUUCAUUUGUCUCCUGCAAUUAUGAAAAAAUUGCAGUCAUAAUAUGGAAAAGUACACCGGCAAAGACUUUGUAAAACCUUCGGAGUGAUACGGGGAAUUCACUUACAACUAAGGACAAUUGGUGGCAAGUUAUUCCAUUCAUUUUAUGUCCAUGCAUCUAUUUAGUUAUUGAAGAUUAGUGGUCCAUUUGUAAAUUUCAGAUUGUCUCUCUCUCUCUCUCCCACUUGAAAUAACAAUAUUUAAUAUAUCUCUUAAAUUAUUAUAAAUUUUAAUUUACUCUCGAUUUAAAAUGGAGCAUGUCGAUAAAUUUUUUUUCUUCUUAAUAAAAUUGACGUAAUUUGUGUUUACAGUAGUUUGAAGUUUGAAAUAUUUUAAAGAUUAUUAUUCUAUAAGGGAGUAAUAUGAAAUGAAAUUUACUUUUCAUGUGUGAACUGAAAAAGGACGAAGCAAGUGUCCCUGCUUUUAUUUUAUUUCAAGGAGGAGUCAUCUCGCAUACUUUGGCUCUUAACAUUACAUUUUUUCUGGUUACAUUUUUUAUUUUUUUUUACACAUGCGUGUGGGUUGCUUUUCUGUAAGCUCCUUAAUAUAUAUUUAAGACAAAUCAUGGAAGAGAUGGGAUUAUAUCAAGAUGAUCAAAGCAUGUAAAAAAAGAAAAAAGAAAAAAAAAAUUAAGAAGUAAGACACUGAAAAUGGAGAAGAGAUGGAAGCAAAAGAUAUUCCAAAACAAAGCAAUCUAUCCCCCUUCGAGGGCAGACUUAUCAGGUUUAAAAAAGUACAUGCUUUGGAUUGGUAGUUGCAAUCAAGGGAAAAUAAAUAGGAUCCAAUGAAAUUUAAAUCUCGGAGAAAAUAAAUAAUCAUGCAGAUUUUCAAGAUUUUAAUAAGGGAUACUAAUAUCUUAUUUUGAUUAAUAACAUUCUUUUACUGUGUUAACUCAAAAAAAAUAUUAUAAUGCUUUACAAUAAAUACAAAUGUCCUAUUAAAUGAAUAUAUAAAAAAUUUAGAAAAUUAUAUAAAAUAAUUUUAAUAUAAUGCGUGAGAUAUAUUUUAUUAAUUUAAAAUGUCAUUUUACCUAAAAAAUAUGAUAAAUUAAUAAUUACAUAUUUGAAGUUAUUUCAAAUAUUAAAAAAAUUUAAUAUUAUUAAUCUUUUAGAUAGAUUAAAUUAUUUUUUAAAGAGAUAGAUUAAAUUAUUUUAAAAUACCUUAAUUGUUUUUACUUUAAACAUUACCGGCCUUUCUUUUAUUUUAUUACAAAUUAAUGCUAACAAGAAAAAGUUAGAUCAUAUUCCACAAAAGCAAAAGUGACAAACACAACCAGCUGGAAUCUUUUAUAAAACUACAAAUUAAAAUGGAUUUUUUUUUUAAAAAUUGUUAUAAAUUGGUGGCCCCUACAAUCCUCAAUAAUUGCACCGAUAUUCACAAGUUGGUGGCCCCUACAAUUCUGUUCCGAUAAUUUAACUGUGCAAGUGCUUAAUAAUUGUUUUGUUUUUUUCUGCAUUCCCUUUCAUGCUCUUAAUAAUUGAAGAGCAUACUUUUCAAAUGUGGAGCCGCAGCUAAUGUCGCUAAUUUAAUUUUGGAUUAAAUUAGGGGACCAUUAUAUUGUAGUGUGCACUAAUGAAUAUGUGAGAUAUUCAUAUUUUAUUAAUUUAAAAUACCAUUUAACCUAAAGAUUUAUUUAUGAUAAAUUAAUAAUUAUAUUUUUGAAAUUACUUCAAAUAUUAAAAAAUUAAUAUUACUAAUCUGUUAGAUAGAUUAAAUUAUAUAUAUUAUUUUCUAUUUAUUAAAAAAUUAAAAUUAUUUUUAAUUACUAUUCAAAAAAUAUAAUGAUAAAAAAAAUCUUAACAUCUUUAUUAAAAAUUUAAAAAUUUACAUGAUCAAUUCUCUAAAUAUUUAGGGUAUAUGUGAACCACGGUGGAGAAGCUUUAUUUAAUAUUAUUGAUUUAAAUAAUAUGUCAAUUAAAAAUGUACAGAGAAGGAAAUUUCGGUGGGUAUUUUAGUCUUUUCAGCAAUUAUCAUGAUCAGAUCAGCCUUUAGCCUUGAAACGUCGAUCAGAAAAGUUUUAAAAUGCUUAAUUGUUUUUCACUUUUAAAAAUUAAUGCUAACAAGAAAAAGCUAGGUCAUAUUCCACAAAAUCAAAAGUGACAAAACAACCAGCUGGUUUCUUUUACUAAACUACAAAUUAAAAUAGAUUUUUUCGAUAAAUUAUAAAUUAAAGUGGAUUCUUUUGAAUACAAGUGAGACAGACGAUUAGGCUCUUUUUAUUAAAGGCAAGUAAAAACUAGUCAAGAAUCGAAUAGUCUUUUUCAAAUUCUUGUUUUAUUAUUUUUCAAAACUAGUUUUUGGUAAUUACAAUCGGGUCAUUCAUUAAUCAUUAUUCAAAGUUACUGUUAUCUUCGGGGGCAGUGGGUAAAAGAUAAUUACUAACUGUUUUUCCUUCAAAAGUUACCGGCUCAUGUUUGCAAGUGUGAAUGUGCGAUGCUCUUUUCUUAAAGGCAAUUACAGUGGGGCCCGAAUCAGAGGUGCCUAAAUCUUUUUAAAAUUAAUAAUAAUAUGAGUAAUAAUUAAUAAUUACAGUGGGUCAACUUUUGAAAUUAGAGUCUAGUAUCUCUCUCCCUGUCAUUACUAAAUUUUCUCUUCCACAGCCUACAGCAGCUUCAGUUUAUCAAACUCAAUCAAUUUUCUUUCUUAACAAAAUUCCAAAGAUGUGUAGUAUUUUUCAGAUCACAUGCGAUGGUGCUCUUUUCAAUCGUUGCUUGGAUUGCUUUCUUGGAAAAGCAGCAUACAUACGUAACCUCCAAGAUAAUCUUGUAGCCUUGGAGACUGAACUGGGAAGACUAAUCGCAGCAAAGAACGAUGUGAUGAUGAGGGUUGUCCAUGCUGAACGGCAACAAAUGAGAAGGCUGGACGGAGUGCAAGUGUGGGUUUCGAGGGUGGAUUCUGUUAAAACUGGAGCCGACGAACUUAUCACAGACGGCUCUGAAGAAAUUGGCAAAUUAUGUGUUGGAGGCUACUGUUCCAAGAACUGCAGGUCAAGCUACAAAUUCGGAAAACAAGUGGCUAGAAAGCUACGACAUGUGGAGACUUUAAUCGCCGAGGGAGUUUUUGAGGCGGUGGCUACUGAGGUGGUGCCCGAGAGAGCUCCGGAACCUGUAGCAGAUAAAAGACCCAUUGAGCCAACAAUAGUAGGCUUGCAAUCACAACUUGAACAAGUCUGGAGAUGUCUUGCAGAAGAAUCAGCGGGAAUCAUUGGCUUAUAUGGUAUGGGCGGUGUUGGUAAAACCACACUAUUGACCCGUAUCAACAAUAAAUUUCUUGAGAAUCAAAACAACUUUGAUUGUGUGAUUUGGGUCGUAGUUUCAAAAGACCUGCGGCUUGAAAAAAUUCAAGAAGAUAUUGGGAAGAAGAUAGGUCUGUUUGAUGAUUCAUGGAAGAAUAAAAGUUUUGAAGAGAAAGCUGUGGACAUCCUGCGGAGAUUAGGAGAGAAGAGAUUUGUAUUGUUGUUAGAUGAUAUAUGGGAGCGGGUUGAUUUAACAGAAGUGGGCGUUCCACUUCCCAGCCCACAAAAUACUACAUCAAAAGUCGUAUUCACGACCCGUUUCAUUGAUGUUUGUGGUAGCAUGGAAAGUCACAGGAAGUUUAAAGUGGCAUGCUUAUCAGAAGAGGAUGCUUGGGGGCUGUUUCGAGAAAAAGUACGGCAAGAAACUCUUGAGAGUGAUCAUGAGAUCGUUGAGCUAGCCCAAACUGUGGCCAAAGAGUGUGAUGGUUUGCCACUCGCACUUAUUACUAUUGGUCGAGCUAUGGCCUACAGAAAGAAAGCGGAGCAGUGGAGACGCGCAAUUGAAGCGUUAAGAAGAUCAGCUUCAGAGUUUGCAGGUUUGGGAAAAGAGGUGUAUCCUCUUUUAAAAUUCAGCUAUGAUAGUUUGCAGAAUGAUACGGUUAGAUCUUGUUUCUUGUAUUGUUGUUUAUAUCCUGAAGAUUAUGGCAUUCUUAAACGGGACUUGAUUGACUGUUGGAUUGGUGAGGGAUUUUUGGGGGAAUCUGACAGGUUUGGUGCAGAAAACCGAGGAUAUGACAUUUUGGACACUCUUGUUCGUGCAUGUUUAUUAGAAGAGUUAGAAGAUGAUAAAGUAAAAAUGCAUGACGUUAUUCGUGAUAUGGCUAUAUGGAUAACCUGUGAAAUUGAGAAGGAGAAGAGAAAAUUUUUGGUUUGUGCAGGUGCUGGAUUAAAAGAGGCACCGGAUGUUAAAGGAUGGGAAAAUGUGAGAAGAUUGUCAUUGAUGCAAAACCAAAUUGAAACUCUGUCAGAGAUUCCUACAUGCCCUCAUCUCCUCACUUUAUUUCUUGACUUUAAUGAGAAGUUGGAGAUGAUCGCGGAUGGCUUCUUCCAAUUUAUGCCUUCUCUCAAAGUGUUGAGGAUAUCACACUGUGGGCAAUUAGAAGGUUUUCAAUUACCUAUUGGGAUGUCAGAGUUGGGUUCGUCACUAGAACUUCUUGAUAUUUCAUAUACCAGCAUAAGAGAGUUACCAGAAGAGUUAAAGUUGUUGGUAAAUCUGAAAUGUUUGAAUUUGAGUUGGGCACAUAGGUUAUAUAAAAUUCCACGGCAACUAAUAUCAAAUUCUUCAAGGUUACGUGUGUUGAGAAUGUUCGCUACUGGCUAUGUGUGUCUUCAUGAAGCAUCAGAAGACAGCGUUUUAUUUGGUGGGGGUGAAGUUUUAGUACAGGAAUUGCUCGGUUUGAAAUAUUUAGAGGUAUUGGAGUUGACCUUGGGAAGUUAUCAUGCUCUCCAAAUUCUUUUGAGCUCAAAUAAGUUGAAAAGUUGUAUUCGAUCUCUUUUCCUACAGUUGUUCAGAGAUACAACGUCGAUUAUUGAUGCUACGGCUUUCGCAGAUCUAAACCACCUCAAUGAAUUAUGGAUUUAUAGAGGUAGUGAGUUGGAAGAAUUGAAGAUUGAUUAUACGGAGAUAGUACAAAAAAGGAGGGAACCUUUUGUUUUCCGCAGCCUUCACCAUGUUACCAUAUAUAGUUGCACUAAAUUGAAAGAUUCGACAUUCCUCGUUUUUGCUCCAAACCUCAAGUCUCUUCAGCUACUCGAUUGCUAUGCUAUGGAAGAAAUAAUCAGCGUCGGAAAAAUUGCUGAGACUCCUGAGAUGAUGGGACAUAUAAGCCCUUUUGAAAAUCUCCAAAGUCUUUAUUUAAAUGAUUUGCCAAUUUUGAAGAGCAUCUACUGGAAGCCAUUGCCUUUCGCUCAUCUAAAAGAAAUGACGGUGCAUCGGUGCGAUCAGCUUGAAAAGCUUCCACUCGAUUCCAACAGUGCAAAGGAGCGUAAAUUUGUAAUUCGUGGAGAAGAAGACUGGUGGAACCGACUUCAAUGGGAGGAUGAAGCCACUCAAAUUGCUUUUCGUUCCUGUUUCCAACCUCGUUCCUGAGCGGUGGUCGCAAAAUUUGAUUUCUGGUGAGUGCGUUUGUCUUUUAAAAGAAGAAUUUAAAAGAAAUUUAUUCUUGUCGAUUGUUUUCUUCUCUGUUUUUAUUUGAUUUCUGGUGAGUGCGUUUGUCUUUUAAAAGAUGAAUUUAAAAGAAAUUUAUUCUUGUCGAUUGUUUUCUUCUCUGUUUUUAUUUGAUUUCUGGUGAGUGCGUUUGUCUUUUAAAAGAAGAAUUUAAAAGAAAUUUAUUCUUGUCGUUUGUUUUCUUCUCUGUUUUUAUUUGAUUUCUGUUUUUAAUGGAAUUAAUGCUUCAUAAAUUUGCCGGCACUGCCAUUACUUUUUUUUUUAAUACAAAUUGAUACUUUAUUUAUAUCUUCUUAGCGAUUUAAUUUCCUGUCAAUAGACGAACGAGAAGAACAUAUGACUUAAACCAAUGCUCGCAUAAACUUGCUGUAAAAAGAUAUAAUCUCACUGAAAUGCACACGUCUAGAAUGAAUAGAAUUAAAACAGGGAAAAUCAAUCAAUUCCACCUUUUGCAAUUUCUUCUGUUCUAACAAAAACCAAUUUCUUUGUUCAAGUAUUUUCGUUUGGGUAUUAAUAAUUCUCCACCGAAAGAGUGAACUCUUGCUCAAGGGAUCUCUAAUCAAUUGCCGGAAGGGCGCCGAGACCUGAUCGGACCUAGGCCCAAGUUUGGUCUUAAAGCCUGGGCUUGAGCCUGGCAAUUAAAUUAAAACAUUAAUUGAUUUCUUGGUUGAUUUGUCGUGUAAUUGAUUUAUGGGGGAUGACACAUCAACAUACUUGAAAAUACACUAAUCUCAGCAUCAUCGGUUAAUAACUUUUAGAUUUAUGCGUAAUCAAUAGUUAAGAUUAGUUGUCAUUAAUACUAAAUAUUUUUUACUUUUUUUGUCUCUUCUAGAAAAAUGCAUCCACAAUUAAAUUUAAUACUUUACAUAAUAAACAAAGCAUAAAUGUUAAAUUUAAGAAACUGCAUUGUAUUUCAGCUGAAGUUGACUUUAAUAUUUAGGGUAGAAAAAAAUUAAAUCCUUAAUGUGUUUAAUUUGUAUCACUUGUGUCAUUAAAAUUUUCUAGUCACCCUAACCAAUUACAUCUCAACCCACUUUGUUUUUGGAUGAUUUUAUUUUUAGACUAUUAUUUUCAUCAUUUUUUUUCCUUUUAACACCAACAUUAGUGUAUGUUACGUAACAUAAUUCAUAUUUGGAUCAUUUGAAAUUUGCUUGUGUUUUAUCUAAAAAUAGAGCUUCAAUCAAAUUGUACCUCAUAAAUUCACAAUAUCUAUGAGGGCUAAUGAGACCAAACUCUGGCAUAUUGUCAAAUGUGCUUAUCCUUUUGCUUGACAUGUCAUUUUAAAAUUGUCAUUCAAUGCCAAAAAAUCACAUCAACUGAUGGCCGACUACUUUAAUUUGAAAGCAUGCAUGCGAUCGCCAAUAAUUAUAACUUAAUUGUUAUUUUGAAAUUUUUUUCUUUAUAAUUUUUAAGUUUAAUACUACUACAUGUGCAGCACAUAAGUUGGAAAAUAUAACAUAAAAUUUGAAAAAUGUGUAGCUUUCGUUCCUUUUUUUUCUUAAAAAUGGGAAAAAAGAAUGUAGUUUUGUUUAAAUUACUGUUGUGAUUACAAUUAUUAUUUUAUUGAUUAAUUGGCAGAGAAUCGUAAUGGUUUUGCAUGGUUGUUAAAACAUUGGAAAAUCCACUACAUCAUCCGUUAAUAACUUUCAGAUUUAUGAUUAAUCAAUAGUUGAGAUUUGUUAUCAUUAAUGCUAAAUAUUUUUUUAAUAUUUUCUCUCUCUCUUAGAGGAUCAUCCAAAGUAAAAAUUUAAUAUUAUAAAUAGUAAACAAAGUAUCAACGUUAAAUCGAAGAAACUGCAUUGCAUUUCAACUGAAGCUAACUUUAAUAUUUAAUGGAGAAAAGUAAUUAAGUCCUUAAUGUGCUUUAUUUACCCAUAUAUAUGGCUAAUUUUUCAAGAUAAAGGGGAAGGAUGAUGCUCAAAAAUAUAAAUUAUAGAAUUAAUUGAACUCUCAAGUAAGUUUAAAGUUCAUUAUUUUUAAUUACUUGUUUAUAAUUUAUUUUUAUUUCGUAUUAAUCUAUGGAUCUAAAUCCCCUUUGGAUUCAUAUACAUAUAUAGACAUAAUGUGUAUGUUAAUCUAUAGGUCUGAAUUCACUUUAGGUCUAUAUAGGUAUUUUGACAAAUGUACUCCAAUCAUGCAUAUUGGCAAGUUCUAACUACUCUAUUGAUAUAUCAAUAUUAUUUCUAACUGCACUAUAGGUCCAAAAAUAAGUUAGAAAUACAAAUUAACAUAAAAUAAAAAUAAUUGGUAGAAAAUACAAAUUAUAAACAUAUAAUUGAAAACGAUAAACUUUAAAUUUACUUAAGAGAGUAAUUAAUUUCAUAGUUAAAAUCUUUAAAUUUUACCCCUCAUCUUAACUUAAGAAAAUUAAUCACUUAUUUUAUUUAAUAAAGAAGAGAUUUUUUUCCCCUAUAUUUCCCAAUUAUUUCUCUCCCUCUCGCUCCCGUAAGUUAUACAACUUGAAGUGAAAUAUGAGUGGUCUGAUUCUAGCUUAAAUAAUUUAUUGUGACAUGCUAUCUAAGGACAAUACAUUACCUAGCUCUACAUAUUUUAUUUAACCUCCGGCCCACCCUGUGCAAACUUGCCUUUCCCCUGCAAGACAAGAUUAAUCAAUGUAUCAAGUCUCAAAUUCAAUUUCGAAUAUGACCAUCGUACGCUCUUGUUCUUCCCUCUUUACGAGUGCAUUCCCCCCAACCUCAAGCUCCCUCUCUCGUCUUCAAUGUCACUGCUUAUAUCCUUAUGUUGUUCUAGUUUGAAAUAGUGGCUUCCACUAUUUCAGGGCCCCCAAAAAUCCAGAAACAUACUAUUCAUCACGAUGACAAAAUUUUUGGCAGGCAGGUGCUUCCUGACUUUCACACGGUAAUUCUCAAAUUCUGAUUUCACCAUAUUUUAAUUACUGAUUAGCAUAUAUUCAAGUGCUCUCCAUUAUAACGGAAGCCGCCGCCUCACUCGUGAUUCCAAACUUUUAUCUUUUUUUCCUUUUUUAAAUUAAUGCAAGUAGCCGCUGUCCUUUUUAUUAAUUAAUUAGUUCGGCCGCCCACAUUUCUUUUCCUAAUGUCUUCUACUGUCGAUUUUCUUUUAUUUUCUCUUUUUUCUUAAAAUAUACUUAUAAUAAUAAAAUAUAAAAAUAAAAAUUAACAUAUCAAAAUAUAAUUUAAUAGAAAAUUAAGAUAAAAAAUAAAAAAAUUAUGAGCAUAUCAAUCAAUAAAUGAAAAAUAAUAAUUUUUAUUUUUAUUAAAUAUAUAUUUUUUAAAAUUAAUCAAUUAUCUGAAUAAAUCAAAUCAUUUAAAAAUAAAUAAAUAAAUUAUUCUUAAAUAAAAAAAAGAAACUUUUUAUAACACUCACUAUGCUGGUUGUAGGGUAGACGCUUUGGGGACUGAAGCUGGUAACUUCUACAAGUAGUCUUAAGUUGACUGGCAACAACUAUAUUGGCAUUUAGACAUAAUGUACUGCAACCAUAUUGGUAUGUUCAAAUGUUCUUACUAUUGUAUUGGUGUAUCAAUAUUAUCUCUAACUGCCUUAUAGAUUAAAAAAAAUCUAAAUUUACAAUUUAACAUAAAUAAAAUAAUUGGUAAAAAAACAAUUAUGGUUUAUUUACUUAUCAGUAAUCAGAAUAGACUGAAAUCGAAAUGAGCUGUAUUACCGUUAAUGUGUUUAUGUUGUCCUUGAAUCGGAAUGAAUUAUUUUAAGUUACUAAAAUAUCAUUGGUUUGUUAUUCUAAUUAUUAUUAUUUAAUAUUUAUUAUAAUAUUUGUCAUAUCAUUAAAAAGAAAUAAUAAUGAUGAUAAUAUUAUCAUUAUUGUUUGUUACAUUAUUAUUAUUCAAAAAAAUUAUUGUUAAUAACAAUAAUUACUUUAUUUCAAUAAUAAUAAUGAUGAAAUUAAUAAUAACAAACAUGACAACAACAAUAAUUAUUUAUUAUGCCAAAAAUAACAAUAAUAAUAAGAAUAAUAAUCAUCAUCAUUUUUUUCCCAAAGAAGCAUUAUCAUCAUCAUUUAAAAAAAAAAUCAUCAUCAUCAUUUUUGUAGUUACUGUUUCAAUUUAGGAAGAAGCUGUUUCGUUGUGCUAACGAUGGGAGAUGUUGUGGCUGCGAUUCGGGGAGCUACUAGUUUAUUGCACUAAUGACGACAGGUGCGGCUGCUUGAUGCGAGGUCCAUGGCCAGUUGUCAGCAGUUCGACUUUGGUAUGGGCGUUGCUGGUUCGAUUUUAGGUGUUGUCUAAUUUCAUUUUCAGGAUUUUAAUUUUAAUUUUUUUUUAUAUUUUCAUUAAUUAAUCAGUGCAAAGUUUGAUUUUAGAAUUUGGAAUGAAGGUAAUUUUGUUAAUCAUGGAAAUGAGAUUCUGAUUGUCGAGAAUGAACUUACAAAAUUGCUGCAAAUUAAGUGAAAACAAAACGCUUUUUCUCUUUGUGUGAUUAAAACAUGAAAUGUACCAUAAAUAAAUAGGUAAAAAAUAAAUCAACACAAUUCAAAAUAGUAAACCAAUUACAAGAGGCACAAAUUUUUAUGUGAAAUACCGAAAAUGAAAAAAAACUAUAGCAUCCUAGUCUAAUAUAAUCUUCUACUAUAUUAAUGGGAUUACAGCACAAAUUCUUCCCUAUCUAACACUAGAGAUUAACAAUAUCAAAAAUCUCAAUAAUCUUAACUUACAAUACAACCUAAUAUAUGUCUCUCUAAUAAGUAGAUAUCUAAAAUAACAGUCUCUAAUAAGUAGGUAUCUCAAAUAAUAGUUAAUAAGAGGAUAAAACAAAAAUUAAGAUUAGUAGAAUGUGUAUAAGGCGAUGCUAUCAACUUAUCUUCUAAAUUUGAGAAAAAUAGUUAAAUUCACUUUUUCGAUUGUACGACCAAAGAUGGAAACCCUUGCCCCAAAACCAAAGGAAUCACCAUUGUGUUUUUUUUCUCUCUUUCUCUUUCUCGUUCUUCUCUUCUACUUUUCUUAAUGUUAGCCGCCACUUGCUUUUAUUCUUUAUAGCAUUUAAAAAGCUACUUUUAAUGGUAAAUUCAUCUAAGUCCAAAACUUAGUGAUAAUUGCACACCAAACAAUCCUUUUUGGACUAUGGACUUUUGGGCCUCCAAAUGAGAUGAAUACAACAAAUCUCCCCCUUCAGAUUAUGUGGGGGGCACUACAAGCCCGCUCUCUGCAUAUAGCUUUUCAGCUUCUCCUUGAAUAAUGACUUUGUCAUCAUACAUAACCCAUUCUUCGUUGUGUAAAUCUUCUCAAGCUAUAACUGUUCUUUCUCAAGCACGUCUCAUAUCUAAUGAUAUCUCACAUCAAUUUACUUAGAUUUCGAAUGGUAUAUCAAAUUCUUUGAACGGCACUCUGACUGUCGCAGUACAUAACAUAGUUGUCUCAUUUUAUAUCCAGCUCUUGUAGGAAAUUCUUCGUCCACAAUAUUUUUUUGCAACCUUCAAUAAUUGUAAUAUCAUUUGCUUUAGUGGUAGAAAAGGCAACUUAUUACUAAAGUUUAGAUUGCGAUGAGCUCCCCCUGCAAAAGUGAGCAAACAUCCUAGUACGAAUUUUUCGGAAUCAACAUCUCCUGCCAUAUCUAUACACUUGUAACACAGGUUUGUCACCACCAAAAUAUAAACAUGCUCUGGAAAUGCCUUUAAGAUAUCUGAGAAAUUUUCACUGUUGUCCAGUGCUCUUUACCGGGAUUGAAGAGAAACCACUGACUACACUAGCUGUAUAAGCAAUAUCUGGUCUUGUACAAAUUAUGGCGUACAAUAAACUGCCAACUGCUGAAGCAUAAGGAACUCCUCUCAUGGAGAAAUGGGUUUUGCUCUUGAGAAUUUUGGGAACAUAAAGAAUAAAGAUGUAAUUUCUUGGACUGCCAUUGUUUCGAGGUAUAUAAACAGAAGACAAGUCGAUAUAGCUUGACAAUGUUUUGAUCAGAUGCCAGAACGAGAUUAUGUCUUAUGGACUGCCAUGAUUGAUGGGUACCUUCGAGUGAAUAGGUUCAAAGAGGCUUUGACGCUUUUUCAGGAGAUGCAAACUUCAAAUAUAAUGGGAGACAAGUUUACCAUUGUUAGCAUUCUUACAGCUCGUGCCAAUCUGGGGGCACUAGAUCUGGGAGAAUGGAUAAAGACUUAUAUUGACAAAAACAAAGUCAAGAAUGAUAUAUUUGCGGGGAAUGCUUUGAUAGACAUGUACUGUAAAAGAGGAGAUGUUGAGAAAGCUCAAAAGGUAUUCAGGAAGAUGCUUUGAAAGGACAAAUUCUCAUGGACGACCAUGACUGUUGGCCUUGCCAUCAGUGGCAAUGGUGAUAAAGCUCUUGAUAUGUUUUCCCAAAUGCUUAGGGCUUCGAUCAAACCGGAUGAGGUAGCUUAUGUUGGUGUUCUGUCUGCCUGUUCUCACAAUGGUAACGAAACUUUUGUGAUAAAUAGUUGCAACUUAAGGUGAGAAUUGGAGGAAAGGAAAUAGACUGAAGUUGUUCAAUCAUCAGUGGUUGCUAUUUGGUUUUAAGUUGUUCAAUUAUCGGUCGUCUCUAUUUGGUUUUCUCCAAUAUCUCAUCUUCAGUUUUGACUCAGAUUCUAUCUUACCACUAUUGUUCUGUUCAUUCUAUUUGUUUCCUACAAAAUAUUUCUCCUGCCUAAAAUUUUUUGAAUCAGUAAGUUUUUAUCUUAUGCAAGAAUUGUGCUGAGAGUAAUUCCAUUUCUCAGUCUCGUUAUGUUUCAAUGAAGACGUAAAACUUGUGUUCUAGUGCACCAAUGUUUAUGCUUCUUACAAUUUGACUUUAAUUUACUUUGUAAAAUUUUUGUCAAAAAGUACUAAAAAGUAGUGCACCAAACACCAACUUUAUUAUAGAGAGGACUUUAGUUAAAUUUUAAGAAAACACUCAAAAGAAAGAGUUAUAAUUUAUUAUAGAAAUAUUUCACAUAAAUAAAAGCCAUCCCAUGCUGCAAAGAUCUUGCUAUAAUCACCAAAAACUAUCGGGAGCUUUUAGGGUUUCCAUAAAAAUGUCAUUUCGUUCCAAAAGUCAAUGGUGGGUAGAAAGUGGUGCAAAUGAGACUCAUUCUUAAUGGUAUAAGUUUUUGCUUAAUUAUGUCUUCCCCAAGAUGAUGAUUUAAUUUCCAUUCUCAAUUAAUUUUCAAGUUUCAACACUUUUCUAUGUAGCAUGACAUUGGAAAGAUCUUGUACAGUUGUACUACUAAAAGCUAGCAUCACACGUUAGUUAUUGUUAAGUUCUGUUUCAACGUGAAAUAAAGGAAGUAGUCCUUCAUUAAAACCAUUAUAGCCAAAUUUCACCUAAUUGGACACUUACAGACUUUCAUUUCAAGUUGGAUUUUGGUCCAACGUUUCAAAGUUUGGCCCAAUUAUUUUUGUCCGGUCAAGUCCUACGCAGCUAAGCCUCUCAAUGAAUGAGGGUGAGAUUGCUAAAAAUUACGACAGGUGAUAUUUUAUUAUUAUUAUUAUUAUUAUUUUUGGGGGAUAAAUCCUCACCAAAGUGAGGAGAUUUUAUCCAAAUCAAAAUAAAAAUAUAACAAGAACUGAAAGUCGGGCAGCCUAAAAGCUAGAUGAACUAAAAGUCAGGCGCCUAAAAACAACCUUAUGCAAAAGAGAAGCAAUAUGAGACCGAUCAAGUAAAAGAAUCCACCGCAACACCUAAAUUGGCCAAAUUAUCUGUUGGUAUUACAAGUUUCUUGUUAUAAAAGUGUAGAAUGAAGUAGGUGACGUAGUUUUAAGUUACAGCUGCAUGCCCAAUCGCAAUAUCAAAUAAUGCUUAAAUAUCAAAUAAUGCUUAAAGUAGUUGCCUAGGCCCGCCACAACUUAUAUUAACUCUUAAAUUUAUAAAUAAUUAAAUUUUUAAAAGUUUGGAUUUAUAUUAAAAAAUCUUCAUAUAAAUAAAUAAUAUAUGCACUUUUACAACAGUCUUUAAAUUUAAAUUUUUCAAAAAAAAUCUUCUGUAUAUCUUUUCUAUUAAAAAAAUUUCCAUAUAAAUAAAUAAUAUACCUAAUUUAAUUGGACCGAGCACAACGCACAUGCAUAGAACACAUUCCGAAAAGCCAUGCUAUUCAGAAAUUGACGAAUGAAAAGUGAGGAGGCAGCAGUCAAUGCUAUUUCGGCUUGGCCCAAAAUUGAUUUAUCAGUUUGACGUGUGCCAGGAAUGAAGAACUGGAAUAUCACCGUCAAGCAGCACCCUGUGGAGCAAUACCAUAGAAUGCACAAUCUGGCUUUGCCAGGUGACACUGGAGGCUUUUUGAAAAGUGCUUCAAAAAGCCUUUUCUGAUCGAGUCUGAGCACUCAAAUUUUGGUCCUCAGAUGGAGCUACAGCUUUCUCUCCAAUAACCAACAAUUUUCUAAACUCAGCUCCUAGUGUGAUGAGAGUUGUUGAUAUUUGUAAAUGGAGAUCCCCGUAUUUGCAAAUGGAGACAUUUACCAAAUCACCAACAUGCUUCAUCCAGUCUACGAAAUUCUGCAGCUGAUUCAAAUCCGGAACCUGAACCAGAGUCGGAGGUAAAUCUUGAGCCAUAUCUAAAGCAGUCUGAAGUUCAAGUACUUGAGCCCUUGACAAUGGUUUUGAAAUUGGAACAUCUUGGAUUACUGCAGACUUGUACCCCUUGGUUUCAAAGGUAAGGAAAGGCAUUGCUUGAGUACAAUUUGGAGGCAGCUUCUUCACCAAUUUUAUUUGGAGGCAAUUGGCAGCGGAUCCAGCUGCACCAAUUUCAGAGCAAAUACUGACACUACUUCAAACAGCACGCUGAAGAAGAGAUAUGUCUAUGGCAAAGACAAUGCAGUCCUCAUUUUGACUUGAGAUGCGGUAAUCAUCAAAGAGAGUUUCCUUGUGAAACUGGGCAACACAUUGAAUCCCUUCACCACUGAGAAGGUUGUGGAGGAAGCAAGCUUUCUCUCUAGUAAGGAAGAGGUGGCAUACCUUCCCCAUUUUGUCUAGGACAGGUAGGAAUCUUUUUUCUAAGAGAUUUACUCCAUUCUCUGUGAGAAAUGCUUUGAACUUCAUCCCUCUGUCUCUAUCCUCACUUAUCAGUAAAAUAGUUGAAAGCACUACAAGGAGAGAAAAGAAGAGUAUUAAGAUAUAUAUAGACAAGAAAAACAUUAGAUGUCGAUCUUACAAGCUAAUACUUCAAACAGUAUCCUAGAAAGCUAAAAACUGCAAAAUGGCUUGAAAUUUGAAAAGAACACAUGCUUUUCCUCCUUAACUUGAGAAAAUGUUUAAUAUAGUGCACCUUACAGAAACAUUUAAGCAAUUAGAACUUUGCACAAAAACAUUCAAGAAGACUAAACAAAUCAGAUGCAGUGUAUUUCUCCAAGCACAAAUGGCAUUGCAUUUUCUCCUCAACUGUAAUAUUUAUUGAUGAAAAUCAGUACAGGUCCCUCAUUUGUUAUGGAAAGCUUUCUUGUAGUCUGACCGGUUAAUUCACGGGUCUAUAAUCAUCUUGCAAAGUUACAGGCAUUUCUUUCGAUUUAAAGUCUUUGCAUCACCACCUCAUCACACACCAAGCCAAUAUUCCGUCUACCUCUACAACAAAAAGUUUUAAGUAAACGAUCCUAAUGCAUGCAGCCAAAUAAAAUGCAGUAAGAAUAUUCAACUUAAAACUCUGAAAGCCAUCUUGGUGAAUUGCCUCCUUAGGGGAAGUUCCAUGCUUUACUAUACUUGACAGGACUGAGCAAAAGCUUCCAUACGACAGAUUUUGACAAUAAUGAUGCCAACAGAUCCUCAUUAAAUCCAUUAAAACUCCAAAGGUUCAUUGUUCAUGGAUGUUUACAGAGUUUUGGUCAUCAAAUAGCUCAGACCACAAUCCCAAACAAAAAAGGAGUGAAAAUUAGAUCACCAGCAGCUAAUUGUAAAUUCUAACUUAACUCUUCAUCUCCUUUGUAAACAGGAGACAAAAUGGAGACACGCAAAAUGAAUAAGGAGAACAUUUGAACUCAAAUGAAAUGAGGGCACGAAAUCAAACAAAUGGCAUGCGCAAACAAACCAAGCCUCAAUCAAAAACUAAAUAACCAUUAAGAAAAAAAAACUGGUCAGAGAAUGAACUCCAAAUUCGGGAGUGAAGCAAGAAGCUUUCAUUAUUUCAGAAGCUCCUGUACAAAUUAAUAAGUUAUGCUCUUUGGAAACAAACCUAAAUUCCAAGAGAAACAGAACUCAAAAAAUUUGCAAUUAUACGCAAAGGAAGCGAAGCACAGCAUUCUAUCACACGUACAAAUUGUAUAACAAGAGAUCGACACAUCGAAUCAGAAGAAUUCAAUUCAAAUUUGUCUCAAAAAUCAAAAUUAGAAGAUUUCACAUUUCGAGAGGAACAAGCGACAGGUCAGAUGCACAAUUUUCAACCACAACAUGCCACAAUUAACGGUUUAUUUCCAUGGAUUUAGAGAGCUGACUGACCUUUUGGCUUUUGGAAUUGAGAAGAACGCGCGCCAAAAUGGAAGAGGGAAAGCGAAAGUGCGGGUUUCAAUAGGGUAUUGGAUUAGCAAAUUUUAUUAGUUUGCGAGGGUAAAAUAGGAAAGAGAUAUCACUAUUAACUUUUUUUUUUAUAAGAAAAAAGAAUAAUAAAGAAUAUUUUAUUGUCAUUUGCAGCAUUUAAUUUUUUUUAAAUGCUAUUAGAAAAAAACGACAAUAAAGAAAUGCUCUUUUUUUAUUUUUUUCUCGAAGGUAAAAUCAAUUAUUUAGCGUCUUAUAUGUAAUCUAACUCCAUUUCUUACUUUAAGUCAUAUCCAACUGACCAAUAAAGUAAUUGUUUUUUUUUUCAUUCAUUUUUACAGAAAAUUAAUAUUGAAAGCUAUUGUAAAAAUUUUUAUUAUCAACCUCAUAGUUUAAUUUUUUUGGGGAAGAAUUGAAUUUUUUUUUUUAAUUUCCAAGAAUUUCAUUCUCUAGUUUUUCCAUUAAUAUUACUUAUCUUGAUACCCAUCUUAAUUAAAAUCUGUAGUUUUAUUCAGGAGUCAUGCUAUUCAUUCACUCACAGACCAAAGGCUUUCCGCAGCAAUAUUAUUAUUUAAAUUACAACAAAGGGGAAAUCAAAUACGUCAUACAGAAGCUUAAAGCUGAAUCUACAAAAUCUAGAGCUCUCAACUACAAAAAUUACACUUGAUGAUCCUCUACAAGAUGAAACUUGUUCAAUAUCUCAUCCAAAGCUUGUAAAGUAACCUUGUAACGAUCUUGAGAUUGCCUGCCUUCCUCGACGACCUGCACGAUGCGUUUGUACAAAUCAUCAUACCUGUGCACCGGAUUUUUAAUAUCAACGCCACUGCAGCUGUGAUCAAGAACAUAAGAGCGUUUAACAUCUUUUCUCCAUCGAGAAAGAAUGUAGUGAGGUGGGAUCUCCUGCAUGCCACUCUGGUUUAGAACACAAAGAAUGUGUCUGCAUAAAUAUCCUCUGAAAUUGAACAACCCACAAACACAAAGCACCUCCUGCAUAAAUAUCUUUCUCGUUGCUACCAAUCUCAAAUUCUUCCUUCACUAUCUAUGUUAUAGGUCCAUCAGCACUGACAUGUUUUGUGCUAUAGCAAGAGUACAUAGCCUCCACCUCCGUCUGAAACUUCCUUAACAUUUCAUUUGUGUACAGUUUUGAGAGUUGAAAUUCAUAGUAACAUCUUGGUUUCUGGAUACAACUUGAAUUUCUUGAAUCCAUAUCUGCCAAGGCUUCCAGUUGAUAAUUCGCCUGCAGUGCUUGAUCAUACUUGUCUAAGAAUUCUUUCAAAGGAGUACUCUUAUCAAGAUAUCCUUCAAAGUAUGAAGUAGAAACCUCAUUCUGCAGGAAUGAAAACACUCCUGAUAAAAAUGCUUCCUUCAAAUAAACAGGAGCCCACCUUUUACGAUCUUCAUAUAAAGUUUGAAUCCAUCCAUGAUCCUUUAUUCCAUGACGUUGAAUCGUGUCCUCCCAAGCUGUCUCAAAUUCCUCAGGCCUAAGAGAGUGAUAAAUUGCUCUAUGCAAUGCAGCUCUAACAGCUUCAUAUUCAAACAAUCCUUGGAGUUUCUCUGAAAUUUUUUGCAUGACGCAUGACAAUGAAAAGCAAUGAUAAGCUCUUGGGAAAGCAUUGCUGACGGCAGUUUUCAAGAUUCUACAUUGGUCAGUGAUGAUUGUUUGUGGACAGCGUCCUAACAUACAUGUAAGCCACGCCCUAAACAACCAUGUAUAUGAUUCUAUAGUCUCACUGGCGAGUAAACCACAGCCCAACAGCACUGAUUGUCCAUGAUGAUUCACCCCAAUGAACGAAACCAGUGGUACAUCAUAUCUUUCUGUCAAGCAUGUAGUAUCAAUUAAGACUACAUCACCAAAGUACCUAUAUGCAACUCUUGACCUGGUAUCAGUCCAGAAGAGGUUUCUCAGGCAUCCCUUUUCAUUUAGAUCCACCACAUUAAAAAAGUUUGGAUCUGUCAACUGCAAACGACAAAAGAAACUCUGGACAGCUUGUGCAUCUCCUGGUUUAAGCUUCAAUUGAUUUGAGCUAUUAACAUCAUUUCCAAAUACUCCAUUAACAUCUAUAUUACCAUUUCCCUCGGUAUCAAGGAUAAGAGUUCGAAACAGUCUAAUUUUUUGAACUUCUUCAGCACCAUCUAAGAGCAAUGUUCUUUUGGUUCCAAUACCCAUGUGCUUAUGAGACUUGUAAAACUUUCCGCUUCUUGGGCUUAACAAACGGUUAUGCUCAAGCUUGACUUCAAUGAUUCUCCACCUUUUGGUUUCCAUCAACCUAAACUUUAUCAUUGCUGGACAGCCAGUUCUUGUUUCUGGUCUUGGGCGGUUUGCCUCGCUUUUCUUCUUUAAGCCUGCACUACUACAGCUCAGCUUUCCUCUAUACUUUUCUCUACUCUUUCGGUACCAUGUAUUGCUAACUCUAACACCAAAACCCUGUUCCUUGGCAUAGCAAUUAUAAAAGUAAUAUACGUCAUCAUACGUCUCAAACUCCAUCCCAACAGCAGGAGGCAAUGGAUUUUGGAUUAUCCCAGUUUGUCCAACAUAUUCAGUCAUCGCACAAUCUCCUAUUCAAAAUCAUCAGCGUCAUCAUCACCUACGGGUUCAGUAUUCAGAGAAACUUCAUCCAUCUACAAUAGAUGUUUAAUGAAGUGAGCUUUAAGGAGAAAAGGCAAAAUCAGUUCAAGGAAUGAUAAUAAAACCGUACAGUUACUUUCACAAAGCUUCGUAUUUCAUCACUACUUUAACAACAUGCAACUGCCUGAGAACAUACAGACAUGUCAUAGAUGCUUGAAUUAAGUAUUGAUACAAAUUAGCACACAUCAUGUGGGACACAAUUUCAGUCACUAAACCCAAUACCUUUUUUUUACAUCAUACCAAGAAACAGAUUAAACCCAAUACCUUCUUUUACGCCAUACCAAAGAACAGAUUAAAUCAUCAAUGAAAAAUUAAUCACAUAAUAAUUUAACUAGACAAUUGAAGAGCUCAAAACAGCACAAUACUUGAAUCUGAUUAUGAUAAUUGUUGAGUCCUUGUAUCGACAGCUUUCCUUCAAUGAGAAGAUUAUGAACAUAAACUACACACAAAAAAAAAAAUUAUUUAAACUGACAGCCCAUGAUAUAAAUCAAACAAAAUUAACUCCUUUUACAAAUCACAUCUUGUAUUCAUUUACAUCGAAACAUAAAAAGGAAGCAGGAGCCAAAAAAAACAACAGCACAGAAACUUCUUUCCAUAAGGUUUACGAAAUAAGGAAUUUAUUAAGACACAAAAUUUGAGGUCACCUAUAAUAAUUUGGUUCUCAUUCUCUUUUUCUUCAUUUUUCACUUAUUGAUGGAGUUAGCAUACAAUCCUAAAUGAUAAAACCCCAUCUCCAUUUUUGAACUAGAGCUAAAGCAAAGCAUUUUAGGAUUCAUCAUUUUUUUUUCUAAAAGACUCAAUAGUACAAUGUUUUUCAAUAUUAAAUACACAACUCAAUCUUCUCCUAAUUUACUCUAAUAAUCUCUUAACUUAGGAAGAUUAAGCUCCACUUGUAAGCUAAAACAAUUUUCUUAAAUCAAGCCCCAAUGCUCUAUACUAUUCAACAAGGCCUCAUAAAUGAUAAAACUACCUCUACAAAGAUACCCAUUUUAGUUUCGCAAACUAAAAUCAAACUCCUGAAACGUAACGAGCAUUAAAACAAACAAGUCCGAACAAGAACUGAAAAAUCAUACAUAAACUCGUUUACACGCUUCGAAAAACACUUUGAAAUUCAAACGAAACAUACCUUAGGUUGAUAAAUUAGUAGCGCAAAAGAAAUUUUAGUGAGAUAUGGGAUCAGGGUUUUUGCCACGGUGAUGUUAAUUGCGACAUUGGGGUGACUCAGCAGCCUUCGAGGCUGAAACUUUGAUUGACCAAAAGCUUCCCGUUCGUUGAUUAUCUAAUUGCAGAAACGAAACUCGCAGUGUACAGAAGAAGUACGCUGAUUUGAUAAUUCUGUGAAAAUCAUUGUUUUUUUGAGAUUUUUAAUGUGUUCGGUAAAUAUCAAAAUCUCAAAAACUUGUCUUUCAUUUUGGGGGGAAAAACCCAUUGAGAUCCUUAUGUUUUUUCUUAUAUAAUCUGGCUUAAUAAUUUGCAAAGUCUAUUACUUUGCACCCAUGCAUGCUGCGUUUCAAUUUUACAAAAUUGUACGUGAGUGCAUCCAGCUAAAAUUUGUAAAAAGAAAAUAACAAUAACAUGUUAAAAAUGUGAUGAUUAUGAAGAAAUUUUAAUUUAGUUAAAUAGGUGACGAUGGAUAGGUAUAAAAUCUGAGAUCUUUUAUGAGAUUAAUAAGUAUGUUGAGUUUGGAUUAGUUCAAUUUUGACAUAAUACAGAAUAAACACAAUCUGCUAAUCUAAGUUAUCAUCUUUUCUCGUCAUCAGGUACCUGUUUGAAAAAUAAUUAUAUACAAUUUUAUUUGCGUUGUCUCUCCAAAAAUUUUGGACUCGAAUGUUAUUUUUAAUUGCUAAAAGUACGAAAAUGCCCCCUUUCUCUUCAGCUAAAGGAGUGCAAAGUCAUCUGUAUAAUUGAAUCUGCAUCAUCAGUUUCUAUUGCUGGCUGGUGUUACUGCAUGCUUACAGUUGCUUGACAAAGUGAGCCAGUUUUUUGUUUAUUAAUUUUUUUUCUUGUCGAGACAGUCACAAAGUAUUACUUGUUCCAUAUGAGAAUGAUGUGAAUCAAUUUUUCAAUUAUGCAUUCUGUGGUAAUUAUUGUGAAUUUAGUUUCAUUUGUCUUGUCUCCUGCAAAUUUUGAAGAAAAUGCAGACAUACAAACUUACAAUAUGGAAGAGUUCACUGGAAAAAACUUUGUGAAAGCUUCCAAGUGAAACAGGGAAUGGGCUUACUAGUAAAGGACAAAUUGGUGGCCAGCUAAUGCAUUCAUUCUAUGUCCAUUCAUCUUUUCGAAUUAUUGAAGACAAGUGGCUCACCACUUUUAGUAUUGGUAAAAUUCAGAUAAUCUCUAUUCCGAAAUAAUAAUAUUCAAAAUAUCUCUUAAAUCAUUAUAAACCUGAAAUCUAUUUUAAUUUUAUUUAAAAGAUAAAAGAAAAAUAGGUUAUGUUGGUGAUUUUUUAUUAUCUUUUUAAUAAAAAUGAAAUAAAUUGAUGUUUAUAAUUAUUUAAAGUAUUUUAAAGAUUGCUAUUUUAUGAGAGAAUAAUAUUUCACUUUUUUAGUGUGAAAGAUUGAAAAAGGACAAACCAAGUUUCCCUAAUUUUUAUUUUAUUUGAAAUUGGUCAUCUCACAUACUUCACCCUUCAACAUUAUAAUUUUUUUGGUUAUAAUUUUAUUAUUUUUUCUCUUUUACACAUGCAUGUGAAUUACUUUUCUUUAAGCUCCUGAAUAUUUAAGACAAAUCAUGGAAGAGAUGAGAGUAUAACAAGAUGAUCAAAAUAUGUAACAAAAAAAUUUUAGAAGUGAAAAAUAUGUUAGAGUCGAAGUAAAACUCUGAGGUGAUGUUUGAUUUGAAGAAAAUGGAGGAGAGGAAAAGAGUGGAAUGGAGAGGAAAAUAGAGAAAAGGAGAGGAGAGGAGAGUGAAAUUUUUUUCUAAUGUUUGGUUUGUCACAUAAUUAUACAAAGAAAAGAAAUCUCUAAUUUUUUAUUUAGACAAUUUUAACCUUAAUAAGUAUUAAGCUUUCAAUAUUUAUCAUGUGUAUAAUUUAAAAAAAGUAAAUGGUAGAAAGCGGUUUCUGAUUCCGGCCACAUCGCCGGCAAUGGAAGGUACUUAUCAGAACAUCAAGAGCCGACCAUCAUUCCCUAGCCAUCACUGCUGUCAGAACACUGCCAGAAAGCUGCCGAUUGAACCGCAAAAAGUCGUGGAAAUCGCUGCCUCAAAUCGGUGAGUUUCGCCUUUUUCUGGUCACGCCGUCACCUUGGCUUUGUCCAUCAAGGCUGCCACUUCCAUUUUCAACCAUCCAUAGCCACUAUUAACGGCCAAAUCGCCGCCGAUCAGCGGGAUAUGUGGAAGUUAAAAAGUUUCUAAAUUUUUUUGACUGGAUUUGAACAACAUACGACCAUUUUUUGAUCUCGAUAACGACGUAGUAAUGUUGAUCAUUGAUCGGCAAGUCGAAUGGUAGUGGCGGUGAGUAACAUGCGCCAAUGACAUCGGCGGCGGCACUAUCCGGCGACUGUUAAAAUUAAUAUUUUAUAUUUUUAGAUUAAAUAAAUUUAUUUUAUUAAACUUUUUAAAUCAUUAUUUAAAUUUAAUUAAUUUAAAAUUAUCUAUAAUGUUGAAUUGAUAAAAUAAAUUUAUAAAUAAUAAUUAUGUGAUUACAUUAAAUAAGUUAAAAAGUUGAAAGGUUAUUUUUGGAAGAUUUAGUUUCCAACACAAAGGGAAUUUGAAUUCUUCACUUCUUAGUGUGGAAUUCAAAUUCUAUAUUGUAAUGGAUAUUAAAUUCCAAUAGAAAUUAAAUUCUUAUAAAUUAUGUCAAACCAAACAACGGAAAUAAAAAAGGAAUUUAAAUUACUUUCCUUUCCUCCAUUGUCUCCUUCCAACCAAAUACAUCCUGAAAAUAGAGAUAUUGAUUAAUUUAGAAGAGAUGCAAGCAAAAGAUAUUCCAAAAAAAAAAAAAGCAAUAUGUCCCUUUGGAGGGCAAACUUGUCAGUUUUAAAAAAGUACAUGCUUUGGAUUGAUAGUUGUAGGAUAUUUGUUUUGUCACUAUGUAUUAGUUGGAGAAGUCAAGCCUUGUGAAGAAUGUUAUGAAAGAGCAAAAGAUAUUCCUGAUAGCUGAUAGAGCUAUAUUUGAUUAUGUAUCCAACGAAUGGAUGUGUUGUUGGAAGAUAUCUGAGUGCAUUAGUUCAUAUGUGUAUGUCAAUGUGCUUUUAAUGAUUUUUCCACUUGUUUGUUGUAAAAGAUUAUUGUAAAUUGAAAUGAACUUGAUGUUGUAAUAUUUUUUCCUUAGUGGAAUUUCACCUAGUAUGUAUUCAGUUGUGUUCUCUAUAAUUUUGCAUUCGAAUAGUUUCACCUAAAUAUAUUAGCAUGAGUAGUGGCCCUUGAAACUUUGGUCAAAAUUAUUGUUAUUAUUUCCGACUAGAUGUAAAUUUUUUAUUAAAUCUCGUUAACACAAUUCUUAAUUAAAAGUAUAGGUUAGUGUUGGUGCAAGAUUUGCCACACCAAAUUCUGCCUAGCUGUCAAAAGUGCAAAAUAAAUGAAGAGAAAGCACAAAUACACGACUUGAAUAAGGAUACAACGAAACUUAAAUUCAAGAGAAAAUGAUAGCUAUAUCUCAAGAUUUGAAAAAAUGAUCAUGUAGAUUUUUAAGAUUUCAAUAAGCGACUGAGAUUCAAAUAAUAUCCUUUAAUUCUAUUAACAAAAAACAAAGACUCAAAUAUUUUAUGAUAAAUAAAAAUAUAAUAUUAAAAUAUAUGUGAUAAUAUACACAUUUUAAAUACUUUCAAUCCAAAAAAAUAGUUAUGUUUUACAAUCUAUUAGACAUAUUUUAUUAAAUUAAUAUAAAUUUUCUAUAAAAUAAGAAUAUAAUAUUAAAAUAAAUUCACUAAACUUUAAAGAAUUUUGAAUGUAAAAUAAUUUUAAUAUAUUAAUACGUGAGUUUUUUUAUUAAUAUAAAAAUUAUUUAACUUUAAGAUUUUUUAAAAUCUUUACAAUAAGUAUAACUAUAUUAUUUACAUUUAAAAAUAUUUAAAUAUUAUUAACCUACAAUUAUAUUUGCAUUUGUUAGAAAUUUUUUAAGUAAAAUAUUUUGCACUUCUAUAUUAUUAGAAUUAUUGCACACAAAGAAAGAAACAUAUACCUUUAGAAAUUGUUUUCUUUUAAAAUAGAGAUGAUGAUUAGUAUAAGGAUGAAAAAAAGGAUAUUAACGAAAUCUCUAUACAAAUUGAUUUUAGUAGGAAAAGAGUGAGAUGAAUGAUUCUUUUACAAUUAGAAACAUAGAUGAUGAUUAUUAUAACGAAGAAAAAAAGAUAAAGAAUAUUAAUUAUUAAUGGAAUCUCUAUGCAAAUUGAUUUUAGUAGGAAAAAAAUGAGUUAAAUGAUUUAGAGUGCGUUUGGAAUUGAGAUUGGGCAGCCAUAGAUUUUAAGUUACAACACUGAAGUGUUUGGUAAAUACUAGCUGCUGCAGAUUGAAAGUUAUGUUGAUAUGAUUUUUCACAUGUAUCAUAGAAAAUAUAUUACAUCUUUAAUAAUUUUUUUAAAAUUUAUAUUUGCUAUAUAUUAUUAUUAUUUUUUUUAUAGUUAUAACUUUUUUUCCACAGCAGCUGUAGCUUAAAAGCCACAGCACCUCAAUUUCAAACAAGUCCUUAGACAUUCAUAGUGUGUUUAUUUUUUGGAUUGGUGAAUAAAAAUUAUUGACAACGCUAACUUCAUCUUCACCGUUCGCAAUCCAACAGCAGCAAUUGUCACCAAUAAUGAUAUCUCCAAUGAUGAUGACAAUUAUUAUUAUUAUUAUUAUUAUUAUUAUUAUUAUUAUUAUUAUUAUUAUUAUUAUUAUUAUUAAUAAUUAAUUAAUUAAUUAAUAUAUUAAUGUUAAGAUUAUUAUUGUUAAGAUUAACAAUAAUUAUUAGUAAUACAAUUUUUUGAAUAAAAAUAAUCACAAUAAUUAAAAUACAAAUUAAUAAUUAUGACAAUAGUUAAUUAAUGUCUUUUUAGUGAAUCAAAAUUAUUGACAACGCUAACUUCAUCUUCACCGUUCGCAAUCCAACAGCAGCAAUUGUCACCAAUAAUGAUAUCUCCAAUGAUGAUGACAAUUAUUAUUAUUAUUAUUAAUUAAUUAAUUAAUUAAUGUUAAGAUUAUUAUUGUUAAGAUUAACAAUAAUUAUUAGUAAUACAAUUUUUUGAAUAAAAAUAAUCACAAUAAUUAAAAUAAAAAUUAAUAAUUAUGACAAUAGUUAAUUAAUGUCUUUUUAGUCAUUUAUAGUAAACAAAUUAUUAUGAUUCCUAUUCUCCUUUCCCAUUUUAGCUCACUUUGAUUUCAGUCUAUUCCGAUUUCUAUCUAAUAAAUGCACCAUUAGUGCUAAAGUAAUAUUUCAUACAUAGAAAAGUAAAAACUACACCUAAGGUUAAGGGAAAGGACUUCAAAACUCUCUUUUGAUUAUAAUACUAGGAAAUAAAACCGCGCUUCGCGCGGCUUUAGAAAAUAAAUUUAGUAUUAUCAAUUUUCUUUCUUUACACUCGACAAAACUGAUAAAAAAUAUAAAUUAAUUUUUUUUAAAUGAGCCAGCGUUAUAAAACUAAUAUUAUUUAUGAAAGUUAACUAUUUUUUUGUUAACUUUAAAAAUAUAUAUUAACGUGUAUAGUUUAAGUGUACAGACUUUAUACCUUUUGUAGUUGAUAAGUUCCAAAUUAAAUUUUGUAAUUGAGGAUCCUUAGCAUUGAAGUAUAAAAGAAAUAAGUAAAAUACAUGUAAAGACUUUUGUAAUUUAUUUCGCAUCGUUUGUAGCUGCGUAGGUGAGCAGUUGUUUAUAUCAAGCUUGCAGCUAUGGCAAGUUCCAAUGGGGAUCAGCAACACCUAGUGCCAAAAUGUUCUUUAUCUGUAUAUAAACCAUGUCUCCAUGGAUUAGAGAGAAUGAAAGGAGAAACAGUUGAUGUAAAAAAGAAUGCUUCUUCACGUACUAUGUUCUUUGGCGAUUAAAUCCUCCAUAACAGCUUGGAAAACUCAGCCAAAUUACCAUUUUGUUGUCUCGAUAGUUCCUUUGAUUUAUCCAUUUGUCUACUGAAUAAUUAAAACACAUAAUAAAAAUCAUUAUUAUAGGGUGAAGUAAGAGCUUGCAAUGUAUAAAUUAAAUUUUAAAAUAUAAUCUAAAAAUGUGAUACCUUGAUUUUGUGAGCUAAUGUGUGAAUAUUUUGAAAUACUUCUUUGUAGACAAUGUUUUUUAUGAAGGUUCGGUCUUCUACCUCUUGAUCGGCAUUUAGUAUGGUCAAUCCUUCUCUUGAGGUAACUCGAGACACGGCGACAUAUAAUUGACCAUGUGUGAAUACUUGCUUAGGGAGAUACAAGCCAACAUGUUUAAGAGAUUGUCCUUGGCUUUUGUUGAUCGUCAUGGCAAAACAUGGUGCUAAAGGAAGUUGUCGUCUGUUAAGCUUGAAUGGCCAUCUUGAUUCAUUAGGAGACAUAAUAAUUCUUGGAAUUGUGACAUUUUGUCCAAUAUUUGUUCCAGAAAUGAUGUCACCUCUAAUGGACCAUUUACCAAGAUGAGUGACAAUUAAUCUUGUGCCGUUGCAUAGGCCUUCUAUUUGAUUUAGAUUUCUGAGAAGCAUUACGGGAGCACCUUCCUUAAGUCGUAUGUCAUGAUUAGGGAUGCCAUUGAAUUUCAAACUAUUCAAAAAUUCAGUUGGAUAUAGAACAUCUUCAUCAUUUGUGUUUGCGCUUGCUUUGCAUAUACUGUCUGAGCUAAAAUAGGUUCUCCCUUGACCAGGUAUUAUAUUCAUAAUCAUCUCGUUCAAUUCAUGCACCAUUUCAUUUUUUGGGGUUAAUAUUGCUCUUUCUUUCAAAUAUGUUGGAUCACUGUAGUUAUGCUGAAUUGAUGGGUAGAUAGUGUCGACUAUUGAUUUUAUCAGAUUUUCUGAUGGUUUCUUACAGAUAUCAGAAGGUAGUUUAACUAAAUCUCUAUCAAUGUCAUCAUAUAAUGAACCAUCUCCAAUCUGCAAUAACCAUUUGUCAAAAGAAGCUAUUUUAGCAGCCUAAGAGCCACUCACACUUCCAUUAUAGAGCCUCAUAUUUUUUUUGAGGUCAUAAAUUUUGAAAAAUGGCCACAAGUAGGAUGAGUUAAGUGAAGCAUCAACAAUGUCUGCUCUUGUCCUCUUUGGCACAACUGGCAAUAUUUGUCGGAAAUCGCCACCACAUACUAUUGUAAGUCCUCCAAAAGGUUUGAUAGAACUAUUUUCAUACAUUGUUCUUAGAAUAUCUCUCAAGGUCCUAUCCAAAGCUUCAAAGCAGAACUUAUGUGUCAUAGGCGCUUCAUCCCAAAUGAUCAAAGAAGUUUUCAUAAGAAGUCCAGCUAAUAAGGUGCCUUGUCGGAUUUCACAAGUGGACUCUGCUGUCACAUCCAAAGGAAUAUGAAAUCGCGAAUGAGCUGUCCUACCAUUAGGCAAUAACAAAGCUGCUAUACCUGAAGUUGCAACAGGCAAGACUAUUUUAGAAUGUGAUCUGAGCUUUGCAAUAAUUGUAUUCCACAAAAAUGUUUUACCAGUACCACUGUGUCCAUUGAUAAAAAAUAAACGCCCUUCUUCAUUGUCAACAGAAUGCAUUAUUGCUUCAUAGGCUGAUUUUUGGCAAGCAUUUAGAGCAGCAAACGAUUUCUCAUGCAACUUCUUUAAUUGAUCACGAUCAUAAUCAAGCUCUUCAUUGACCAAUCGGUUACCUGAAUCUCUUAUCAAAGAAGAAUUAGGAAGUGGCAUUCCAUCUAUGUCUCUCAAACUUUUUCCCAUUUUCAACAUGAUAGUUUAAAUCUCCAACAAUGUGUAUGCUUCAACUUGUUGCUCGGUUAACUGAAGAUCUUUCAAUCUGAAUUUUUUCCUUUGCAAUGAAGUUAUGUCUUCUGAUAAAGUAGUAUAAUUAGAUUUCCAAAGUUGGGGUGCAUCAGAAACCUGACAAUGAAUGAGUAUCGUGACAAAAAGAUGUCUUAAUUCAUUUCCAGUCGCCCAUAUUGCAGCUUCAGUCAAGCAGUCGAUCCAUUCUUUAUCAUCGUCUAAUAAUCCCAAAGCAUAGCACGCAGCUUUAAAAGUUGGAUAUGUCACUCCAUUUACUGUUCUAAUACUUUCAAAUGAAGUGCUUCCUUUUACAAAAUUGAGCAACAUUCUCAUAUAAAAUCGUUCUCCACUUGAAGGAUGUGCAAAGUAAAUUCUUCCGAUUGCUAAGCCAUUUUUUCUCCUAGUCCAAGUUUUGUCUUUUGAAUUCCAUACCCAACAUGUAGGGAAAUCAGAAUAAGUUAACUCUCGUGCAUCAUCAUAAUUCUUGUUUGCCUCCAACCAUUCUGUGAACUUUGUUUUUUCUAUUCCAGGUAUGGUAAGCACAUUUUCUAAGCACUUAGAUUCUUCGAAUAUUACUGUAUGCUCUCCCGGUAAAUGGAACGGCAAUCUUUCAACUGCUGGCUUUCUGUAAUGUAUGUCAAAUUGGAAGAUUCGCCAGCAAGCUUCGGUUGCUGAUAUAUAUCUGCAGUCCAAAUAUGUUUUGAUCUCGUCCAUUUCUUGGGUAGUGUCAAUAGAUUCCAUUGUUGCAGUUGUUCUAUCAGACCCUUUAUGGACAUACUUGAAAAGAUAUUUAACUGAUCUCGAGUAAUUACAAAUCUCAACAUUAAUAUGUGCAUCAAAUUUGACAAUUAAAUUCCUGUGAUAAGGGACCACAUAUCGAUUAUCCAAGAAGACACCUUUCUUUUCGACAUGAAUACCUGUAUUUCUCCUUUUAUAGAUUGGAAAACCAUUUGUAUCCACUGUUGUCUGAUCAUUAAAUUUUUUUGGAAAAUGUUUUGUGCACUUGUCUUGCAUCAUGCAUGGAGAGUGAGAAUUGUGUUUUCCACACGGUCCAUGAAUCAUAAAUUUGUUAACUGCAUUAUAACCAUCAGGAUCAACAUUUAAGUCAGGGAUUUCUGCACUUAUUAUUUUAUCAAUAUGGUCUGCAGAAGGAUUUUUCAUUGUUGGAUGCAAAAAAAGCAGUAUGUGUGCAUAGGGCAAGCCUCUUUUUUUAAACUCAAUUGUAUAUAGACCUGCCACAAAAUAGAGUAAAAUUUAAAAGUUAGAAAUAUUGAUUUUAAUUGUGAAAUUAUUGUUUUUCCCUACACUUUUCAAUAACAAAUGAGUUGAAUUUGUUAUGGAUACGAAUUUGAAGUGAACUUACAUGCAAUUAUUUUUCCAAACGGUUGAUCUUUUUUCAAAUCUUGCAUUAGUUGGAAUAAUUUUAUCUCGAAAACUCUGCAUAUGAUAUCGACUCGAUUGUCAUCAUUAUUUUGUCCAACUAAUCGGAGCAUGUUAUUUAUUUCUUGCCACUUUGGGUUGCAAGUGAAAGUAAGAAAUAAAUCAGGAUAUCCUGCCCAUUUACAAAUUGCCAUAGCAUCUUGAUAAUUUUGUAUUCUAUAUCGUGGUCCCCCCGUGUGUGAUGAAGGUAGAAUAAUCGAUUUUCCAACUUUCGAACAAUCAGAAUCACCUCGAUGAACAGCAUCCAUCAAACCAGAGAAAAGGUCUGAUCGAAGUUUUUGUUGAUUAUUCCGGAUCCAACGAAAUCUUUCUUCUUCAACUGCCAUGUAACAAUCAACUAUAUAUUGUUGGAAUAGUCUACCAGUUUGAAGUAGAGUGUGUCCCUCAUUCAAUCUUUGUUGCAACCUAAAGCAAUAAUAUUGCCUCAUUGUCAGCUUUUGCCUCUUAAAAGGGCUAUCAGUUAUGUCUCUUAAAGAUAUGUCAGGUCUAUAUCCAUCUUCGCCAUAAGGAUAUAUUAACGGGUAUGUCAUGGGCAUGAAGCUUGGAUGCAAAUCUGUGAUUCUCCGAAGUCCCUUUGUGCGAUGCUCUAUAAUAACAUCGCGUUGAAAGUUUGCUUCACUGAAAUCACCAACUAUUAAGCCUGCAACUUCUGAAACUGUUGGUAUAUUGUAUCGACGACCAUCUCUUGUUCUACUAUUAAGGAGUCGUAAACGGAAUGUAGAUUCUGGUUGUGUUUUGUAUCUAUCCCUCGCCAUUCUAAAAGAUUUGACCAAAUUAUUAUGUUGGUCCAACAUUUUAGAUAGUUCAUGAAGAAUUUCGUGAUCAAUUUCUGUCUUCAUUCCAUGUUUUAAUAGAGUGUUGAUUCUAUUGUCUAUCUCAUUUUCAGUAUCAUAGAUAUAGAGCUGAGCAAACUGUGGUUUUUUCCCAACUUCUGGCAACAAAGAACCAAUGUGAUGAUAAUUCUGACCGCUCAUCCUGAAAACAUAAGGACCUUUUGAUCGAUUGAUUGAUGCAUCAACUCGACCUCCCAUAGAUGUGAAAGCAAACAUGGAGUUAUAAGCCCUGAUAUUUUUUCGAAAUUUGGAACCCUUUUGUCCAGACUCUGCCCCGAGAAGAUAUUUGAGUAAAGGAGGUGUUUCUUUCAUGAAUGGAAUCUGCACACGACCUUCCAUACAACAAAAUGUGAAUUUGGGAUGUGAGACCUUUUUGGUUUUCUUGUUCCGUUCCUCGUACCAUAAAAUGGCACCACAAUAUUGACAUGUGUAUGUAGGGGGUCCAAAAUUCCAAGGCGUUGUGUAAUGAACUGUCAAAUUCAACCAAUAAUAAUAUUGUAACAAAGUAUCUUAUUUCGUCUAAGUGAAUAUGGUAAGAAAAAAUAUUACUAAAUAUAUUAAUAUUUUCAUUGUACAUGUAGUUUCAUGCAAAUAUGUACCAUUAUUUGAUGUUACACCAUCCAAUGGAAAGCUUGUGGACUGAUCUAUAUUCUCAUCAAAAGAGAGACACGCUCUUUUUAGUUGUCCAUGUUCAACUGUAUAUUUUUAAAGUUCCAAAAGCAAUGAAUAAGUUAUUAGUUUCAAGUAUUACAAGCAUGAUGAAUAACUAAUAAAGCUCGAUAAAUUUAAAUAUAUAUACGUACAUGUGUGAAGAAGGCGCUUUCCUCUGUUUGUUUGACUCUUUGGAUUUAUAUGUAAUGAUGUUUUAUUAUUAUCAUAUCCAGCUUUACCAGGAGAUUGAAGGAAAUUCCCAAUUGAAAUAUGUUAGAAAUAUAUAUAUUUGUUAAUAUAUAUUAACAUAAAUAAUUUAAAUUAUAUAGGGAUAAUUUUUGUAAUUUGUAUAGUAGGAAUAAAAAUCAUAUUUUCAAGAAUCACAUACCGUUUGAGUGAAGCAAUUUAUUGUCACUUCUAAUGACUUCCAACUUCAUAAAUUUUGUGUAAAAAUUCACAAUUUGUAGCAUCAAAAUGAUUCUCUUUUUUAAAUCAUGUUUGUAUCUAUUAUGAAUAAUCAUAAUUUUCCGCUUAAAUCUUGCAUGCUUGAAUAUGGCCUUCUGCACGACAACAUAUCCAUUGUUUAUUGUGUCACACUGGAAAUUUGAUGCAUAUUUCCUAAGUUUUAAUUUCAUAAUCCUUUCGUGCCGAGCUAAAGAUGAAAGUUGAUGCCGCAAGAGACAAACUUCUGGCGGAAUAUUCCUUGAGUCACCGAAAUCAUUAAUAGUUGCAGAAAUCAAUUCCAUUUACUCUGGUGAACAAUAAAGUGAAUUCAAUAUCACAAAAUAUUCUAAAAUUAACAAAACGUUUUAUUACAAAUCAUAACAAGAGAAACCGAAAAUAUAAAAUGUUUUUUUUCAAAAGAGAGAAUUUUUUUUUCAAUUAUUGAAAUAAGAAUUGCAAUGAAUUUUUCGAACGAAUAUAUACCAUAUGUUAGAAAGAACAAAAAAAAAAUCACUAAAAACAAAACAAAAUAAAAUGGGAUUUAAUUUAACCAAUUCAAUUUAAUUUUAAACUCAUGCCAGUGUCACACUGGCAUUAAUUUUUGUUGUGCUUAUAGCCACGAACAGAGGCUUUUAGAUUACUUCUUUAUUAGGUUAUUAUUCUUCGAAUUUGGUGGGUAAAUUGUGAGCUUUUUCUGUUGUGAUAUUAUCAAAUCAAUCCAUGCAAAAUAAUCAUUAAUGUAAUGUUUUUGUUAUUUUCAAACUGAUAAAUAAUUAUGAAUUGUUUCCAUAAUUGUGUAUUUAGAAACAACGUUAACACAUUUUUUCGGAACAAACUUCUAAGUUUGAUUGAUUUUACGUCUAAUUACGAUACCCUAAAUUAAUAUAGAAAGUCAACAAAAAUCCACUUUAACAGUUCUAAUGUAAAUUUAAAGGCAAUUAAUUUUGAGUAAAUAUGAACUAAAACAAAACUUGAACAAAAUCUGAAUUUAUAUAUAAUAUUAAGGUAGCCACAUUGCAUUUGAAAAUGUCAAUUAGUGGGAUCUAAAUAAAUAAUCACCUUGGAAUUUUUUAAUGGUUGUAGGAGUUAAUAUUACAUACACGGACUAUCAUCUUUGUUGUACAAAUUUCGAUCAAACAUCUCCCCCAACUUUUUUCAUAAAGUAAUCUUUGAUAUCACCGAGCUAUCCAUAAAAAUUGCCACAAGUGAAUAAUGUAAAGAGAAAAACUCAUUAUAAGGAUAUCAUAUUAUCAUUAAAUUCGAAAGUUUCGAAUUACGUUAUUAUACAAUUGGUUACUUUUUAAUUCUAAAUCACCAAUAUUAUUAUUCCCUAUCUCAAUAUGAAUAUUACCACUUGACUUUUUUAUUUGUGUUUAUGAAGAGGUGGGGUGUGAGGAAAAGGAAAAAAUGUUUUUCUUAAGAAUUAGAACAAAUAAUUAGGCAAUAAUUCAAGGAAUUGAGGUUGUUCAUUCUACAUUCCAUUUGGAUUUACAGUGAUUUUCAUAAAUUUUUUCUUUUAUUAAUUAUGCUAACUGCCAUGUACUGUUGUUUAUUCUACUGCGUUUGGGAGAAGAUGCUUGGGCUGCCUAGAACAUAUUUUCUAAUUAAUUUUUCUUGUGAAUACAUUGAAUAAUCUCUAAGGGCUAUAUCCUUUUUCAUUUUACUUUAACGGUUUUUCUUCAACAAAUAUUGGAUGUAUUUAGUGAAAAAGAAAAUUAAAAAUUAGGAAAGAAUUAAUAAAAUUAGUGAAGUCAAAUUGUCAAUCAAUUCUUAUGAUAAAACAAUAAUUAAAAAAUAUAGUCAUAGUUUUCUUGAUUAUAUUCGACUUAUUAAUCUGUUAAAACUUUUUAUAUCUUUUUUUCCAACUUCCCCAUUUGGUGAACUAUAAAAAUGAUAUGUUUUUUUUCCACUCUUUGUCUCUAUCUUUUUUCACUCACAAAGAGUUAAUAGUUAUUAAUCAAUUAAUUUUUUUUGUUUGCAUAAGAAUUAAUAAUGUUGCACACAUGUAUUGUGAAAUAAUUGUUUGUUCAUAAUUAUUUUUUGCAUUUUUUUAGAAGUCAAUAGUCAAAUUAAUGAUAUUGAAUUAAGACAUUUCGAAGUUUGCUAUUUUGUACUUCUAAUAGAAAUGCUUGCAAAUGGGAGGCAUUAAUUUUUCUGUUUACUUUAUCGAAUUUCAUAAAAUUCAAUUCAAACAAAAAAUUGAAGGUUAGAAAAGCAGUUGGAUAGUUUCAUAAAAUUAUUAUUUUAUCAUUUAAAAGAUAUGUACCACAUCAAUUAGGACUAAAUAUUAGAAUCAUUAGCAUUGUUCCAAUCACACAUGCAAAAUCUAUCACUCAAUAGUCAAGUACAUUGUACAAUGCAGUCGAGAACAACUUCAACAUUUAGUUAAACCUUUUCUAUCUGUUUAUUUCCACAAAACACCAAAUAUCCAGAUUGAUACUGGAUCCUCCGAGUCAAAUAUAGCUAGUUCACGUUCAGAAAAGACCCGCCUCUUUUAAUUGUACCUCCUGCAUGCGAAUUAUAUAACAAUUAAAUAAAACUACACCAGAGAUUAAUUAGUCAAUAAAUAUAAACACGAGCUAAAACAUGUGUUUACUAAUAAUUCUUAAACAGGUCUAAGCUUUCAAAGUUUGCAUUGAAAAAUUAAAGUGAAAAUCUUCAAUACCUCCAUGUGUAAAUCGCAUAAAUUAGACAACCAAAGAUUAUUCAAAGAUUUUUCUUUCUUACCUUAUGCUUUUUCGCAAACAAGUAGAUAACAACAAUUGUAAAGACAAGUGAGCAGUAAUCUGUUAAAACAAAGUAAUCCAGUGUUAAUGAAAAUAAGAACAACAUAUUAUAUUUAAAACUAAGUUUUCAUAAUAAUGAAAUCGAGUAAACUUAUUCGAUAAGGAUAAACAAAUAGAACGCAUUGACAAAUUGACAUCAAAUUAAAUUGAUCCAAAGAAAUUGAGAUGCUCAAAUUUGAUUACGUACACAUUAAUUUUCAAAUAAUUAAUCCACACAUUGUUUUAUUCUUCAAACAUCUUUAAACACAGGAGCCAACACUUUCACUCUUAUAUAUUACUGCCAUAGUAACUUGAACUUGGUGAUCAGCUUUUUAAUUGAUUUGCAGUAGCUCACAAUUAAUUAAGCUUGAUCAUCAGUAGCUAUUAUUGAUCAUAAAAAUAUUUGUUUAAUUUACAAUCUAAAGUUACGCUCCAUACUCUAUAUAUGUGAAUUAUAUAUUUGCAUCAUCAACAUUAACAUUAUAAAAUAAUCUGUGCAAUAGGAUGCUCUUGGAGUAUUUUAUUUUCAUCACAAAAUAUAUUAAAAUUAUAUUAGUCAGAGAAUAUAUCUAACACUUUCUAAACACUAAUAUAUAAUAGUUUCUACAAAAUUAUGAAAUAUUUGUACUAAAAUACCAAAAUAUAAAUAUAUAUAACCUAAUUGGAAUCAAUAAUCAAACUUCAAACAUGUCAUACUCUAAAGAAAUUAAAGCAUGAUAGUCUGUGUGUUUGACAUAUUCAACUAAAUGUUUGAUGAGAAUCUGUGAUUGUUAACAGCCAAUAAUGGUUUCUUUAGCAACUCAACUCAACUCAGCAAAACCGCAACCAAUUACAUUUACCAACUCAACUCUUCGCUUCCCCAAUUUCCAACAUUCUCUUCACAUUUACAAAUGGUAGGUGGUCCUAUAAAUCCCAUUCAAGAAUGAACAAUUUUUUUCAGUUCCUAGUAGGUGAAGUUUCUUCCACAUUUACAGAAAUUUCGACAGCAUCUCCCCAUAGUUCUCCAAGUACACGACCUAGAUUUAUGCAUUCAUCUAGUAUGUACCCAGAGAACAUGAGGAGCAGCUAUCGAAAUUUCCUUUUACGUGAAACAAAACUUCACCUACUUGGAACUAAAAAAAAUUAUGCAUUCCCAAACUGUCCAAGUUGGGACAAUUCAAGAAUUAUUAAUAGACAUAUCAUCCUCUUGUCAUCCUAAGAUGACACUGAUAAAACAUGUGUCUACUAAUAAUUCUUAAACGGGUCUUAGCUUUCAAAGCAUGCAUUGAAAAAAAAAACGUAAAUCAAUAUAUAUAUAUAUAUAUAUAUAUAGUUGAGUUUAUUAACAUUACCUAGGUUUGGCGGAGAAAAUAUGAAGAAGAAGAAGUAGUUUGGGCAAAAAUCAAAGGGUUUUGAUUUUCAUUAUUGAUCAAUUGAAAUAGUAGAGUAGUGGACCUUCUCAGCUAGUUCCAUGGAUGUUAAUAAAUCUAAAAUUUGUUAGCACUUAACAUUUGCUAAAGAAACCGUCUUAAGUUUCAAUUCUUUAAAUUAAUGUUAAUUAGAUUUGACAUUGAAGAUUAAUUAUUCACUAAGGCUUAUCAUAUUUUAAAAAAACGAAUAUAAAAGGUUGCAUAUUAAAUAUGGGAUUAUGCAAUUAAAAUUAAACCCUAGUAAUGGCAUUGGUGAGGGAAGAUGAAAGAAUUCCUUCCUAUAUUAAUUAGUUGAUAUAUUUUAAGCCACUAAAGUUUAAUUGUUGGCUUAAUAAAAUAAAUGAAUGUUUCAAGACUUAUAAUUAAUUAUUAUUAAUGGUUAUAUAUUGUUGAAUUUAAAUAGAAAUAGGAAAAGACAUGUAAUCUUUUGUAAUCUAAUAAUCAUUUUCUAUUUAUUUUCUAUUUUUAAUAUUUUGUAAUGUAAUUAUUUUUUAAUUUAAGCUAAUAUAUUAGAUAUUAGAGAAUAUAAAGAGAUGAGAAAUAAUGAUGUCACAAAUCUUAAAUACUUAAUAUUUAUAGAAUUUGAAGAAGCCAAAAAGCACUAAACAAAAGGUUGAAUAAUUAAAUAUGAAAUUAUGACAUUAAAAUUAGGCCCUAGUGGCAUUGUUGAGGGAAGAUGAAGGAACCUUCCUUUCUAUAUUAAUUAAUUGAUGCUUUUUAAAGCCAUUAAAGUUUAAUUAUUGGCAUAAUAAAAUAAAUGAAUGUUUCAAGACUUGUUGAAUUUAAAUAGGAAGAGGAAAAGACAUGUAAUCUUUUGUAACCUAAUAAUUAUAUUCUAUUUUUACUAUUUUAUAAUGUAAUUAUGUUUUAAUCUCAACUAAUAUACUAGAUAAUAAAGAAUAUAAGAAGAUGUAAAAUAGUGAUGCCACAUCACCUCUUGUAGUCAAGGCUUAUAAUUAAUUAAGAGACAUGGAUAGGGAUGGCAAUUUCCGGGUCCGGGUCCGGGUCCGGGUUUGGCUGUUCCGGAUCCGGACCCGGACAUCAAAUUCUCAUAACCGGACCCGCAUUAAACCCGGAUUUUUUAAAUCCGGAUCCGGUCCGGGUUCAACCCGGAAAAAUCCGGGUUUCCGGAUUCCGGGUUUGGAACCCGGAUUGCUUUAUUAUUAUUUUUUUUAGAGACCAUAUGGCUUACUUUAACAAGGCACAGGGGAUGGUGGUUUAAUGUUUUAAUGUUUUCCCCAACAACACAUUACAGAAUACUUCCUAGAAUUGGUUCAAUAAAAUUUGAUGGAUAUUGUUGUUGAGUUCGAAUUUUCCGUCUCUUUUGGUGGAGGUUUCACAUAUUUUCCUAUUACUUUUUGGCAUCUCUUUCUCUUUUGUCUGGUUUGUUUGUCUUUACUUUGCUGCUUCCUUUUCUCCUUUAGCUUAUUCCGAAGAUGCCUUUCUUUCUCAAAUACACCUUGCCAAACGACCUCACCUGUUGACGGCCAUAACCACCGUCUUCUAGGGUGAUCAGAAUCUGCCUCCUCGGCCAUGUCCUCAUCCAUGCUUUUUAAAGUGCUGUAUGAGAACCAUCUGACCCACAUUUGACCUCUCCGACUCUUAAAGUGCCACGCCGCGAAGGAUCUGAUCUGAUCUGAAGAAGAGAUUACAGGAGAGUUGCAGAGAGAGUGAGAGAUUAAGUGACGACGGAGGACUGAGGUGAGGAAUGAGUCACGGCUCACGGGUGAUUUUCCUUGAGAGAGGAACGGAUUACGGUUUACGAAUGAGACUUGAGAGAUUGAAAGGAGAAAUUAUAGAUUUACAGUAAUUUUUAGGUUGAAGGAGAAAUUUCGAGAGAGGAUCAGACGAACGAGACGAGAGAGAUCUAGAUUCUAGGGUUCACUUUUGUUUUUGUUUUUUUUUUAAUUUUUCUAUUUAUAUUUACGGAUUUACGGAUCAAAAUUAAUAUUAAAAUAAAUAAUAUCCGGGUCCGGGUUCCGGGUUUGCGGGUUCAUCUGAAACCGGAUCCGGACCGGAAAAAUGCGGGUUGUCAAAAACUGAUCCGGAUUCCGGAUAAAAACUAUGCCGGUGCGGGUUGAACCCGGACCGGAUUUUCCGGGUUCAAUCCGGGUCCGAUCCGGGUCCGGGUUUGGUUGCCAUCCCUAGACAUGGAUGAAACUAAUGUUAUUUAAGUAACACAUAGUUGAUUUAUAAGCUUAAUGUGUCAAAAUUGUUUAAACCUUUCCAAGAUUAACUAUUGUUUUCUUAUUAUUUCUUUUAUCUAGGUUUAAAUUUUAGGAGAAAUUUGUCAAUUUUCAAUUAUUGGGUGAUAUUGGUAUGCAAAUGAUGUGUUUUAUAGCAAUUUGAAUCUUUCUCAUCUUCAAGACUAUCAUUAGUCGAUAAUGUUGCUAUUACCUCAGGCUCUCGUGAGUCUAAACAUUUUCUAAUUAAUUGAAAAUGAUAUAAUGAUUAAUUAAUUGUUGAUAAUAAAACCAAUUUAAUACGACGUCUCCCCAUUUCUUUCUUUAUUUCUUUUAAACCUCAAUCAUUGUCAAAACCGUUAAUGGGUUGCAAUUAAACACUUAACAAAUCUUAAACUUGUUGUUAGCAAUUAACAUUUGCUAAAGGAAUCGUCUUAAGUUUCAAUUCUUUAAAUUAAUGUUAAUUAGAUUUAAGACGAAAAUUAAUUAUUCACUAAGACUUAUCUAUAAAUAAAAAGUAGAUACAAAUGUUGUAUAAUUAAAUAUGAGAUUAUGACACUAAAAUUAGGCCUUGGUAGUGGCAUUGUUGAGGGAAGAUAAAAGAACCUUCAUUCCUAUUUUAAUUAAAUUAUAUGUUAUGACGUGAAAAAAUAAACAAUCCAUUUUUGUAUUUUGUAGUUUGUGAAGAUUUGAAACAAUGUGCUUUCUUUUCAGAGUGAUAACAAUUGGAUCCAUUGCUUUUUCCUUUUAAUGUUUUAUAAACAUAUAUUGUCUAUUUGCAUCAAAUAAGUCCCAAUCUCUUUUACAAUCACUAAUAAAACACCUUUCAAUUAUUAAACUAUAAAUAUGUGUCAUUCAAAAUUAUGAUGGAAGAUAGAGAAUUUAGGGUGGGUUUCUUCACUGAAGAGUUAAAAAAAAUUGAAAUUUAAAAUUUUUCAAUAAAUACAAAUAUAAGAUGAAUAGUUUCAUUUGUUCAAUAGACUAAUCAUAUUAAAAUAAUGUUAGUAAGGAAAAUAAUUUAAAAAAUAUUCUUAAUUAAAAUAAUUUAAAAAAUGUAAAUUACCUCUCUCACCUCAUUUUUUAAGCAAAAAUAAAAAUAACUUGAAGUUUUAAAAAAUAAUUGAAGUAAUUUAAAAAUAAUCAAUUUGGAAUAAUUCAAAAUUUACCCAAGAGAUUAUUCACAAUAUCAAUCAAUGAAUUAGAAACAUUAAAUGGUAUAACAUAUAACUAUUAUUUUUAACUUAUUGAUCUCAAUCUUGAGCGUUCGGAUUAGAUCUUUGGGGUUUCAUUUUUUAGAUUUCAGUGAUUGAAAGUAUGAAACUCAAAGUAACAAAAAUUAAAUUUAUAUUUUAUCGCAAGUGAAGUGUAGGGAUUAAUCCAAUUAUUUGCGUCUAGCGUUUCUUUUUGUUGCUAUCACUCUUGUUGAUGAUGAUAAGCCUUUUUUUUUUUGCAUUGUCACUACCAAUUUAUUAUCUACAUUCAUCUAUAGAACGAAGCAAGAUGCCAAGAAAGAAAUAUAACACAAGAAAAAUAAGUUAUCCCAAUCGUUCAAAACAAAUACAUACAUAGCCAGAAAAAUAAGACAUAUCAUAUCACACUUAAAUAUUACCACUCUAAAAAGAAAAAAAGGUCAAAAGACUAACACACAUGUAAAAAGAUGACCAACAACAACACUAAACAUGUUUUGUGUAUUGAUUACUUCCACCAUCACUAACUUCAUCAUCAUCAAUAAUUUGGUUUUUUCUCUUUCUAUUCUUACUGGCAUUAGUAACAUGAAAAUCUCCCACAGAAUCUUCCAAAUUAUUUGAUAAGAUAUCAUGAGGAUCCUGUAAUUUUUUAAUCAAGGAAAUUAAAAUUAUGAGUAAACUGAACAUGCUAAUUUUAAUCAUAAAGGAAAACAACUGGGAAAUAAGAGUAAAUAAAAUUACCAUUUCUUGGGAAUGUUCUUCCUUUCUUUCAUAUAUUUCCACAUUUUCAUGAUCUGUAUUGUUUUUUUUCCUACAAAAAACAACAAUUAAAUAAUUUUUUUAACAUUACAUAUAUUGCCUACAAAUUGAACCUAGCACAGGUAGAUAAUACCUUCUUCAAUUCUUGUUCGAGCUCCAAUUUCUCAUCAGGGGUGAAAAGCUUUGACACAGUAAAAUUCUCAAGUCCCUCUUUCAAAUUGUAAUCAUUCAAUUUCAGUUUGUAAUCAUUCAAUUUCAGUUUGUAAUCAUUCAAUUUCAGUUUGUAAACAAAAUCUUUUCCACAAAGGCUUUGAAUUUCUGCAGGGACAUCCUUACUAUAUAAAGGUAGUCUAUUAAACAACUUGUGGGCUGAUGUAUCAAGUAACUUCUCAGCUACAUGAUUGAAUAAGACAAAAGUUGUCUCUGCCGUUUUAUCCAUGACUUUUAUAUGUAUUUUGUACCUACAUUAGAAUAAUGAAUUAGAAUGAAAAACUAACAACAUAAUGAGCAAUUUUUUUUAAAAAUAAUAUUAUUUUUCUUACAUCACAAGAGGAUAGUCACAUUCCUUUUUGCAAGUGCCACACAUAUAAAUACCAUUUGUAGGUAUGACCUUUUUUAUGCAUGUUUUGCACGAAACAUAGUACCAUCCAAAGGAGUUGUCUAUUUCACUAAUCUUGCCCCGCACAGUAACAAUAUAUUCCUACAAUUAAACAAUAAACAUUUAAAAAAAUAAUAAGGACAUUCCAAUAUUUAGGAACAAAUAACACAAAUGGAUGAGCAGGAAAAAAAUAGAAAAAUCACCUUCACUUGAGAACUCCAAUCAGCCUCCAAUAGUUCUUUAAUGCUCAUCCUGUUAAGGAACAUCUCUUCCUCAAAAGUAAUCUUAUUCACAUUCGAACUUUCAAUAACUUGCACAACGUUGGAGACGGUGGAAAAUCUUUCAAUUAAUGAUGCUACAUAAUCUAUUUGAAGAUUUAUAUAGAUUUUUCUUGCACUUGUGGUAGAGAAAUUAACCUCACCUGUUUAGAGCAAAUGUAACGUAAAACGAAACUUGAACAAAAUCUAAAUUUGUGUAUAAUAUUAAAAUAGCCACAUUGCAUUUGAAAAUGUUAAUUAGUGGGAUCUAAAUAAAAUAAUCACCUUGGAAUUUUUUAAUGGUUGUAGAAGUUACUAUCACAAUACAAGGACCCUCGUCUUUCUUGUACAAAUUUGAAUCAAACAUCUCCCCUAACUUUCCCCAUAAAGUAAUCUUCAUUGUUACUGAACUAUCCAUAAAAAUUAACAAAAAUUAAUAAUGUAAAGAGAACCAAUAACUAAAAAAUAACAUAAAUAACUAAAAAAAUAUAAAGUCAUAGUUUUCUUGAUUAUAUUCAACUUACUAAUCCAUUAGAAUUUUUAUAUCUCUUUUUUUCCAACCAGCUCCAACGAUCUCAAUAUCACCCACACCACAUAAACUUCCAAUAACAUCUGUAAUAUUAUGGAAAAAUAACAUAAACAUGUUAAAACAUAAGGAUUAAUAAUUUCUAAUAUACACUUAAAGAUUAACAAACAUUAAUAAUUAAAAAAAUACCUGAGAGGAUUGUGUUAUCAUUCACACGUAAAUCAAUCAAAUUCGAAGAUACGAAUUGAAAUCCAUUAAUCGGAAUCUUGACAGUUCCUUCUUCUAACCUCUUAAGAGAAGUUAUACCAAGAAAAUAAUCUUAUACUGAUUUGAAAGUGGUCUGUACUCGCCUGUAGUUGAAACAACUUUCAAAUUCUUGACAUUGUACAAAGAACCCUCACUCAACAUGUGCUUAAACCUUGUCACUAAGGUUUUCCUGAUUGUUGCAUGCAUUAGAUUUUCCUACGAAAAAAAAAAAACACAUACUACAUUCAGUGUGAAACAAUUGGGAAAAAAAAUUAGAGAAAACAAUGGGAGAAUAAAUUUUUUAUACAACCUUUUCAUCAAUAAAAAUCAUAUCAACACUAAUCAAUUCUCCAUUUUUUUUAGUAUUAGUAGACUCCCACAUCCUACAAAGCCUAACCCUUAUCAUCCAACUAUCUUUAUCAUUGUUCAACUCAUGAAGAAAAGAGUACUCCAUGAAGCACACAAUAUCAAAAAUUCAAAUAAAUCAAACAAUAAAAAUAUAAGUAUUUUUCUAAAGAGGGCGUUGAUUAAAUAAAUAAAAAAACCCUAAACAUAACAAAUCUUAAAUAUUUAGUGUUUAGAGAGCUUGAAGAAGCCAAAAGGCACUAAACAAAAGGUUGCAUAAUUAAAUAUGAGAUAAUGUCAUUAAAAUUAGGAUCUAGUGGCAUUGUUGAGGGAAGAUGAAAGAACCUCUCUUCCUAUGUUAAUUUAUUGAUUAUUUUAAGCCACUAAAGUUUAAUUGCUAGCAUAAUAAAAUUUGAAGGAGCCAAAAGACACUCAACAAAAGGUUCCAUAAUUAAAUAUAUGAUUAUGACAUUGAAAUUAGGCUCUAGUGGCAUUAUUGAGGGAAGAUGAAAGAACCUCUCUUCCUAUAUUAAUAAAUUCAUGUAUUUUAAGCCACUAAAGUUUAAUUGCUAGCAUAAUAAAAUAAAUGAAUGCUUCAAAAUACUUAUAAUUAAUUAUUAUUAAUGGUUACAUAUUGUUGGAUUUAAAUAGAAAGAGGAAGAAACAUGUACAAAGAAUAUCCACUAAUAUUUUAGAUAUUUUAGAUAAUAGAAAAUAUAAAACGAUGAGGUUGAGAGAAUGUGAAAGAACCUCUCUUCCUAUGUUAAUUAGUUGAUGUAUUUUAAGGCACUAAAGUUUAAUUGCUAGCAUAAUAAAAUUUAAAGAAGCCAAAAGGCACUCAACAAAAGGUUGCAUAAUUAAAUAUGAGAUUAUGGCAUUAAAAUUAGGCCCUAGUGGCAUUGUUGAGGGAAGAUGAAAGAACCUCUCUUCCUAUAUUAAUAAAUUCAUGUAUUUUAAGCCACUAAAGUUUAAUUGCUAGCAUAAUAAAAUAAAUGAAUGCUUCAAAAUACUUAUAAUUAAUUAUUAUUAAUGGUUACAUAUUGUUGGAUUUAAAUAAAAAGAGGAAGAAACAUGUACAAAGAAUAUCCACUAAUAUUUUAGAUAUUUUAGAUAAUAGAAAAUAUAAAACGAUGAGGUUGAGAGAAUGUGAAAGAACCUCUCUUCCUAUGUUAAUUAGUUGAUGUAUUUUAAGGCACUAAAGUUUAAUUGCUAGCAUAAUAAAAUUUAAAGAAGCCAAAAGGCACUCAACAAAAGGUUGCAUAAUUAAAUAUGAGAUUAUGGCAUUAAAAUUAGGCCCUAGUGGCAUUGUUGAGGGAAGAUGAAAGAACCUCUCUUCCUAUGUUAAUAAAUUCAUGUAUUUUAAGCCACUAAAGUUUAAUUGCUAGCAUAAUAAAACAAAUGAAUGUUUCAAAAGACUUAUAAUUAAUUAUUAUUAAUGGUUACAUAUUGUUGGAUUUAAAUAGAAAGAGGAAGAAAUAUGUACAAAGAAUAUUCAUCAAUAUUUUAGAUAUUUUAGAUAAUAGAGAAUAUAAAAAGAUGAGGUUGAGGGAAGAUGAAAUAACCUCUCUUCCUAUGUUAAUUAGGUGAUGUAUUUUAAGGCACUAAAGUUUAAUUGAUAGCAUAAUAAAUUUUGAAGAAGCCAAAAGACACUCAACAAAAUGUUGCAUAAUUAAAUAUGAGAUUAUGGCAUUAAAAUUAGGCUUUAGUGGCAUUGUUGAGGAAAAAUGAAAGAACCUCUCUUCCUAUGUUAAUUAAUUCAUGUAUUUUAUGCCACUAAAGUUUAAUUGCUAGCAUAAUAAAAGAAAUAAAUGUUUCAAAAGACUUAUAAUUAAUUAUUAUUAUUAAUUACAUAUUGUUAAAUUUAAAUAGAAAGAGAAAAAAAGUACAAAGAAUAUCCACAAUAUUUUAGAUAUUUUAGAUAAUAGAAAAUAUAAAAAGAUGAGGAAUGAUAUAUAUUAAUAAAGUUACUAUCUAUUAAAUGAGUUAAAUACAAUCAAAUUAAUUAUGAGAAGAUGAAAAGCCAAAUUUAAAAAAAAAAUAUCUAUUUAUUAGAUAAUAGAGAAUAUACAAAGAAGCAAAAUGGUGAUGCCACAUCAUCUCCUCAAGUCCUAGCUUUAUAUAGAUACUAGGAAAUAGAACCGCACUUUGUGCGGCUUUAAAAAAAGAAUUUAGUAUUAUUUUUUUUAUUACUUUACACUUGAUAAAACUGAUAAAAAAAUAUGAAUUGAUUUUCUUUUAAAGAUGACGCAGCCUUAUAAAACUAAUGUUAUUUAUGAAAGUUAAUUAUUUUUUUGUUAACUUUAAAAAUAUAUAUUAAUGUGUAUAGUUAAAUGUAAACAACCUUUUCAUCAAUAAAAAUUAUGUUCACACUAAUCAACUCUCAAUUCUUCUUGGUAUUAACAGACUCCUACAUUUUACAAAGUCUAACCCUUAUUAUCCAACUAUCUUUAUCAUUGUUUAACUCAUGAAGAAAAGAAUACUCUAUGAAGCACACAAUACAAAAAAAUUAAAUAAGUCAAAAAAUAAAAACACAAGAACAUUUCUAAAGAGGAUGUUGGUUAAAUUAAAAAAAAAUCCAAACAUAACAAAUCUUAAAUACUUAAUAUUUAUAUAGUUUGAAGAAGCCAAAAGACACUAAAUAAAGGUUGCAUAAUUAAAUAUGAAAUUAUGACAUUGAAAUUAGGUCCUAGUGGUAUUGGUGAGGGAAGAUGAAAGAACCUUCCUUCCUAUAUUAAUUAGUUGAUGUAUUUUAAACCACUAAAGUUUAGUUGUUGGCUUAAUAAAAUAAAUGAAUGUUUCAAAACUAUAAUUAAUUUAUUAUUAAUGGUUACAUAUUGUUGAAUUUAAAUAGAAAGAAGAAGAGACAUGUAAUCUUUUAUAAUCUACUAAUUAAUUUCUAUUUUUAAUAUUUUGUAAUAUAAUUAUUUUUUAAUCUCAACCAAUAUAUUAGAUUAUAGAGAAUAUAAAAAGAUGAGAAAUAAUAAUGGCACAAAUCUUAACUACUUAAUAUUUAUAGAGUUUGAAGAAACCAAAAGGCACUAAACAAAAUGUUACAUAUUAAAUAUGAGAUUAUAGCAUUAAAAUUAGACCCUAAUGGUAUUAUUGAGGGAAGAUGAAAGAACAUUCCUUCCUAUAUUAAUUAAUUGAUAUAUUUAAGCCACUAAAGUUUAAUUAUUGGCAUAAUAAAAUAAAUUAAUGUUUGAAAAUUUAUAAUUAAUUAUUAUUAAUGGUUACAUAUUAUUGAAUUUAAAUAGAAAGAGGAAGAGACAUAAUCUUUUAUAAUCUAAUAAUUAUUUUUUUAUUUUUAAUAUUUUGUAAUGUAAUUAUUUUUUUUAUAUCAACUAAUUUAUUAGAUAAUAGAGAAUACAAGAAGAUGAGAAAUAGUGAUGCCACAUCACCUCCUCUAGUCCCAACUUUAUAUAUAUAUAUAUCAACUAUAUAUAUAUAUAUAGAUAUAGAUUUUUAAUAUUUUGUAAUGUAAUUAGUUUUUAAUCUCAACCAAUAUAUUAGAUAAUAGAGAAUAUAAAAAGAUAAGAAAUAAUGAUGCCACAAAUCUUAAAUAUUUAAUGUUUAUGGAGUUUGAAGAAGCCAAAAUACACUAAACAAAAGAUUGAAUAAUUAAAUAUGGGAUUAUGACAUUAAAAUUAGGCUCUAAUAGCAUUGUUGAGGGAAGAUGAAGGAACAUUCCUUCAUAUAUUAAUAUUAAUUAAUUGAUGUAUUUUAAGCCACUAAAGUUUAAUUGUUGGCAUAAUAAAAUAAAUUAAUGUUUGAAGACUUAUAAUUAAUUAUUAUUAAUGGUUACAUAUUGUUGAAUUUAAAUAGAAAGAGGAAAAGACAUGUAAUCAUUUAUAAUCUAAUAAUUAUUUUCUAUUUUAAUAUUUUGUAAUGUAAUUAUUUUUUUAAUUUCAACCAAUUUAUUAGAUAAUAGAGAAUAUGAGAUGAAGAGAAAUGGUGAUGCCACAUCACCUCCUCAAGUCCUACCUUUAUAUAUAUACUAGAAAAUAGAACCGCGUUUCACGCGGCUUUGAAAAAGAAUUUAGCAUUAUCCUUUUUUCUUACUUUACACUUGAUAAAACUGAUAAAAAAUAUGAAUUGAUUUUUUUUUUUAAGAUGAGGCAGUCUUAUAAAAAAAUAAAAAAAGUUAUUAACCAGUAAUACAAAUAAAGAAGCAACGCAAGAUAAAGAAUAAAAUGAGAGAAUAUUGUAUAAUGAUUUUAUUCAUUACAAUUGUGUGUGUACAAAACAAAAAGAUGAGCUCUCCUUUGAUAGUUACAUAAUCACUCCAUGAAAUUAAUGAAAAAUUAUGGAUCAUAAUUCCUUGUGAGAUAGUGGGAGUUAUAGGGAAGCUAAAGGUUGCUAAUGAGAGAUAGUGGGGAGACUAAGAGAUAUAUGUUAUGAACAUCUACAUUUAUUUUAAUAAAUUCAUAACACUCCUCCUUGAAUGUUUAUUACAAAGAAUAUGUCUCAUUAAAAUCUUUACAUAAUUGUUAUUGUGUAAUAACAAUCAAAUUAAUUAUGAGAAGAUGAAAAAUCAAAUAUAAAAGAAAAUUUCUCUAUUUAUUAGAUAAUAGAGAAUAUACAAAGAUGAGAAAUGAUGAUACCACAUCACCUUCUCAAGUCCCAGCUUUAUAUAUAUAUAUAGAUAUAUAGAUAGAUAGAUAGAUAGAUUAAUUCAUGUAUUUUAUGCCACUAAAGUUUAAUUGCUAGCAUAAUAAAAUAAAUAAAUGUUUCAAAAGACUUAUAAUUAAUUAUUAUUAAUGAUUACAUAUUGUUGAAUUUAAAUAGAAAGAGAAAAAAAAGUACAAAGAAUAUCCACCAAUAGUUUAGAUAUUUUAUAUAAUAAAAAAUAUAAAAAGAUGAGGAAUGAUAUAUAUUAAUAAAGUUACUAUUUAUUAAAUGAGUUAAAUACAAUCAAAUUAAUUAUGAGAAGAUGAAAAGGCAAAUCUAAAAAACAAAAAUCUCUAUUUAUUAGAUAAUAGAGAAUAUAUAAAGAAGCAAAAUGGUGAUGCCACAUCACCUCCUCAAGUCCUAGCUUUAUAUAUAUAUAUAGAUAUAGAUAUAGAUAUAGAUAUUUUGUCCUAAUUAACUUAAAGAUUUUGAAUCUAAUAUUUUAUAAUAAAUAAAAAUAUAUUCCUAAAAUAAAUAUAAUAUCAAUAUUUAAAAUAUGUUUUAAUAUUUUACAAUCUAUCAUACACAUUUUAUUAUAGUAAAGUAGAUUUUAUAAUAAAUAUAUAAAAAAUUUAGAAUAUGUAGAAUAUUAUAUAAAAUAAUUUUAAUAUAAUGUGUGAGAUAUAUUUUAUUAAUUUAAAAUGUCAUUUUACCUAAAAAAUAUGAUAAAUUAAUAAUUACAUAUUUGAAGUUACUUCAAAUAUUAAAAAAAAUUAAUAUUAUUAAUCUUUUAGAUAGAUUAAAUUAUUUUUUAUAAGAGAGAUUAAAUUAUUUUAAAAUGCCUUAAUUGUUUUUACUUUUAACGUUACCGGCCUUUCUUUUAUUUUAUUGCAAAUUAAUACUAAUAAGAAAAAGCUAGAUCAUAUUCCACAAAAGCAAAUGUGACAAACACAACCAGCUGGAAUCUUUUAAUUACUAUUCAAUAAUUCGAGACGAUUAGGGUCUUUUAUUAAACUACAAUCCUCAAUAAUUGUUUUAAAUUGGUGGCACCUACAAUCCUCAAUAAUUGUACCGAUAUUCACAAGUUCGUGGCCCCUACAAUUCUGUUCGCAAGUGCUCAUUCACAGUCUUCCAGGCCCCUACAAUUCUGUUCCGAUAAUUUAACUGUGCAAGUGCUUAAUAAUUGUUUUGUUUUUUUCUGCAUUCCCUUUCAUGCUCUUAAUAAUUGAAGAGCAUACUUUUCAAAUGUGGAGCCGCAGCUAAUGUCGUUAAUUUAAUUUGGGAUUAAAUUAGGGGACCAUUAUAUUGCAGUGUGCACUAAUUUUUGUGUUUAUCUAAACUCCUUAAAUUUAAGACAUAUUACGGCAUAAAUAAGAAUAUAACAAUAACAAAAGAGUUAGAAAGUGUAGAGAAGAUCUUGCAGAAAUAUAAAUAAUAUCAAUUUUAAAAUAAUUUUUAAUAUUUUAUGAUCCAUUAAAUAUAUUUUAUUAUAUUAAAAUAAAUUUUAUAAUAAAUAAAAACAUCCUAUUAAAAUGAAUAUAUAGAAAAUUUAGAGUAUUUUAAGUAUUAUAUAAAAUAAAUUUAAUAAAAUAUGUGAGAUAUUCAUAGUUUAUUAAUUUAAAAUACCAUUUUAAAAUUAAAGAUUUAUUUAUGAUAAAUUAAUAAUUAUAUUUUUGAAAUUACUUCAAAUAUUAAAAAAUUAAUAUUACUAAUCUAUUAGAUAGAUUAAAUUAUAUAUAUUAUUUUCUAUUUAUUAAAAAAUUAAAAUUAUUUUUAAUUACUAUUCAAAAAAUAUAAUGAUAAAAAAAAUCUUAACAUCUUUAUUAAAAAUUUAAAAAUUUACGUGAUCAAUUCUCUAAAUAUUUAGGGUAUAUGUGAACCACGGUGGAGAAGCUUUAUUUAAUAUUAUUGAUUUAAAUAAUAUGUCAAUUAAAAAUGUGCGGAGAAGAAAUUUCGGUGGAUAUUUUAGUCUUUUCAGCAAUUAUCAUGAUCAGAUCUAGGGAUGGCAAUGGAGAGGGGAGGGGAGGGGACCGAUCUCCCCGUACCCAUCCCCGAUAUUUUGCGUAUGUCCCCGUCCCCUCCCCGUCCCCAUCAGAAUUACUUGAGAGAAUCACCAUCCCCUCCCCGAAUAAUAACAGGGGAUCCCCGAUGGUCCCCGAUCCCCGAAUAACUAAUACAUUUUUUUUCAAUUUUGAGUUAAUCAUAUUAAAAUAAAAAAUUCAAAUAAAAAUAAAGUUCGAAAUAUAUCUUACAUUAAUAUCUAUUACAAAAGUCACAUACAUUAAAUUAGUAAGUAACGCAACAUGCAAGGAAUACAAACUUCUUUUACAAACUAUCAUGAACAAAUUAAUAGUUUAAUACAAAAUUGUUACAAAUAAAAUCGAAUUUAGAUUCAAAAUUAACUUUUUCAAUGGUGGCGUGGGCACUUUAUAAAUGUGGAUUAUUCCCUUUACAACACAAUAGUUAAAUCGGAGCAAAUCAAAAGUAAAUAUUAGAUUGGAUUAGAUUAGAUUAGAUUAGAUUAGAUUAGAUAUUAAAAUUGUGAUUCGCUGUGGACAAUUAUAACAUCUAAAAAUAAAUAAAAAAUAGAUUUAAGUUUAAAAUAUUUAAAGAAUAUUAAAAUUAAAAAAAAAUGUUUGGCUAAUAGAAUCUACUUGGUCUUUUUAAUGUCGUAAAUAAAAAUUUAAGACUUUAAUUAGUUAAUUAGGCCUAAAAAUUUAAUAAUAUAAAUAUUUUGAUAUUUUUUAUUUUUACCAAUAUUUAUAAGUGGAUUCUUUUACUAAACUAUAAAUUAAAAGUGGAUUCUUUUGAAUACAAGUGGGACAGACGAUUAGGCUCUUUUUAUUAAACGCAAGUAAAAAGUAGUCGAAUAGUCUUUUUCAAAUUAUUGUUUUAUUAUUUUUCCUUCAAAAGUUAGCGUGGCUCAUGUUUGCAGGUGCGAAUGUGCGAUGCUCUUUUUUUAAAGGCAAUUACAGUGGGUCCCGAAUCAUUACUAAAAUUUCUCUUCCUCAGCCCACCGCAGCUUCAGUUAAUCAAACUCAAUCAAUUUUCUUUCUUAACAAAAUUCUAAAGAUGUGUAGCAUUUUUCAGAUCACAUGCGAUGGUGCUUUUUUCAAUCGUUGCUUGGAUUGCUUUCUUGGAAAAGCAGCAUACAUACGUAACCUCCAAGAUAAUCUUGAUGCCUUGGAGACUGAAUUGGGAAAUCUGAUCGCUAGAAAGAACGAUGUGAUGAGGAGGGUUGUCGAUGCUGAACGGCAACAAAUGAGAAGGCUGGACGGAGUGCAAGUGUGGGUUUCGAGGGUGGAUUCUGUUAAAACUGAAGCCGAUGAACUUAUCACAGACGGCUCUCGAGAAAUUGAAAAAUUAUGUGUUGGAGGCUACUGUUCCAAGAACUGCAGGUCAAGCUACAAAUUCGGGAAAAAAGUGGCUAAAAAGCUACGGGAUGCGCGGACUUUAAUCAGUGAAGGAGUUUUUGAGGUGGUGGCUGACAGAGCUCCAGAGUCUGUAGCAGAUGAAAGACCUACUGAGCGAACAGUAGUAGGCUUGCAAUCACAACUUGAACAAGUCUGGAGAUGUCUUGUAGAAGAAUCAGCGGGAAUCAUUGGCCUAUAUGGUAUGGGCGGUGUUGGUAAAACUACACUACUGACCCAUAUCAACAACAAAUUUCUCGAGAGUCCAACCAACUUUGAUUGUGUGAUUUGGGUUGUAGUUUCAAAAGACCUGCGACUCGAAAAAAUUCAAGAAGAUAUUGGGAAAAAGAUAGGUUUGGUUGGUGAUUCAUGGAAGAGUAAAAGUGUAGAGGAGAAAGCUGUCGACAUCUUCCGGAGUUUAAGAGAGAAGAGAUUUGUAUUGUUGUUAGAUGAUAUAUGGGAGCGGGUUGAUUUAACAAACGUGGGCGUUCCACUUCCCGGACCAAAAAAUACUACCUCAAAAGUCGUAUUCACAACCCGUUUCAUCGAUGUUUGUGGUAGCAUGGAAGUUGACAGGAAGUUUCAAGUAGCAUGCUUAUCAGAAAAGGAUGCUUGGGAACUGUUUCGAGAAAAAGUUGGGGAAGAAACUCUUGAGAGUCAUCAUGAUAUCGAUGAGCUAGCCCAAAUUGUGGUCAAAGAGUGUGGUGGUUUGCCACUCGCACUUAUUACUAUUGGUCGAGCUAUGGCCUACAGAAAGAAAGCGGAGCAGUGGAGACGUGCAAUUGAAGAGUUAAGGAGAUCAGCUUCAGAGUUUGCAGGUUUGGGAAAAGAGGUGUAUCCUCUUUUAAAAUUCAGCUACGAUAGUUUGCAGAAUGAUAGUUUGCAGAAUGAUACGGUUAGAUCUUGUUUCUUGUACUGUUGUUUAUAUCCUGAAGAUUAUGUCAUUCCUAAAUGGGACUUGAUUGAUUGUUGGAUUGGUGAGGGAUUUUUUGGGGAAUCUGACAGGUCUGGUGCAGAAAACCAAGGAUAUGACAUUUUGGACACUCUUGUUCGUGCAUGUUUAUUAGAAGAGGUGGAAGAUGAUAAAGUAAAAAUGCAUGACGUUAUUCGUGAUAUGGCUAUAUGGAUAACUUGUGAAAUUGAGAAGGAGAAUAGAAAAUUUUUGGUUUGUGCAGGUGCUGGAUUAAAAGAGGCACCGGGUGUUAAAGGAUGGGAAAAUGUGAGAAGAUUGUCAUUGAUGCAAAACCAAAUUGAAACUCUGUCAGAGGUUCCCACAUGCCCUCAUCUCCUCACUUUAUUUCUUGACUUUAAUUAUAAUUUGAGGAUGAUCGCGGAUGGCUUCUUCCAACUUAUGCCUUCUCUCAAAGUUUUGAAGAUGUCACUCUGCCGGAAUUUAACUUUGAAAUUACCUUUGGGGAUGUCAAAGUUAGGUUCACUGGAACUUCUCGAUAUUUCAUAUACCUACAUACAAGAGUUACCACAAGAGUUAAAGUUGUUGGUAAAUCUGAAAUGUUUGAAUUUGAGGUGUACACACAGGUUAAAUAAAAUUCCACGGCAACUAAUAUCAAAUUAUUCAAGGUUACGUGUGUUGAGAAUGUUCGCUAGUGGCUGGUUCAAUUUUCAUGAAGCAUCAGAAGAAAGCGUUUUAUUUGGUGGGGGUAAAGUUUUGAUACAGGAAUUGCUCGGUUUGAAAUAUUUAGAGGUAUUGGAGUUGACCUUGGGAAGUUAUCAUGCUCUCCAAAUUCUUUUGAGCUCAAAUAAGUUAAAAAGUUGUAUUCGAUCUCUUUACCUCCAUUUGACCGGAGAUACAGCGUCAAUUAUUGAUGCUACGGCUUUCGCAGAUCUAAACCACCUCAAUGAAUUAUGGAUUGAUAAUGGUAUUGAGUUGGAAGAAUUGAAGAUUGAUUAUACGGAGAUAGUACGAAAAAGGCGGGAACCUUUUGUUUUCCGCAGCCUUCACCGUGUUACCAUAUAUAGUUGCAGUAAAUUGAAAGAUGUGACAUUCCUCGUUUUCGCUCCAAACCUCAAGUCUCUUACGCUAUUCAAUUGCGGUGCUAUGGAAGAAAUAAUCAGCGUCGGAAAAAUUGCUGAGACUCCUGAGAUGAUGGGACAUAUAAGCCCUUUUGAAAAUCUCCAAAGGCUUAAUUUAAAAGAUUUGCCAAAUUUGAAGAGCAUCUACUGGAAGCCAUUGCCUUUUACUCGUCUGAAAGAAAUGGCGGUACUUGGGUGCGAUCAGCUUGAAAAGCUUCCGGUCGAUUCCAACAGUGCAAAAGAGCGUAAAUUUGUAAUUCGUGGAGAAGAAGACUGGUGGAACCGACUUCAAUGGGAGGAUGAAGCCACUCAAAUUGCUUUUCGUUCCUGUUUCCAACCUUAUUCCUGAGCGGUGGUCGCAAAAUUUGAUUUCUGGUGAGUGCGUUUUUCUUUGAACUCUUGUACAUAUUCUUGUCGUUUGCUUCACGCAAAACACUAGGUCUUUUCUUCAGUCCGUUACCUACACGCAAAACACUGGUUCUUUUCUCUGUUUUUAUUUCAGUUAGUUUCUCUCUCUCUCUCUCUCUCUGUGUCUUCUGUAAAUCACAAUUAAAUGUUGAAUUAAUGGAAUUAAUGCUUCAUAAAUUUGCCGGCACUGCCGUUACUUUAUUUUAGGGGGGUCGAAUUGGUGCUCUGGUUUUUUACUUUUUGCUGUCAAAUUUUGGCCUUUUUUUUUUUUUUAACAAGUUGAUACUUUAUUUAUAUCUUCUUAGCGAUUUAAUUUCCUGUCAAAAGAGGAACGAGAAGAACAUAUGACUUAAACCAAUGCUCGCAUAAACUUGCUGUAAAAAGAUGUAAUCUCACUGAAAUGCACACGUCUAGAAUGAAUAGAAUUAAAACAGGGAAAAUAUUAAGUAUAUUAGCCCUCUUUACCGAAAAUCAAAUGACAAUAAAUUUUUGGAAGUUUUGAUUUUCUACGGUCAAUUCGACCUUUUGCAAUUUCUUCUGUUCUAACAAAAACCAAAUUCUUUGUUCAAGUAUUUUCGUUUGGGUAUCAAGGAUCUCUAAUCAAUAGCUGGAAGCAAUUCAGAGGGCGCCGAGACCCGAUCCGACCUAGGCCCAAGUUUGGUCUUAAAGCCUGGGCUUGAGCCUGACAAUUAAAUUAAAACAUUAAUUGAUUUAUUGAUUGAAUUGUCGUGCAAUUGAUUUAUGGGGGAUGAAAAUUCAACAUACUUGAAAAUACACUAAUCUUAGCAUCAUCGGUUAAUAACUUUUAGAUUUAUGGGUAAUCAAUAGUUAAGAUCAGUUGUCAUUUAUUUUUUGAAAUGUCCAUAUUCAGUGUACAUUUGAAAAAGACCCAAUAAUUUCUCAUAAAUUUCAAUUAAAAAUAUUCAAUUUGUUAUUUCAGUUCUUUUAUUUUUUAUUUUUUCCAACAUGAAAGCGACUUAAUGUUACUAAAUUGAAGCCGCUGCCCCGCCUGUGGUUCCAAACUUUUAUCUUCCUCCUCCUUUAAAUUAAUGCGAGCAGCCUCCGUCCUUGACUAGUUGACUUCUUUUCUUCUUUUUUAAUUAAUUAAUUAAUUAAUUCAGCCGCCCACCUUUCUUUUCCCAAUGUCUUCUACUUUCGAUUUCCUUUUAUUUUCUCUUUAUUUUUAAAAUAUGCUUAUAGUAAUAAUAAAAAAUAAAAAUAAAAAUAAAAAUAAAAAUGAACAUAUUAAAAUAUAAUUUAUCAGAAAACCAAGAUAAAGAAAUAUUAUAAGCACAUCAAUCAAAAAGUGAAAAAAAAAACAAUUUUAAUUUACAUUAAAUAUAAACUUUCAGUGUUAAUCAACUUUUCUAAAUAACUGAAAUUAUUUAAAAUAAAAAUAAAUUAUUCUUCCCAAAAAAACAAAAAUUACACCCACUCUUGGCUGUAUGUCAAGAUUCGCUUUAAGGACUGAAGUUGGUAACUUUUGCAAGCAGUCUUAAAUUGAAUGGCAGCAACCCACGCUUUCAGAUUUAUGGUUAAUCAAUAGCUGAGAGUUGUUAUCGCUAAUGCCGUGUAUUUUUUUUAAUGUUUUUUCUCUCUCCUACAGCAUCUUCUAGGAAAGUGCAUCCGUUGCUAAAAUUUAGUAUUGUAAAUAAUAAACCAAGAAUAAAUAUUAAAUUUAAGAAACUGUAUUGCAUUUAAUAUUUAAGGGAGAAAAAUAAUUGUAGUGUCUUUAUUAAUCAGUAAAAAGAAAAGAUUAGAAUCAUAAUAAAUUGUAUUGUUAUUGAUGUAUUUAUUUUAUUUUAUACUCAAAAUAAAUUAUUUUAAAUUAUUAAAAUAUUAUUAUUGUUAUUCUAAUAAUAAUUAUUAUUUAAUAUUUAUUAAAAUAUUUGUCAUAUUACUAAAAAAGCAAUAAUAAUAAUGAUAAUAUUGGAAUUGUUGUUUUUUAUCUUAUUAUUAAUCAAAACACUUCUGGUUAGCCCAUUCAUACGUGAAGACCAAAACCAAAUCUCUUCUUCUCCUUCUUUUCUUAAAAUACGGGAUGUGUGUGCUCGGACUGCUCUCUCAUUCUUAAAACAAGACUUUUUGAAUUAUCCAAUUAAGUUAAAUUCUGUGGCAUCUGGUAUUUUCAUUUCUUGUUUAUUUCGCAAGUUAUUAUUGCCUAAUGCUAUGUCAACUCUAACAUUAGCAUAUAUAUUUUUUUUUUGGUCGUCUUUUAACACCAAACAUUAGUGUAGGUUAAGUAACAUAAUCAGUACUGGGACAAUUUGAAAUCCCUUUGUGUUUUAUUCACAGUAUCUAUGAGGGUUUAUCCUUUUGCUAGAACAAACUCUAGCAAAUUGUCAAAUGUACUUAUCCUUUCGCUUGAUGACUCAUUUUAAAAUUGUCUUUCAAUGUACACACACAGAGAUAACCACCGACAUCAAGCACCAAGUUUGGAAUUUAAUUGAUAAGCAUACAUUUGAUAAAUUAAUGAAAAGUUUGGGAGAAUAGUUUUGAUCACCCUCGAUUAGGAUGGUAUCACGAAAAAGAUCAAAAAGAAAACAUCGUCUCUUCUUCAACAAAAAUAAAUAUUUUCCGUUAGAAUUUAAAUAAAAUAAUUAUUUUUUUAUUUUUUGAAUUAAAAUUUAAUUAAAUACACAAAUAAAUUAUAUAUUUUUAAAAAAAAAUUUACACCCAGUCACAAGGCUGGCUAUUAAACUUAAAGGGAAGCUUCGGAGACUAAAGUUGGUAACAUCUCCAAGUGGUCUUAAGUUGACCGGAACUACCCCGACUUUAUGUUUGGUAGCCUAGACCUGAUCGGACCUAGGCCCAAGUUUGGUCUUAAAGUCCACAAUUAAAUUGAUUUGUUAAUUUAAUUGUUGUGUAAUUGAUUUAUGGGGAAUGAAUCAGCAUCCCUAAAAUUACACUAAUCUUGACAUAAUGACAUCAUCGGUUAAAAACGUUCAGAUUUAUGGCUAAUCAAUGGUUUGAGAUUUGUUAUCAUUAAUGCUAAAUAUUUUUUAACAUUUUUUCUAUCUCUCUCUCCUGAAGGAAUUUUCUAAGAAAAUGCAUCCACAACACAAAUUUUAAGGAUCACACUAUGUUACGUUAAACGUAACGUACACACACUCACAGCAACAGUAACAGGUCACGUCUUGUUACUGUUGCUGUGAGUGUGUGUAUAUUACGUUUAACAUAACAUAGCAUAGGCCAAAUUUUAAAUUGUAAACAAUAAACAAAAUAUAAACGUUAAAUUUAAGGAACUGCGUUGCAUUUCAGCUGAAGCUAACUUUAAUAUUUUACGAAAAAAAAUAAUUAAAUCUUUAAUGUGAUUUAUUUAUUAAUAUAUAUGACUAAUUUUUUAAAAUAAGAUGCAGGAUGAAACUUAAAAAUAUAAAUUAUAGAAUUAAUUUCUCUCUUCAAUAAAUCUAAAGUUUAUUUUUUUUAUUACAUGCUUCUAUUUUAUUUUUAUUCCAUGUUAAUGAUUGGAGAUUUAAAUCCAUUUCGGAUUUAUAAAUAUGUUUAGAUAUCUAAAUCCACGUGUGAUUCCAAACUAUAACCUUUUUUUUUUUCUAAUUAAUGCAAACAGCCGCCUCUUUGGACUGCUUUUCUUCUUUGAUUAUUAAUUAAUUAAUUCAGCUGCCCACCUUUCUUUUCCUAAUGUUUUCUACUCUCAAAUUUUUUUAAGGACAAGGCUACGUUGCAGACGCUGUACCUAACAGCUGCACCUUAGCCAGCUUCACAAAGGGUGCAUUUGGUAAGCAAUUUUUCUUUCCUGUGCAUAUGUGUCCUUCCACCAUUGGGUGUACGUAACAGAUAAUGUACCGUAACAAGCUCCUAUUUUUAAAUAUGUUUAUAAUGAUAAAAUAUAAAAAUUAAGAUUAAAAUGUAAUGUAAUAUAAAAUUAAAGGUGGAAGAGUAUUAAAAUAAUGUAUAAGAUAUGAAUAAACAAGUCAAUAAGAAAACAAACAAACGGCAAGAGAAAAGGAAUGGUCAUGCAGAUUUUAAGGUGGCAGUGACAAUGAGAUCUCAUUUUAACCGAUAAAGUCUUUUGAAUUUGUCAACUCAAAAAAAUAGAUUCAAAUGUUUUGUAAUAAAUGAAAAUAUAAUAUUAAAAUAAAUGUGAUAAUAUAUAUUUUAAAUAAUUUCAAUACAAAAAACAUUUGAAUGUUUUAUAAUUUAUUAGACAUAUUUUAUUAUAUUAAUAUAAAUUUUCUAAGAAAUAUGGACAUAAUAUUAAAAUAAAUUUAUGAAAAAUUUAAAUUAUUUUGAAUGUAAAAACAUUUGAAUGUUUUAUAAUUUAUUAGACAUAUUUUAUUAUAUUAAUAUAAAUUUUUCUAAAAAAUAUGGACAUAAUAUUAAAAUAAAUUUAUGAAAAAUUUAAGUUAUUUUGAAUGUAAAAACAUUUUAAUGUUUUAUAAUUUAUUAGAAAUAUUUUAUUAUAUUAAUAUAAAUUUUCUAAGAAAUAUGGACAUAAUAUUAAAAUAAAUUUAUGAAAAAUUAAAUUAUUUUGAAUGUAAAAUAAUUUUAAUAUUAUUAAUCCAUUAAGUAUUAAUUAUAAAAAUUAUUUAACCCAAAGAUUAUUUAUAUCCUUACAAUAAAUAUAAAUAUAUUAUUUGCAUUUAAAAAUUUAAAAAUAUUUAAAUAAUAUUAAUCUACAAUUAUAUUUUCAUUUAUUAUAAAUAUUUAAAGUCAAAUCUUUUGCACUUGUAUUUUAUUACAAUUAUGGCGCACAAAGAAAGAGCCAUAUAUGCUUUAUAGCGUUAGAAAUUGGUUUCUUUUAAAGCUGGAAACAGAGAGGAUGAUUAUUAUAAGGAGAAAAGAAAAAGGGAUAAAGAAUAUUAAUGAUUAACAAAAUCUCUCUGCAAAUUGAUUGCAGUAGAAAAAAAGUGAGCUGAGCAAUCUAAUUUAGUGGUAGAGUGAUAUUUCAUUUGUAGCAAAUUACAUCUCAAGGUUAAAGGAAAGACUUAAGAUCUCAGCUUUUGAUCAUAAUACUUUUUUUAAAGAAAAAAAUUAAUUUUAAUAUUUUAUAAUAAAUAAAAAUAUAAUCUUAAAAUAAAUACAAACACACUAUUAAUAGUACAUAUUUUAAAAUAAUCUCAUUAUUUAAAAUUGUUUUAAUAUUUUGUAAUUUGCCAGACAAAUUUUAUUAUUUUCAAGUAAAUUUUAUAAUAAAUACAAACACACUAUUAAGAUAAAUAUAUGAAAAAUUUAAAGUAAUUUGAAUCUUAUACAAAAUAAUUUUAAUAUUGUUAAUAGUGAGAUAAUUCUAUUAAUUUAAAAUGCUACUUAACCUUAAGAUUUAUUUAAGAUAAAUUAAUAAUUACAUUUUUAAAUUAUUUCAAAUAUUAAAAAUAUUUUAAUAUUAUUUAUCUAUUAGAUAGACUAAAUUAUUUAAAUUAUUUUGUAUAAAUUAAUUCUAUUUAAAGGAUAUUAUGAUAAAAAGAUCUUAGUGUUUUUAUUAAAAAUUUAAAAUUUAUAUGACUAUUUCUUUAAAUAUUUAGGGUAUAUAUGAACCACCGAGGAGAAAAGCUUUAUUUAAUAUUUUUGAAUAGUUUUUGAUCAGUACAAUUGCGUCCUUAUUCAGAAUUAUUGUUCUCUUCCGCAACAGUUUUUGUUUAUCAAAGUCAUCAAUUAAAAUUUUAGAAUUCUUAUCAUCAGAAGUAGUCGUUUUAGAAGUUGGGUCUUGGAUCAAAUUUCUACGAGUGCAUGAAUUAACAAUAAAAAAAAUUUCAUUACACACGGUUUAAGCUACAAAACUACUAUUUGCACAGUUGACUAUAAAACUUACCUCCAAUUACACUAAACCUCUCUAUUUGGUAACGUUGAGACUAAAUUAAUUUUAUUAGCAUGAAAAGAUAAUAGAAAUAUUAUCAUAAAUAUAAUUGUUGUUAAUCAAUUAGUACAUGUGAUAUAAAGGUUAAAUGUGCACUAUAUUUAAUAAAUAAUUAAUGGAACAUGUUAAACAAAAUGUUAAUGUAUAUUUAUAUAGUGUUAGGAAUAUGCAAAGUCAAGUCCUCAAUUUGCAUUAUCCUGUAUAGAAUAUUACUCUAAAAAUGUUUUACUAUAAUUGGCUUAGAACAUUUGUAAAGAAAAUAAUAAUCGUAAUAAUAAAUAACAUACACCGUCACAUAGCAUCUAGACAAUGAUAGAAAAUUAUUAAAGGGAGUGCAAACAAUUAAUUAGAAAUUUUUAUGAUAACUUUUAAUAUUCAUGAUAAUAACAAAUAAAUACAUGUACCACUUUUUAAAAAUAUUAAAUUUGACGUGCUCCAUUAAUAAAUUAUUAUUGUAAUUCAGACUCUAUCUAUAUAUCCUUGCAUUAAGAAUAAUUAAGUCAUAAUAAAAAUUUUCGUAACUACAUCUCAUUUCUUCCUCAUAAUAAUAAUUAGAUUGGUUCGAAUAUUAUAACUAUAUAGAUUUAGGGCGUGUUUGGUGCAUGGGAUUAUGUGGUAUUACACUACUAUUCACAUUAGCUUAUUUCCAAGAAGAUGUUUGGCAAACUUUGACACCUCAUUAUGCUGCAUUAUAAUGCAGCAUAAUGAGGCAUGGGGCCGCAUUACGCAAACCCGAGGGAACCUCGGGUUUGCGUAAUGCAGAAGCUUUUUGCCUCAAUUGAGGCAACAGUUAAUGCCUCAAUUGAGGCAAAUUUAUUUUAUUAAAAUAUUAUAAAAAUAAAUUAUUUUAUUAUUAAAUACUAAUAUAAUGAAUAAAAUAUAAAAAUAAAUUAUAUGAUAAUAUUAUUUUAUUUAUUAAUGAUUCAUAUAAAAAUAAUAUAUUAAUAUUAUAAUAUUAUUUACAUUAAUAUUAAUUUUAAAAUUAAUAUUAUUUAAAUUUAUAAUUAUUUAUGUUAAAUUAUAAAUUUAUUAAUAUAUUAAAAUGUAAAAAUAAUAAUAUAUUGUAAAUUAAAAUAUAAUUGAAUAUUAUUGAAUAAUAAUUUAUUAAUUUAUAUUAACAAUUAUAAUAUUAAUUAUAAUCUAAAUUUAUUAUUUACAUAUAAUAUUAAAUUUUAUAAAUUUAUUUUAUCAUAAUUAUAAUACAAAUUUUAGAAAUUUAAUCAUUAAUUUUUAAUAUUUACUAAAAAAAUUGUUAAAUUUCUACAAUUAAGAUUUCUAUAUUUAUUAUUUUUCUAAGUAUUAAUAAAUAUUAAUUUUUAAUUAUUUAAUUUAAUUAAUUAUAAAAAUUAAUACAAUACAAUGUAACACCAAAUAUAGUUUAAUUAAAAAUUAAUACAGUACAGUGUAGCACCAAACAUUGUACAGCAUUAUUAUAAUACAAUACUAACGCAAUACAGCAUAAUACAAUACACCAGCAUUAAAAUAAUGCAAUACAACAUAAUACAAUACAAUGUACCAAACGCACCCUUAGUGUAUAGCCACAUCCAAUUUAAAUAUUGACCCAAUUGGGAUGGUCCCCAAAAAAAAAAUUCGUUAAAGGAUAAUUCUAAUUAUUUUUACUUCUCAAACGUUAGUGGGACGUUUCUAUUAGCGCACUCGUAAGCCAAGUUGUCAAAUAUUUAUAUUAAACUACAAUUGCUGACAAGAAAAAUCAAGAUCGUGUUGCGCAAGUGGGUCCCGAAUAGGACGUGCCUAAAUCUCUCGUAAGCCAAGUUGUCAAAUGUUUAUAUUAAACUAACAAUUGCUGACUAGAAAAAUCAAGAUCGUAUUACAAGUGGGUCCCGAAUUGGACGUGCCUAAAUCUUUUUAUAAUUUUCCCAGUGUAGCGGACAGAGGUCAUUACUAAAUUUCUCUUCCACACGCCACAGCAGCUUCGGUUAAUCAAACUCAAUCAAUUUUCUUGGCUUCUCCGCUUAUCAAUAUUACAAGGUAUGGGUAGCAUUUUUCAAAUCACAUGCGAUGGUACUAUUUUCAAUCGUUGCUUAGAUUGCUUUCUUGGAAAAGCAGCAUACAUAAGUAACCUCCAAGAUAAUCUCGUUGCCUUGGAGACUGAACUAAGGAAACUAAUCGCAGCAAAGAACGAUGUGAUGACGGCGGUUGUCAAUGCUGAACGGCAACAAAUGAGAAGGCUGGACCAAGUGCAAGUGUGGGUUUCGAGGGCGGAAGCUGUUAAAACUGAAGCUGAUGAACUUAUCAGAGGCGGCUCUCAAGAAAUUGAAAAAUUAUGUCUUAGAGGGUUCUGUUCCAGGAACUGCACGUCAAGCUACAAGUUCGGAAAACAAGUGGCUAAAAAGCUACGAGCUGUGGAGACUUUAAUCGCCGAAGGAGUUUUUGAGGCGGUGGCUGCCGAGGUGGUGCCUGAGAGAGCUCCAGAGCCUGUAGCAGAUGAAAGACCUACCGAGCGAACAGUAGUAGGCUUGCAAUCACAACUUGAACAAGUCUGGAGAUGUCUUGCAGAAGAAUCAGCGGGAAUCAUUGGCCUAUAUGGUAUGGGCGGUGUUGGUAAAACUACACUAUUGACCCAUAUCAACAAUAAAUUUCUCGAGAGUCCAACCAACUUUGAUUGUGUGAUUUGGGUAGUAGUUUCAAAAGACCUGCGACUUGAAAAAGUUCAAGAAAAUAUUGGGAAAAAGAUAGGUUUGGUUGAUGAUUCAUGGAAGAGUAAAAGUGUAGAGGAGAAAGCUCUCGACAUCUUCCGGAGUUUAAGAGAGAAGAGAAUUGUAUUGCUGUUAGAUGAUAUAUGGGAGCGGGUUGAUUUAACAAAAGUGGGCGUUCCACUUCCAGGACCACAAAAUACUACCUCAAAAGUCGUAUUCACAACCCGUUUCAUCGAUGUUUGUGGUAGCAUGGAAGCUGACAGGAAGUUCCAAGUAGCAUGCUUAUCAGAAAAGGAUGCUUGGGAACUGUUUCGAGAAAAAGUUGGGGAAGAAACUCUUCAGAGUCAUCAUGAUAUCGUUGAGCUAGCCCAAAUUGUGGUCAAAGAGUGUGGUGGUUUGCCACUCGCACUUAUUACUAUUGGUCGAGCUAUGGCCUACAGAAAGAAAGCGGAGCAGUGGAGACGUGCAAUUGAAGAGUUAAGGAGAUCAGCCUCAGAGUUUGCAGGUUUGGGAAAAGAGGUGUAUACUCUUUUGAAAUUCAGCUAUGAUAGUUUGCAGAAUGAUACGGUUAGAUCUUGUUUCUUGUAUUGUUGUUUAUAUCCUGAAGAUUAUGGCAUUCUUAAAUGGGACUUGAUUGAUUGUUGGAUUGGCGAGGGAUUUUUUGGGGAAUCUGACAGGUCUGGUGCAGAAAACCAAGGAUAUGACAUUUUGGACACUCUUGUUCGUGCAUGUUUAUUAGAAGAGGUGGAAGAUGAUAAAGUAAAAAUGCAUGACGUUGUUCGUGAUAUGGCUGUAUGGAUAACCAGUGAAAUUGAGAAAGGGAAGAGAAACUUUUUGGUUCGUGCAGGUGCUGGAUUAAAAGAGGCACCGGAUGUUAAAGGAUGGGAAAAUGUGAGAAGAUUGUCAUUGAUGCAAAACCAAAUUGAAACUCUGUCCGAGGUUCCUACAUGCCCUCAUCUCCUCACUUUAUUUCUUGACUUUAAUGAGAAGUUGAAGAUGAUCACGGAUGGCUUCUUCCAAUUUAUGCCUUCUCUCAAAGUUUUGAAGAUUUCACACUGUGGUAGGAAUUGGAAAGAUUUGAAAUUACCUGUUGGGAUGUCAAAGUUGGGUUCACUAGAACUUCUUGAUAUUUCACAUACGCUGAUAACAGAGUUACCAGAAGAGUUAAAGUUGUUGGUAAAUCUGAAAUGUUUGAAUUUGAGGUCGACAGAAUUGUUAAUUAGAAUUCCACGGCAACUGGUAUCAAAUUCUUCAAGGUUACGUGUGUUGAGAAUGUUCGCUACUGGCUGGUUAAAUUUUCAUGAAGCACCAGAAGACAGCGUUUUAUUUGGUGGGGGUGAAGUUUUGAUACAGGAAUUGCUCGGUUUGAAAUAUUUAGAGGUAUUGGAGUUGACCUUGCGAAGUUAUCAUGCUCUCCAAAUUCUUUUGAGCUCAAAUAAGUUAAAAAGUUGUAUUCCAUCUCUUUUCCUCCAGUUGGCCGGAGAUACAACGUCGAUUAUUGAUGCUGCGGCUUUCGCAGAUCUAAACCACCUCAACGAUUUAUUUAUUUAUAAAGGCAUUCAGUUGGAAGAAUUGAAGAUUGAUUAUACAGAGAUAGUACAAAAAAGGCGGGAACCUUUUGUUUUCCGCAGCCUUCACCGUGUUUCUAUUGGGGGGUGCGAUAAAUUGAAAGAUGUGACAUUCCUCGUUUUUGCUCCAAACCUCAAGUCUCUUUGGCUAUUCGAUUGCGGUGCUAUGGAAGAAAUAAUCAGCGUCGGAAAAUUUGCUGAGACUCCUGAGAUGAUGGGACAUAUAAGCCCUUUUGAAAAUCUCCAAAGGCUUGAAUUAUGGGAUUUGCCAGCUUUGAAGAGCUUCUACUGGAAGCCAUUGCCUUUCACUCAUCUGAAAGAAAUGGUGGUACAUGGGUGUCAUCAGCUUAGAAAGCUUCCACUCGAUUCCAACAGAGCAAAAGAGCGUAAAUUUGUUAUUCGUGGAAAAGCAGACUGGUGGAACCGACUUCAAUGGGAGGAUGAAGCCACUCAAAUUGCUUUUCGUUCCUGUUUCCAACCUCGUUCCUGAGCGGUGGUCGCAAAAUUUGAUUUCUGGUGAGUGCAUUCGUCUUUUAAAAGAAGAAUUUAAAAGAAAUUUAUUCUUGUCGUUUUCUUCUCUGUUUUUAUUUCAGUUUCUUUCUCUCUCUCUCUCAAGGAUCUCUAAUCAAUAGCUGGAAGCAAUUGAGAGGCGCCGAGACCCGAUCGGAUCUAGGCCCAAGUUUGGUCUUAAAGCCUGGGCUUGAGCCUGACAAUUAAAUUAAAACAUUAAUUGAUUUAUUGAUUGAAUUGUUGUGUAAUUGAUUUAUGGGGGAUGAAACAUCAACAUACUUGAAAAUACACUAAUCUUAGCAUCAUCGGUUAAUAACUGUUAGAUUUAUGGGUAAUCGUAAUCAAUAGUUAAGAUUAGUUGUCAUUAAUACUAAAUAUUUUUUACUAUUUUUGUCUCUACUAGAGGAUCUUCUAGAAAAAUGCAUCCACAACAAAAUUUAAUAUUUUACAUAAUAAACAAAAUAUAAAUGUUAAAUUUAAGAAACUGCAUUGCAUUUCAGCUGAAGCUGACUUUAAUAUUUAGGGUAGAAAAACAAUUAAAUCCUUAAUGUGUUUAAUUUCUAUCACUUGUGUCAUUAAAAUUUUCUAGCCACCUUAACCAAUUACAUCUCAACCCACUUUUUUUGGAUGAUUUUAUUUUUACACAAUUAUUUUCAACAUAUCAUGAUGUAUUCGUCAAAAGCUGGAAAUGACUGUUGCCCGUCAAAAUUCACAUUUUUUCCUUAACGAUAAAGUUUUAAUAUAAUUUUGAAGUUAUAACGUCAUAAAUAUAUUGCAUAAUAAUAAGAAAAAGGACCUAAAUGGUAAAAGUGAUAAAUAAUAAGAUCGAAGUAUCAUUUUCCAAUGUUAAAUGAGGCAAUGCCAUUCUCCGGUUCUCUUCUUUAAAUGCGUGAUGUGUGUGCUCUGUUUUCUCUAUUAUUCUUUUUCUCUUUUAGAUUUUGAGAACGUAAAGGGUGCAGGAGUCUUUAUCUUGUUAAAACAAGUCUUUUCGAAGUAUUCAACUAAAUUAAAUCAUGGCCUAAUGCUGUGUCAAUUCCAUCAUCAGCAUUUUUUUUUUCCUUUUUAACACCAACAUCAGUGUAUGUUUGGAUAAUUUGAAAUCUGUUUGUGUUUUAUCUCAAAGUAGAGCUUCAAUCAAUUUGUACCUCACAAAUUCACAAUAUCUAUUAAGGAUAAUAAGACCGAACUCUGGCAUAUUGUCAAAUGUGCUUAUCCAAUUCCAAAUUAAAAUGUUGACAGUGUUUCAUCAACCAAGAACUUGUCUUCGAUAGUUAAUCGGAUUAAAGGGAAUAAUUAAUGAGAGCAAUUAAUUAAUAUUAGCCGGCAUCGUCUGUUUCAUAGGUACUCGUGGUUCACUAACAUAAGCGUUGAAUUUGUAUAGUAGCUUGUUCCUUUCCUUCGGUUUUACUUAAUGAAAACCUUGGCUAGAUCGUACACCAAUGUAAAAUCGAAAACCCUUAUGCCACGAAGAGUUCUUAGUGCAAUUGAGAUCAAUGAUAAUCAGCUGAUAGGGAAAACAUUGUCUGAUUGUCAUAAACAAACUUCUUGAAAAUGCCAUCAGUAACAUGGAAGAUUUGGAGGUUAUUCAAAUGCUGACUUCAGGAAUGCAGAUUAAUAUAUUAUGGAGACAGAUUGAGUGCAAUGGCUAAUUGUAACAGGGAAUUUUUAUUGUACAAACAGACCAGCCAGCAAAGAAUAUUCCAAAUCUAGGACUAAACAAGUCAAUAAUAAAAUAAACAAACGGCAAGAGAGAGUGAUUAUAUCUACAACACCAUCGGCUACUACAAAUUCAACUUUUCAACAGUUGUUACUCACCAUGAACAGAAAAAAGAAAAUUACAACAAAAAAUUGGUUGCUAAAAGACGUCUAUUCAUGGUAAUGCCUCUCAAAUGGGUUCAAAACAUGGAAGAAAAGCAUUUAGUGUGGCUUCAUCGUCCCAUUUCAGCUCACUCCACCAGUGUUGCAGGGGCUUAGUCAAAGUGGCUUUCAAGAAGUUUUAUUACCACCUCAGUUCAAAUCCUAAGAGAGGUAGGAGGAUAAAAGAAUUAAUUUGGACUUUACCUAGCCCUCUACCUUUGUUAAAUUUAUGUUAAAAAAAAAAAUAGAUUUGAGAUUGGUAAUAUCCUUAUUUUUUGUUUUCAAAGGAAACUGAUUUAGGACCAAUGAGACUUUGAUCCAAUGGGAGAAGCCUUUCACUUAUAAUGUUAAGUAUAAGGGUUCGAUCCUCCAUAAGAGCUUUAUGAAGGUUAAUUUCAGUACUUCCUUAGUUAUCAGUUAAUUGAGUGGAGACAGUCUCUCCCUUACGAAAUGUGAGUGGAGUAGGCACCCCUCGAAUAUUAGAGAAGGUUUAAAGUAUCUGAGCAAGUGCUUUAGUGGGUUAAUAUAUGGCGGUAGUUCCAGUUGUUUAGUAUGAUUGUAGUACGAUUGUAUAUAUUAAUUGUAAUAUCUAAUGUAAUAUCAAUAACAAUCUGUGCAUAACAGAAUUCAAAAAAAGAAAAGAAAAAAGAAAACUGAUUUAGGUGGUUUCUUGGUUAAGACUUUUUCUUUAGCAUACUUAGUUCCACGUGCUAUUUAGAUAUUUUUCGACAUACUUAUUACUUAGUUCCACAUGCUAUUUAGAUAUAUUUCGACCAAAUGAACAAGCGCAAGCCAUUGACACUUAGCUUAAUUUCAGGGUCAAGCUAUAUUUGAAACUCAAAUAUUAACCUAUUAAUAUUUUCAAUUCAUUCAAUUAUAAAUUAGAGAUGAUAGAAAUUCUCAUAGGAACAGGGGCCCUAGGGGAUUUUAGAGGAUUUUUCCCAUUCGGGAAGGGUAGGAGACAAUUUUAUAUCAAGUUUCUUAUUCCCAGAGACUAUAAUAUUUUUUUACCUAAUUUCUUAUUCAGGGAAGAUAUGGAGAUGAUGUGGACUUUCCAUCCCCUCCCAAUUCUCCAUUUUUAUUUUUAAUUUUUAUAUUAUUUUUCUAGAAUUAUUAGUGAAAAUAAUAAAAUUUAAAUUGUAAAAAUUUUAUUAAUGAAUAAAUAAAAAUAAAAAUUUUAGACACCUUUUUCCCAAACUUGUAGCUUGACUUGCAGUUCUUGGAGCAGUAGCCUCCAAGACAGUUUUUCAAUUUCUCGAGAGCCGUCCCUUGUCAAUUCACCAACUUCAGCUUCCACAGCCGCCACCCUUGAGGUGAUGUUUGGUUGGGAGGAGAGAAUGGGGGAGAGGAAAGUAAUUUAAAUUCUACUUUUAUUUUUAUUGUUUGGUUGCACGAAAUAUAUAAGAAUUUAAUUUCCAUUAGAAUUUAAUAUCCUUUAUAAUCUAGAAUUUGAAUUCCACACCAAAGAGUGAAGAAUUCAAAUUCCUCUUAGGUUGAAAACCCAAGUUUCCAAAUUUGUCCUUCAACAUUUUAACUUGUUUAAUGCUAUUAAUAAUUAUUAUUUAUAAUUUUAUUUUAUCAAUUUAAUAUUAUAAAUAAUUUAAUAUUAAUUAAAUUUAAUGAAUGAUUUAAGACAUUUAAUAAAAUAAAUAAACUUAUUUAUUUAUUUAAUAUGCAAAUAUAUAAAUAUAAAUUAACUAUCGCCGGAACUUCGCUGGACCGUCGCCGGAAGCUGUCGAAAUUUCACCGAAAAGUCACCAACCACUGUUGAUCGGCGUUGGCUUAUGUUGACCGCUACUGUUGACCGGCUUUUAUUUAUAUUAAAUUAUAUUAAAUAGUUUAGUAUAUUAAAUUAUUUUAUAUUUUAUAUUAAAUAUAAAUCAUGAAUUGUUUCAUAACUUUUUGAAAUUAAAAAAAAUUGGUAUUAAUAUUAAAUUAUAUUUUAUUACUAAUAUAGAUAAUUUAGUAUUUAAGGUAAAGGAUAAAUUUGUCCAAAGAAAAAAAUUAUAAUUUCUUUCCUUAUCAAAUUUGAUGUCAAACCAAACAUUGAAAUUUAAUUUUAUUAAUCUCUUCCACUCAUUUCUCCUCCAUUCCACUUUUUUCUUCUCCUCUCCUUUUUUAAAACCAAACACCACCUGAAAGCCAACCUUGCACUUUGUUCAGCCGUCUCAGUUGUUGCUGCUCAGGAUUGGCGACCCUCAUCAUCACAUCGUUCUUUGGUUCAAUUAAUUUCUGCAAUUCGGUCUGGAUGGCAACCAGGUUAUCUUCAAGCUGGCUUAAAUAUCAUGCUUUUCUGCGGGUACAAUUUAUGAAGCCAGUGAAAAUUACGCAUACAAUAGGAGUGCAACACAGUGUGUAUUCGGUUGUGGUGUCUAUGAUUUUGCAGUCGCAGAAGCUUAUUCACCUUAUGAAGACUGAUCAGGUGGGCACCGUCGCUCUCCUUACAUUCUUAUGGAGAGCGAUAGUCCAUGUAGUCAGAUCUCACUGAGAGAACUAGCCGAGUGGGCAAUCGCUCCGCCUGAUCAAAAUUUGUCAUCUUAUAAUAAUAUCUUGAGUAGGUCUUGAAUUUUUUUUCCAAUUUUAAUCUUUAAAAGGUAGAAGAGGUGAAAAAAACCUAAAUAGUAUUUGUGUCCUCCUAAAUAACAUUUCUUGAACAUCAAUGGAUCUUAAAACUUAAUUAAGAAAAUAUUAUAGAUUUAUAAAUUAGUGGCCCUUAAAAUUUAUUUGCAAGUAACAAUUAGAGAAAAGUCGUCAGGCCCAAAAGACUUAGAGCAUCACCAAAAGACUCUUCAAAUAAGAUUUUAUUAAUUAUUUGAAGAGCCAUCUCAAUAUUUAAGACUCCAAAAGACACUCCAAUUAAGAUUCUUCAAAUAAGAAAUAAUUCUCUCUCUUCAAAUUUGGAGAGUUGAUUUCUCCCUCUUCAAUUUAUACUUUAUUACUUUCCAUUGGAGAAAAAGAGAGAAGUGCUUUAAUUGCUAUUGACUUUUUCUUUAAAAAAAUAAUUAUUUGAUUAAAAUAAUAUUAAGUUAUUUCUAUUUGAAGAGUCUUUUGGAGAAUAUUAUUUUUUUUUACUCUUCUAUUUGCCACAUAGAUAAGCAAAUAGAUAUUUGAAGAGUAAAAUUUAUAGAGUCUUUUGGAGAUGCUCUUACUAAAAGUCGGCAACUCGUCAUGACCAAAAUUCUUCCGAGUGUGAAAUACGGCAUGCGCAGAUGCAUUAAAAACAAAAGCCAGCUAAGAUAUUCUUUGUAUACUUGCAUUCCCUAUCAUCUUAUUAAUAAUUUCAGACACGUCGUUCGUUCCCUGUGACUUUUCAUAUGCAACAGCACAGUCAGUGUUACAAUUUACAUUUCGAAUUGGGUGUCAUCUAUAUACUCUACCUAGAUCUAACAUGAUAUUGCAGUAUUGCACUGAUUUUUUUGUCGCAGCGUUUCUCUAUGAAUUCCUUAAACUUUAAACACAUCAUGGAAUAAUUAUUUUCUUAAAGACCAAAUUAACAUAAUUCUUAAAUCAUUUAUAAAACAACAUUUAUCAUAUAACAGAUCGUACACGAAUCAAUUUUCCUUGAACAGUAGCAAACAAACAAGAAUCUCAACCACAUCACGAGAUCGCCCACGUCAAACCAAGUAUUCUUAAUGAGUGGACCAGCUAAUAUAUUCAAAAUUGGAAUUAAUUGAGGAUAAUGAUUAGUGCUAAUACAUUUGCAAAGAAAAAUCAUGCCUAUUGAAAAACUCAUCUUAUUAGCAGCAGCGUUAUAAGUAGCAUCCAAUCAUAGUUUCACGCAAGAUUUUGAGAUUAUUCAAAUGCUGAUCCCGGGAAUGGAGAUUAAUAGAUAAUGGAGACAGGUUGACUGCAAUGGCUAAUUGUAAGAGGGAUUUUUAGCCGUAAAAACAGAUCAACUAGCAAAGCAAAUUCCAAAUCUUGGAAUGCAGUAGCAAAAAAACGAAACAAACAAAUGGCAAGAGGAAGUGACUAUACAACAAUAACAUCGACUUGCAAUUCAACAUUUAUACAGUUUUACACACCAAGAAAAGAAAAAAUUACAAUAGAAAUUUGGCCACUAAAAGAUGCUCGUUCAUGCUUAUGCCUGUCAUAUGGAUUUGAAACAUGGAGUAAAAGCAUUUAGAGUGGCCUCAUCCUUCCACUGCAGCUCAUUCCACCAGUAUUGCUCUCCCCUAAUAACAAGUUUUCGUUCCUUGGCGCUGUUGUAAUCGAGUGGAAGCUUCUUGAGAUUCGGGCAGCCAGAUACAAACAAUUCCAAGAGAUUUGGAAAGGGCAAUGCAUUCAAACAGAUCUUCUUCAGAUUUCUUACAACUUGCAACCGAAGAUAUUGGAGUUUCGAAAAAGUUUUUUGCACUGGAACUUCUGGAACUUCUUCCAAUUUCCAAACACUGAUUAUUUCUUCCAUCUCAUAACAACGUUCUACAUGGACCAUCUUGAGAUUUGGGGCAAAAACAAGCCAUGUCAUCUCCCUCAAUUUACUGCAAUAGUCUAUGGUAACACUUUGAAGGCUGUUGAAACCAUAAAGUUCUCUUGUUGUUUGAAUUUCUGCAUAGUCAACCUUUAGCUCUUCCAAACUUGUACAAUACACAAAAUCUAGUUUGUCAAGAUACUUGAGAUCUGCUAUGGACAAAAUAUUCCAUGACCUUGAAUCCUCACAGCGGCGAAGCUCUAAAGCAUAUUUACAACUCUUGUACUGUUGGCAGCUCAAAAGUCUUCGUAGAGCAUAAAAACUUCUUAACGUGACGCUUAAUACAUUUAAAUGUUCCAAAGUAAUCAACUCCUCUACCAAAAUUUCACUACCACCAAAUAGAACGCUAUCUUCUGGUACUGUAUUAGCAGAGCCACAAUCUAGCAUCCUCAACACCUUUAACCCAGAAAAAUUACAAAGCAGUUGCCGUGGAAUCGUAUGGAGAUAACGCAUGUACUCCAAGUUCAAACACUUUAGAUUUUUCAAGGCUUUUAAUUCAUGUGGCAACUCUUUGAUGAAAGUUUCUGAAAGAUUAAGAUAUUGUAGUGAAACCAAUUUUGAAAUUCCUGAAGGCAAUUGACUCAAGGAGCGAUUCUUUGAUAGGUUUAAAACUUUAAGAGAAGGCAUAAAAUCGAAGAAAUCACUAGGGAUAGUAUCUAACAUAUUAAUGCCGAGGAACAAAGUUAUAAGAUGAGGGCAUAUUGGAGUUAUUGGUAAAAUCACAAUUUUAUUUCUCAUCAACGAUAUCCUUCUCUUAUCUUCCCAUUGUUUAACUUCGGGUGGUUCAGUUAAUUCAAUACCGGCAGAAACCAAAAAGUUUUCAUUCUCCACUUCACAGGCUAUCCACAAGGUCAUAUCACGAAUCACAUCAUGCAGUUUUACAUAAUCUGAUCCUGCUUCUUCCAAUAGGCAUGCAUGAACAAGAACACCAAUAAUGUAGUAUCCUUGGUUAUGUACUCCAUUAAUUCCUUCAUAUUCCUUCAGAAAACCCUCACCAAUCCAACACCCUAUCAAUUCAAUUUUGCUAAUUUGAUAAUCCUCAGGAAAUAAACUACAGUAUAACAGACAAGAUCUAAGGACGUCACUAGACAAACUAUCAUAACUGAAUUUUAAAAGACGAAACACCUCUUUCUCCAUACCUGGAAAUUCAUAAGCUGAUCUCCUUAACAUCUGAAUUGCAUAGCUCCAUUCUUCGGGUGUCUUCUUGCUGCUCAUGGCACGACCGGUGGUAAUAAGUGCAAGUGGCAAACCACUACACUCCUUUGCCACAGUUUGGGCUAACUCCGGAAUAUCGGGAUGACUUUCAAGAGUCUCUUCUCCGACCUUCUUUAGGAACAAUUCCCAAGCAUCUUGAUCUGCCAAACACUCCACCUUGAACUUUUUUUGAGCUUCCAUGAGGCCACAGACGUCCACAAGACGAGUUGUAAAGACUAUCUUUGAUGCAUUUCUUGAACUCGCAGGAAAAGGGACACCCACUUUGGCUAAAUCAAUUCUUUCCCAUAUAUCAUCUAACAAUAGCAGAAAUUUCAUUUUGCUCAAUAAAUUGAAUAUGCCUGAUGCUUUCUCUUCAAAGCUUCUAUUCUGAAGCCAUCCUAUUCUUUCUCCGAUUUUCUGUUGUAUUCUCUCAAGUUGCAUGUCUUUUGACACCACCACCCAAAUCACAAUAUCAAAAUAAUUUGGUGUAUUAAGGAACCUGUUGUUGAUUUGGGUUAAUAGUGUAGUCUUGCCGACUCCCCCCAUGCCAUAAAGUCCGAUGAUUCCAAAUUGUCCUUCUACAAGACAUCUCCAAACUUUAUCAAAUGUUGAUUCUAGGCCGAUUAUUGUUGGCUGAAGAGGCCUUUCAUCCACUGCUGGUUGUGGUACCUUUUCAGCUACCACUGCAAAAGCUCCAUCAUCUAUUAAAGUAGCCACAAGCUGCAGCUUUUUAGACACCUUUUUCCCAAACUUGUAGCUUGACUUGCAGUUCUUGGAGCAGUAGCCUCCAAGACAUAGUUUUUCAAUUUCUUGAGAGCUGUCCCUUGUCAAUUCACCUACUUCAGCUUCCACAGCCUCCACCCUUGAAAGCCAACCUUGCACUCUGUUCAGCCGUCUUAGUUGUUGUUGCUCAGCAUUAGCGACCCUCAUCAUCGCAUCGUUCUUUGUUUCGAUUAGUUUCUGCAAUUCGGUCUGGACGGCAACCAGGUUAUUUUCAAGCUGGCUUAGAUAUGCUGCUUUUCUGCGGGUACAAUUUAUGAAGCCAGCGGAAAGGGCAUCACAUAUAAGUUGGAUUCCCAAAAUAUUACCCAUAGUUUGUAUGAGAUUCAGAGUACAAUAGAAGGAAUGCAACACAGUAUGUAUUCGGUUGUGGUGUUUAUGAUUUUACAGUCGCAGAAGCUUAUUCACCUUGUGAGGGCUGGUCAGGUGGGCACCAUCACUCUCCUUACGCUUUAUAGAGAGCGAUAGUCCAUGUGGUCAGAUCUCAUUCAGAUAACUAGCCAAGUGGGCAAUCGCUCCACCUUAUCAAAAUUCUUCAUCUUAUAAUAAUAUCAUGAGUAGGCCUUGAAUUUUUCUUUUAAUUUUAACAUUUAAAAGGUGGUGGUGAAAAAGUCUAAAUAGUAUUUUUGUCCUCGUACUUUAAUAACAUUUCUUGAAAGUCACUCGAUCUCAAAAUUUAAUUAAGAAGAUAUUAUAGAUUUAUAAGCCCUUAAAAUUUAUUUGCAAGUAAGCCCAUAAGACUUACUAAAAGUCGUCAACUCGUCAUGACCAAAAUUGAAAAUUCUUCCGCGUGUGAAAUACGGCAUGCACAGACGUAUUAAAAGCAAAGGCCAGCUAUGAUAUUCUUCGUAUACUUGCAUUCCCUAUCAUCUUAUUAAUAAUUUCAGACACGUAGUUCGUUGCUUGUGAUUUUUCAUAUGCAAAAGCACAGUCAGUGUUACAAUUUACAAUUACAAUUGGGUGCCAUCUAUAUACUCCUUCCUUGUUUUCAAAAUAUGUUGUAGGAUGGGUAAUUGUAACAAAAGUGAUUUUUAAAAAGAUUUAUUAUAAUAUUAAAAUUAACUUUUAAUUUUUUUAAAUUAUUUUUGAGCUUUCUGAAAAAAAAAUCCUAAACCGGUCUCAGAAGUAUAAUUAGAACCACGAAUUUAUAAAAUGAUCAAAGGAAUCCAUCGCCUAAUAUUAUAGUACGCAAUGGAUUGCUAUAAACUAAAUUGCUAUGAUCUCACUUCAUAAUAAUUUAUUUUCAAUCUCCAUCAUGGUAGAAAAAUUUCAUCAAUCAACAUACCCUACCACCACCCAAUAGUCGACCAUUUAUCAUCUUCUAUCCGUAAAAAAACGAAAAAAAAAAAAGAGAAAAGGAAAAAUUUAGUCCACAAAAGAAAAUAUCGCAAGACCAAACAGAGAGAGAAAAUAGAAAAAGCAAAGAGCUGUACUGAAUACCGGCGGUGAUGGCUCGGUACUUGACCAUUUAGGUUUGAUUCUGCAUUAACAUAAUAUUUUUUCUGCACUGCAUUCACAUCACAACCAUUGAAUAGUCGUGAUCUAUUUUUCUAAAGCGAAUAAUAUUAUCUUCUCGUGUCGGUGGCUUGAUCAUAUAACAAAAUAGACUAAUAAUGUUUCAAUAGACAUUUUGGUAAAUGGAAGAAGUUAUGAUCUGUCCAUUUUUAUGUUACUUUAUUUUAAUUUGUUAAUUACUAUUAAUAUCUUUGAGUGGGGCAGAAUCUUGACCUAAGAUAUAGGGAUGGCAAUGGGGCAUAUAUGGGUUGGAUUUACUCUGCUCCAUAUCCAAAUCCAUAAUAAAAAUUAAGAUCCGUAUCUGCUCCAGAUCCGUCAUGAAUCCAUAUUUUUCGGUCCAUAUUCAGAUCCAAAAAAGAAAUAAAUAUCUAUAUCUACUCCAAAUCUGAAAAAAAUUAAAAUCCAAAUCUGCUCUAAAUCUGUCAUGAAUUCUAAAAUUCAGUAAUAAAAAAUUAAUAAUUUUUUAGAUUGAAAAUUGAAGGCUAAAAUGUAUUGAUAACAAAUAAAUUAUAUAAUUUUUCUCAAAAAUAUAAUAAAUAUUGUAUCUUAUACUUUUUCACCAAAACAACAAAUAAGAAAGAUAAUAAAAUAUCAUUUAGAAGUAAUUGCAGGAGUAAGAUCAAUCUAAUAUUAUAUUGUCUCCUUCAUCAUUCUAAUAUCCACGAUACACCUACCCUCAUUCCUACAACAUUAGAUAAUGACAUAUAAAUUAAAUAUGAUUUAUAUUCAGUCCUUUAUUAUUUUUAUUAUGACCAUAUUUGACUAAAUAUAUGAAUAACUAUAUUUCUUAAAAAUUAUUUGGCCAAUAUAAUAAAAUAAAUUGCCAAGUUAUAUUACUUGGCUUACAAUUUAAAUAUUGCAUGUACAUGCUUUGGGGUUGGCUGGCCUUUAAAUUUACAAAACUAACUUUUAAGUUUUAAGAGUUUAAAUGCAUGGUAAAUACUACUAAUAUGCUAUGAAUAAAAUUUAUUAUCAUUAUAAUUCCACAAUUGUUAAGAAACUUUUAAAAUAAAAUAAAAUUAAAAGAUGAGUGGAUAUGGAUAUGGAUUUAGAUAUUAAGAUAGAUCCAAAUCUGCUCCAGAUCCGUCUUAGAUCCGCACAUCGAUAUCCAAAUCCGAUCCAAAUCUAUUUUAAACCGAUCCAAAUCCGAUCCGAUUGGAUUUGGAUCACGUGGAUCUUGGAUCAGAUCCAAUCCAUUGCCAUCCCUACUAAGAUAUGACUAGGCUCCACAUGUUAUAUAUUAAUUUGAUUAAGCCCAGCUAAUUGUUAAUUAUUAAUUUGAUUGCGGCUUUUUAUUUUACCCACAUUUUUUACGCGUGAAAUCUUUCUUAGUGAAAAACUACACGUAUUUGCAAAUAUUCGGAAUGGACAUUUUCGAAAAAACAAGUAAAAGAAAAUGACUAAAAAGUAAAAGAAAAUAGACACCCAAUUGUAAUUACGAGUACAAUAGAAGGAAUGCAACACAAUACCGAUUUUGCAGUCGCUGAAGCUUAUUCACCCUAUGAGGGCUGAUCAGGUGGGGGCCGUCGCUCUCCUUACACUCUUAUAGAGAGUUAUAGUCCAUGAUCUCAUUGAGAGAACCAGCCAAGUGGGCAAUCGCUCCACCUGAUCAAAAUUCUUCAUCUUAUAAUAAUACCUUGAGUAGGCCUUCAAUUUUUUUUUUCAAUUUUAAUCUUUAAAAGGUAGAAGAGGUGAAAAAGUUAAAUAAUAUUUUUGUCCUCCUAUAUAACAUUUUUUGAAAAUCACUCGUUCUUAAAACUUAAUUAAGAAAAUAUUAUAGAUUUUUAAGUUAGUGGCCCUUAAAAUUUAUUUGCAAGUAACAAUUAGAGAAAAGUCGUCAUGCCCAAAUGACUUACUAAAAGUCUGCAACUCGUCAUGACCAAACAUCUUCCGAGUGUCAAAUACGGCAUGCGCAGAUGCACUAAAAACAAAGGCCAGCUAUGAUAAUCUUUGUAGUAUUAAUAAUUUCAGACGCGUCGUUCGUUGCCUGUGACUUUUCAUAUGCAAAAGCGGAGUCAGUGUUACUUGCAUUCACUGUCACCUUAUUAAUAAUUUCAGACACAUCGUUGGUUGCCUGUGAUUUUCAUAUUCAAAAGCACAGUCAGAAUUACAAUUUACAUUUGGAAUUGAGUGCCAUCUAUUUAUUCCAGCUAAAUCUAAAAUGAUGUUGCAGUAUUGCACUGAUUUUUUAGUCACAGCGUUUCUCUAUGAAUUCCUUAAACUUUAGACCCAUCAUAGAAUAAUUAUUUUCUUAAAGACCAAAUUAACAUAAUUCUUAAAUCAUUUAUAAAACAACAUUUAUCAGAUAACAGAUUGUACAUGAAUAAAUUUACCUUGAACCGUAGCAAACAAACAAGAAUCUCAACAACAUCAAUAUCAUAAUCCCUUCUGACCUUAACAGUAAUUUUAUUCGUCCUUAAUUCAUAGGUAUAAGUAUCCCAAUAUAUACUUGAUGUCAACCUUUACAAUUCUUUACAGAAUUGCAGCAGACCAAAUUUGUAUGCAAAACUGAAAUCAUACAGUAAUUGAAUACAGUGAAAAUAGACAUGAUGGGAAUUAGUAUAUAUAAAUAUCUUAAUAAUUUAAAAGUUUCUUAAACUGAUUUUACAUAUCUGAAAAAUUAUAGAAAUCGGAACUGCUGCAGAAAUCAUAAUUUUCCAGCGAAUGUGUUACAACUUCAGAAACUCAUAAGAAAUUAAAUUCUUGGGAUCACAAAAUAAUUCAUCAAUUUAAGAGAUUCAGCAGUACUUUUAUUACAUCAAUUCUUCAAACAAUCACCAAUCUAACAUUCAUCAAAAUUAAGUCAUAAAAGUCAUGUGGUUUAUAAAAAGAAUUACCUGAAAAAGAUUAGCCUUCCCCUUUCAAAAGCAACGAGAAACUCCAAAAACUCUUCUUCCAUUGCCUAUUCAAACAUGAAAAAAAAAAAUUAGUAUCUCUUCUUUAAACGCGCGAUGAGUGUGCUCUGUUUUCUCUGUUCUUUUUCUUUUUUAGAUUUCGAAAACGUAAAGAGUGUUGGAGUCUUUAUUUUCUAAAAACAAGACUUUUCCAUGUAUUCAGUUAAAUUAAAUUAUGUCCUAAUGCUAUGUCAGUUCCAUCAUUAGCAUUUUUUUUUUCCUUUUAACACCAACAUUAGCGUAUGUUAAGUAUCAUAAUCCAUAGUUGGACAAUUUGAAAUCUCUUCGUGUAGUUGACUGGCAACAACUAUAUUGGCAUUUAGACAUAAUGUACUGCAACCAUAUUGACAUGUUCAAAUGUUCUCACUAUUGUAUUGGUGUGUCGAUAUUAUCUCUAUCAGUCCUAUAGAUCCAAAAAUAAUCUAAAUUUACAAUUUAACUUAAAAUAAAAUAAUUGGUAGAAAACAAUUAUGGUUCAUUUACUUAUCAGUAAUUAAAAUAGACUGAAAUUAGAAUGAGUUGUAUUGACGUUGAUGUGUUUCUGUUGUCCUCGAAUCGGAAUGAAUUAUUUUAACUUACUAAAAUACCCUUUGUUUGUUAUUCUAAUUAUUAUUAUUUAAUAUUUAUUAUAAUAUUUGUCAUAUUAUUAAAAAGAAAUAAUAAUGAUGAUAAUAUUAUCAUUAUUGUUUGUUAUAUUAUUAUUAUUCAAAAAAAUUGUUGUUAAUAACUAUAAUAACUUUAUUUCAAUAAUAAAAAUGAUAAAAUUAAUAAUAACAAACAUGACAACAACAAUAAUUAUUUAUUAUGCCAAAAAAUAACAAUAAUGAUAAGAAUAAUAAUCAUCAUCAUUUUUUUCCCAAAGAAGCAUUAUCAUCAUCAUUUCAAAAAAAAAAAUCAUCAUCAUCAGCAUUUUUGUAGUGGCUGCCUAUCGGCUGCUGCUUUCAUGUGAGAUUGACUUGCGACGCUUCAACUACUAUUAUUUCUGGCAAUGUCAGGUGUUGUUGUUUCAAUCUGGGGAGAAGCUGUUUCGGUGAGCUAACAAUGGGAGGUGUUGCUGCUCGAUGCGAGGUCCAUGGCCAGCUGUCUUGUUUUACACCCAGCUCUUGUAGGAAAUUAUUCAUCCACAAUAUUUCUUUGUAACCUUCAAUAAUUGUAAUAUCAUUUGCUUCCGUGGUAGAAAAGACAACUCAUUACUAAAGUCUAGAUUGCGAUGAGACUGCCUUCCCUACAAAAGUGAGCAAAUAUCCUCAUAGGAAUCUUUCAGAAUCAACAUCUCUUGCCAUAUCUGUUAAGAAUAACAUAUGCUGAGUCAGCUACUGAGUCAUCAAGCCACGCUGGAAGUCAGUUUUGCAGUUAGUUAGAGAGCUUAUCAGCUUCUCUCCAAAAGUUUGUUAUGUGUAUUAGAAUAUGUGCUCACGAGUUUUGUGAGUUUGUAACCUUGAAAAGAUUCUCACACUACUAUAAAUUGUAUUGUGACUCAAUUAAUAAAAGUUGUUGAAGCUUUGCAUUUUCUCUCAGUCAAAAUUUUCUCUCUAUUUUUCUAAGUAACCAAACAAAAUCUACAGAGCAUUUUGUAUUUUAACUUGGUAUCAGAGCUUGAAUCCAAUGGCCUUAAUCGGUUCCAAUCAACAGUCGAGCAACACUUCCAUAACUUCUUUCACCUUCACAAAUCCAAUUAAGCUUGAUCGUGCAAACUAUACGAUCUGGAAACAGCAAGUACUUUCUUCAAUUCGUGGCAAUGGUCUUGAAGGCUAUAUUGAUGGAUCAAGGAUCUGUCCUAGUCAAUUUCUUUCUCCAGAGGCUAGAUCUGAAGGUUCUUCUUCUUCUAACAUCGAAGGUCAAGAGAAUCCAGAGUAUGCAGCCUGGAGACGUCAAGAUCAGCUCCUGCUCAGCUGGAUUCUGUCGUCCAUGAAUGUAGAUAUUCUCAGUCUUGUGGUAAGCUCUAAGACUUCUUUUGAGUUGUGGAAAAAUCUAGAAAAACAAUUUGGAUAUGAAUUUAUGGCUAAGAAGGUUCAUCUGAAAAUGCUUUUGAGUAACCUGCGAAAAGGAUCUCUAACCAUGUCUGAGUAUUUUACAAAGCUUAAGUCAGUUACAGAUGGUCUUGCUUUAGUUGGUAGCCCUGUGCAUGAUUUGGAUUUAAUCACUCAUCUUAUUACUGGUCUAGAUCAGUCAUAUUAUCCUGUAGUAGUCUAUAUUGAGGCAAACAUGUUGAAAAUGGAUCUUAGUGAGGCUUAUGCUAUGCUUCUCACACAUGAGGCUAGACUUGAGAAUAAUAAGCUUCAUGAUAGUAAAGAAACCAAGAACAAUUAUGCAACAAAUGUAGCUCAGGUUGGAAAUUUUUCAAAGAAAGGUAAUAACAAUAAUCAAAACAACUGGAAGGAUGGAGGAAACAAUUGGAAUAAUAACUCUGGUGGAAGAGGUGGUUACCAAGGGUUCAAUCCAGGAAGAGGAAACUGGAAUAAUAAUAAUUUCAGAGGUGUUGCUGGUGGAUUUAACAGUGGAUUUCCUGGUCUCGUGGCUUCAAUAACAAUUAUGGCAGAGGUGGUUUCAACUCAGGCCAAAAUUUGGUGGUUGUUGAAGCCAACAAAAAUAAAUUCCUACUCUAAAUAAAUUGUGUAUAGUGAUUGAGCAGGGUCGUGUCCACAGAGAUCGGUAAUUAUUUAAAUCCUUUUGAAACGUAAAACGCAAAAUGGGGGAAUUGUUGACAAUAAUAAAAAUCAAAUUAAAGUAACAAGAAUGCAAAUUAAAGUUGUAAUUCAAAUUGGAGAAAGCUCUGGUUGAAGGAAUUAACUCAGCUUGAUUCGACUACUGAUCAUUGAUUCAAAUAUAGAUUAUUAUUACUCAUGAAUAGACCGGUUAUAGCUACUGAGACCCUCUAAUAGCCAAUCUCUCCUUAACUAGUCGAUAACCAAGGUACGACCGUUGGUUAUUUCCCUAAUCAAUAGACAACCCUAGAUACGAUCAUAGAAUUUAAUCAAUUGACAGCCUGAAAAACCAGAGAGACCCAAAUCCUAAUCAACACAUAUGAUGAUUCAUUUAAAUUAGAUUGUUUAUUCUCACAACACAACUCUCUGCUAUGUUAUUUGUCACAAGCAUUAAAUUCUUCAUACGAUGAAUCCUUUAAUUGACAAUAGAUUAAGUUGAUAAUUAAAUAGUGGCCAAUUACCUAAUUAACAAACAUAAUCAUGAAACUAAUUCAGAGAAUAAACAAAUACCCAAAAAGCAAUAAAACAAUUAAAGCACAAGAAAGAUCUCAUAGUAGUGAUGAAUCAAAGCUUCAUUAACCUUCAACCAGAAAAAUAAGUUUAGUUCUUCAUAGAGAGAAGAGAAAAAUUAAAUCUAGGGUUUCUUUCUUUUUUUUUUUUCCAAUCCAAAAAAUCCCCCUUUUUCACAAUAGAUUCCUCCCUUAAAUACUCUCUCUCUCUUCUCCUCUAGAAUUUUAUUUAAAAUAAAAUACUAAUAUCUGAAAUAUUAAAUUCGUAAUUACAAAAAUAACCAAAAAUACAAAACACGUUAAACUAAAAACUGCAGGUCCGCAGUUGACAGCACGCGCCCACGCCUUAUCAAUAAAGUUCUUCUGACGCUCAUAAUUUCUCCAAGAGAACAAUCAUCCUUAAACAUCAUCUUAUAGCUCAAUUUUAUCACCAACCAAUAGAAUUGCACCUACAAAAGUAAAUCACUAUUAUUAAGUGCAAAACAUCGAUAUUAAAAGAAGUAAACAAUGCAAAACUAGUGCAUAAAUUGCACUCUAACAGAGGUGCUGGAAAGAAUUUUGCUCAGGGAACUGGUGCUGCUUGUCAGAUAUGCUUCAGGUUUAAUCACACAGCAGCUGAUUGCAGAAACAGGUUCAACAGAAAUUUUAUCCCAAAUUUUCCAGCUCCAGCUCCAAAUUACUUCUCUAAUCAGCACCAAGGACCAAGAGCAGCCUUCAUAACAACAUCUGAAGGAGCUGCUGAUCAGGGAUGGUUUCUGGAUAGUGGUGCAACUCACCACUUAACCAACACAGUUCAGAAUCUGAGUGAUGGUAAGAUCUAUUUUGACUCAAACUUACUUACUGUUGGUAAUGGCCAAGGUUUUAGAAUUACUCACAUAGGUUAUACACAACUUCACACUUCUUUUGGCACCUGCUUACAACUACAGAAUAUUUUGUGUGUUCCUCAAAUUACCAAGAACCUCAUUAGUAUUUCCAAACUCCUCACUGAUAAUGAUAUAAUCAUUGAAUUUUUCUCUGAUGUUUGCUUUCUAAAGGACAAGGUGAAGGGCACUCUGUUGGCUUAGGGGAUUGCUAGAGAUGGCCUAUACAAGCUACUGUCAAAAAAGGAAUCUCUCUCUUCUUCCACUUCUGUUCUGCCAGUGUCUCAUCCUAGUUCUAUGAUGUCAACUCUUUCCUGCAAUAAUGUAAUUACUUCUGUUCAAAGUUCAAAUAAUGACUUCUGUUUUAAGUUUACAUUUCCUGUAAGCUUUCAAACUUCAAUUUCUGUGUCAGCAAAUAUAUUGCACAAUAGACUUGGUCAUCCAAGUAAGCAUGUCAUACAAACUAUUCUCAGAAACAAUUGUUUAAUGUCAGCCAAUGUUAAUAAAUCAAAUUUUCUUUUCUGUGAUGCCUGUCAACUUGGAAAGUUACAUCAAUUACACUUUCCCGCUACUAAAAUCAAAACAAAAUAUCCCUUAGAAUUAAUACACACAUACUUAUGGGGACCAGCUCCAGUUUUAUCACUAGAUGGUUAUAGAUACUAUAUUUCCUUUGUUGAUGACUUCACCCGAUAUUGUUGGAUCUUUCCCUUAGUUUUAAAAUCUGAUGCCCUUACUACUUUCAAAAACUUCAAGAGCUUAGUUGAGAAACAAUUCAAUCUGCCCAUCAGAAUUUUACAGUCUGAUAUGGGAGGUGAAUUCAAAGCUUUUCAGUCAUUUCUUCAACAAUAAGGUAUCCAAGCUAGAUUUAGUUGUCCCUAUACUCACCAUCAAAAUGGUGUUGUUGAGAGAAAACAUAGACACUUAGUAGAAACUGGAUUAACACUCCUUGCUCAAGCAAAAAUGCCUAUUUCUUUCUGGUGGGAGGCUUUCCAUACAACCUCUUAUCUCAUUAAUAGAAUGCCUACCACUACACUGAACAACUUAUCUCCCUAUCAAAAGCUUCAUAAUCAGCCACCAAACUAUCAACUUCUCAGAGUUUUUGGUUGUGCUUGCUAUCCUUUUCCCAGGCCUUAUAAUGACCACAAGCUUGAUUUUCAUUCCCAAAAAUGCUUGUUUUUAGGUUACAGCCCUCUUCACAAAGGAUAUAAGUGUCUAACAAAGUCAAGCAAAGUAUAUGUUGCUGUUCAUAUUAUUUUUAAUGAGUCUGAUUUUCCCUAUUCAGAGUUGUUCGCUUCAUCUGAAUCUUCUUCCAAUUCUCUGUCAUCAUACUCUCCAUCUAUUUGUAUCCUCAAUGACAGUGGCUUGCAUCAGUCAUCAGCUAUAUCUCCUGCUUUAGCAGAGUUACCAACUCACAUUCACCUCAACAUCCUCACCAAGCCCCACACUCUCCUUGUCCCUCUCCAGUCUCAAAUUCCUACGGCUCAUCAUCACCACAUUCUUCAUCACAUAAUGCUUUAGCCAAUCCCUCUGAUGAAUUACAACCAUCAUCUCAACCUGUCAUUUCAACUCAUCAGAUGGUUACUCGAGCCAAAUCUAGUAUUUUUAAACCAAAGACCUACCUUACAGCUACCGAAGACCUUGAACCAGUGAGUGUUAAAGCAGCCCUGAUUGAUACAAAGUGGAAAAUGGCUAUGCAAGAAGAGUAUAAUGCUUUGCAGAAGAAUGACACCUGGACAUUAGUUCCAGCUGAAACCGCUACAAAACUCGUUGGAAAUAAGUGGGUUUUUAGAGUUAAAUAUAACCCAGAUGGUAGCAUUUCCAAGUAUAAGGCUCGGUUGGUUGCAAAAGGUUUUCAUCAAACUUAUGGAGUAGAUUUCUUUGAAACCUUUAGUCUAGUUGUUAAACCCUACACUGUUCGUAUUGUUCUCAGCUUAGCAGUCAUGCAUUGUUGGCCAGUUCGGCAAUUGGAUGUUAACAAUGCCUUUCUUAAUGGCAUGCUUACUGAAAAUGUGUUUAUGCCUCAGCCAGAAGGCUUUAUCAGCUCUCAGUUUCUCAAUCAUGUCUGCAAAUUACAAAAAGCCAUUUAUGGUCUUAAGCAGGCUCCAAGGGCUUUGUAUGAUAGAUUGAAAGGGUCUUUAGUUCGGUGGGGUUUCAGAUCUUCAAAGUCAGAUACUUCACUGUUUUUCAAGCAUAUUGGCAAUAAUGUUCUCAUCAUCCUUGUUUAUGUAGAUGAUAUCCUGAUAACAGGCUCUAGUGCUGUUUAUAUUUCAGAGGUUAUCAGUCUACUUAGCUCAGAAUUUGCACUUAAAGAUUUAGGAGAUUUUAACUACUUUCUUGGGGUAGAAGUGACUCCAUCUGCUGAAGGAUUACAUCUAUCUCAAACUAAGUAUGUUGGUGACAUCUUAAGAAAAGCUCAUAUGCUUGAGAGUAAAGGCUGCAAUACACCUAUCAGUAUUGUUGAUAAGUUGCAGAAGGACAAAGGUUGCUCAUUUACAAAUCCCUCACUUUACAAAAGCAUCAUUGGUUCUCUGCAGUAUCUGACACUGACCAGACCAGAUAUCGCAUUCACUGUAAACAAAUUGAGUCAGUUUUUAGCUGCUCCAACUAUCUUGCAUUGGCAGGCUUGCAAGAGGGUAUUACGAUAUCUACAAAGCACAACACAUUUUGGACUGCAGUUCUUCAAGUCAGGUCCUCCAAGUCUCAUAGCAUAUUCUGAUGCAGAUUGGGGGUCUGAUCCAGAUGAUAGAAGAUCUGUUGGAGGGUAUUGUGUUUAUCUUGGAUCCAAUCUUGUGUCUUGGUCAUCUAAGAAACAGAACAUUGUUUCCAGGUCAUCUGCUGAAUCUGAGUAUAGAGCUUUGGCCUUAGCUACAUCUGAGGUUUUGUGGAUUACAUAUCUGUUGAAAGAGCUCAAAGUAUCACUUCCCAAACCUCUUGUUCUUUACUGUGACAACAACAGUGCAGAAGCUUUGGCUAGCAAUCCUAAGUAUCAUUCCAGAACUAAACAUAUAGAACUGGAUUUACAUUUUGUCAGAGAACACAUUGCCAACAAGGAUCUCUUCAUUGAACAUGUGUCUAGUUCUGAUAAGUUAGCUGAUGUGCUUACCAAACCUCUGAGUUUUGAUAAUUUUGCCUAUAUGCGAACUAAGCUCAAUGUCUGCCCACGACCUUGAGCUUACGGGGGCAUGUUAAGAAUAACAUAUGCUGAGUCAGCUGCUGAGUCAUCAAGCCACGCUGGAAGUCAGUUUUGCAGUUAGUUAGAGAGCUUAUCAGCUUCUCUCCAAAAGUUUGUUAUGUGUAUUAGAAUCUGUGCUCAUGAGUUUUGUGAGUUUGUAACCUUGAAAAGAUUCUCACACUACUAUAAAUUGUAUUGUGACUCAAUUAAUAAAAGUUGUUGAAGCGUUGCAUUUUCUCUCAGUCAAAAUUUUCUCUCUGUUUUUCUAAGUAACCAAACAAAAUCUACAGAGCAUUUUGUAUUUUAACUAUAUCUACACACUUAUAACACAAGUUUGUCACCACUAAAAUAUAAACAUGUUCUGUAAAUGCCUCUAAGAUAUCUGAGAAUUCAUUUCACUACUGUCCAGUGCUCUUUGUCCAGAUUGGAGAGAAACCGACUGACUACACUAACUGCGUAAACAAUACCUGGUCUUGUACAAAUCACGGCGUACACCAAACUGCCAACUGCUGAAGCAUAAGGAACUCCUCUCACGGAGAAAUGGGUUUUGCUCUUGAGAUCUUUGGGAACAUGAAGAAUAAAGAUGUAAUUUCUUGGACUGACAUUGUUUCGGGGUAUAUAAAUAGAGGACAAGUGGAUAUAGCUCGACAGUAUUUUGCUCAGAUACCAGAACGAGAUUAUGUCUUAUAGACUGCCAUGAUUGAUGGGUACCUUCGAGUGAAUAGGUUCAGAGAGGCUUUGACACUUUUCCGGGAGAUGCAAACUUCAAAUAUAAGGCCAGACGAGUUUACCAUUGUUAGGAUUCUUACAGUUUGUGCGAAUCUGGGGGCACUAGAACCGGGAGAAUGGAUAAAGACUUACAUUGACAAAAACAAGGUCAAGAAUGAUAUAUUUGUGGGGAAUGCUUUGAUAGACAUGUACUGUAAAUGCGGAGAUGUUGAGAAAGCUCAAAGGGUACUCAGGAAGAUGCUUCGAAAGGACAAAUUCACAUGGACGGCCAUGAUUGUUGGCCUUGCCAUCAGUGACCCAUUUCCUACGAUCAGACCGGAUAAGGUAACUUAUGUUGGUGUUCUGUCUGCCUGUACUCACAAUGGUAACGAAACUUUUGUGAUAAAUAGUUGCGACUUAAGGUGAGAAUUGGAGGAAACGAAAUAGACUGAAGUUGUUCAAUCAUCGGUGGUUGCUAUUUGAUUUUAAGUUGUUCAAUCAUCGGUCAUCUCUAUUUGGUUUUCUCCAAUAUCUCAUCUCCAGUUUUGACUCAGAUUCUGUCUUACCACUAGUAAUUAAAAGUGAGGAGGCAGCAGUCAAUGCUAUUUCGGCUUGGCCCAAAAUUUCACCAGUUUGUUAGUGUUCUGCAGCUCUUGCUGCUUUCCUAGAGAUUCUGCAUCUUUUGCAAUUUGAUUGAUUAAAAAAAAAAAAAUUAGUGGCCAUUUAGAAUGAAGGAGAGAUUUGUGUGAAUGGUAUAGGUGAAAAAUUGGAUGAAAAUAAACAGGCAACCGUCCGUAUAAAACAACAAUAACAAUAUACAAAAAGAUAAGUAGACACUUCUGUAAUUCACGAAAGGAAAUUUAUGGUUGUUUCUGAAAAACAUACAUAUUAAUUUCACUUAUACUCUAAGGUGGGAUAGAUGUCAACUAGCUAUGCUAAUGAUACCUUGCCAUCAUGACUGGACUUGUGAGGAAUUUGGAAACAUGUAUGAUGAUUGUUACUUACACAAUUGUAGAAAGAAAUGCUGAGGUGGCUUGAACCAGAUGGUGAAAUCGUCUAACACACUUAAUUGUUAGAUGUGUUUUGGAUAUUCACAGUUAGGUUGAAAUUUGUAGUUUUCACUUGAAAGAAUUCAGUUAAAAAUUGAUUGGUAGAAUUGUAAAAUAGUCUAAAUUUUUAGUUCAAACCCAUUGCAUAUUUAAGAACAUCUUAAAUGAAUUGCUUAUUGCUAUCAUCAUCAUUAUUGUCCAUAUAAUAAUAAUAAUAAUAAUAAUAAUAAUAAUAAUAAUAAUAAUAAUCAAUAGAAAUGUUAUCUUAUCCACUAUUUUAUAUAUGUUUCCACUAAAAUCUAUUUAAUUAUUCUUUAUUUUUUUUCAACUGUUGCAUGUUAGAUUUAUUCGAUUUCCUAAGUUAUAUCAAUAGAAAUGUUAUCUUAUCCAUAAAAAGUUAGAUCUAACAAUUAUGAAAAUUACUAUAGUGCUGCUUUGAAUAAUUUUUUAAAAAUACCACAAGUAAAUAAUAAUUAGUUUAAAUAGUGGAGACUAAAAAGCAUUCACCCUUAUUUUUUAUCUGUUAUUAGUUUUUUUUAAUCUGUUAUACAUUUGAAACAUUCCAUUAAUUGCCAAUUAUGUAAGCGAGAUAGUAAUUAAUUUUUUUUAUUUAAAAAAAGUGAAAAUUAAUCCUAUGCAAUGUGAAUAAAUUUCUUUCCUUUUUCCUUCACUCUUUUUAUUUGAUAAUUAAGUUUCAAUCUAUGUACGCAAAAUUUCUGCAACAGCUGCAAAACAUAAAAAUAUAUGAUUGUUAAGGGAAACACGCAGAAGUUCAUCACUUCAAUGUUCAGUAUUUCCAAUUUUGGCAUUAAGCUCUUACGAAUAUAUUCCACUUAGAAAGCAAAAUAUUAGAAUUGUGAUUUUAAUUCAUUCAUCAUAUCUCAUUUCAAUCCCAAAAUAUUCAAGUGGAUCCAAGUUACCAUAAGGCUUCAGAGGCUCGAGCCUUAGCCAGAGAUGGUUAAUUGAUAGACUAGGUAAGAGAAACCAAGGUUGAAGUAUGUAGAAAUGUUAUUUCAUUUAUUUUUAUUUAUGAUUUUUUGUAAAAUGUAAGAAAUAUGUAGAAAUGUUGCCAGCAAUGAUUUUGGAACUUUGCAUAAAAUUUUUAUCAUUAUUGUUUUUGGUAUUAAGAAAUCCGAGGCGGUGAUUAGACGUAUGUUGCAACAAUUAAGAAAUUUCUUAUUGGAGAUAAUUUGGUAGGUUGCAACAAUUAGAGAAUCAUUUUCCUGUCAGUUAAUCAAUCAAUAAUAAAUUUCAAAUUGCAGAAAAUAAAAUAAUACUGUCGCACUUAGAAUCAUCUUUUCUAUCUCUUUCAAUUGUGACAAUCAUUUGUAACAAAUAAAUCAAUUUGAUGCACAUCAUUUCCCCAAUUCAAAGUUCAAGUCACUGCUCAAUUGCAGAGUAGUUAGUAGACAUGCAUGCAUGUUUAAUUAAGUACUGCAUUGUAGUAUCGAAAAUCAUAACAUCUCACCAAGCCCGGAAGCAUAGCUCUUUAUCUUGUAAAUGUUGAAAUCUUAUGCAAACUAUGGGAACCAUGAGCUCACUCUCAGUGUCACUUGAUUCCAUUUUCUGUUCUUGCCUUGAUUUCGAUGUUGGGAAUGUGACGUCUGAGUCUAAGGUUGAAGAUAAUCUCGAUGCCUUGCGGACUGCAAUGGAAAUAAAAUAUUUGUGUGUUGAGAAAUGAUGAAAUGAUGCAAUGGAAAUAAAAUCUCAAUCUCUUGAGAAAUGAUGUGAUAAGAAGAGUUACUGUUGCUGAAGGACAACAUCAAAUGCAACGAAUGGAUCGAGUGCAGGGCUGGCUUUCAAGGGUAAAAUCUGUGGAAAAUAAAGCUGAUGAUUUGAUGAGACACAGCUCUCAAGAGAUUGAGAAGUUAUGCCUUGGAGGCUUCUGUUCCAGGAACUGCAAAUGAAGCUACAGCCGUGGGAUAGAAUUUGCAACAAUGCUACGAUUGUGGAGAGUUUAAUGGGUGAAGGAUCAUUUGAAUAGGUGGCUGAGAGGGUGCCAGAAGAUGCAGCAGAGGAGAUAAAUUGUGAGCCAACAAUAGUGGGCAUGUUGUCGACUUUUGAGAAAGCCUGGAGAUGCCUUGAAGAAGAAUCAGUUGGAAUUAUUGGCCUAUAUGUCAAUGGGGGAGUUGGAAAAUAUUUACUCAAAUCAACAACAAGUUCCUUGAUAGUCCAAAUAAUUUUGAUGUUGCGAUCUGGGUAAUGGUCUGCCAAGAUUUGCAACCCCAGAAGUUUCGGGAAAAGAUUGGGAAAAAGAAAGUCUUGUUCGAUGAGUACCGGAUUGAACUAUAUUAGAUUAUAUUUAAAUAAUAUUAAAUAGUAUUUAAGUUGGUAUUCUAAUAUAAAUAUCAAUUAUCCAUGAAAUUUUAUAAUCAUAAUUAAAAUAAAUUUAAAAAGCAAUUACUAGGAAAAUUAAAUAUAUUGCAAAAAGUUAUUGGGUAGUCAUAAUAUAAUAGGCAAAUAAAAUUAAAUAAAACAAAUUACAUAUUUAAUUAUAUUUAUCAAAUAUUUAAAAAUAUUAUAUAAAAUAUUAUAUAAAAUCAAUUAAUUAAUGAUAUUAUUAAUUUUCAUGAUUAUUUUUAAUAUUAUAUUACUGAUUAUUAAAUUUAAUACAAUCAAAUAAUGCAAUAAAUAAUUAAACAUUCAAUUUUAUUGAUUAAUUAUUAAAUAUACAAGUAAUGAAAAUUUUAUCUCAAGAGUUGGUAGAAGCGAAAGUACUAAUUUAAUUAGAUCAUAGAUAAUAAAUAAAAAUAAAUUUUAAGUAAAUCAUAAUAAAAAAUUAAUUAAUUAAUUCAAUCAAUCAAUAUUAGGUGUAAAUAAAAAAAUGAUAUAAAUAAAAAUCUCAUAAAUGUACAACUUUUAUCUUUAAUCUUAUCCUAAAAGAACAAAAAGCAGAAUAUAUAUUGAAGUGUUUUUCACACCUUUUCAUUAACUGGAAUGCAUGUAUUUAUAUACAUCAUUUGUAACUAAUAAAGAGAAAAUAAAGGAAACUAUACAUGAGAGUAUCAAGGAGAAUAAUGGAAGAGAUUGUUGUCCGUAACUUGUGGAGAGUAUCAUGGAGCUUGAGAUUAUCUGAUAUGCCCCCGCAAGAGGGUGUUGCCAUUGGCGACACCCAUCUUGAACCUUAAUUCAGAAAAUGGUCGCUUAGAGAGGGGCUUGGUUAGGCUAUCAGCAAGUUGAUCUGCUGUAGAUACAUAAGAUACGCGCAAUAGCCCUUUGUUGACCCAAUCACGAACAAAAUGAUAAGCAAGAUCAAUGUGUUUUACCCUUGAAUGAAAGACUGGAUUGCGACACAAAUAGGUAGUUCCAAUAUUAUCACAAUAGAUGGUAGGAGUUUGACUCAAUUGAAGGCCAAGUUCUUGAAGUAGAUUCUGAACCCAUCGAACUUCAGAGGCUGCAUUUGCGACAGCCAAGUACUCAGCUUCUGUUGUGGAACGAGCUAUUGAUUUUUGUUUGUUCGAGCGCCAUGAGAUAGGAUUGCCGCCUAGAUAAAGCAUAUAGGCUGAUGUAGAAGUAAUGAAAAUUUAAUCUCAAGAGUUGGUAGAAGCGAAAGUACUAAUUUAAUUAGAUCAUAGAUAAUAAAUAAAAAUAAAUUUUAAGUAAAUCAUAAUAAAAAAAUUAAUUAAUUGAUUCAUCAAUCAAUAUUAGGUGUAAAUAAAAAAAAUGAUACAAAUAAAAAUCUCAUAAAUGGACAACUUUUAUUUUUAAUCUUAUCCCAACUAAACACAUGUGUAAAUUAGGAUUAUUAAUUCCAUAAUUUUCGGAUUAAAUUCAAAUUUAUUCCCCCUUAAUCCAAUUCAACUAAACUUGUCAAACAUGGGAUAAAAAUUUAAUUAUAAAAUUAGUCCAAUUCCAUACUUAAUCCUAGCAUCCAAAUAUAGCUCAAGUUCUUUGCUUAAAGAAGCUACCAAAUUUGAAGAGCGUUUACGGGAAGGCCUUGCGUUUCCCAGAUGUAUGCAGAAUUUUUGUAUCUAAAUGCCCAGAACUUAAGAAGCUGACGCUGGAUUUUGAAAGGGCGGGCCAAGGUAAAAUUCUUAUCAAAUGAAAGGAAAAUCGAUGGAAACAACUUCAAUGGGAGGAUCAAGCAACUCAGGAUGCAUUGCUUCUGUUUUUCAAAUCAACUGACAAGUGAUUGAAGGGGGCAUCAUCAGCCUGGAUGGGGAGAUCCUGGAGCAGAUCAGCAGGGUUUGAAUCUGCAUCAUCAACAUCAUCAGGAUCUCUAUUUCUAUUGCUGGUCGUAAUGCCUGCCGACUGUUGCUUGAAAAAGUGAUUAAGUGAGCCAGUUUUUUGUUUAUUAAAUUUUGUUUUGUAGAGACAGUCACAAAGUAUUUUUCUUAGUUGUUCUAUAUGAGAGUGAUGUGAACCAAUUUUUCAAUUAUAUAUUCUGUGGGAAAUUGCAAGUAUUUUUAAAAUAUGAUCGUUAUUAAAGGAAACAAAGGAAUCAACACAGCAUACUGAACCUCAGCAGUAUGAAGCUAAUGAUUAAACUCCUCACACAAUUCAUAACAUGCAAAACCAUUCACAAAAUCAUCCACAGCAACCAUAAUUGGCGUCCAAUAGAAAUUUACAAGAAUUACUUUUCUGUUCAUGCAAUCGGCGUCUGAACGCGGCUGAUCGGUCACCGGUGUUGGCGUUUACUGUGAUUAGACAAAUUGUAGCACUUCAAAAAUAACUUCUAUAGGGGUAAUUUCGAUUUCACAUAAUUAAUUUUAUUUACAAUAUUUUAUUCCUGCAAGGUCAACUGAGAUUCUUUCCACCGGGCACACCCUUCAUGUUCUUUUAUUUUCUGUCUUUUAUUAGCCGUUGGAUUUUACUACUCUUAUAUCCAACGGCUUGCCACAACAAGACAAAUGAGGUGGUACCUUUCAACCGCUGAAAGGUAGUUUUGGCCCCAAGUGAAAGAGGGAAAUAGGGAAUUGAUGCUAUAUUUUAUAUUUUCUAUUUUACUACUCUUGUAUCCACCGGCCUUUCUUAUAUUUUAUUGCAAAUUGAUGCUAACAAGAAAAAGCUAGAUCAUAUUCCACAGAAAAGUGAGAAAACAACCAGAUGGAUUCUUUUAUUAAACUACAAAUUAAAAUGGUAUCACAAAUUCUCAUCAAUUUAUUUAAAUAUAUUCUUUUAACCCUCUUUUUAAUUUCACAAAUUCUCAUCAAUUUAUUUAAAUAUAUUCUUUUAACCGGAAACAAUUGAUAUCACUUAUUAAGAAUAACAAAAUUUACUAUUUAAAAAUGAAGAUCAAUAAAUUUUUAUCAAUCAUGAAAGUUAAUGAGUGUCAAGAAAUUAAUUUUUGCUAAACAUACAAGCUAAUAACUAUUAAAAAAAUCUUAUAUUAUAGAGAUCAUAUAUAUUAAGAAAGACCAAAAAAAAAAUUAAAAAAAUAGUUAAAUUCAGUGUAUAGUUUAUAGGAUGUGAGAGUGGUAAAAGAAUAUAUAAUUGUAAAAUAGAGAAAAAGAAAAAGAGAUUAGUAGAGAAUAAUUUUGAGAUUUUUUAAUUUUUAAUUUUUAAUAAUAAAUUUAUUUUAAAAAAUAGGUGUGGAGAAAAAUUUGAUGGGUUCAAGCAAUUCCACCUAAUUUUAUAUUAUCAAUACGCAAAUGAAAGUACAAAAAUACCUCUAAUAGAGUGAAAUAAAGAGUUCUCUAAUCUCUAGGGUUUCUCAUUCCAAUUUUGAAAUUUCCCUACUUUAUUUUGAAUUAACCCUCUUUGUUACCAUUGAAUUGUAACAUUCAAAAUUUGAAUAUGUUUUUACAAAUAGAAGAUUAUUGGGACAAAAACAAUAAGAAAUAGAAAACCUAGUUGAAAAAGGAUAUUACAAAAAAAGAAAUUGCCAUUACCAUUCAAACAUUUACACAGUAAAGGCAUUAACAGCAUAAGGCGGCAAUAAAACUUACUCAUAAUUAGGGGUGGCAAAAAAGUCCGAGCCGGCUUAGGCCCGGCCAAGCCCAGUCUAGAUCCGUGGACUUAAAGUCCGACCCGUAAGGAUGUGGGCUUAGAUAUAGACCUAAAAAUUACAAAACCCACAUAUAUUAGACCUAAACAAGAACUUAGCAAAAAAACCCAAACUUUCUAAAUUUAUGAAUAAAAAAUAAAUUUAAUUUAAAUAAAAAAAAUUAAAAUAUUAAAUUAAUUGAAUUUUUUAUAUUAAUAUUUAUUAUUUUAUUAAAUUAUAUUGUUAAUAUUUAAUGUAUUUGACUAUUAUUCUAUUUAUAUAUUAUAUUAUUAUUUUUAAUUUAAAUAUUUUUCUUAAUUUAAAAAAUUUUUAUAAUUAAUUUAAAAAGUUCAGGCCCAGCCCGAGUUCGGUCCAUCCAAAUUUAACGGAUUUUUGAAGAACCUGAACUUCGUUUGAAUGAUAUGGGUCCGGCCCAAGCCCGCAAAUUGCCAUCCCGUGAUAAUAACAAACAGAUAUGGCCCAGCCCGAGUUCGGUCCAUCCAAAUUUAACGGAUUUUUGAAGAACCUGAACUUCGUUUGAAUGAUAUGGGUCCGGCCCAAGCCCGCAAAUUGCCAUCCCGUGAUAAUAACAAACAGAUAUAGAUAGAUCGAUGGAUGGCAUUUUUUAAAUGUACCUUAAAAACCAAAACAAAAGCAAAAAUAUUAAAAUAUUACACCAACUGCUAACUAAUUAAUCUAAUAAAACGCCUCGCUUAAUCAUUUCCAGUCCACUAAACACGCUGAACGGAUUCCAGCCUCUGAAGUCUCAUCUCAUUGUUAAAUUCAUUGAUGAAAGCUUCAACUCGCCGAUUCAACUCAUCUUGACUCAUCGAUUCCUCCCUCCUCAGCGACGUUCUGUCACUGAACGUCUCAGAUUUCCUCAGCUCACGUUUCGCCCAAGCCGUCGGAUCAUUCUCAUCAUUAUCACUACCACAGGCGAUGGUGAUGAUGUGGAAGGUGGAAGAAGCGGCGAUGGUGAUGAUGAUGAUGAUGAUGAUGAUGAUGAUGAAGUUGACUAUGAUGUAAUUGUACGGCGGCGACAGCCAGAACCUCAAAGAAAUGAAGAGGCUAGGGAUUGUCGAUACCGUGAAACAAAUGUACGGGAUUAUUGCUACCUUAAACAGCAUGAAAGUUGAAACAAACCCGGCUGACAAAAAUAACAACUUUGCUACCCGCGUUACUGUCUCUAAUCUGCUUGAUUUUGGGUCGAAAUUUUGAAAAAGAUCCCCCAUUUUUCAAUUUUCACACACAAUAAAGAAGGAAAAAGAAAGGUAGCUAGAUUUUUUUUUUGUUUUUCAACAAGGGAAGAAAUAAGAAAAGAACAUUAAAAGGAUUUUUCAGGCUUUGAUGGUCAUUAAAAUGAGACCCAGGAAACCAUUGAAGCUAAAAAAAAAACGAGAAGCCAUGUAUUUAUAUAUGCUGCUUUGCUUUACAAAAUCUGACUGGCAUCAGGGUGAAAAAAAAGUGCCAUUUGUUGGUACAGAGAGACAGAGGAGAGUAGAGAGGCAGAUGCAGGGGCAGGGGCGAAGUCAAGGGACCAUUGAAUGGGCAAGCGAGGUUUCAAUUUAUGUAACGAGGGACGAUUAAAGUUCUUGCAACUUUCCUGCCGUCUGAUGAAAUCUUGACCGUUCGAUGGUACAAUAAUGGUUAUAAUGAUCUUGAAAGUGUUGGAGAGAUAAGUUUGUACAGAUUAUGUACGCUAAAUAAAAUCACAUUUAAAAUGGUUUUUGAUUUUAUUCUAUUACAGAUUACUUUUAUUAAAUAAAUGAAGGUACAUUGAGUGAGUGAGUGAGUGACUUCACGAUUUUGCACUAACGCCGCUGUGUUAUCCUCCGCGGCACUUGUCCUCAUCAUUUGUAAUUGAAAAGCUGAUUUAAGAUUUUAGAAUAGUGCCUUUUGGAAAAAAAAUAUAUAUAUAUAUCAACGGCCGAUUGAGAUUUCUUUUUUGAAGAUUUAAAAUUAAUUUUUUAAAAAAUUAAAAAUUAAUUUUAAUAUUUUAUAAGUUUUAAAAAAAUUAUUUUUAAUAAAAUCACUUCAUAGUAGAUUCCGGAAAGUAGAUAUCUAUGCUUUUUAAAUUUUAAUUUUAAGAAUUAAUUUUUUACUUAAUAUAAUCCUUGCAUAUAUUAUAAAAUUUUAAAAUCAUCUUCAUUAAUUACAAAAUAAGAUCAUUAAUUUUAAGGAGAUUAUAAUCAUUAUCAAUUAUAGGGAGAUUAAAUGCUUAAAGUGACAAGUGCAAAACUAUUUAAAAAUAGUCAGUAAAAGUAUAGGUGGGCAAUUAGUUCAAUUCUAUUUGAAUCAACUAAAUUAAAUUAUAUCGUGUUUCAUAAAUUUUUAAAGCAACUGAUUUUUUGUUUGGUUUAGAUAAAAAUUAAACUAAACCGAAAAAUCAAACGGUUCAAAGAAAAAAAAGUUAAAAACAAAUUUUAUAAACUGAUCGGUUUCCGUUAGAUUCAAUUCCAAAUCUAAACAAACCAAUCCAAAGUGAAAAUAAACAUUUUUGUUGAAUGCACUUUUAAUUUGUUUGGAUACGUCUCGACCCUCCAGUCUCUUGAUUAAAGUUCAUUUAUUAGGGUCCGCUUGUAAUACAGCGUCUGUAUCUCAUACAGUCAAAUUUAAUAUUUUAUUAAGAAAAAGGGCAACCGUUAGAUAGAAGUAGAUACAUCCAAUGGUUAAUAUCUGUGAUUACUCAUUUUGGUGACCGGAUAUGCCAAUUAUUAUUUCAUCAAUUAACUUACCUAAAAAAUCAUAGCCGUUGGAUUGAGAUGCCUCUCUCUCCCUCAAAAUAACAGCCUUCGUAUUCUCUCUGCUAUUGUUUUGUCCUACAUCUAGAAUUUUGGAUGAAUGAACUUGGUAUUCAAGAACAUUCACCACCCAUCACAGCAAAGAGCAAAGAUAUAGUCGAAGGAGUGCCAUUUAUUCAGGCUUACUUGAUCUGUCAGUCUCGCUUCAAUUCGUCACUCAUUUUCUUGCGCUCAGCUUCAAUCUAUCACUCUCAGCUUCAGUUCGUCACUCAUAGCUUCAAUUUUUUCACUGUCGUGAAUCAUCUCUCUUGCUGUAUCUCUCUCUUAUGUCUUCCAAUAAUUUCGGUGAGCUCUCUCUCUAAUUUAAUAUAUGAUUAAAAAUCUUAUCAUCUUAUCAUGUCAUUUAAAUAUGCUUGAAGUUUCAAUUUAGUUUAUGAAUAUUACUUGAAAUUUUAGAUUCAAUAAUUUUAGUUUUUUUUUUCUCUAUCAUCAAUCAUAUAUUUUUUCUUGCUCUUUAACUUCUUAUCUUCAACUAAAUGUGACCUUACAUUUAUUUAGUGUAUGAUCAAUUUUUAAAUGCACAAUAAGCAUUGCAAAGUUGGCGUUAUGCAAAGGCUAUCACAAUGUGAGCGUUCAAUUGGACAGAGUGUCAUGAUCAUACAUCCUUGAACCCAAUAUUUAUUCCAAUAACAAAUGUAGAUACGUAAACUACUUUUUUUUUUUAAAUAAAAAUAAAAAACUUCAAUGAAUCAAUCAAUUAUUUUCUGAAAUGUUAUGCGAAUUGUGAUUGUGAGAUUAAAAAAAAAUAUCCAUGCAAAUCAAAUUGUAACCGCCCUCUCAAGAUAAACCAAGUAACACAAAGCAUCAUUAACUCUUUCUUGUUUCAGCCACAGUACUAUUUUUUGCUUGAUGAGAAUAUAUUUAAAUAGUAUUUAAGUUGGUAUUUUAAUAUAAAUAUCAAUUAUCCAUGAAAUUUUAUAAUCAUAAUUAAAAUAAAUUUAAAAAGCAAUUACUAGGAAAAUUAAAUAUAUUGCAAAAAGUCAUUGGGUAGUCAUAAUAUAAUAAGCAAAACAAAUUAAAUAUUUAAUUAUUUUUAUCAAAUAUUUAAAAAUAUUAUAUAAAAUCAAUUAAUUAAUGGUAUUAUUAAUUUUCAUGAUUAUUUUUAAUAUUAUAUUAGUGAUUAUUAAAUUUAAUACAAUCAAAUAAUGGAAUAAAUAAUUAAAUGUUUAAUUUUAUUGAUUAAUUAUUAAAUAUACAAGUAAUGAAAAUUUAAUCUCAAGAGUUGGUAGAAGCGAAAGUACUAAUUUAAUUAGAUUAUAGAUAAUAAAUAUAAAUAAAUUUUAGGUAAAUCAUAAUAAAAAAAUUAAUUAAUUGAUUCAAUCAAUCAAUAUUAGGUGUAAAUAAAAAAAUACAAAUAAAAAUCUCAUAAAUGUACAAUUUUUAUUUUUAAUUUUAUUCAAACUAAAUACAUGUGCAAAUUAAGAUUAUUACAUCCUUGAACCCAAUAUUUAUUCCAAUAACAAAUGUAGAUACGUAAACUACUGGGAAGCAGCACACGUGUCCUGAAGAGAGAAAAAAAUCGAGCAAAUGCAGACAAUGGGAGUUGGCUAAAAGUUGGAUCUGCAAUUUACAAAAUCUGUAACUUAUUAGCCAGCUCCCAAAUUGUGUAGUCUUUUUUCAAAUUGUACAGACAUUUAUAAAUUGGUGGCCCCUUGAAAAUUUAAUGCCAAGCAGAUAAAAGUCAUCAAGCACAGUCCUCAAUAGUUGUUUCGUGUAUAUUUAUAAAUUGGUGGCCCCUACAUCUUUAAUAAUUGGGAUUGAAUUACGGUAUAAUUGUAGAAUCAUGUCUCAAUUACAUUCAAUUGUUAGAUAUAUUUACGUUGGUAAAAUUUACUGAUAUCUAAUAAUUAAACGUAACUAUAACACAAUAUUAUAAUUACACCACAAAUUUUCUCUAAUAAUUAUUCCGAUACUUAUAAAUUGGUGGCCCCUUAGUAAUUUAACAGCAGCCUGCAAGUGUCAACUAAUGAAAAGUCAUCAUUCACAAUCUUCCAAGUGAAACAGGAAAUAUACAAAAAUUAAAACAUGUCAUUCUUUUUUUUUCAUUCCCUGUCAUGUAACUUACACCCAAAUACAUAAAUAAUAUAAAAUGAAUGGAGAGAUGCCAGGAGCAGAUCAGCAGGGUUUGAAUAUGACCUUUGGCGCUUGCUUUUUUUUUUUUUUGUGAUUUUUUUUUCAUUUUUUCCUUCCUGUCAUUUUAUCAUUUCUUUGGCUUUGUCUCUAUUGCGGGUGUUACUGCAUGCUUACUGUUUCUUGACAAAGUUUGCUAGCUUUUCCUUUUGUUUAUUAAAUAUUUUUAUCGUCACAAAGUAUUACUCGUUCUAUUUGACAGUGAUGUAAAUUAAUUUUUCAAUUUUAUAUUUUAUCGUCGAUGUGAAUUCAAUUUCAUUUGUCAUCAUGCACAAUCCUCAAUAAUUGUUUCGAUAUUUAUAAAUUGGUGGCCCCUACGUCCUCAAUAAUUGUUCCGAUACUUAUAAAUUGGUGGCCCCUUAAUAAUUGGUGUUUGAGGAAUUAAAUAGAGCGAUCAUGAUCUUUUCCAAAUGAAAGUGAGCAAAUGGUUGAGCAGGUCACCUUGAUCAGGUGGUAUGAGUUUGAUCAAAUCACCUCGACCAGGUACAAUGAGGUUGAGCAGAUCAUCUUGAUCAGGUGGUGUGAGCUUGAGCAGAUGACCAUGUGGUAUGAGCUUGAGCAAAUCACAUCGACUAGGUGCUAUGAGGUGGAGCAGAUCACCUCGACUAGGUACUAUGAGGUGGAGCAGAUCACCUCGACCAGGUGCUAUGAGCUCGAGCAGAUCACUUCGACCAUGUGCUAUGAGCUUGACCAGAUCACCUCGACCAGGUGGUCUAAACUUGAGCAGAUCACCUCGGCCAAGUGAUGACUAGGAAUAAAGACUCAGUUAAAAUAAACCACCACAAAGCUCCUCCGAAAAAUCAGGGCACGAAUCUGAUUAAUCAAUGGUUAUUGUCACGAUCUAAGGUCGUGGGUGUGGGGUGUUUUAUAAAAAUCCCGAGAAAAUCACACCAAGGGAAGGCUCUUUUUCUCUGGAUCUGACGGAGAAAUCCUUUCUGGAUACUCUAUUUUACUUUUCUGCAAAUUAUUCAAAAAGCUUUUGGUUUUAAAAUAAUGUUUAUUUAGCCAUAUGAAAAAUGACAUAUUUGGUUUUUCCUGUAAACCCCAUAACUGACUUGAGCGUUGGAGGGUUUACGCCAGAAAAACUUCCGGCACCUCUGACCAUUCUCUGUAAUUUCAGGUACUUAUUGAUCGUCAGCUUGAAGAUUAUAUGCUCAUGAAUGUUCUGCUCAUAGUCAGAGAAUAUUCUGACUAUAUUAGCCAUGACAUUUUAGUAAUUUCAGGUACUAAAAAAAAAUUAAAAUUGUUGGCGUGAAAAGCACAAAUCCUAUUUUUUGACAAUUUUAUCUUUGUCAAUUUCAAAGAUUUACAAUAUCAUAGGUAAAGAUUAUAACUAUUUCAUCUUCAAGUUUUUAAUUUUAUAUUUUUUGUAGGAACUUUAAGAAAAUAUCAAUAAUUUAAAGAGAAUUUUUGAAAUUUUUAAUUUUAUCUUUCUUGUAGGAAUUUUAAGAAAAUAUCAAUAAUUUAAAGAAGGUAAAAUAACCAAUAAUUUUAUUUUUUUUUUAGUUAUUUCCGUUUAAAAACUGUUCUUUUAUUAGCCGUUGGAUUUUACUACUCUUAUAUCCAACGGCUUGCCACAACAAGACAAAUGAGGUGGCACCUUCCAACAGCUGAAAGGUCGUUUUGGCCCCAAGUGAAACAGGGGAUGCACUUACUAUUAAGGACAGUUGGUGGCCAGCUAAUGCACUCAUUUUAUGUCCUUUUAUCUUUUUGAAUUCCUGAAGACAAGUGCAUUCAUUUUGUGUCCUUUCAUCUUUUUGAAUUACUGAAGACAAGUGGCCAGCUAAUGCAUUCAUUUUUUGUCCUUUCGUCUUUUUGAAUUAUUGAAGACAAGUGGCUCAUCGCUUUUACUGUAGGUAAGAUCUUGAUAAUCUCGAUUAUCAAAAUAAUAAUAUUCAAAAUAUUUCUUAAUUUUAUUUAAAAGAUAAAAGAAAAAUAAGUUAUGCUGGUAAAUUUUUUUAUUUUUUUAAUAAAAAUAAAAUAAAUUGAUGUUUAUAAUUGUUUCAAAUACUUUAAAGAUUGUAAUUUUAUGAGAGAGUAAUAUUUCACAUUUUUAAUGUGAAAAGUUGAAAAGGGACAAAGCAAGUUUCUCUGUUUUUCUUUUUCUUUUUUUAAAUUUGGUCAUCUCAAAUACUUCACCCUUCAACACUACAAUAUUUUGGUUAUAUAUAUAUAUAUAUAUAUAUAUAUAUAUAUUUUACACAUGCAUAUGAAUUACUUUUCUUUUAAGCUCCUGAAUAUUUAAGACAAAUCAUGAAAGAGAUGAGAAUAUAAUAAGAUGAUCAAAAUAUGUAACAAAAUUUUUUUAGAAGUGAAACAUCGUUAGAGUUGAAGUAAAACUCUGAAAAUAGAGAUACUGAUUAAUUUAGAAGAGAUGCAAGCAAAAGAUAUGCCAAAAAAAAAAAAAAGCAAUAUGUCACUUUGGAGGGCAAACUUGUCAGUUUCACAAAAAUACAUGCUUUGUAUUGAUAGUUGUCACUAUGUAUUAGGGUGCGUUUGAAAUUAUAGUGCUGUACCUUUUAAACUACAGUUGUUGUAGAAAAAAAUAAAAAAUAAAAACUACACCUAAGAUUAAGGAAAAGUACUUCAAAACUCUCUUUUGAUCAUAAAACCUUUUGUCUUAAUUAACUUAAAGAUUUUGAAUCUAAUAUUUUAUAACAAAUAAAAAUAUAUUACCAAAAUAAAUAUAAUAAUAUCUAUUUUAAAAUAAUAUCAAUAUUUAAAAUAUGUUUUAAUAUUUGACGAUCUAUUAGACACAUUUUAUUAUGUUAAAGUAAAUUUUAUAAUAAAUACAAACAUACUAAUAAAAUGAAUAUAUACAACAUUUAGAGUAUUUUGAAUAUUAUAUAAAAUAAAUUUAAUACAAUGCAUGAGAUAUAUUUUAUUAAUUUAAAAUGCUAUUUAACCUAAAGAUUUAUUUAUGAAAAAUUAAUGAUUAUAUUUUUGAAAUUAUUUAAAAUAUUAAAAAAAUUAAUAUUAUUAAUCUAUCAGGUAGAUUAAAUUAUUUAUAUUAUUUUGCAUUUAUUAAAAAAUUUUAAAAUCAAUCUUUUUAAUUACUAUUCUAAGGAUAUAAUAAUAGAGGCAACUCCGUUGCGUCAUGGUUUUGGUACCCCGUCGUUUGUCUUUUAGCACAGUCAUCGUUGGAUUUUAUCUCACGGCUGCAGAAGAGACACAGAGACGCUAGGGAGCAACCUGACAAAAAGGUCAUGGGCCGGUAAGCUGCAGGGAAAAUAUUUAAAAUACAAAAUCUUCCCUUAAAUUUUUUUUAAUAUUUAACAUGUUAUAGUUUCUAAUCUCAUGAAUAGUAGAGGAUAAAGUUUUAUCUUAAAAAAAGUAAUCCCAAGGGUCUCCUUGGGAUGAAAUUUUGCCUCUAUUAGAAUUAAGUGGUGGGCUCAUUAUUGUUACUUUUAUUUUUUUUAUACCAAACAUGAUAUAGGAUUAUUUUAUACUAAAAUUAUCCAAUCCUAUGAUAUAUAACUAAAACUAAACAGGCACUUAGGGUAUAUAUGAGCCACGGUGGAGAAGCUUUAUUUAAUAUUAUUGAUUUAAAUAAUAUCUCAUUAAAAAUGUACUGAGAAGAAAUUUCGGUGGGUAUUUUAGUCAAUCACAUGAUCAGCCUUUGGACUUGAAACGUCGGUCAGAAUGAUUUAUUCUAACAAGAAAAAACUAGGUAAUAUUCCACAAAAGUAAAAGUGACAAAACAACCAGCUGGAUUCUUUUAGGAAAUUACAAAGAGUAAUGAUACAGUCAUAAAUUUUUAUAUAAAUUUAUUUUAUAUAAAUUGAUGUGGUAUUAAUUCAUUAGUUGAAUGAAAAUAUAAAUUAAUAAAAAUAAAUUAUAUGGACCAAGUAAUAUUUAAUUCAAUCAAUCUUAUUAUGUCACAUCAAUUUAUAUAAAAUAAAUUUAUAUUUGUAUUAUUACUCAACUAUAAAUUAAAAUAAAUUUUUUCGAUAAACUACAAAUUAAAGUGGAUUCUUUUGAAUGCAAGUGGGACAGACGAUAAGGCUAAAAAUUAGUCAAGAAUCGAAUAGUCUUUUUCAAAUUCUUGUUUUAUUAUUUUUCAAAACCAGUUUUUGGUAAUUACAAUCGGGUCAUUAAUCAUUAUUCAGAGUUAUUGUUUCCUUCAGAAGUUAGUGGCUCAUGUUUGCAAGUGUGAAUAUGCGAUGCUCUUUUUCGAAAGCGCAAUGACAGUGGGUCCCGAAUCGGACGUCCCUAAAUCUUUUUAAAAUUUUUGCCGUAUAACGAACAGAGGUCAUUACUAAAAUUUCUCUUCCACAGCCUACAGCAGCUUCAGUUUAUCAAACUCAAUCAAUUUUCUUUCUUAACAAAAUUCCAAAGAUGUGUAGCAUUUUUCAGAUCACAUGCGAUGGUGCUCUUUUCAAUCGUUGCUUGGAUUGCUUUCUUGGAAAAGCAGCAUACAUACGUAACCUCCAAGAUAAUCUUGUAGCCUUGGAGACUGAACUGGGAAGACUAAUCGCAGCAAAGAACGAUGUGAUGAUGAGGGUUGUCAAUGCUGAACGGCAACAAAUGAGAAGGCUGGACGGAGUGCAAGUGUGGGUUUCGAGGGUGGACGCUGUUAAAACUGGAGCCGAUGAACUUAUCACAGACGGCUCUGAAGAAAUUGGCAAAUUAUGUGUUGGAGGCUACUGUUCCAAGAACUGCAGGUCAAGCUACAAAUUCGGAAAACAAGUGGGUAAAAAGCUACAAGAUGUGAAGACUUUAAUCGCCGAGGGAGUUUUUGAGGCGGUGGCCACUGAGGUGGUGCCCGAGAGAGCUCCGGAACCUGUAGCAGAUAAAAGACCCACUGAGCCAACAAUAGUAGGCCUGCAAUCACAGCUUGAACCAGUUUGGAGAUGUCUUGUAGAAGAAUCAGUGGGAAUCAUUGGCCUAUAUGGUAUGGGCGGUUUUGGUAAAACCACACUAUUGACCCAUAUCAACAAUAAAUUUCUUGAGAGUCCCACAAACUUUGAUUGUGUGAUUUGGGUCGUAGUUUCAAAAGACCUGCGACUUGAAAAAAUUCAAGAAGAUAUUGGGAAGAAGAUAGGUCUAUCUGAUGAUUCAUGGAAGAAUAAAAGUUUUGAAGAGAAAGCUGUGGACAUCCUGCUGAGAUUAGGAGAGAAGAGAUUUGUAUUGUUGUUAGAUGAUUUAUGGGAGCGGGUUGAUUUAACAAAAGUGGGCGUUCCACUUCCCAGCGCACAAAAUACUACCUCAAAAGUCGUAUUCACAACCCGUUCCAUUGGUGUUUGUGGCAGCAUGAGAGCUAGGCCGGUUAAAGUGGCAUGCCUAUCAGAAAAGCAAGCUUGGGAACUGUUCCGCGAAAAUGUUGGGGAAGAAACUCUUGAGAGUGAUCAUGAGAUCGUUGAGCUAGCCCAAACUGUGGCCAAAGAGUGUGGUGGUUUGCCACUCGCACUUAUUACUAUUGGUCGAGCUAUGGCCUACAGAAAGAAAGCGGAGCAGUGGAGACGUGCAAUUGAAGAGUUAAGAAGAUCAGCUUCAGAGUUUGCAGGUUUGGGAAAAGAGGUGUAUCCUCUUUUAAAGUUUAGCUAUGAUAGUUUGCAGAAUGAGACAAUUAGAUCUUGUUUCUUGUAUUGUUGUUUAUAUCCUGAAGAUUAUGGCAUUCUUAAAUGGGACUUGAUUGAUUGUUGGAUUGGUGAGGGAUUUUUUGGGGAAUCUGACAGGUUUGGUGCAGAAAACCAAGGAUAUGACAUUUUGGACACUCUUGUUCGUGCAUGUUUAUUAGAAGAGGUGGAAGAUGAUGAAGUAAAAAUGCAUGACGUUGUUCGUGAUAUGGCUAUAUGGAUAACUUGUGAAAUUGAGAAGGAGAAGAGAAACUUUUUGGUUUGUGCAGGUGCGGGACUAAAGGAGGCACCGGAGGUUAAAAGAUGGGAAAAUGUGAGAAGAUUGUCACUGAUGCAAAACCAAAUUAAAACUCUGUCAGAGGUUCCCACAUGCCCUCAUCUCCAUACUUUAUUUCUUGACUUCAAUGACAAUUUGAAUAUGAUCGCGGAUGGCUUCUUCCAACUUAUGCCUUCUCUCAAAGUUUUGAAGAUGUCAAACUGCGUGAAUUUAACUUUGAAAUUACCUUUGGGGAUGUCAAAGUUAGGUUCACUAGAACUUCUUGAUGUUUCGAAUACCGGCAUAAGAGAGUUACCAGAAGAGUUAAAGUUGUUGGUAAAUCUGAAAUGUUUGACUUUGAGGUGGACAUUUGAGUUAAAUAAAAUUCCACGGCAACUAAUAUCAAAUUCUUCAAGGUUACGUGUGUUGAGAAUGUUGGGUACUGGCCUUUUGAAUUUUCAUGAAGCGUCAGAAGAAAGCGUUUUAUUUGGUGGGGGUGAAGUUUUGAUACAGGAAUUGCUCGGUUUGAAAUAUUUAGAGGUAUUGGAGUUGACCUUGCGAAGUUAUCAUGCUCUCCAAAUUCUUUUGAGCUCAAAUAAGUUAAAAAGUUGUAUUCGAUCUCUUUUCCUCCAGUUGGCCGGAGAUGCAACGUCGAUUGUUGAUGCUACGGCUUUCGCAGAUCUAAACCACCUCAAUGAAUUAUAUAUUAAUAAAGGUUUUGAGUUGGAAGAAUUGAAGAUUGAUUAUACGGAGAUAGUACGAAAAAGGCGGGAACCUUUUGUUUUCCGCAGCCUUCACCAUGUUACUAUAUGGCGGUGCGCUAAAUUGAAAGAUUCGACAUUCCUCGUUUUUGCUCCAAACCUCAAGUCUCUUGUGCUAGGUAAUUGCCAUGCUAUGGAAGAAAUAAUCAGCGUUGGAAAAUUUUCCGAGGUUCCUGAGAUCAUGGGACAUAUGAGCCCUUUUGAAAAUCUCCAAAGGCUUCAUGUAGAAGAUUUGCCAGAUUUGAAGAGCAUCCACUGGAAGCCAUUGCCUUUCACUCAUCUGAAAGAAAUGGGGGUAAGAGCAUGUGAUCAGCUUGAAAAGCUUCCACUCGAUUCCAGCAGUGCAAAAGAGCGUAAAUUUGUUAUUCGUGGAGAAGAAGACUGGUGGAACCGACUUCAAUGGGAGGAUGAAGCCACUCAAAUUGCUUUUCGUUCCUGUUUCCAACCUUAUUCCUGAGCCGUGGUCGCAAAAUUUGAUUUCUGGUGAGUGCGUUUUUGUUAACGCUUAUGUUUUAUUCCAGUGUAUUUUUCUUCUGUCUUCUGCAAAUCACAAUUAAAUGUGUGAUACAUGUUACGGGUAAUAUACAUGCAGUAUUUUUGGUACACUGCAAAUCACAAUUAAAUGUGUGAUACAUGUUUACGGGAAAUUUAUAGACAUGCAGUAUUUUUGGUGGGGUCGAAUUGAUGCUCUGGUUUUUUUUUGUUGUCAAAAUUUUCUCUGUUUUUUCAAAUUGAUGCUUUAUUUAUAUCUUCUUCGUGAAAAGUGAUUUAAUUUCCUGCCAAAAGACGAACGAGAAGAACAUUAGAGUCAAACUAAUGCUCACAUAAAUUUCCCGUAAGAAUAUAUAUAUAAUUAGACUGGAAUAGUAGCCCUCUUUACAGAAAAUGACGCGAAAGUUAAUUUAGAAAGAUAUAUUCUUGAUUAAUCCAUUUUCUGAAGCUUUUAUUUUGUAUGGUCAAUUAUACCUUCAUACUAAAAAUUUCUGAAUUUAUAAAUUAGUGCAACUUGACAAUUUUUACUGAUGAUAUCUUCUAUUUUUCCUUUCUUUCUUUUUUUUUUUUACUCUCAUUGAAUGUUACUGUCAUUUUACUUACAAAUAGGUUUGAAUUUUAUUUAGUUUUCUCAUAGUAUUUGUGCAAGUACUAGAAGGUCAAACCCCGCAUACUUUGAUUGCCAAACCACCGUCCAAUUUAAAAAAAGAAAAAAAGAAAAAAAAUGUGUAAUCCAUGAAUCUGGUUAAUUUUGUUUGUUUGUUUUUUUUUUUUUAAAUAUCAUUCUUUUUCGGCCACCCAAAAUAUCAUUGAUGACUUUUCUGGUCUAAUGCUAUGUAAAUAGUAUGUUAAGUAAAACAUAAUCAAUUAUUUGUGUUUUAUCUCUAAUUAGAACAUCAAUCAGUUCAGUACCUCACAAAUAAUUCGCAAUAUCUACAAAAUACUAUAAUGGCUACAAAACAAAUCCUGCUUGCAAAUUGUCAAGGAUACCUAUCCGUUCGCUUGACAAGUCAUUUGAAUAAAUAUUGUUCACAUUCCUUACUCUGUCAAUUAUCCAAAGCACCAUCAACUUUAGUUUGAAUAGUAUACAUGCCAUCACCAUUACCAAGAAUCAAGCAUGAAAGAGUCAUUCUAUAGAGUGCAGAACAUGACUCUAUGCGGUAGUCAAUUUGACACACGACGAACAACAUAUGCUGCAUAACAUACAAAUUAAUUUCCCAUAUGUGAUGCAAUUUUCUCCUCAACAUAUGCGCAAUUCUUUCCAUUCCGGCCGUUGAUUGAACCCUUUGGCAACAAGACGAGCUUUAAGCCUGUCAGCAGAACCGUUGGAAUGUCUUUUAAUACAAAAAUCCAUUUGCAGCCAACAAUAUUGGAAGGGAUGGGAGGUGGAACAAGCUUCCAUGUCCCGUUACGAACAAGAGCAUCAUACUCUUCUGACAUAGCUUGACGCCAGUGAGGAUUUUUGAUAGCUUGCGUCACAGUUGUAGGUUCACAAUCAGAAGAAGGGCUAAAAUGAGCACGGAGGUUAAGUUUUUGUAACGGCUUGUGAAUCUUAUUUUUAGCUCGGGUAGUCAUAUCAUGAUGAUUUGUGGGGCAAUGAUGUAGUGGAGUUUGGGAAGAUGAUUGAAGAGGAAGUGAAGAAGUGCUUUGUGUAGAGGUAGAAGUAGGUUGGGAGGAUUGCUGCGGAGAUGUUACCGGUAGAGAAGAAGGAGCAGUACACGGUGGCAACUCCAGAGGGCCCAUAGUGAAACACUUGCGUAAUUAGGAGUGGUAGAAGAGCUUGUAAUGAUUUGUAUGGAAAAACAAACUCUACAAAUUUAACGAGACGUGAAAUGAAAAUUUGAAAGGUGGAUGGGUCAAAACAUAAAUAAGCACUUUGAGAUAAAGGAAUAUCCUAUAAAAACACAAGGCUUAGAGGGUGGUUCGAGUUUAUAUGAUGAAACACAAACAUUCAAAAAUUUUAAGUUUAUAUUAAUUAGGAGUGGUACCAAAAAUUAAUUAGGAGUGGUCCGCGGGACAUGUAGCUAUGGGGUUGUUGGAUGUGUUUUGGAUAUUUACAGACAUGCUGAGUUUGAGUUUAUAUCUCAACUUAAAAUUUGUAGUUUUCACUUGAAAAAAUUCAGUUAAAAAUUGAUUGGUAGAAUUGUGAAAAAAGUUUAAAUUUUUAGUUCAACCCGAUUGCAUAUUUAAGAACAUCUCAAAUGAAUUGCUUACUGCUAUCAUCAUCAUUAUUGUCCAUAUAAUAAUGGAUCUUUAUUAUAUAUAUAUGUUUCCACUAAAAUAUAUUUAAUUAUUCUUUAUUUUUCCAUUGUUGCGUGUAAGAUUUAUUUGAGUUCUAAGUUAUAUCAAUACAAAUGUUAUCUUAUCCAUUAAAAGUUAGAUCCAACAAUUAUGAAAAUUACCAUAGAGUUGCUUUCAACUAUUUUUUAAAAAUACCAGGAGUAAAAAAUAAUUAGUUCAAAUGGUGGAGACUAAAAAGCGUUCACCUUUAUUUUUUAUCUGUUAUUUAUUUUUUUCAUUAAUGCACAUGCUAUACAUUUGAGACAUUCCAUUAAUUGCCAAUUAUGUAUGUGAGAUAGUAAUUUAAAUUAAAAAAAUAAAAGUGAAAGUUAAUCCUAUGCAAUGUGAAUAAAUUUCUUUCCUUUUUCCUUUACUCUUUUUAUUUGACAAUAAAGUUUCCAUCUAUCAUCUAUCAUCUAUGUACGCAAAAUUUCUGCAACAGGUACAAAACAUAAAAAUAUAUGAUUGUUAAGGGAAACGCGCAGGAGUUCAUCAUUUCAAUGUUCAGCAUUACCAAUUUUGGCAUUAAGCUGAAUAUAUUCCACUUAGAAAGCAAAAUAUUAGACUCGUGAUUUUAAUUCAUUCAUUAUCUCUCAUUUUAAUCCCAAAAUAUUCAAGAGCAUCCAAGUUACCAUAAGACUUCAGAGGCUCAAGCCUUAGCCAGAGAUGGUUAAUUGAUAGACUAUGUGCCUGGGUCGAGCACUGGAAGCCUGCAAUGCAGACUGAUUGAUUUAUCAGUUUAACGUGUGCCAGGAAUGAAGAACUGGAAUAUCACCGUCAAGCAAGCACCCUGUGGAGCAAUACCGAAGAAUGCACAAUCCAGCUUUGCUAGGUGACACUGGAGGCUUUUUGAAAAGUGCUUCACGCUCACUUGCACAGAUUGAGCAUCCCCUCUGGAUAUUGCCCUCUCUGAUCGAGUCUGAGCACUCAAAUUUUGGUCCUCAGAGGGAGCUACAGUUUCUCUCCACUAACCAACAAUUUUCUAAACUCAGCACCUAGUGUGAUCAGAGUUGUUGAUAUUUGCAAAUGGAGAUCCCCAUAUUUGCAAAUGGAGACAUUUAACAAAUCACCAACAUGCUUCAUCCGGUCCACGAAAUUCUGCAACUGAUUCAAAUCUGGAACCUGAACCAGAGUCGGAGGUAUAUCUUGAGCCAUAUCUAAAGCAGUUUGAAGUUCAAGACCUUGAGCCCUUGACAAUGGUUUUGAAAUUGGAACAUCUUGGAUUACUGCAGACUUGUACCCCUUGGUUUCAAAGGUAAGGAAAGGCAUUGCUUGAGUACAAUUUGGAGGCAGCUUCUUCACCAAUUUUAUUUGGAGGCGAUUGGUAGCGGAUCCAGCUGCACCAAUUUCAGAGCAACUACUGACACUACUUCGAACAGCACACUGAAGAAGUGAUAUGUCUACGGCGAAGGCAAUGCAGUCCUCAUUUUGGCUUGAGACACAGUAAUCAUCGUAGAGAGUUUCCUUGUGAAACUGGGCAACACAUUGAAUCCCUUCGCCACUGAGAAGGUUGUGGAGGAAGUAAGCUUUCUCUCUAGUGAGGAAGAGGUGGCAUACCUUCCCCAUUUUGUCUAGGGCAGGUAGGAAUCUUUUUUCUAAGAGAUUUACUUCAUUCUCUGUGAGAAAUGCUUUGAACUUCAUCCCUCUGUCUCUAUCCUCACUUAUCAGGAAAUAAGUUGAAAGCACUACGAAGAGAGAGAGAGAGAGAGAGAGAGAGAGAAUUAAGAUAUAUAGACAAGAAAAAUAUUAGAUGUUGAUCUUACAAACUAAUACUUCAAGCAGUAUCCUAGAAAGCUAAAAACUGCAAGAUGGCUUGAAAUUUGAGAAGAGCACGUGCUUUUCCUCCUUAACUUGAGAAAAUGUUUUAUAUAGUGCACCUUACAGAAGCAUUUAAGCAAUUAGAACUUUGCACAAAAACAUCAAGAAGACUAAACAAAUCAGAUGCAGUGCAUUUGUCCAAGCACAAAUUGCAUUUUGUCCUCAACUUUAAUAUUUAUUGAUGAGAAUCAAUACAGGUCCCUCAUUUGUUAUAGAAAGCUUUCUUGUAGUCUCACCAGUUAAUAUGGAUAUUAGAUAAGGAAACUUUAUUAGGUUGCGAGGGUAAAAAAGGAAAGAGAUAUCAUUAUUUUAUUAUCGAUAAUUAUUAAAUUUUUUUCCAAAAAAAAGAACAAGCAAUGAUAUUUUAUUGUCAAUUGCAACCUUUAAUUUUUUUAAAUGCUAUUAGAAACACAAGAUAACAAAGAAAUACUUAUUUUUUCCUAAAACUAAAAUCAAUUGUUUAACUUCUUAUUUCAUAAUCCAACUCCAUUACUAAGUUAAAAAAAAUUGUUUCAAAAUUACUUGAGUCAUAUUCAAUGGACCAACAAAGUAACCGUUUUUAUUUUUAUUGAUUUUUGCAGGAAAUUAAUAAGUUAAAAAUAAUGAAAGCUAUUGUAAAAAAAUUUAUUAUCAACCUCAUAAUUUUUUUUUUUUUGGGGAAGAGAAUUCAAACAUUUUUUUUUUUUAAUUUCCAAGAAUUCUUGACACCCAUCUUAAUUAAAAGCUAUAUUUUUAUUCAAGAGUCAUGCUAUUCAUUCACUCACAGACCAAAGGCUUUCCGCAGCAAUAUUAUUAUUUAAAUUACAACAAAGGGGAAAUCAAACACGUCAUACAGAAGCUUAAAGGUGAAUCUACAAAAUCUAGAGCUCUCAACUACAAAAAUUACACUUGAUGAUCCUCUACAAGAUGAAGGUUGUUCAAUAUCUUGAGAUUGCCUGCCUUCCUCGACGACCUGCACGAUGUGUUUGUACAAAUCAUCAUACCUGUGCACCGGAUUUUUAAUAUCAACGCCACUGCAGCUGUGAUCAAGAACAUAAGAGCAUUUAACAUCUUUUCUCCAUCGAGAAAGAAUGUAGUGAGAUGGGAUCUCCUGCAUGCCACUCUGGUUUAGAACACAAAGAAUGUGUCUGCAUAAAUAUCCUCUGAAAUUGAACAACCCACAAACACAAAGCACCUCCAAGUCGGAGGCAUUGUACAAAACAUCGAAAGCCCUUGAAUCUUUCUCGUUGCUACCAACCUUAAAUUCUUCCUUCACUAUGUAUGUUACAGGUCCAUCAGCACUGACAUGUUUUGUGCUAUAGCAAUACAUAGCCUCCACCUCCGUCUGAAACUUCCUUAACAUUUCAUUUGUGUACAGUUUUGAGAGUUGAAAUUCAUAGUAUCAUCUUGGUUUCUGGAUACAACUUGAAUUUCUUGAAUCCAUAUCUGCCAAGGCUACCAGUUGAUAAUUCGCCUGCAGUGCUUGAUCAUACUUGUCUAAGAAUUCUUUCAAAGGAGUAUUCUUAUCAAGAUAUCCUUCAAAGUAUGAAGUAGAAACCUCAUUCUGCAGGAACGAAAACACUCCUGAUAAAAAAGCUUCCUUCAAAUAAAUAGGAGCCCACCUUUUAUGAUCUUCAUAUAAAGUUUGAAUCUAUCCGUGAUCCUUUAUUCCAUGACAUUGAAUCAUGUCUUCCCAAGCUGCUUCAAAUUUCUCAGGCCUGAGAGAGUGAUAAAUUGCUCUAUGUAAUGCAGCUUUAAUAGCUUCAUAUUCAAACAAUCCUUGGAGUUUCUCUGGAAUUUUUUUGCAUGAUGCAUGACAAUGAAAAGCAAUGAUAAGCUCUUGGGAAAACAUCACCAACAGCAAUUUGCAAGAUUCUACAUUGGUCAGUGAUGAUUGUUUGUGGAGAGCUCCCUAACAUACAUGUAAGCCACGCCGUAAACAACCAUGUAUAUGAUUCUAUGGUCUCACUGGCAAGUAAAUCACAAGUCCACAACCCAACAACACUGAUUGUCCAUGAUGAUUCACCCCAAUGAAUGAAACCAGUGGUACAUCAUAUCUUUCAGUCAGGCACGUAGUAUCAAUUAAGACCACAUCACCAAAGUACCUAUAUGCAACUCUUGACCUGGUAUCAGUCCAGAAUAGGUUUCUCAAGCAUCCCUUUUCAUUUAGAUCCACUACAUUAAAAAAGUUUGGAUCUGUCAACUGCAAAUGACAAAAGAAACUCUGGACAGCUUGUGCAUCUCCUGGUUUAAGCUUCAAUUGAUUUGAGCUAUUAACAUUAUUUCCAAAUACUCCAUUAACAUCUACCAUUUCCCUUGGUAUCAAUGAUAAGAGUUCGAAACAGUUUAAUUUUUUGAACUUCUUCAGCACUAUCUAAAUGCAAUGUUCUUUUGGUUCCAAUACCUAUGUGCUUAUGUGACUUGUAAAACUUUCCGCUUCUUGGGCUUAACAAGUGGUUAUGCUCAAGCUCGACUUCAAUGAUUCUCCACCUUUUGGUUUCCAUCAACCUAAACUUUAUCAUUGCUGGACAGCCAGUUCUUGUUUCUGGUCUUGGGCGGUUUGCCUCGCUUUUCUUCUUGAAGCCUGCACUACUACAGCUCAGCUUUCCUCUAUACUUUUCUCUACUCUUUCGGUACCAUGGAUUGCUAACUCUAACACCAAAACCCUGUUCCUUGGCAUAGCAAUUGUAAAAGUAAUAUACAUCAUCAUACAUCUCAAACUCCAUUCCAACAGUAGGAGGCAAGGGAUUUUGGAUUAUCCCAGUUUGUCCAACAUAUUCAGUCAUCGCACAAUCUCCUACGACCUCAAAAUCAUCAGUGUCAUCAUCACCUACUGGUUCGGUGUUGAGAGAAACUUCAUCCAUCUACAAUGGAUGUUCAAUGAAGUGAGCUUUAAGGAGAAAAAGCAAAAUCAGUUCAAGGAAUGAUAAUAUAAUCAUACAGUUACUUUCACAAAGCUUCAUAUUUCAUCACUGCUUUACCAACAUGCAACUGCCAGAGAACAAACAGACAUGUCAUAGACGCUUGAAUUAAGUAUUGGUACAAAUGAGCACACAUCAUGUGGGACAAAAUUUCAGUCACUAAACCCAAUACCACUUUUUACAUCAUACCAAGGAACAGAUUAAACCCGACACCUUCUUUUAAACCAUACCAAGGAGCAGAUUAAAUCAUCAAUGAAAAAUUAAUCACAUAAUAACUUAACCAGACAAAUGAAGAGCCUGAAACAGCACAAAACUUGAAUCUGAUUAUGAUAAUUGUUGAGUCCUUGUAUCUACAGCUUUCCUUCAAUGAUAAGACAAUGAACAUAAACGAGACACAAAAAAAUUAUUUUAAACUGACAGCCCAUGAUAUAAAUCAAACAAAAUCAACUCCUUUUUUUACACAUUACAUCUCAUAUUCAUUUACAUUGAAACACAAAAAGGAAGCAGGAGUGGGAAAAAAACAACAGCAGAGGAACUUAUUUCCAUAAGGUUUACGAAAUAAGGAAUCUAUUAAAACCCAAAACUUGAGGUCACCACUAAGAAUUUGGUUCUCAUUAUUUUUUUCUUCAUUUUUCACCAAUUGAUGAACUUAAAAUACAAUCAUAAAUGAUAAAACCCCAUCUCCAUCUUUUUGAACUAGAGCUAAAGCAAAGCAUUUUAAGAUGUUUCAUCAUUUUUUAAAAAAAAAAAAAACUCAAUAGUACAAUGUUUUUCAAUGUUAAAUGCACAAUUCAAUCUUCUCCUAAUUUACUCUAAUAAUCUCUUAAUUAAGGAAGAUUAAGCUUCAGUUGUAAGCUAAAACAAAUUUCUUAAAUCAAGCCCCAAUGCUUUAUGCUAUUCAACAAGGGCUCAUAAAUGAUAAAACUACUUCUAUAAAGAUACCCAUUUUCUAAAUUAAUUUCACAAACUGAAAUCAAACUCCUGAAACGUAACGAGCAUUAAUAUAAUCAAGCCCGAACAAGAAUUGAUAAAUGAUACAUAAACUCGUUUACACAUUUCGACAGACACUUUGCAAUCAAUGAGCAAAAAAUUAAUGGAGAAGAUAAAAUUCAAACGAAACAUGCCUUACAUUGAUAAAUUAGAAGGGCAAAAGAAAUUUUAGUACGAUAUGGGAUCAGGGUCUUGCCACGGUGAUGUUAUUUGUGAAGUUCGAGCGACUCAGCAGCCUUCGAGGUUGAAAAUUUGAUUGACCAAAAGCUUCCCGUUCGUUGAUUCUCUAAUAGUAGAAACGAGACUGGCAGUAUACACAACAAGUUCGCCGAUUUUAAAUUCCGUUGUUUGAGAUGGAAAAUUUUUUGAAAAAAUUAAUGUGUUCGAUGAAAAUCAAAAUCUCAAAAACCUUUUGUUUUUCAUUUUUUUGGAAAAAACCAUUGAGAUCCUUACUAUUUUUUCUUAUAUCAUCUUGCUUAAUAAUUUGCAAAGUCUAUCGCAUAGCACCCAUGCAUGAUGUAUGCUGCGUUGUAAUUUACAAUAUUGUACAUGAAUAAAUCCAGCUAAUAUUUGUUAAAAGAAAAUAAUAAUAACAUGUUAAAACUUUAAAAUUUGAUUAUUAGAAGAAAUUUUAAUUUAGCUAAGUAGGUGACAUGAUAAUAAAUAGAUACGUAUAAUGUCCGAGAUUUUUUAUAAGAUUAAUAAAUAUGAUAAAUUUGGAUUAGUUCAAUUUUGACAUAAUUGCAAACAAUUUAAUUUGUGUUGUUUCUCUAAAAGUUUGAGACACAAAUGUUAUUUCAAAUUGAUAAAAGUACAAUUUAAUCCCACUUGCUCUUCAACUAAAAAUUAAACAUGCAAAUACACACACUAAUUUAAAGUCAUCUGUAUAAUUGAAACGCCAUGCACUAGUAGUAGGUCAGAGAAACCAAGGUUGAAAUGUGUAGAAAUGUUGAAACGCCAAUAAUAAUUGAAACGCCAUGCACUGUUCGUUUAUUUUUAUUCAUGAUUUUUUGUAAAACGUAAGAAAUGUGUAGAAAUGUUGCCAGCAAUGAUUUUGGAACUUUGCAUAAAAUUUUUAUCGUUAUUGUUUUUGGUAUUAAGAAAUCCGAGGCGGUGAUUAGACGUAUGUUGCAACAAUUAAGAAAUUUCUUAUUGGAGAUAAUUCGGUAGGUUGCAACAAUUAGAGAAUCAUUUUCCUGUCAGUUAAACGGUUCAUUUUCAGCCAUAACAUGCUAAAAAUGCUACACUUAACGGUUCAUUUUCAUGGAUUUUCUCGGGAAACAAACAGAAAAUUACGGUUUAGAGAGUUGACUGACGUUUUGGCUUUUGAAAUUGAGAAGAUCGCGCGCCAAAUUGGAAGAGGGAAAGUGAAAGUGCGAGUUUUAAUAUGGGCAUUAGAUAAGGAAAUUUUAUUAGGUUGCGAGGGUAAAAAAGGAAAGAGAUAUCAUUAUUUUAUUAUCGAUAAUUAUUAAAUUUUUUUCCAAAAAAAGAACAAGCAUGGAUAUUUUAUUGUCAUUUGCAACCUUUAAUUUUUUAAAUGCUAUUAGAAACACAAGACAACAAAGAAAUACUUAUUUUUUUCCUAAAACUAAAAUCAAUUGUUUAACUUCUUAUUUCAUAAUCCAACUCCAUUACUUCGUGCUGGUUUUUUCAGGUGAAUAACAGCUAAAAAUAAUUUUAAAAGCUGUUACCAAUUCUCAUGAACUGUUACAAUUAAAAAAAUCAAGCAUGCAUGGAUGGUUAAGUGUGUAGAGAGAACCUCCAUCCUUAUAAUUCUUACUUAUGCAUGGUUAAGUGUUUAUAUUUAAACACUAAUUUCUAGGCUUCUUUUUCCCAUGUGGGAUAAGCCUCAUUUCCUUUCAAAUUUCCAACUUCAAGGGUGAACUUUGAGAGACAAUUUCUCAUUCACCCAAGCACCAUUUUGAGAAAAUAAAAUUAUACUUUUGAAGUAUGAACGGAAUAGAAUCCGAAUCUCACAAUAUUUCCCACUUUAGUUAAAUAGGACCCACUCAAAAUGUGCUCUCAAAAUAACAUGUUAUGCUAUUUUUUCAACAAAAUUGUGGGCCAACAAUAGUGGGCAUGGUGUCGACUUUUGAGAAAGCCUGGAGAUGCGUUGAAGAAGAAUCAAUUGGAAUUAUUGGCCUAUAUGUCAAUGGGGGAGUUAGAAAAUAUUUACUCAAAUCAACAACAAGUUCCUUGAUAGUCCAAAUAAUUUUGAUGUUGCGAUCUGGGUAGUGGUCUGCCAAGAUUUGCAACCCCAGAAGUUUCGGGAAAAGAUUGGGAAAAAGAAAGGCUUCUUCGAUGAGUCAUGGAAGAUAUGAAGUUUUGAAGAGAAAGCACUCGACAUAUUCAAGAAUUUAAGCAAGAUGAAGUUUGUAUUACUGUUGGAUGAUAGAUGGGAGCAUGUUGAUUUAAUUAAAAUUGGUGUCCCUCUUCCAAGCAGAAAAAUUACAUUCAAGAUAGUCUUCACAACUCGUUCUAUUGACAUUUGUGGCCUCAUGGAAGCUCACAACAAGAUUAAAGUGGAGUGUUUAAAUGACAAAGAAGCAUGGGAAUUAUUCUGCAAGAAGGUUGGAGAAGAUGUGGCGACUCUGUCCAAGUGCUAAGGAGAUCAGCCUCUAGGUAUGUAAAAACAAGUAUAUCCUCUUUUGAAAUUCAGUUAUGAUAAUUUACCAAGCGAUAAAAUUAGAUCGAGUCUGUUAUACUGUAGUUUGUUUCCAGAAGACUUUCCAAUUAGCAAAAUGGAAUUGAUACUGAGAUACGAAAUCAAGGAUACUACAUUAUUGGUGUUCUUGUUCCUUUAUGUUUAUUGGAAGAAGAGGCUCCACUGUUUGUAAAAGUGCAUGAGGUGAUACGCGAUAUGCUUCUGUGGAUAGCUGUGAAGGUUUUUUUUUUUUUUUUUUUUUUUUUUUAUAGGGAUAGCAUGUGAAGUUGAGAAGGAGAGAGAGAAUUUUGCAAGGAUUAACUGAAGUACCAGACAUUUGGAAAUGGGAAGGGUUGAGAAGGGUGUCUUUGAUGAUCAACAAAACUGAGAAGGUAUCAGAAAUUCCUUCAUCUCACGAUCCACUAACUUUGUUGCUUCAACAUAAUUAUUUAGAGGUGAUCAAUAAUGACUUCUUCCAAUCUAUGCAUUCCCUUAGAGUUUUGAACUUAUCAUGUAAUCAUUCUCUAACUGAUAAUUUCAAAGUUAGUUUCCCUACAUACGAGAGUUGCCGAAUGAGUUAACGUUCGUAGUGAAUCUUAAGUUUUUGAAUGUGGAGUAUGCACGGUUUCUUCAUUCAAUUCCAGGGCAAGUGAUAUCCAGUUUUACGAUGUUACAAGUUUUGAAGAUGUUUGGUUGUGGCAGGUCAUCUUCUGAUCGUGAGCCACACCAGAAGAUAGCGUUUUAUUUGGAGGCAGUAAAUUUUUGAUUGCGGAGUUGUUUGGUUUGAGAGACAUUUAGAUGUGUUGACCAUCAUCCUAAGAAGCUCCCAUGCUCUGAAAAGAUUUUUGAGCUCCAACAAACUUCAAAGUUGUUGAUGCCGAAAUCCGGAUGAGUUGAUCGAAUCUCAGAUCCCUGCAUCAGCAUUGAAUUUGUUUGGUGGGAAGCUGAUGAUUAGUUAGCACCAUGAGCAGAUUUUCUAUGAGCAGAUGUUCUGUGAGCAGAUCAGAUGUUCUCCUCGUUCUACGACCAGGGUCUCUGCUCGAUCAACUUCACCACGACCAGGAUCUCUCCUCGUAAAGCUUCUUCUCCAGAGGUUCCUGCGCACACAGACAAGUCAGAGUACGCCGGUUGUUUUCCCGGCGCAAACCCUCCGACGCUCAAGUCAGAUAUGAAGGUUCGGGGAACGCUUGCCACAGAUCUUAUGGCUUUUGUGUAGUUUUCUUUAGAAUUGCUUUUAUCUCUCUUCUAAUCUCAAAAUUGCUAACCCUUUUACCUUCGUUGGCUACCUUUUUAUAGGCUUCCUCUCAAUCCCAGUUUUCCGCAGUCUAUGCCGUUAUCCCACGUUCUCCUUCAAUUUUCAUCCCUCCUUUUUCGGGUAGUGGCCUUUAAAUGCUUUUAAAUGCUACAUCAUGGGAAACGUGGGGUAUCGCAUCUCUCGUAACGGUUCUGGGAAGAAUGUAAACGCCAUAAUUCUGUGGGAUCGUGUUCCUGCUUUUCCAGGAGAUGGGUAUCAGCUCGGGAUACACCUUUUGUCAGUAUCCGUCUCUGAUCGGUUCAUGUUGCCCUCUGCUCUGCUCGUACAGUUACACUUGGCUGAGGUGAUUCAUGCCGGGGGUGAUUCAUGCCGAGGUGAAAACAGUACUAUGGCCGACCUGGUAUCAUUAUUGGCUCAACACCAGUCCCCCAGUUUCUGGUCUUGUGAGUGAAAUGAGUCAAGAGUAGAAACUGAUAUUCAAAUCUUACCAAUCCGGGGGCUUCUCCUCUGGUCUUUCAUCUAUCGGGAUGGUCCUGAGGUAUCAUUUUUCUUCAAGGGAGAUUUUGACCUGAGUAUGGAAUAGGAAGUCAUCUGCUCAAGUUUAGACCACGUGGUCGAGGUGAUCUGGUCAAGCUCAUAGCACAUGGUCGAGGUGAUCUGCUCCACCUCAUAGCACCUGGUCGAGGUGAUCUGCUCCACCUCAUAGCACAUGGUCGAGAUGAUCUGAUCCACCUCAUAGCACCUGGUCGAGGCGAUCUGCUGAAGCUCAUACCAUCUGGCCAAGGUGACCUGCUCAACCAUUUGCUCACUUUCACUUGGAGGAGAUCAUGGUCGCUCUAUUUAAUUCCUCAAACACCAGUCCCCCAGUUUCUAGUGUUGAGAGUGAAACAAAUCAAGACUGGAAACUUUAGUGGUCUGCUCGUCUUCGCUUGGUUGAGCAGAUCCUGGCACGCUUGGCUUCUGUCUCGCCAUAAAACAGGCUUUGAGACUUUGUCGAGCCUUUGCAUGCCUUCGAUUCUUCAAGGAUUGGGAUUCUGCUCGCCUUCUCGUGGCCGAGCAGAUCCUAGCACGCUUGGCUUCUGUCUCGCCAUAAAACAGGCUUUGAGACUUUGGUGAGCCUUUGCGUGCCUUUGAUUCUUCAAGGAUUGGGAUUCUACUCGCCUUCUCGUGGCCGAGCAGAUCCUGGCACGCUUGGCUUCUGUCUCGCCAUAAAACAGGCUUUGAGACUUUGGUGAGCCUUUGCGUGCCUUUGAUUCUUCAAGGAUUGGGAUUCUGCUCGCCUUCUCGUGGCCGGUGGCCGAGCAGAUCCUGGCACGCUUGGCUUCUGUCUCGCCAUAAAACAGGCUUUAAGACUUUGGUGAGCCUUUGCGUGCCUUUGAUUCUUCAAGGAUUGGGAUUCUGCUCGCCUUCUCGUGGCCGAGCAGAUCCUGGCACGCUUGGCUUCUGUCUCGCCAUAAAACAGGCUUUGAGACUUUGGUGAGCCUUUGCGUGCCUUUGAUUCUUCAAGGAUUGGGAUUCUGCUCGCCUUCUCGUGGCCGAGCAGAUCCUGGCACGCUUGGCUUCUGUCUCGCCAUAAAACAGGCUUUGAGACUUUGGUGAGCCUUUGCGUGCCUUUGAUUACUUCAAAGAUUGGGAUUCUGCUCGCCUUCUCGUGGUCGAGCAGAUCCUGGCACGCUUGGCUUCUGUCUCGCCAUAAAACAGGCUUUGAGACUUUGGUGAGCCUUUGCGUGCCUUUGAUUCUUCAAGAUUGGGAUUCUGCUCGCCUUCUCGUGGCCGAGCAGAUCCUGGCACGCUUGGCUUCUGUCUCGCCAUAAAACAGGCUUUGAGACUUUGGUGAGCCUUUGCGUGCCUUUGAUUCUUCAAGGAUUGGGAUUCUGCUCGCCUUCUCGUGGCGAGCAGAUCCUGGCACGCUUGGCUUCUGUCUCGCCAUAAAACAGGCUUUGAGACUUUGGUGAGCCUUUGCGUGCCUUUGAUUCUUCAAGGAUUGGGAUUCUGCUCGCCUUCUCGUGGCCGAGCAGAUCCUGGCACGCUUGGCUUCUGUCUCGCCAUAAAACAGGCUUUGAGACUUUGGUGAGCCUUUGCGUGCCUUUGAUUCUUCAAGGAUUGGGAUUCUGCUCGCCUUCUCGUGGCCGAGCAGAUCCUGGCACGCUUGGCUUCUGUCUCGCCAUAAAACAGGCUUUGAGACUUUGGUGAGCCUUUGCGUGCCUUUGAUUCUUCAAGGAUUGGGAUUCUGCUCGCCUUCUCGUGGCCGAGCAGAUCCUGGCACGCUUGGCUUCUGUCUCGCCAUAAAACAGGCUUUGAGACUUUGGUGAGCCUUUGCGUGCCUUUGAUUCUUCAAGGAUUGGGAUUCUGCUCGCCUUCUCGUGGCCGAGCAGAUCCUGGCACGCUUGGCUUCUGUCUCGCCAUAAAACAGGCUUUGAGACUUUGGUGAGCCUUUGCGUGCCUUUGAUUCUUCAAGGAUUGGGAUUCUGCUCGCCUUCUCGUGGCCGAGCAGAUCCUGGCACGCUUGGCUUCUGUCUCGCCAUAAAACAGGCUUUGAGACUUUGGUGAGCCUUUGCAUGCCUUUGGUAAUUUCUUCGAAACUUGGGAUUCUGCUCGCCUUCUCGUGGUCGAGCAGAUCCUGGCACGCGUGGCUUCUGUCUCGCCAUAAAACAGGCUUUGAGACUUUGGUGAGCCUUUGCGUGCCUUUGAUUCUUCAAGGAUUGGGAUUCUGCUCGCCUUCUCGUGGCCGAGCAGAUCCUGGCACGCUUGGCUUCUGUCUCGCCAUAAAACAGGCUUUGAGACUUUGGUGAGCCUUUGCAUGCCUUUGAUUCUUCAAGGAUUGGGAUUCUGCUCGCCUUCUCGUGGCCGAGCAGAUCCUGGCACGCUUGGCUUCUGUCUCGCCAUAAAACAGGCUUUGAGACUUUGGGGAGCCUUUGCGUGCCUUUGAUUCUUCAAGAAUUGGGAUUCUGCUCGCCUUCUCGUGGCCGAGCAGAUCCUGGCACGCUUGGCUUCUGUCUCGCCAUAAAACAGGCUUUGAGACUUUGGUGAGCCUUUGCGUGCCUUUGAUUCUUCAAGGAUUGGGAUUCUGCUCGCUUUCUCGUGGCCGAGCAGAUCCUGGCACGCUUGGCUUCUGUCUCGCCAUAAAACAGGCUUUGAGACUUUGGUGAGCCUUUGCGUGCCUUUGAUUCUUCAAGGAUUGGGAUUCUGCUCGCCUUCUCGUGGCCGAGCAGAUCCUGGCACGCUUGGCUUCUGUCUCGCCAUAAAACAGGCUUUGAGACUUUGGUGAGCCUUUGCGUGCCUUUGAUUCUUCAAGGAUUGGGAUUCUGCUCGCCUUCUCGUGGCCGAGCAGAUCCUGGCACGCUUGGCUUCUGUCUCGACAUAAAACAGGCUUUGAGACUUUGGUGAAUCUUUGCGUGCCUUUGAUUCUUCAAGGAUUGGGAUUCUGCUCGCCUUCUCGUGGCCGAGCAGAUCCUGGCACGCUUGGCUUCUGUCUCGCCAUAAAACAGGCUUUGAGACUUUGGUGAGCCUUUGCAUGCCUUUGGUAAUUUCUUCAAAACUUGGGAUUCUGCUCGCCUUCUCGUGGUCGAGCAGAUCCUGGCACGCGUGGCUUCUGUCUCGCCAUAAAACAGGCUUUGAGACUUUGGUGAGCCUUUGCGUGCCUUUGAUUCUUCAAGGAUUGGGAUUCUGCUCGCCUUCUCGUGGCCGAGCAGAUCCUGGCACGCUUGGCUUCUGUCUCGCCAUAAAACAGGCUUUGAGACUUUGGUGAGCCUUUGCAUGCCUUUGAUUCUUCAAGGAUUGGGAUUCUGCUCGCCUUCUCGUGGCCGAGCAGAUCCUGGCACGCUUGGCUUCUGUCUCGCCAUAAAACAGGCUUUGAGACUUUGAUGAGCCUUUGCGUGCCUUUGUAGUAAACUUUGACUGGUUUCUUAACUCUAGCCUAGCUCUCUUUUCUUAAAUCAUUCUCAUAUUGAGUAACUUUCAAGAAAUCAAGUUAACUAAGUUAAACAGUCAGCCCUAAUAUAAGCACAAUUAGUUGAAUGAAUAUAAGGCAUCCUCAUAUCACAUAGUAGGAUUUAGAGAAAUAAUUAAAUUUUCAUGAGAAAAUUGUUUGUAAAUAAAAAUUUAACUUCUGACCUGUUCUGAUUUCUGCAAACGUCUGCCUUCAUUGUGCUCUCAUUUAAGGGUUUUGCUACCUUGUUUAAGCACGCUCAUCCAUUUAUGUACUGUAACAUUCUGAUUUGCUUCGACUAGAUGAAAAUUGAUAGAAACAAAAAUUUGGCUUCUCGUACCGGUCCCCACAGACGGCGCCAAAUGUUGAUGCCGAAAUUCGGAUGAGUUGAUCGAAUCUCAGAUCCCUGCAUCAGCAUUGAAUUUGUUUGGUGGGAAGCUGAUGAUUAGUUAGCACCAUGAGCAGAUUUUCUAUGAGCAGAUGUUCUGUGAGCAGAUCAGAUGUUCACCUCGUUCUACGACCAGGGUCUCUGCUCGAUCAACUUCACCACGACCAGGAUCUCUCCUCGUAAAGCUUCUUCUCCAGAGGUUCCUGCGCACACAGACAAGUCAGAGUACGCCGGUUGUUUUCCCGGCGCAAACCCUCCGACGCUCAAGUCAGAUAUGAAGGUUCGGGGAACGCUUGCCACAGAUCUUAUGGCUUUUGUGUAGUUUUCUUUAGAAUUGCUUUUAUCUCUCUUCUAAUCUCAAAAUUGCUAACCCUUUUACCUUCGUUGGCUACCUUUUUAUAGGCUUCCUCUCAAUCCCAGUUUUCCGCAGUCUAUGCCGUUAUCCCACGUUCUCCUUCAAUUUUCAUCCCUCCUUUUUCGGGUAGUGGCCUUUAAAUGCUUUUAAAUGCUACAUCAUGGGAAACGUGGGGUAUCGCAUCUCUCGUAACGGUUCUGGGAAGAAUGUAAACGCCAUAAUUCUGUGGGAUCGUGUUCCCGCUUUUCCAGGAGAUGGGUAUCAGCUCGGGAUACACCUUUUGUCAGUAUCCGUCUCUGAUCGGUUCAUGUUGCCCUCUGCUCUGCUCGUACAGUUACACUUGGCUGAGGUGAUUCAUGCCGGGGGUGAUUCAUGCCGAGGUGAAAACAGUACUAUGGCCGACCUGGUAUCAUUAUUGGCUCAACAAAAGUUGUACCUGAUCUCUCUAUCCUAAAUGCUUUGAUUCGAAGUCAGUUGAUGUUUUUGGCUAGGCUGAUCUGAAGCAUCUCAAUAGGCUAUAGAUAUUGCGAGUUGUAAGCUUUUGGAAGAAGUGAAGAUUGACUUUGUUGGGAAAGCACAAUGAACCCAUGGUUUUCACAGCCUUAUGUCACGGAAGUUGUCUAAAUACUGCACGGGUUGCUGCGCAAAGUAACCAUCCUAUGACAUUGAGCCAUGUUGAAAUAUCAUUUUGCUGUAAACUGAGGGAUUUGACAUAGCUUGCUUUUGCUCCAGACCUUCUUGUUGUUUCCAGAAAAUGUUGCCAUGAUAUAGAGGAAAUACUCGGUGUUGGAAAAUUAGGUGAAGAGAUGACGUCAAAUCUGGAACCCCCUGCAAAACUCCAAGGUUACGUUUGGCAUAUAGGAUUGGAUUAAAUUGGGUUCUAUUUAUAUUUUUAUGUUUGGUACAGUUCCGGAUUGAACCAUAUUAGAUUAUAUUUAAAUAAUAUUGAAUAGUAUUUAAGUUGGUAUUUUAAUAUAAAUAUCAAUUAUCCAUGAAAUUUUAUAAUCAUAAUUAAAAUAAAUUUAAAAAGCAAUUACUAGGAAAAUUAAAUAUAUUGCAAAAAGUUAUUGGGUAGUCAUAAUAUAAUAAGCAAAUAAAAUUAAAUAAAACAAAUUAAAUAUUUAAUUAUUUUUAUCAAAUAUUUAAAAAUAUUAUAUAAAAUCAAUUCAUUAAUGGUAUUAUUAAUUUUCAUGAUUAUUUUUAAUAUUAUAUUAGUGAUUAUUAAAUUUAAUACAAUCAAAUAAUGUAAUAAAUAAUUACACGUUUAAUUUUAUCGAUUAAUUAUUAAAUAUACAAGUAAUGAAAAUUUAAUCUCAGGAGUUGGUAGACGCAAAAGUACUAAUUUAAUUAGAUCAUAGAUAAUAAAUAAAAUAAAUUUUAAGUAAAUCAUAAUAAAAAAAUUAAUUAAUUGAUUCAAUCAAUCAAUAUUAGGUGUAAAUAAAAAAAGAGUAACGAUAUAUCCACAAACUCUUACACAAACUCAUGUGUCAUGAUAAGAUUGAUUGAAUUAAAUAUCACUUGGCCCACAUAAUUUAUUUUUAUUAUUUUAUAUUUUCAUUCAACCAAUGAAUUAACGCCACAUCAGUUUGUACAAGAUAUGUUUGUACAGGAAUUUGUGGCUGUAUCAUCACUCAUAAAAAAAAGAUACAAAUAAACCUCUCAUAAAUGGACAACUUUUAUCUUUAAUCUUAUCCCAACUAAACACAUGUGUAAAUUAGGAUUAUUAAUCCCAUGAUUUUAGGAUUAAAUUCAAAUUUAUUCCCCCUUAAUCCAAUCCAACUAAACUUGUCAAACAUGGGAUAAAAGUUUAAUUCUAAAAGCAUCACUAAAAGGCUCUUCAAAUAAGAUUUUAUUACUUAUUUGAAGAGCCAUAUCAAUAUUUAACGCUCCAAAAGACACUUCAGUUAAGAUUCUUCAAACAAUAGAUGAUUCUCUCUUUUCAAAUUUCGAGAGUUGAUUUCUCCCUCUUCAAUUUGUAUUUUAUUAUUUUUCAUUGGAGAAAGAGAGAGAAGUGCUUUAAUUGCUAUUGACUUUUUCCUUAAAAAAAUAAUUAUUUGAUUAAAAUAAUAUUAAUUUAUUUCUAUUUAAAGAGUCUUUUAAAGAAUAAUAUAUUUUUUUAUUUUUUUUAUUUAUCACAUAGGUAAAUAAAUAAAUAUUUAAAAAAUAAAAUUAAUAGAGACUUUUGGAGAUACUCUAAAAUUAGUCCAAUCCCAUACUUAAUCCUAGCAUCCAAAUAUAGCCCAAGUUGUUUGCUUAAAGAAGCUACCAAAUUUGAAGAGCGUUUACGGGAAGGCCCUGCGUUUCCCAGAUGUAUGCAGAAUUUUUGUAUCUAAAUGGCCAGAACUUAAGAAGCUGACGCUGGAUUUUGAAAGGGCGGGCCAAGGUAAAAUUCUUAUCAAGGGAAAGGAAAAUCGGUGGAAACAACUUCAAUGGGAGGAUCAAGCAACUCAGGAUGCAUUGCUUCUGUUUUUCAAAUCAACUGACAAGUGAUUGAAGGGGGCAUCAUCAGCCUGGAUGGGGAGAUCCUGGAGCAGAUCAGCAGGGUUUGAAUCUGCAUCAUCAACAUCAUCAGGAUCUCUAUUUCUAUUGCUGGUCGUAAUGCCUGCCGACUGUUGCUUGAAAAAGUGAUUAAGUGAGCCAGUUUUUUGUUUAUUAAAUUUUGUCUUAAUUGGCGUCCAAUAGAAAUUUACAAGAAUUACUUUUCUGUUCAUGCAAUCGGCGUCUGAACGCGGCUGAUCGGUCACCGGUGUUGGCGUUUACUGUGAUUAGACAAAUUGUAGGACUUCAAAAAUAACUUCUAUAGGGGUAAUUUCGAUUUCACAUAAUUAAUUUUAUUUACAAUAUUUUAUUCCUGCAAGGUCAACUGAGAUUCUUUCCACCGGGCACACCCUUCAUGUUCUUUUAUUUUCUGUCUUUUAUUAGCCGUUGGGUUUUACUACUCUUAUAUCCAACGGCUUGCCACAACAAGACAAAUGAGGUGGUACCUUCCAACUGCUGAAAGGUGGUUUUGGCCCCGAGUGAAACAGGGGAUGCACUUACUAUUAAGGACAGUUGGUGGCCAGCUAAUGCAUUCAUUUUAUGUCCUUUCGUCUUUUUGAAUUAUUGAAGACAAGGGGCUCCUCGCUUUUACUGUAGGUAAGAUCCAGAUAAUCUCGAUUAUCAAAAUAAUUAUUUUAAAAUACCUUAAUUAUUUUUUUUUUUAUGUUGCGUUUAUUAAACUAGAAUAAAAAUGAGUUGAAAUCGGAAUGAGUAGGAACAAGAAUGAAAAUGAAAAUAAUGAAUGGGAAUCAAAAUAAGUUGUUUACUUGAACUAUAGAAAUCAAAAUCGUAAUGAGUUGAGUUACCAUUAAUGUGUUUAUUUUGUCUUGGAAUCAGAAUCGAAACAAAUUAGAUUGUAACAAAUUACUAAAAAGUACUUAAUGGAUUAUUGUUAUAAUUAUUAUUAUUAUUAAUUAAUUAAUUGUACAAAAUUUUAAUUAAUUAUAAUAACUAUAAUAAAAUUAUUAUAAAAAUAUAUUAACUAAUAAUAUUAAUAUAAAUUACUUAAUUAAAAUAAUAUAUUAAUUGUGAUUAUUUAUUCAAAAAAUAUAAUUAUUAAUAAUUAUUUUUAAUAAUAUAUUAAUUCAUAGUAAUAAUUAUAUAUAUAUAUAUAUAUUUAUUUAAUUGUAUUAAUUUUAUUUAUUUAUUAUUAAUAAUAAAUGAAUUAAUUAUUAUAAUUAUUGUUAAUAAUUAUUAUAAUAGUAUAUUAAUUAAUUAAUUACAAUAAUAAUAUAUUAAUUAAUGUGAUAUUUAUUUAGGAACAAUAAUUAUUAAUAUAUUAUUGUUAAUAAUAUAUUAAUUAUUGUGAUUAUUUAUUCAAGAACUAUAAUUUUUAAUAAUUAUAGUUAAUAAUUUAUUUAUUUAUUUAUUUAUUUAUUAAUCAUAAUAUAUUAAUUAAUUAAUUAUAAUAUUAUAUUAAUUAAUUAUAAAAGAGGAUAAAGUGGAUAUUUUUAAUUUUGGGAAGGGCAAAAUAGUUAAUCCUAGGAAUGAGAGACUCUUUCUCACCUCUGCAUGGGAAUCAAUCUCUCAUUCUCUAUUCUCAAAUAGUAGUAGACCCCAUCAUUUCGAUUCUAAUUCUUACUCCAUAUUUGUGAAGUAAACAUCAUCAAUCAUUCUGAUUCUGAAUUUUUGUGAAUGGAGAGAUGCCGGAGCAGAUCAGCAGGGUUUGAAUAUGACCUUUGGCGCUUGCUUUUUUUUGUGAUUUUUUUUUUUCAUUUUUUCCUUCUUGUCAUUUUAUCAUUUCUUUGGCUUUGUCUCUAUUGCGGGUGUUAUUGCAUGCUUACUGUUGCUUGACAAAGUUUGCUAGCUUUUCCUUUUGUUUAUUAAAUUUUUUAUGGUCACAAAGAAUUACUUGUUCUAUUUGAGAGUGAUAUGAAUCAAUUUUUCAAUUAUAUAUUUUGUGGUCAAUGUGAAUUCAAUUUCAUUUGUCUCCCGCAAUUAUGAAAAAAUUACAGUCAUAAUAUGGAAAAGUACACCGGCAAAAACUUUGUAAAAGCUUCGGAGUGAUACGGGGAAUUCACUUACUACUAAGGACAAUUGGUGGCAAGCUAUUCCAUUCAUUUUAUGUCCAUCCAUCUAUUUAGUUAUUGAAGAUAAGUGGUCCAUUUGUAAAUUUCAGAUUGUCUCUCUCUCCCUCUUGAAAUAACAAUAUUUAAUAUAUCUCUUAAAUUAUUAUAAAUUUUAAUUUACUCUCGAUUUAAAAUGGAGCAUGUCGAUAAAUUUUUUUUCUUCUUAAUAAAAUUGACGUAAGUUGUGUUUACAGUAGUUUGAAGUUUGAAAUAUUUUAAAGAUUAUUAUUCUAUAAGGGAGUAAUAUGAAAUGAAAUUUACUUUUCAUGUGUGAACUGAAAAAGGACGAAGCAAGUGUCCCUACUUUUAUUUUAUUUCAAGGAGGAGUCAUCUCACAUACUUAAGCUCUUAACAUUACAUUUUUUUUUGUUACAUUUUUUUUUUAAUUUUUUUUUUUACACAUGCGUGUGGGUUGCUUAUCUGUAAGCUCCUUAAUAUAUAUUUAACACAAAUCAUGAAAAAGAUGGGAUUAUAUCAAGAUGAUCAAAGCAUGUAAAAAAAGAAAAAAGAAAAAAAAAUUAAGAAGUAAGACACUGAAAAUGGAGAAGAGACGGAAGCAAAAGAUAUUCCAAAACAAAGCAAUAACAAAGCAAUCUAUCCCCUUUCGAGGGCAGACUCAACAGGUUUAAAAAAGUACAUGCUUUGGAUUGGUAGUUGCAAUCAAGGGAAAAUAAAUAGGAUCCAAUGAAAUUUAAAUCUUGGAGAAAAUAAAUAAUCAUGCAGAUUUUCAAGAUUUUAAUAAGGGAUACUAAUAUCUUAUUUUGAUUAAUAACAUUCUUUCACUGUGUUAACUCAAAAAAAAUAUUAUAAUGCUUUACAAUAAAUACAAAUGUCCUAUUAAAUGAAUAUAUAAAAAAUUUAGAAUAUUUAGAAUAUUAUAUAAAAUAAUUUUAAUAUAAUGCGUGAGAUAUAUUUUAUUAAUUUAAAAUGUCAUUUUACCUAAAAAAUAUGAUAAAUUAAUAAUUACAUGUUUGAAGUUAUUUCAAAUAUUAAAAAAAUUUAAUAUUAUUAGUCUUUUAGAUAGAUUAAAUUAUUUUUUAAAGAGAUAGAUUAAAUUAUUUUAAAAUACCUUAAUUGUUUUUACUUUAAACAUUACCGGCCUUUCUUUUAUUUUAUUGCAAAUUAAUGCUAACAAGAAAAAGCUAGAUCAUAUUCCGCAAAAGCAAAAGUGACAAACACAACCAGCUGGAAUCUUUUAUAAAACUACAAAUUAAAAUGGAUUUUUUUUUUGAUAAAUUACACAUGAAAGUGGAUUCUUUUGAAUAUAAGUGGGGUAGGCUCUUUUAUUUUAUUUUUGAAUAUUGUAUAACGGGACUGUAGACUCUUUUAUUAAACUACAAAUUGUAUAGUCUUUUUAAAAUUGUUAUGAAUUAGUGGCCCCUACAAUCCUCAACAAUUGUACCAAUAUUCACAAGUUGGUGGCCCCUACAAUUCUGUUCCGAUAAUUUAACUGUGCAAGUCCUCAUUCACAAUCUUCCAGGUCAUGCUCUCAAUAAUUGUUUUUUUUUUUUUUUUUUUUUUUUUUUUUCUGCAUUCCCUUUCAUGCUCUUAAUAAUUGAAGAGCAUACUUUUCAUUUUCAAAUGUGGAGCCGCAUCUAAUGUCGCUAAUUUAAUUUGGGAUUAAAUUAGGGGACCAUUAUAUUGCAGUGUGCACUAAUUUUUGUGUUUAUCUAAACUCUUUAAGUUUAAGACAUAUUAUGGCAUAAAUAAGAAUAUAACAAUAACAAAAGAGUUAGAAAGUGUAGAGAAGAUCUUGCAGAAAUAUAAAUAAUAUCUAUUUUAAAAUAAUUUUUAAUAUUUUAUGAUCCAUUAGAUAUAUUUUAUUAUAUUAAAAUAAAUUUUAUAAUAAAUAAAAACAUCCUAUUAAAAUGAAUAUAUAGAAAAUUUAGAGUAUUUUAAGUAUUAUAUAAAAUAAUUUUAAUAAAAUAUGUGAGAUAUUCAUAGUUUAUUAAUUUAAAAUACCAUUUUAAAAUUAAAGAUUUAUUUAUGAUAAAUUAAUAAUUAUAUUUUUGAAAUUACUUCAAAUAUUAAAAAAUUAAUAUUACUAAUCUAUUAGAUAGAUUAAAUUAUAUAUAUUAUUUUCUAUUUAUUAAAAAAUUAAAAUUAUUUUUAAUUACUAUUCAAAAAAUAUAAUGAUAAAAAAAAAUCUUAACAUCUUUAUUAAAAAUUUAAAAAUUUACAUGAUCAAUUCUCUAAAUAUUUAGGGUAUAUGUGAACAUCGGUGGAGAAGCUUUAUUUAAUAUUAUUGAUUUAAAUAAUAUGUCAAUUAAAAAUGCGCGGAGAAGAAAUUUCGGUGGGUAUUUUAGUCUUUUCAGCAAUUAUCAUGAUCAGAUCAGCCUUUAGCUUGAAACGUCGGUCAGAAAAGUUUUAAAAUUAAUGCUAACAAGAAAAAGCUAGGUCAUAUUCCACAAAAGCAAAAGUGACAAAACAACCAGCUGGUUUUUUUUACUAAACUACAAAUUAAAAGUGGAUUCUUUUGAAUACAAGUGGGACAGACGAUUAGGCUCUUUUUAUUAAACGCAAGUAAAAAGUAGUCGAAUAGUCUUUUUUCAAAUUAUUGUUUUAUUAUUUUUCCUUCAAAAGUUAGUGUGGCUCAUGUUUGCAGGUGCGAAUGUCAGAUCACAUGCGAUGGUGCUUUUUUCAAUCGUUGCUUGGAUUGCUUUCUUGGAAAAGCAGCAUACAUACGUAACCUCCAAGAUAAUCUUGAUGCCUUGGAGACUGAAUUGGGAAAUCUGAUCGCUAGAAAGAACGAUGUGAUGAGGAGGGUUGUCGAUGCUGAACGGCAACAAAUGAGAAGGCUGGACGGAGUGCAAGUGUGGGUUUCGAGGGUGGAUUCUGUUAAAACUGAAGCUGAUCAAUUUAUAAGAGACGGCUCUCGAGAAAUUGAAAAAUUAUGUGUUGGAGGCUACUGUUCCAAGAAUUGCAUGUCAAGCUACAAGUUCGGGAAAAAAGUGGCUAAAAAGCUACGGGAUGUGCGGACUUUAAUCAGUGAAGGAGUUUUUGAGGUGGUGGCUGACAGAGCUCCAGAGUCUGUAGCAGAUGAAAGACCUACUGAGCGAACAGUAGUAGGCUUGCAAUCACAACUUGAACAAGUCUGGAGAUGUCUUGUAGAAGAAUCAGCGGGAAUCAUUGGCCUAUAUGGCAUGGGCGGUGUUGGUAAAACUACACUACUGACCCAUAUCAACAAUAAAUUUCUCGAGAGUCCAACCAACUUUGAUUGUGUGAUUUGGGUUGUAGUUUCAAAAGACCUGCGACUCGAAAAAAUUCAAGAAGAUAUUGGGAAAAAGAUAGGUUUGGUUGGUGAUUCAUGGAAGAGUAAAAGUGUAGAGGAGAAAGCUGUCGACAUCUUCCGGAGUUUAAGAGAGAAGAGAUUUGUAUUGUUGUUAGAUGAUAUAUGGGAGCGGGUUGAUUUAACAAAGGUGGGCGUUCCACUUCCCGGACCAAAAAAUACUACCUCAAAAGUCGUAUUCACAACCCGUUUCAUCAAUGUUUGUGGUACCAUGGAAGUUGACAGGAAGUUUCAAUUAGCAUGCUUAUCAAAAAAGGAUGCUUGGGAACUGUUUCGAGAAAAAGUUGGGGAAGAAACUCUUCAGAGUCAUCAUGAUAUCGAUGAGCUAGCCCAAAUUGUGGUCAAAGAGUGUGGUGGUUUGCCGCUCGCACUUAUUACUAUUGGUCGAGCUAUGGCCUACAGAAAGAAAGCGGAGCAGUGGAGUCGUCCAAUUGAAGAGUUAAGGAGAUCAGCUUCAGAGUUUGCAGGUUUGGGAAAAAAAGUGUAUCCUCUUUUAAAAUUCAGCUAUGAUAGUUUACAGAAUGAUAGGGUUAGAUCUUGUUUCUUGUACUGUUGUUUAUAUCCUGAAGAUUAUGGCAUUCUUAAAUGGGACUUGAUUGAUUGUUGGUUUGGCGAGGGAUUUUUUGGGGAAUCUGACAGGUUUGGUGCAGAAAACCAAGGAUAUGACAUUUUGGACACUCUUGUUCGUGCAUGUUUAUUAGAAGAGGUGGAAGAUGAUGAAGUUAAAAUGCAUGACGUUAUUCGUGAUAUGGCUCUAUGGAUAACUUGUGAAAUUGAGAAGGAGAAGAGAAACUUUUUGGUUCGUGCAGGUGCUGGAUUAAAAGAGGUACCGGGUGUUAAAGGAUGGGAAAAUGUGAGAAGAUUGUCAUUGAUGCAAAACCAAAUUGAAACUCUGUCAGAGGUUCCCACAUGCCCUCAUCUCCUCACUUUAUUUCUUGACUUUAAUCAGGAGUUGGAGAUGAUCGCGGAUGGCUUCUUCCAACUUAUGCCUUCUCUCAAAGUUUUGAAGAUGUCAAACUGUUCGAAUUUGAAAUUACCUGUUGGGAUGUCAGAGUUGGGUUCAUCACUAGAACUUCUCGAUAUUUCAGAAAACAGCAUAACAGAGUUACCGGAAGAGUUAAAGAAGUUGGCAAAUCUGAAAUGUUUGAAUUUGGGGUGGACAAGGGAGUUAAAUAAAAUUCCACGGCAACUAAUAUCAAAUUCUUCAAGGUUACGUGUGUUGAGAAUGUUCGCUACUGGCCGGUUCAAUUUUCAUGAAGCACCAGAAAACAGCGUUUUAUUUGGUGGGGGUGAAGUUUUGAUACAGGAAUUGCUCGGUUUGAAAUAUUUAGAGGUAUUGGAGUUGACCUUGGGAAGUUAUCAUGCUCUCCAAAUUCUUUUGAGCUCAAAUAAGUUAAAAAGUUGUAUUCGAUCUCUUUUCCUCGAGUUGACCGGAGAUACAGCGUCAAUUAUUGACGCUACGGCUUUCGCAGAUCUAAACCACCUCAAUGAAUUAUGGAUUGAUAAUGGUAUUGAGUUGGAAGAGUUGAAGAUUGAUUAUACGGAGAUAGUACGAAAAAGGCGGGAACCUUUUGUUUUCCGCAGCCUUCACUGUGUUACUAUGAUUUCGUGCCGUAAAUUGAAAGAUUUGACAUUCCUCGUUUUUGCUUCAAACCUCAAGUCUCUUCGGCUACGCAAUUGCUAUGCUAUGGAAGAAAUAAUCAGCGUCGGAAAAUUUGCUGAGACUCCUGAGAUGAUGGGACGUAUAAGCCCUUUUGAAAAUCUCCAAAUGCUUGAUUUACAAGGUUUGCCACAUUUGAAGAGCAUCUUCUGGAAGCCAUUGCCUUUCACUCAUCUGAAAGAAAUGGAGGUACUUAGGUGCGAUCGGCUUGAAAAGCUUCCACUCGAUUCCAACAGUGCAAAGGAGCGCAAAUUUGUUAUUCGUGGAGAAGAAGACUGGUGGAACCGACUUCAAUGGGAGGAUGAAGCCACUCAAAUUGCUUUUCGUUCCUGUUUUAAAAGUGAUGCUUUAUUUAUAUCUUAUUCGUGAAAAGUGAUUUAAUUUCCUGCCAAAAGACGAACGAGAAGAACAUUAGAGUCAAACUAAUGCUCACAUAAAUUUCCCAUAAGAAUAUAUAAUUAGACUGGAAUGCACACCUCUAGAUUGAACAGAAUUAAAGCUGAGAAGAUAUUGAGUAUAGUAGCCCUCUUUACAGAAAAUGACACGAAAGUUAAUUUAGAAAGAUAUAUUCUUGAUUAAUCCAUUUUCUGAAGUUUUUAUUUUGUAUGGUCAAUUAUACCUUCAUACUAAAAAUUUCUGAAGUUAUAAAUUAGUGCAACUUGACAAUUUUUACUGAUGAUAUCUUCUAUUUUUCCUUUUUUUUUUUUUUUUCACUUUCAUAGACUGGCAGCGGAUCCUGCGGCACCAAUUUGAGAGAAUAUACUGACACUACUUCGAACAGCAAGCAGAAUAUGUCUACGGCAAAGGCAAUGCAGUCCUCAUUUUGGCUUGAGAUGCAGUAAUCAUCGAAGAGAGUUUCCUUGUGAAACUGGGCAACACAUUGAAUCCCUUCGCCACUGAGAAGGUUGUGGAGGAAGUAAGCUUUCUCUCCAGUGAGGAAGAGGUGGCAUAUACCUUCCCCAUUUUGUCGAGGGCAGGUAGGAAUCUUUUUUCUAAGAGAUUUACUUCGUUCUCUGUAAGAAAUGCUUUGAACUUCAUCCCUCUGUCUCUAUCCUCACUUAUCAGGAAAUAAGUUGAAAGCACUAUGAAGAGAGAGAGAGAGAGAGAGAGAGAGAGAGAGAGAGAGAAUUAAGAUAUAGAGACAAGAAAAAUAUUAGACGUUGAUCUUACAAACUAAUACUUCAAGCAGUAUCCUAGAAAGCUAAAAACUGCAAGAUGGCUUGAAAUUUGAAAAGAGCACGUGCUUUUCCUCCUUAACUUGAGAAAAUGUUUAAUAUAGUGCACCUUACAGAAGCAUUUAAGCAAUUAGAACUUUGCACAAAAACAUCAAGAAGACUAAACAAGUCAGAUGCAGUGCAUUUGUCCAAGCACAAAUUGCAUUUUGUCCUCAACUUUAAUAUUUAUUGAUGAGAAUCAAUACAGGUCCCUCAUUUGUUAUAGAAAGCUUUCUUUCUUGUAGUCUCACCAGUUAAUUCACAGGUCUAUAAUCAUCUUGCAAAGUUAAGGGCAUUUCUUUCGAUCUAAAGUCUUUGCAUCACCACCUCAUCACACGCCAAGCCAAUAUUCCAUUUACCUCUACAACAAAAAGUUUUAAUUAAACAAUCCUAAUGCACGCAGCCAAAUAAAAUGCAGUAAGAAUAUUCAACUUAAAAAUCUGAAAGCCAACUUGGUGAAUUGCCUCCUUAGGUGAAGUUCCAUGCUUUACUAUAGUUGACAGAACUCAGCAAAAGCUUCCAUACAACAGAUUUUGAAAAUGAUGAUGCCAACAGAUACUUAUUCAAUCCAUUGAAACUCCAAAGGUUCAUUGUUCAUAGAAGUUUACAGAGUUUUGGUCAUCAAAUAGCUCAGACCUAAUCCCAAACAAAAAACGAGUGAAAAUUAGAUCACGAGCAGCUAAUUGUAAAUUCUAACUUAACUCUUCAUCUCCUUUGUAAACAAGAAACAAAAUGGAGACACGCAAAAUGAAUAUGGAGAAAAUUUGAACUCAAAUGAAAUGAGGGCACAAAAGCAAACAAAUGGCAUGCACCAAAAAACCAAGCCUCAAUCAAAAACUAAUUAACCAUUAAGAAAAAAAUUGCCCAGAGAAUGAACUCCAAAUUCAGGAGUCAAGCAAGAACCUUUCAUUAUUUCAGAAGCUCCUGUACAAAUUAAUAAGUUAUGCUCUUUGGAAGCAAACCUAAAUUCCAAGAGAAACAGAACCCAAAAAAAUUUGCAAUUAUACGCAAAGGAAGUGAAGCACAGGAUUCUAUCACACAUAGGAAUUGUAUAACAAGAGAUCGAUAUAUCGAAUUAGAAAACUCAAUUCGAAUUUGUGUCAAAAAUCAAAAUUAGAAGAUUUCACAUUUCGAGAGGAACAAGCAACAGAUGAAGUUCAAAAUUUCAGCCAUAACAUGCUAAAAAUGCUGCACUUAACGGUUCAUUUUCAUGGAUUUUCUCGGGAAACAAACAGAAAAUUACGGUUUAGAGAGUUGACUGACCUUUUGGCUUUUGAAAUUGAGAAGAUCGCACGCCAAAUUGGAAGAGGGAAAGUGAAAGUGCGAGUUUUAAUAUGGGUAUUAGAUAAGGAAAUUUUAUUAGGUUGCGAGGGUAAAAAAGGAAAGAGAUAUCAUUGUUUUAUUAUCGAUAAUUAUUAAAUUUUUUUCCAAAAAAAAAACAGGCAAGGAUAUUUUAUUGUCAUUUGCAACCUUUAAUUUUUUUAAAUGCUAUUAGAAACACAAGACAACAAAGAAAUACUUAUUUUUUUCUAAAACUAAAAUCAACUGUUUAGGGCCCGUUUGGUAUUGUUUCUAAAUUUAUAUUUUCUGACAAUAAAAAUGAAAAUGAAAAUGAUGUUUUGCAGUUGCUGUAUUUUAAAUUUAAGUAUACGUUUGGUAUCAUUUUCUAUAUCCUAUAUUUUAAAAUUAAAAAUAAUAAUAUGUGUUUGGUAAACACAUUUGAAAAUAAUAAAAACAGAGAAUAUGCGUUUGGUAAUACUUUUUUUAAAAAGAGUUUUUACUAGUAUUUACGUCAUAUUUAUAGUUAUAAAAUAAUUAUUUAGCUAAUACAUACACAAAUACAACAUAAUAAUUUAAACAAAAUUAUUAUAAAAAAAUUACAUGAUAAUAAAGUUUUAGAAUUAGCAUUAAUUAAAAAAAAGUUUUACAUUGUCAUUAUUUUUACACCAUAAUUAAGAUAUAUAUUACAACACAUGAUUUAAACAAAAUAAUUAUAAAAAAAUUACAUGAUAGGCAUUAUGCAUUACGCAUGUAAUCAUGCCACAUAAAAGCUGCAAUUCUAUCUCUUAUAGCAUUCAUCUUUGCGACACUUGAAGGAGAUAAAUCAAUAUUAGUAAGUGACCUACUAGUGUCUCCUUCUUCGUUGGUAACCAAAUCUUGCACAUCAAAGUCUCCAAAUAACCUAUCACAGGCAAUAAAUUCAAAUUGUGAAUCCCAUCUAAAGCAAUAAAUUGAAAUUACAGAUUGUUUGAUUGGAUUGAAUCCUAUCCUGGGCAAAGCUUGAAAAAACUUUAUUUCUCUCUAGUAACAAAAGUCCUAUUUGCCUAAUGCAUUUUCUCUGUAAAAAAAAAAAAAAUUGGAGUGACAUGCAAUAAAUUCAACUUGUGCAUCAUCAACAAAAUGGAAUUUGGAGUAAAAUCAACAUCAUGGCAAUGACAAUCGUGAACAAUAUCAUCUUUACAUGCUAUUAAAAACAAUUAAAAUCACUCAAAUAAUUUCUGAAAUUUUUAUUAAAUUCUCAGGUUUUUUUUUUUCAUUCUAAAUGUCAUAUAUACAAAUUCAUUACUGUCCAAAAACAUCCUACUUUAAGAAAUAUUUAAAAGUUAAUUAAGUAAAAAAUCUUGUAAAUUAUAAUGUCUUUUUUUUUUUUCGUUUUAAAUUGGUUUCCAAAGAAUGAUGUCUAUGCUUACAGAAGCAAAACAUGCCAAACAGCAGCAGCGACAUUUUGUGAAUUGUUUUUAACUUAAACAAAACAAAUACCGGCAAGUGACAGAUCCGAGAGAGCAACAGCAGCUGGCGUGAAGACGAGCAGCAACGGCUGAGCAGAGCAACAGCGGAAACAGAGCAGCAGCGAAGACGAGCAGCAGCGGAGCAGAGCAGCAGCAGAAACAGAGUAGCGGCGGCUAUGGCGGAAACACAGCAACGACAGUGGUUGAGAGUGCAGAUUUGCUGAGGAAAGGGAGAGAGUGCAGAUUUAUUGCAACUGAAUCAAGAAGGCUGCGGGGGAAAGGGGAAGAGAGAGAGGCAAUGAAGAGAUAAGGAGGAGAGAGUGGAUCGGGAGAAAUAAAGAGAGAGAAAGAUGUUGGAUGAAGAUAAGGGGAGGGAGAGAGUGCAGAUUUGCUGCAACUGGAUGAAGAAAGUUGGGGGGAAGAGAGAGCGGCAGUGAAGAGAUAAGGAGGAGGUCACGAUUUUUCUUUUGUUUUUUAAUUCAUUUUUAGGUUUAGGUGGCGUUUGUUUUUUUGUCUGAAAUCUGAAUAGACUUGAAUUAGUCUGAAUUCUGAAUAGGUCUGAAUGUCUGAAUCUGAAUAAUAUGUUUGUUUUUUCGUCUGAAUCUUGAAAAAUAAGUAUUAAGUUGUUUGUUUUUUUCAACUUAAAAAGCUGAAAAUAUAUACUUUUACAUUUGUAUCCUUAUUAAAUUUGAAUGUCAAAUAAAUAAUAUAUUAAAUACCACAAUAUUUUAACAUUUAUAAGUAAAACUAUAUUCAAGUGAAUACAUAAUUAUUUUAGAAUUUUAAUAUAUAAAAUACCAUAAAUUUCAAAUUUUAUCGUAUAUAAUAUAAGAAAGAAAAAACAGGGAUAUUUUUAUGUGGGGUAGAUAUCUAUGGGUGAGUUUUGGGAUAGACAUGAAAAAUAAAUUAUAAAACAUGGAUAUUUUUGACAUUAGCAAGUAAUUGACUUAAUUUAGAUUUCUCCAUUAAGUAAAAAGCCAAAAAAAUUAGCUUAUUUUAUUAAGUCAAAAUUAUUUAAAAAUUCUCAUUAAGUUAUAAAAACAAACAACUCUAAUUAACUUAAUUAAUUAAGUUAAGUCACUUUAAGUCAUUAAGUUAAAAAACAAACGCAACCUUAGUCUGUAAAAUUUGGAGAACAUGUUUAACUUGUUUUCAGUUGUAUAGUUAUAAUAAUGAAUCCGAAUUUUGUGUUUUGUAAUUUGUUUUGUGAAAAAAAUCCACCAAACAUGUUUUAUGUGUGUAUUAUAAAAAUGAAAACGCAAAUAUGGCUUGAAAAACGGUACCAAACGGGCCCUUAACUUCUUAUUUCAUAAUCCAACUCCAUUACUAAGUUAAAAAAAAUUGUUUUAAAAUUACUUGAGUCAUAUCCAAUAGACCAACAAAGUAAUCGUUUUUAUUUUUAUUGAUUUUUGCAGGAAAUUAGUGGCUUAAAAAUACUGAAAGCUAUUGUAAAAAUCUUUAUUAUCAACCUCAUUGUUUUUUUUUUUUUUUGGGGAAGAGAAUUCAAUUUUUUUUUUUAAUGAAUAUCGCUGUUUCGUUUGAGUUGGAUGUGAAUUCAAAUUCAUUUGAGUUGGAUGUGAAUUCAAAUUCAAAUAUUCUUUGUUUUUCAAUUCUGAACUCGAUUUCUUUUUCUCAAGAAUGUUAUGUAGAAAUGAUUUUUACUAAAUCAUUUUUGAUGAAUUGUUUAAAUUAAACAAUUGGAAUAAGAAUUGUAACGAUUUAUCAUAAGCGCGCUAAUAUGAUAACUUGUUUUACGAAAGAUUAAUUAAUCAAUUAAUAUUAAAUUAUAUAUUAGUCAAUUAUAUAUGUGUUACAUUUGUCAUGGUUUGUGCGUGAUACUACAUAAUUUCUAAAAGAAUAUAGUAAAAACACGUUAAAAUGUUAUUUUAAUGAAUAAAAUUUUAUAAUUUUAUUAAUUAGGUGACACAAUAAUAAAUGGAUUUCUGUAAGAAUUGAGUUUCUUGAGAUAAUUAUUACAUAAGGAGAAGUUUAGUUGGUUCAAUUUUGACAUGUUAAGAAGAGCAUCACAGCACAGAAAACACAAAUUGCCACUUCCACUAAUAAAAGAUACCUGUUUGAAAAGUAAUUAUAAACUAUCUUCUUUGUGUUAUUUCUCAAAACUUUUGUGGCACAAAUGUUAUUUCCAUUGACAACAGUACGAAAUACCACCCCUUUCACUUGAGCAGGAGCAAAGCAAAGGUAUGAUGAGCUAUCUCUGUAUAAUUGAAACGCCAUUACUAAACGAUUCUUGAUGAUGGGAGCCACCGUGCCAGCUUUGUCGCUGAUUUGGUAUUAUUCUUAACUUGCAGAUAGUUGUGGAUAUGAUAUGCAAAAGGUAAGGACUAUAUCUUCUUGAUGGAGGCCUCUGAUUUUUUCCCUUCUAUGUAAUUUAGUAAAUCGCAUUUUCCUUUGUGAUUGAUAUAUCAUACCAAAGUCAAGUCUUAAAUACUGCUGUCAUAUGUUAAGGUUCAACUUCCAUUUUGAUUAACGUCCAUCUGCUGCUGCUUCCAAAAGUGAGAAUGAGAUACUUUGGUUAAUUUCAGUAGUUGAACCCAAUAGAGUACUUUAUUUAGAUCUUCAUGGUUCAAAGGCCUGAAAAAACUUGCCGGUAUUUGGAAAAUGACAUUCUGUGCUUUUAUUUAGACUUAUUAUUUAAGUGAUAAAAACUCCCGUAACCUGCUGUCAAGAAAAUUUCAGAUUGUUAAAAGACAACAUUUUGUUUCGGCCAAAAAUGUUUGUUUCGAUUAAAGACUUGAACCAUUUUCAUUUAACCUUGAUUGUGAUGCUUUACAUUAUGCAUGUUCCUCUCAAUCAAUAAAAGUUGAGGUCAUGAUUUUAUAUUUCUAUUUUGUAACUUGAAAUAAUUGGUCUGCCUGUUUCUGUAGCUUGAUAACAUGAAUUUUUCCUUCUGAAGUUAAUUUGAUCAAUAAAGUAAUUCUUCGGAGAUGAUAUGCCCAUUCUAUAGUCAUUUUCUUAGCUAACAUGUUUUUUCUUCACUCUUCAGAGCAUGUCUAAACUAAUUGAUCGCUCAGCGGAGACUUUGGGUGAGAAGACAAAAUUUCUUAGUAAAUCCUCUGAAAAGGUAUGCAUAAUUCUCGAGUAUUAAAUAACCAUUGGUCAUAAUUUUUGUUCUUUUUUUGGAGAUCGUUAAAAGUGGUUGAUGACCUAUUUUUUACUAUCAUAGAGGGAUCAUGAAUUCCUUUUCUUUUCUGUGGCUCGGCAACACUUUCGGGCCAAACUAAGGAAAUCUAUUUUAGGUAAUGUAAAAACCAGUUGUAGGAUGUAAUAGUUUAUUAUGCCCUGACAAUAACUUUUUGUAUAAUUGUCAGUUUAAUGAAUACAAGAGGAACUCUGUUGGCAAAUUCAUCCAUGAUAGAAUAUAGAUGCUAAAAUUAUUUAUGCAUACCAGUUGCCUUAACUAAUUUUUCUCAACACUGGUAUUGAACAGGAAAAUGAAUAUGCAAUUUGUAUAUUGUGCCAUUGUGGAGAAUUUGGAUAUUCUUAUUUAAGUAUCAAGGAGAGUAUUUGCCUCAUCUUUAAACAAUGAAUCUUUGAGAAAUGAGGAGUGGGUGAUUGGCAGUGUCUUCAUGUAAAUGUUCAUUUAUUUGUAUUUUGAACUAUUACGAGAAUCUUUGUGUGCCAAAUUAGUAAUACAAAUGUUCAGAUGAUUUUUCCUGUUGAUCAUGCGCGUGUAUCUGCACACAACCAUUGUGUACCACUUUAUUCUGAUGCGCAAAUAUCUGUAGUUUAGAAGAAAAGAAAUAAUAAUCAUAUAUUAUUGCUUGGUUCAUGAUUAUUAAACGAUUAUGGCUUUAGAAAAUCCACAAAUCCUUUGUGUUCAUAUAUGAAUGUGCAAAGUUUGCUAUAUCUUAGAUUACCUUCUUCCAAGAUAACAAGUUCAUAUAUUUUUUUUAAUCCUUUUUCAUCACAGUUGAAUUUCAAGUGUAAGUUUUGUUAUUAAUAGCUGGUGUCCUGUUAUUAUGAUUUCAUAAACAGUGAGCGGAUAUGUGCUCUACUUUUGGAGGGCCUCCACAUGAAAGAAAAUUGCAACAAUUGAAUUCUUCUGGAGGUUAUGGUAUUUAAUUUAUUUUCUCAGCUUGUUGAAAGACUAAUAUAUUUCCUUCAGUACGCACGGCGUGGUGGGAAGGGUUUUUAUUGAAAGAAUUAUGAUAUUUCUUAGACUUUGUUUUGGAAGGGGGUGGAGGGAUUUCUCAUCCAUAUAUGGUUACUUGAUUAGCUUUUGACUGUAUUGUCUCCGUCGUGCAAAGGAAAAUCCAAAUACUAACGAAGGGGAAUUGCUUAGGCACCCAAAAGACAGAAAUGAAUUACAGAAGGAAGUUUUUGCUGCUUUAUUUAGUGCUGCUGAGAAAUCUGAUGGAUUUCCUGAAAUUACGGUGAAGACGGAGUGGAGGUCCAACGCAUUAGGAAAGGUGGUGAGUGAACCGCCGGAGGAAUUAGUACCAGAAUACAAGGCUAAUGUGGUGCACUUGCAGCAAGAUGACCAGACCUGUAUGUGCUCUUAUAUUAACUAUAUUGUUGGAUUUGUGAGUGUGUACAUUUUUGUGUGUAUACUCACUUUUGUAUUUAUGCAUAUUAACGUGUGUAGGAUUCUUGAUUUCUGCCACUUACUGGAGAACUAGUGGAAAGCUUUAUACUGAUAUAUGUGCUAUAACUAAUGGAAACUACGAUAUGAAUAUUUUCUCUCACCUGGAGAACUGUAUAACAGAUAUAAUUUGUGGCUCUGGAAUACUGAAGAUUCUGCAAUAACUAAUGGAAAAUAUGAUAUGAAUAUUUUUUCUCACCUGGAGAACUUUGUAACAGAUACAUUUUGUGGCUCUGGAAUGUCUAAAGAAUGCUUCAGUUUAGAUCAAAUAUCUUUUAGUUAGAAAAGAUAAAAUUCUCUGAAUCUGAAAGACUGAAACAUUUUGCAUAUUUUGUGAAAGGGUAGUAUCUGUAGAUACUAGCUCAUGCAUUGAGGUAAUAUCAGUGUUAAAGAAAAACAACAAUAAUUUAUUAUACAAAAUUAGGUUCACUUGCUUUAAAUGCUGGUCUGAUCAACCAUAUCAACCUGUAAUGGUUCUGCAGAAAUAUAUAUACGGGGAGAAACUAGCUAAAUUUUCCUUUCACUUAUGGGUUUGGUCUUUUUUUCCCCUAUUUUUCAGCUUUCCUUCUCCUGAAGUAUGUUAACAAUUGCAGAUAAUGACGAAGAGGACCGCUUCCAGGCUCUUUGUAGAGCUGUGAUGGAAUAUAGGGGCACAAUGAAGGAAUAUUGUAAGGCUGUAGGUACUUUCUCUCUUGUCAUUUAUGUUUUCUCACACAUUUUGUAUAUGCCCUGAACAUGCAGCUUUGUAUGUGUCAAUUGCCUUUUACAUUUUAAAAGCCAUAAAGUAAGAAUACAGUUCCUUGUCAGGCUAUUGAUGCGUUCGCUCAGAAGGGUCAUGUUCAAGCAGGAAAACUUCUAGAACAUGUAAGGUUUCCAUCUACAGCCAUCCAUUGACAGUGUCAAAGUAUUUGGCUGCAGCUUCUAGAAGCUACAUCUAGAAGCUUUGAUGCAGCAAAUGUUGAAGGCACCGCCAAGGAGAAAAAGAAGGAAGAAUGAAGAAGAUGUUGCAGAAGUUGAUCUUGACAAAUGAUGGUUGGAACGCCAAAAUGGAAGAAAGAAAAAAGGUUGGAACACGGCUUUGAAGAAGCCACGAGAAGAAUAAAGAAAAUAUUAAAAUAAUAGCUAAUUUUGGCUAUAUAAAGGAAGCUCCCCUUUUUUUGGUUUGUGUAUCCAAUCCUCAGUUUCUCUUCUUCAUUCAGAGAGUGUUUCUUUGGGGUGUAUUUGGGGAUUAGGUGAGAGAAAAUUAUUUCUGAAAGAGUGGUUGUAAUAAUUUUCCACAUAGUGAAUAUUUUUUCUCUGGUUGUCUUUUUGACAACGGCCGUGGUUUUUCUCCAUAUUUGGAGUUUUCCACGUAAAUCUUGUGUUGUGGGAUUGAUAUUAUUUUUCAUUUAAUUUUUCUUGUUAAUUUGUUAAUUGAAAAAUUGCUUGGAGAGAUCCUGGGAGGAAGCUCAAUUUCCUAACAGUGGUAUCAGAGCCAUUGAUUGAAGUUUUUUGGUGUCGGGGCACUGCUCACGUAUACGGUACUGUUUACGUAUACGGUACUAUUCACGUGAAGCAGUGGGAGCCAAUCCAAACAGUUCGUGGUGAAGAGUAAAAGCUUAUCUGCAAAGCAAAUAUGUCAGGAUUGAAAUUUUCAAGUCCGGUGAAAUUUGAAAUAGAAAAAUUCGAUGGGAGAAUUAACUUUGGCUCGUGGCAAGUUCAAGUCAAAGAUGUGUUGAUUCAAUCUGGGUUACACAAGGCAUUGAAAGGGAAGCCAUCCCCUGCUUCCAGUAGUGGCUCUGGAAAAGCUAGUAUAAGUGAUGAAGAUUGGGAAGAAUUAGAUGAUCGAGCUGCAAGUGCCAUACGACUAUGUCUAGCAAAGAAUGUUCUUGCAAAUGUAGGAAAAAUUCCUACAGCGAAAGAACUUUGGGAGAAGCUAGAAAAGUUGUAUCAGACAAAGAGCAUCUCAAAUCGAUUGUACCUGAAGGAGCGAUUUCACACACUGCGAAUGGCUGAAGGUACAAAAAUUUCUGAUCACCUCAGUGUUCUCAAUGGUAUUGUGUCAGAACUAGAAGCCAUUGGAGUUAAAAUUGAAGAUGAGGACAAGGCGCUUAGGUUACUAUGGUCACUUCCAACUUCCUACAAACACUUGUUACCUACUUUGAUGUACGGGAAGGAGACAGUAGAUCUUGAAGAAGUUACUAGUACUUUACUCUCAGAAGAAAGAAGACUGAAUGGUGAAAGUACUAAAACUACAGAUGUCUCGGCUUUGGCAGUUGUAGGGAAUUGGCAGAAAGAUAAAUCUAAGAAGAAAGGAGUCUGCUGGGGGUGUGGACAAUCGGGGCACUUAAAAAGAGAUUGUCAUAGUAGAAAUAGAGUAGGAUCGGCAAGUGGCUCCAGAUUAGAUAUUGAUAGUAUUGCUAGUGGUAAGUCUCUCAUCAUCGUGGGAGACGAUGAUCCCUUAUAAAAUGGAUGAUGAUGACAUCCUCAUGGUAUACCGCUAGUACCAUGAAAGGGGAUAUGUUACUACUAGCGGGUCCACAAGAUUUACACACAAGGCAUGGUUGGCAUUGAUGCAGGGUGUGUGGUGGAAUUUAUGUCGAUGGCUGACAAACUUCCAGGAAGACCAACAUGGAAGUUGCACCAUAAAUUUCAGCAAGAUAUUUCGACAUGUGCCGAUGUAAAAUUCUUAGAAUUGUUAAUUAAUUCUAAGUGGUAUACUCUUUAUGGUGGAGUAUGAUAAUUCUCUAUGGUGAGGAUUAUGACUAAGGUGAAAAUAGUAAGGUUAGUGUGGAGAUUGAUUGAUUCUCAAUCAAAACUCCAAGUGGGAGAAUGUCAAAGUAUUUGGCUGCAGCUUCUAGAAGCUACAUCUAGAAGCUUUGAUGCAGCAAAUGUUGAAGGCACCGCCAAGGAGAAAAAGAAGGAAGAAUGAAGAAGAUGUUGCAGAAGUUGAUCUUGACAAAUGAUGGUUGGAACGCCAAAAUGGAAGAAAGAAAAAGGUUGGAACACGGCUUUGAAGAAGCCACGAGAAGAAUAAAGAAAAUAUUAAAAUAAUAGCCAAUUUUGGCUAUAUAAAGGAAGCUCCCCUUUUUUUGGUUUGUGUAUCCAAUCCUCAGUUUCUCUUCUUCAUUCAGAGAGUGUUUCUUUGGGGUGUAUUUGAGGAUUAGGUGAGAGAAAAUUAUUUCUGAAAGAGUGGUUAUAAUAAUUUUCCACAUAGUGAAUAUUUUUUCUCUGGUUGUCUUUUUGACAACGGCCGUGGUUUUUCUCCAGAUUUAGAGUUUUCCACGUAAAUUUUGUGUUGUGGGAUUGAUAUUAUUUUUCAUUUAAUUUUUCUUGUUAAUUUGUUAAUUGACAAAUUGCUUGGAGAGAUCCUGGGAGGAAGCUCAAUUUCCUAACAGACAGCAGAUACAUUUUCAUUGAGCAGACACUGUUAGCAUUCAAGAUGCUGGCAGAUUCACUUGAUUCUUAUUAGUUUGUUUAGUGGCAAAGCAUAUAACCUGUAUUUCAAAGCCAAGUUGUGCUAUUGAUUAUGUUAACUUUAUUGUUAACCUAAAGUGAUAUGGAGGACAUAAUCAAUGUAGGAAAAUUAGGUGAAGAGACGAUGUCAACUCUUGAACCUCUUACAAAGCUCCAAGUUCUUUACUUGAAGAAGCUGCCAAAUUUGAAGAGCGUCUACUGGAAGGCAUUUCCAUUCCCAGAUGUAUGCAGAAUUUUUGUAUUAAUGCCCAGUUCUUAAGAACCUGCCACUGGAUUUUCAAGGGACGGGCCAAGGUAAAAUUCUUAUCAAGGGAAAGGAAGAUUGGUGGAAAGAACUUCAAUGGGAGGAUCAAGCAACUCAGAAUGCAUUGCUUCCAUUUUUCAAAUCAACUGACAAGUGAUUGAAGGGGGCAUCAUCAACAUCAUCAACAGAGAUGGAGAGAUUCUGGAGCAGAUCAGCAGGGUUUGUAUAUGAUCUUUGGUGGUUGCUUUCUUUUGUGAUUUUUUUUUUCUUCCUGUCAUUUUAUCAUUUCUUUGUCUCUUUUUCUAUUGCUGAUGUUAGUGUAUGCUUACUGUUGCUUGACAAAGUUUGCUUGCUUCUUGUUUAUUAAAUUUUUUAUGGUCACAAAAUAUUACUUGUUCUAUUUGAGAGUGAUGUGAAUCAAUUUUCAAUUAUAUAUUUUGUGGUCAAUGUGAAUUCAAUUUCAUUUGUCUCCUGCAAUUAUGAGAAAAUUGCAGAGUCAUAAUAUGGAAAAGAACACCAGCAAAAACUUUGUAAAAGCUUCGGAGUGAAACAGGGAAUUCACUUACUACUAAGAACAAUUGAUGGCGAGCUAUUCCAUUCAUUUUAUGUCCAUCCAUCUAUUUAAUUAUUAAAGAUAAGUGGUCCAUUUAUAAAUUUUAGAUUUUCUCUCUUUGAAAAUAACAAUAUGUAAAAUAUCUCUUAAAUUAUUAUAAAUUUUAAUUUACUCUCGAUUUAAAACGGAACAUGCUGAUGAAAUUUUUUUCUUCUUACUAAAAUUGAAAUAAAUUGUGUUUGCAGUAGUUUGAAAUAUUUUAAAGAUUAUUAUUUUAUAAGGGAGUAAUAUGAAAUGAAAUUUACUUUUCAUGCGUGAAAUGUUGAAAAAGGACAAAGGAAGUGUCCCUGCUUUUAUUUUAUUUCAAAGUGGAGUCAUCUCACAUACUUUAGCUCUAACAUUACAAUUUUUCAGGUUACAUUUUUAUUUAUUUAUUUUCUUUUUUACACAUGCAUGUGGGUUACUUUUCCGUAAGCUCCUUUAUAUAUAUUGAACCCUACGAAGAAUGUUAUGGAAGAGCAAAUGAUAUUUCUGAUAGACUCUAUUUGAUUAUGUAGCCUGAAUGGAUGUCUUGUUGAAAGAUAUUUCAGUGCAUUAGUUCAUCCUUGUCUCUCAAUGUGUUUUUAAUGGUUUUUCCAAUUGUUUAUUAUUAUAGAUUGAUUGUAAAUUGAUAUGAAUUUAAUGUUGAAAUGUUUUCUCUUUAGUGGAAUGAAUUUAAAAGUGCAAAAGAUUAUUGCACACGGAGAAAUAAACAUAUAUGCUUUAUAACUUUAGCAAUCGAUUCUUUUACAGCUGGAAACAGAGAUGAUGAUUAUCAUAAGGAUGAAGAAAAGGACAAAAAUUGUCAAUGAUUAACGAAAUCUCUAUGCAAAUUGAUUUUAGCAGGAAAAAAGUGAGCUAAAUGAUGGAGACGAUUAGUGGUAAUAUUUCAUAGAGUUCCUUCCAAUCUUCUCAUGAAUCCCCUUUUUGAGUUAUAUUUAUUUUAUUUUUAAAAUAUCUUUUUUCUCUUUUACUACACUUCUAAUUUUUCAUUUUUUUUUAUUGUUAAACUCAAAGUAGUAUUGUGAUAUUUUUUAUUUAUUUUGCAAUCUUAUUAUUACUCUACACUUAAGUUAAAAAGUUUUAUAGGUGAUGAAUUUUUGAAUGUUAAUCAUUAGCUUAAAUUUCACAUAUUUUACAUUAUAAUUUGAAAUUUAGUACCAAAAUAUUUAAUCAAUAAGAAUUAUGAAAAGAUUAAUAGAUUAUUCUAAAUUUAUACAACUUAUUUUAGUUAGAUCAGAAGUAGCAGGUUAAAAAAAGAAAAGAUUGGUUAUGAAAUUUGUUGGAAAAAAAUCUAUGUGUGUUUAAUUUUUAUUCGUUGUUAACUCUAAUUAAAUAGGUUAAAUAAUUUUGUUAUUUUUUACUUAUCAAAAAAUUUAAGAUCAAUAUUUUUAGUUACCAUUUGAAGGAUAUUAUGACAAAAACAAAAUUUUCAUGUCUUUGUUAAAAAUUUGGGGGUUUGUAUAACUAUUUUUUCAAAUGUUAGGGGCAUAACUGUCUUUUUACUCUUAUAUAUAUGAACCAUGGUGGUGAAAAAGCGUGAUUUAAUGUUAUUUAUUUAAAUAAUAUCUCAAUUAAAAAUGUAAGCAGAAGAAAUUUUGGUGGGUAUUUUAGUCUUCUAACGAUUAUCAUGAUUAGGCCCUGGUCUUGAAACGUUGGUCAGAAAAAUUUUAAAAUGCGUUCAUUGUCUUUACUUUAAAAACGUUAUUUUAUUUUAUUUUAUUACAAAUUAAUGCCAACAAGAAAAAGCAAGAUCUAAUAUUCCACAAAAGGAAAUCGUAAUAUUCCAUAAAAGCAAAUAACCAGCUGGAUUCUUUUAUUGAACUACAAAUUAAAGUGGAAUCUUUUAUUAAACAACAAAUUAAAGUUCAAAUAUUUAAAUAGUAGUGCGUUAGACGAUUAGGCUCUCUUAUUAAAGGCAAGUAUAAAGUAGUCAAGAAUCGAACAUCUCUAUUGUCUAGUCUUUUUUUUUUAAUUCUUCUUUUAUUAUUUUUCAGAAUAGGUUUUGGUGAUUACUAUUGGGUUAUUAUUCAGAGUUAUUGUUAUCUUCCGGGGCAGUUUCUGUUAAUCGAAAUCGUUAAUUAAAAUUUUAGAACUCUUAUGGGAAGAAUGUUUUUCUGUUAUCUUUUUUAUAUUCUAAUUUCAACUGUAAGGAGUCGUUUUAGAAUUUGGGUCUGGAAUCGAAUUUCAAUGCAUGAAUUAAUAUUUUUAAAAAAAAUUACUACACGCAGUUUAGGUUACAAACUAUUUUUUGCAAAGUUGACUAUGAAAUUGGAGAAAUUAAGUAAUUUAUAAUGUUUGCAAAGGAAGAGACUAACAUACUUCCAAUUACACUAUCUCUCUAUUAUCAUAAUAUUAAGACUAAAGUAACUUUAAAUAAAUUUUAUUUGAAAAGUUAUAUCAAAUGCAGUCUAAUUUUAUUAACUUGAAGAGUUAAUAAUUAUAGAAAUUAUUGUUCUAACUUAAUUAGUACAAGUGGUAUAAAGGUUAAGUGUGCACUAAAUCUGUUUAAAUUUUUUCCAGAAUAACUAACAGAGGUCAUUACUAGAAUUAUAAUUACUAGUCUAUUAGAUAGAAAAAAUUAUUUAUAUUGUUUUAUAUUUAUUAAAAAAUUUUAAAGUCAAUCUUUUUAAUUACUAUUUAAAAAAUAUUAUAAUUAAAAAAAUUUAAUGUCUUUAUUAAAAAUUUAAAAAUUUACAUGACCGUUCUAUAAAUAUUUAAAGUGUAACUGUCAUUUUCUCAUAUAUAUAUAUAUAAAUCACGGUGGUGAAGCUUUAUUUAAUAUUAAUGAUUUAAAUAAUAAUAUCUCAAUUAAAAAUGUACAGAGAAUAAAUUUCGGUGGGUAUAUUAGUCUUUUACAAUUAUCAUGAUUAGCCCUUCCUCUUGUAACGUAGGUCAGAAAAGUUUUAAAAUGCCUUGAUUUCAAUUUCUGCUUUAUAUUUUUCCCCGUAUAAUGGGGAGAGGUCAUUACUAAAAUUUCUCUUCCACAGCAAUUACAGCAGCUUCAGUUAAUCAAACUCAAAUCAAUUUUCUUUCUUAACAAAAUUCCAAAGAUGUGUAGCAUUUUUCAGAUCACAUGCGAUGGUGCUCUUUUCAAUCGUUGCUUGGAUUGCUUUCUCGGAAAAGCAGCAUACAUAAGCAACCUCCAAGAUAAUCUUGAUGCCUUGGACACUGAACUGGGAAGACUAAUCGCAGCAAAGAACGAUGUGAUGAUGAGGGUUGUCAAUGCUGAACGGCAACAAAUGAGAAGGCUGGACGGAGUGCAAGUGUGGGUUUCGAGGGUGGAUGCUGUUAAAACUGGAGCCGAUGAAUUGAUGAGGCACAGCUCUCAAGAAAUUGACAAAUUAUGUGUUGGAGGCUACUGUUCCAAGAACUGCAGGUCAAGCUACAAGUUCGGAAAACAAGUGGCUAAAAAGCUACAAGAUGUGAAGACUUUAAUCGCCGAGGGAGUUUUUGAGGCGGUGGCCACUGAGGUGGUGCCCGAGAGAGCUCCGGAACCUGUAGCAGAUAAAAGACCCAUUGAGCCAACAAUAGUAGGCUUGCAAUCACAGCUUGAAGAAGUUUGGAGAUGUCUUGUAGAAGAAUCAGUGGGAAUCAUUGGCCUAUAUGGUAUGGGCGGUGUUGGUAAAACCACACUAUUGACCCAUAUCAACAAUAAAUUUCUUGAGAGUCCCACAAACUUUGAUUGUGUGAUUUGGGUCGUAGUUUCAAAAGACCUGCGACUUGAAAAAAUUCAAGAAGAUAUUGGGAAGAAGAUAGGUCUAUCUGAUGAUUCAUGGAAGAAUAAAAGUUUUGAAGAGAAAGCUGUGGACAUCCUGCUGAGAUUAGGAGAGAAGAGAUUUGUAUUGUUGUUAGAUGAUUUAUGGGAGCGGGUUGAUUUAACAAAAGUGGGCGUUCCACUUCCCAGCGCACAAAAUACUACCUCAAAAGUCGUAUUCACAACCCGUUCCAUUGGUGUUUGUGGCAGCAUGAGAGCUAGGCCGGUUAAAGUGGCAUGCCUAUCAGAAAAGCAAGCUUGGGAACUGUUCCGCGAAAAUGUUGGGGAAGAAACUCUUGAGAGUGAUCAUGAGAUCGUUGAGCUAGCCCAAACUGUGGCCAAAGAGUGUGGUGGUUUGCCACUCGCACUUAUUACUAUUGGUCGAGCUAUGGCCUACAGAAAGAAAGCGGAGCAGUGGAGACGUGCAAUUGAAGAGUUAAGAAGAUCAGCUUCAGAGUUUGCAGGUUUGGGAAAAGAGGUGUAUCCUCUUUUAAAGUUUAGCUAUGAUAGUUUGCAGAAUGAUACAAUUAGAUCUUGUUUCUUGUAUUGUUGUUUAUAUCCUGAAGAUUAUGGCAUUCUUAAAUGGGACUUAAUUGAUUGUUGGAUUGGUGAGGGAUUUUUGGGGGAAUCUGACAGGUUUGGUGCAGAAAACCAAGGAUAUGACAUUUUGGACACUCUUGUUCGUGCAUGUUUAUUAGAAGAGGUGGAAGAUGAUAAAGUAAAAAUGCAUGAUGUUAUUCGUGAUAUGGCUCUAUGGAUAGCUUGUGAAAUUGAGAAGGAGAAGAGAAACUUUUUGGUUUGUGCAGGUGCUGGAUUAAAAGAGGCACCGGAUGUUAAAGGAUGGGAAAAUGUGAGAAGAUUGUCAUUGAUGCAAAACCAAAUUAAAACUCUGUCAGAGGUUCCUACAUGCCCUCAUCUCCAUACUCUAUUUCUUGACUUUAAUAAGGAGUUGGAGAUGAUCGCGGAUGGCUUCUUCCAAUUUAUGCCUUCUCUCAAAGUUUUGAAGAUGUCAAACUGCUGGAAUUUUCAAUUACCUGUUGGGAUGUCAGAGUUGGGUUCAUCACUAGAACUUCUUGAUAUUUCACAUACCCGAAUACAAGAGUUACCAGAAGAGUUAAAGUUGUUGGUAAAUCUGAAAUGUUUGAAUUUGAGGGGUACAGGCCAGUUAAAUAAAAUUCCACGGCAACUAAUAUCAAAAUUUUCAAGGUUACUUGUGUUGAGAAUGUUGGGUACUGGCCAGUUCAAUUUUCAUGAAGCACCAGAAGACAGCAUUUUAUUUGGUGGGGGCGAAGUUUUGAUACAGGAAUUGCUCGGUUUGAAAUAUUUAGAGGUAUUGGAGUUGACCUUGGGAAGUUAUCAUGCUCUCCAAAUUCUUUUGAACUCAAAUAAGUUAAAAAGUUGUAUUCGAUCCCUUUACCUCGAGUUGUUCACAGAUACAACGUCGAUUAUUGAUGCUACGGCUUUCGCAGAUCUAAACCACCUCAAUAAAUUAUAUAUUUAUAAAGGUUUUGAGUUGGAAGAAAUGAAGAUUGAUUAUAUGGAGAUAGUACGAAAAAGGCGGGAACCUUUUGUUUUCCACGGCCUUCACCGUGUUACUAUGGUUUUAUGCCAUAAAUUGAAAGAUGUGACAUUCCUCGUUUUUGCUCCAAACCUCAAGUCUCUUUUGCUAGUCGAUUGCUAUGCUAUGGAAGAAAUAAUCAGCGUCGGAAAAAUUUCUGAGACUCCUGAGAUGAUGGGACAUAUAAGCCCUUUUGAAAAUCUCCAAAUGCUUGAUUUGUCACGUUUGCCACAUUUGAAGAGCAUCUUCUGGAACCCAUUGCCUUUCACUCAUCUGAAAGAAAUGGCGGUACUUAUGUGCGAUCAGCUUAGAAAGCUUCCACUCGAUUCCAACAGUGCAAAGGAGCGUAAAUUUGUUAUUCGUGGAUACACAGAGUGGUGGAACCGACUUCAAUGGGAGGAUGAAGCCACUCAAAUUGCUUUUCGUUCCUGUUUCCAACCUCGUCCCUGAGCGGUGGUCGCAAAUUUUGAUUUCUGGUGAGUGCGUUCGUCUUUUAAAAGAAGAAUUUAAAAGAAAUUUAUUCUUGUCGUUUUCUUCUCUGUUUUUAUUUCAGUUUGUUUCUCUCUCUCUCUCUCUCUCUGUUUGUCUUCCGUAAAUCACAAUUAAAUGUUGAAUUAAUGGAAUUAAUGCUUCAUAAAUUUGCCGGCACUGCCGUUACUUUACUUUUUGCUGUCAAAUUUUGCCCUUUUUAUUUUUUAACAAGUUGAUACUUUAUUUAUAUCUUCUUAGCGAUUUAAUUUCCUGUCAAAAGACGAACGAGAAGAACAUAUGACUUAAACCAAUGCUCGAAUAAACUUGCUGUAAAAAGAUAUAAUCUCACUGAAAUGCACACGCCUAGAAUGAAUAGAAUUAAAAUAGGGAAAAUAUUAAGUAUAUUAGCCCUCUUUACCGAAAAUCAAAUGACAAUAAAUUUUUUGAAGUUUUGAUUUUCUAUGGUCAAUUCCACCUUUUGCAAUUUCUUCUGUUCUAACAAAAACCAAUUUCUAUGUUCAAGCAUUUUCGUUUGGAUAUUAAUAAUUCUCCACCGAAAGAGUGAACUCUUGGAUGCUGCUGCUCAAGGGAUCUCUAAUCAAUAGCCCGAAGGGCGCCGAGACCUGACCGGACCUACGCCCAAGUUUGGUCUUAAAGCCUGGGCUUGAGCCUGGCAAUUAAAUUAAAACAUUAAUUGAUUUCUUGAUUGAAUUGUCGUGUAAUUGAUUUAUGGGGGAUGACACAUCAACAUACUUGAAAAUACACUAAUCUCAGCAUCAUCGGUUAGUAACUUUUAGAUUUAUGGGUAAUCAAUAGUUAAGAUUAGUUGUCAUUAAUACUAAAUAAUUUUUACUUUUUUUGUCUCUUCUAGAGGAUCUUCUAGAAAAAUGCAUCCACAAGUAAAUUUAAUACUUUACAUAAUAAACAAAGCCUAAAUGUUAAAUUUAAGAAACUGCAUUGCAUUUCAGUUGAAGCUGACUUUAAUAUUUAGGGUAGAAAAAUAAUUAAUUUUAUUUUUUGAAAUGUCCAUAUUCAGAGCAAAUUUCAAAAAGACUCAAUAAUUUCUCAUAAAUUUCAAUUAAAAAUAUUCAAUUUGUUGUUUCAGUUCUUUUAUUUUUUAUUUUUUCCAACAUGAAAGCGACUUAAUGUUACUAAAUUGGUUUUAUGGUCUUUGGAUUUUCAUGACCCAAUAAUUGGAACAAAACAAUUUUCUCAAGCGCUCUCCCGCAACAUUUUAUAAUUGAAGCCGCGGCCCCGCCCGUGGUUCCAAACUUUAUCUUUCUCCCGCUCUUUAAAUUAAUGCGAGCAGCCUCCGUCCUUGACUAGUUGACUGCUUUUGUUCUUUUUUAUUAAUUAAUUAAUUAAUUAAUUAAUUCAGCCGCCCCCCUUUCUUGUCCCAAUGUCUUCUACUUUCGGUUUCCUUUUAUUAUCUCUUUAUUUUUAAAAUAUGCUUAUAGUAAUAAUAAAAUAUAAAAAUUAAAAUUAAAAUUAACAUAUUAAAAUAUAAUUUAUCAGAAAAUUAAGAUAGAGAAAUAUUAUAAGCACAUCAAUCAAAAAGUGAAAAAAAAAAUUUUAAUUUGCAUUAAAUAUAAACUUUCAGUGUUAAUCAAUUUUCUAAAUAACUGAAAUUAUUUUAAAAUAAAAAUAAAUUAUUCUUCCAAGAAAAAAAAUUACACCCACUCACUGGACUGGCUGUCAAGAGUCGCUUUAGGACUGAAGUUGGUAACUUUUGCAAGCAGUCUGAACUUGAAUGGCAGCAACCCACGCUUUCAGAUUUAUGGUUAAUCAAUAGCUGAGAGUUGUUAUCGCUAAGUGCAUCCGUUGCUAAUGUUUUUAAUGUUUUUUUCUCUCUCCUACAGCAUCUUCUAGGAAAGUGCAUCCGUUGCUAAAAUUUAGUAUUGUAAAUAAUAAACCAAGAAUAAAUAUUAAAUCUAAGAAACUGUAUUGCAUUUAAUAUUUAAGGGAGAAAAAGAAUUAUAGUGUCUUUAUUAAUCAGUAAUGAGAAAAGACUAGAGUAAUAAUAAAUUGUAUUGCUAUUAAUGUGUUUAUUUUAUUUUGUACUCAAAAUGAAUUAUUUUAAAUUAUUGAAAUACCUUUAUUGUUAUUCUAAUUAUUAUUAUUAUUAUUAUUAUUCAAUAUUUAUUAUAAUAUUUUAUUAUUAUUAUUAUUAUUAUUCAAUAUUUAUUAUAAUAUUUUUCAUAUUACUAAAAAGUAAUAAUAAUAAUGAUAAUAUUGGAAUUGUUGUUUUUUUAUAUUAUUAUUAUUAUUAUUCAAAACACUUCUUGUCAGCUCAUUCAUACGUGAAGACCAAAACCAAAUCUCUUCUUCUCCUUCUUUUCUUAUAGUGCAGGAUGUGUGUGCUCGGACUUCUCUCUCAUUCUUUUUUCUUUUUAGAUUUUGAAAACCUAAAAAAAAGAGUGUAGGAGUUUUUAUUUUCUUAAAACAAGACUUUUUGAAUUAUCCAAUUGAGUUAAAUUCUGUGGCAACUGGUAUUUACAUUUCUUGUUUAUUUCGCAAGUUAUUAUUGCCUAAUGCUAUGUCAACUCUAACAUUCGCAAUUUUUUUUUUGGUCCUCUUUUAACACCAAACAUUAGUGUAGGUUAAGUAACAUAAUCAGUACUGGGACAAUUUGAAAUCCCUUUGUGGCAGUGACAAUGAGAUCUCAUUUUAACCGAUAAAGUCUUUUGACUCUGUCAACUCAAAAAAAUAGAUUCAAAUGUUUUGUAAUAAAUAAAAAUAUAAUAUUAAAAUAAAUGUGACAAUAUAUAUUUUAAAUAAUUUCAAUACAAAAAACAUUUGAAUGUUUUAUAAUUUAUUAGACAUAUUUUAUUAUAUUAAUAUAAAUUUUCUAAGAAAUAUGGACAUAAUAUUAAAAUAAAUUUAUGAAAAAUUUAAAUUAUUUUGAAUGUAAAAACAUUUUAAUGUUUUAUAAUUUAUUAGACAUAUUUUAUUAUAUUAAUAUAAAUUUUCUAAGAAAUAUGGACAUAAUAUUAAAAUAAAUUUAUGAAAAUUUAAAUCAUUUUGAAUGUAAAAUAAUUUUAAUGUUUUAUAAUUUAUUAGACAUAUUUUAUUAUAUUAAUAUAAAUUUUCUAAGAAAUAUGGACAUAAUAUUAAAAUAAAUUUAUGAAAAUUUAAAUUAUUUUGAAUGUAAAAUAAUAUUAAUAUUAUUAAUCCAUUAGGUAUUAAUUAUAAAAAUUAUUUAACCCAAAGAUUUUUUAUAUCCUUACAAUAAAUAUAAAUAUAUUAUUUACAUUUAAAAAUUUAAAAAUUUAAAAAUAUUUAAAUAAUAUUAAUCUACAAUUAUAUUUUCAUUUAUUAUAAAUAUUUAAAGUCAAAUCUUUUGCACUUCUAUUUUAUUACAAUUAUGGCGCACAAAGAAAGAGCCAUAUAUGAUUUAUAGCGUUAGAAAUUGGUUUAUUUUAAAGCUGGAAACAGAGAGGAUGAUUAGUAUAAGGAUAAAAGAAAAAGGGAUAAAGAAUAUUAAUGAUUAACAAAAUCUCUCUGCAAAUUGAUUGCAGUAGAAAAAAAGUGAGCUGAACAAUCUAGACAUUUAGUGGUAGAGUGAUAUUUCAUUUGUAGCAAAGUACAUCUCAAGGUUAAGGGAAAAGACUUAAGAUCUCGCUUUUGAUUAUAAUACUUUUUUUUAAAGAAAAAAAUUAAUUUUAAUAUUUUAUAAUAAAUAAAAAUAUAAUCUUAAAAUAAAUAUAAUAGUACAUAUUUUAAAAUAAUCUCAUUAUUUAAAAUUGUUUUAAUAUUUUGUAAUUUGCCAGAAAAAUUUUAUUAUUUUCAAGUAAAUUUUAUAAUAAAUACAAACACACUAUUAAGAUAAAUAUAUGAAAAAAUUAAAGUAUUUUGAAUAUUAUACAAAAUAAUUUUAAUAUUGUUAAUAGUGAGAUAAUUCUAUUAAUUUAAAAUGCUACUUAACCUUAAGAUUUAUUUAUGAUAAAUUAAUAAUUACAUUUUUAAAUUAUUUCAAAUAUUAAAAAUAUUUUAAUAUUACUUAUCUAUUAGAUAGACUAAAUUAUUUAAAUUAUUUUGUAUAAAUUAAUUACUAUUUAAAGGAUAUUAUGAUAAAAAGAUCUUAGUGUUUUUAUUAAAAAUUUAAAAUUUACAUGACUAUUUCUUUAAAUAUUUAGGGCAUAUAUGAACCACGGAGGAGAAAAGCUUUAUUUAAUAUUUUAGAAUAGUUUUUGAUCAGUACAAUUGGGUCCUUAUUCAGAAUUAUUGUUCUCUUCCGCAACAGUUUUUGUUUAUCAAAGUCAUCAAUUAAAAUUUUAGAAUUCUUAUCAUCAGAAGUAGUCGUUUUAGAAGUUGGGUCUUGGAUCAAAUUUCUACGAGUGCAUGAAUUAACAAUAAAAAAAUUUCAUUACACACGGUUUAAGCUACAAAACUACUAUUUGCACAGUUGACUAUAAAACUUACCUCCAAUUACACUAAACCUCUCUAUUUGGUAACGUUGAGACUAAAUUAAUUUUAUUAGCAUGAAAAGAUAAUAGAAAUAUAAUUAUAAAUACUAUUGUUGUUAAUCAAUUAGUACAUGUGAUAUAAAGGUUAAAUGUGCACUAUAUUUAAUAAUUAAUUAGUGGAGCAUGUUAAACAAAAUGUUAAUGUAUAUUUAUAUAGUGUUAGGAAUAUGCAAAGUCAAGUCCUCAAUUUGCAUUAUCCUGUAUAGAAUAUUACUCUAAAAAUGUUUUACUAUAAUUGGCUUAGAACAUUUGUAAAGAAAAUAAUAAUAAAAUAAUAAAUAACAUACACCGUCACAUAGCAUCUAGACAAUGAUAGAAAAUUAUUAAAGAGAGUGCAAACAAUUAAUUAGAGAUUUUUAUGAUGACUUUUAAUAUUCAUGAUAAUAACAAAUAAAUACAUGUAUCACUUUUUUAAAAUAUUAAAUUUGACGUGCUCCAUUAAUAAAUUAUUAUUGUAAUUCAGACUCUAUCUAUAUAUCCUUGCACUAAGAAUAAUUAAGGUGGCGUUUGUUUUUUUAACUUAAUGACUUAAAGUGACUUAACUUAAUUAAUUAAGUUAAUUAGAGGUGUUUGUUUUAUAACUUAAUGAGACUUUUUAGAUAAUUUUGACUUAAUAAAAUAAGCUAAUUUUUUUGACUUUUUACUUAAUGGAGAAAUCUGAAUUAAGUCAAUUACUUGCUAAUGUCAAAAAUAUCCUUGUUUUAUAAUUUAUUUUUCAUGUCUAUCCCAAAACUCACCCAUAGAUAUUUACCCCACAUAAAAAUAUCCCUGUUUUUUUCUUUCUUAUAUUAUAUACGAUAAAAUUUGAAAUUUAUAGUAUUUUAUAUAUUAAAAUUCUAAAAUAAUUAUGUAUUCACUUGAAUAUAGUUUUACUUAUAAAUGUUAAAAUAUGAUGGUAUUUAAUAUAUUAUUUAUUUGACAUUCAAAUUUAAUAAGGAUACAAAUGUAAAAGUACAUAUUUUCAGCUUUUUAAGUUGAAAAAAAACAACUUAAUACUUAUUUUCUGAGAUUCAGACGAAAAAAUAAACAUAUUAUUCAGAUUCAGACAUUCAGACCUAUUCAGAAUUCAAACUAAUUCAAAUCUAUUUAAAUUUUAGACAAAAAAAUAAACGCCACCUAAAUCAUAAUAAAAAUUUUCAUAACUACAUCUCGUUUCUUCCUCAUAAUAAUAAUUAGAUUGGUUCGAAUAUUAUAACAGAUUUAGUGUAUAGCCACAUCCAAUUUAAAUAUUGACCCAAUUGGGAUGGUCCCCAAAAAAAAAGAUUCGUUAAAGGAUAAUUCUAAUUAUUUUCACUUCUCAAACGUUAGUGGGACGUUUCUAUUAGCGCACUCGUAAGCCAAGUUGUCAAAUAUUUAUAUUAAACUACAAUUGCUGACAAGAAAAAUCAAGAUCGUGUUGCGCAAGUGGGUCCCGAAUAGGACGUGCCUAAAUCUCUCGUAAGCCAAGUUGUCAAAUGUUUAUAUUAAACUAACAAUUGCUGACUAGAAAAAUCAAGAUCGUAUUAAAAGUGGGUCCCGAAUAGAACGAGACUAAAUCUUUUUAAGAAUAUUAUCAUUUUAUUGAUAUACCAUGUCAGUAUUAAAAUUUAUUAAAAAAUAUAUUUUAUUAUUAAAAUUUUAUAUUGUUAUCAAUUCACUAUCAUAUUAUUUCGUUAAGAAAAAAUUAAUAUUUAACGAAAAUUGAGAUAAAAAUUAAUUUUUGUUCUCUGUCUUUAUUUAUUUAUUUAUUUAUUUGGAUCUUCUGCAAAUCACAAUCAAAUGUUGAAUUAUAAAUUUGCCGGCAUUCCUUUUUUUGUUUUUUUUGGGCCGGGGGUGGUGUUGAAUUGAUGCUCUGAUUUUUGACUUUUUGUUGUCAAAUUUUACUCUGUUUUUUCAAAUUGAUGCUAGAAUAUUUGAAUCAAAUUAAUGCUCUAGUAAAUUUGUCCAGUUGCCGUAAAAAGAUAUAAUUACACUGAAAUGCACACCUAUGGAAUGAAUAGAAUUAAACAGAGAAAACAUUAAGUAUAAUAGCUGUCUUCACAGAAAAUCAUAUGAAAAUAAAUUUUUGAAGUUUUUGUUUUUCCGUGGUCAAUCAUACCCUUUAUAAUUUCUUCUGUUCUAACUACAAUAAAAUUUUUGGUCCAAGGAUUUUUAUUAGGGGUAUUAAUAAGAGUCCACCAAAAGAGUGAACACUUGGAUGCUGCUUGAAGGGUCUCUAAUCAAUAGCUGGAAGCAAUUGAGAAGGCGGUUGCUACUGUGAAUUCAAAUGUAAAAUAUUUGCUAUUCUUCGAUUUGGUUCAUGAUUUCGUAUGAAUAUCGUUGUUCCGUUGAGUUGCAUGCGAAUUCAAAUGCAAAAUAUUCUUCGAUUUUCAAUUUUGAAAUCAAAUUUUUUUUCCUUCUCAAGCAUGUUAUGCAGAAACGAUUUUUACUAAAUCAUUUUUGACAAACUAUUUAAAUUAAACCACUGGAAUAAGAAUUGUAAGGAUUUAUCGUAAGCUUACUAAUACGAUAAUUCUGAAACUAUCACCUUUUUUUUUUUUUUUGAUUUGUUGCAGGGAAACCCAAAUUUUGUAUUUUGUCAGUUUCAUCUGAUAUGGAAUUUAUUUCCUCCCUAAAGAUUUAUCAAACUGCUUCUCUUCCGUGCUUCAAAUAUCUUUAUGCAAUUACGAUCUCAUAGGAAAAGAGAGUUUGGGUUGUAUUUAUUAUAGUAUUUAUUUUUUAUUUUUUGUUAAAAGAAAUUUAUUUUAAAAUAGUUUAUAGCAACAGUUUUUAUUGAACAAUAAUGAGGAAGGAUUAUUAUAGGUUCAAAUAGUUGUUAGAACAUUAUAAAAAAGUCCAUUUACUAUCAAAUGUUUUAAAUUGGUGCAACCUGAUAGUUGUCUCAUAUAAUUUUUUUAGGGUAAAAACUCGUUUAAUUCCUAUAUUUUAAGAUUAGUACUCAUUUAGUCCUUAUAUUUUUAAAAAUGUCUCAAAACAUUCAUACCCUUAAAUUAUUAACAUCUCUGCUGUUACUUUUUAUUUCUUUUGACUUAUUUUUACAAUAUUGCUCUCUUACAAUAAUGUUUCUUUUUAUAAAAUUAAUAAAAAAAAAUUAAAUUAUCAAUUUAACCCCAAAAAUAAAAUAAAAAUAAAAAGAAUAAAUAUUAAUUUUUGUGAAAGCUUACAUGUGUCCAAAAUAAAUUUUAUUGUAAAAAUAAUUAAAUUGCCUUUUUUUUGGACAUUAGUAAUAAAAAAAUUAAUAUAUUAAUUCCUCAGCAGUGUGUUACAAAAAGUAAAAUAUAUUAAUUUUGUUUUUAUUUUAGACAAUGAGAUAGAGAAAAGUACAAGAUAAAGGAAAGGACUUCAAAACUCACUGUUCAUCAUAAUGCCCUUUGUCUUUAAAAAAAAAAUCAUUCUAAUAUUUUAUAACACAUAAAAUAUAAUCCUAAGAUAAAUAUAAUAAUACAUAUUUUUAACUAAUCUCGAUAUUUAAAAUAUGUUUUAAUAUUUUAUAAUCUAUCAGACAUAUUUUAUUAUAUUAAAGUAAAAUUUAUAAUAAAUACAAACAUAUUAUUAAAAUAAAUAUAUAAAAAAUAUUUAUUUUUUAUAUGUUUACACUGAGGACUCUCUUUAAUUCAUUUAUUUUCUCUCUCUCCAAACAGGUACUGUCUUCAGAUAGCAAUGCUAUGAUAGUAAUCCAAUUCUCUUCUCCCCCACCUGAGCGAGAUUUGAAUUUGAAUCCCUUGUUUUUCACCCACUCUGUUUUUUUUCACGCAAGAUUUGACAAUUUGAGUUAAAAAAUAUGGUCCAAAACUUGAACACGUAUCUUUUAAUUGUAAUAAAAGUUCUUUAAGCUUUGGAGAUGGCAUAUAUAUGGCUGGAAGUGUCCUUUUCUUUGACCUAGAGGCAGCACCAAGCUAUCCAGCAUCAUCAUUUUUCAAGUGGGUCUUAAAUGCCUAGAAACGUUGGUGUUUCUUGAUUUAAAGAUGACACAUGCUAUAAGUGUGAAUGGUUUGGCUAAGCCUAAAUUUAAAGUCUACUCAAGUCGCAUUCAGGAUCAUGGAAAUUGGAAAGGGAGAGAUGAUAGCAAGAUUUAUAAUAAACAAUUAACUUGGGUCCUCAGUGUACAAAGCAAAUGCCACGCAAGCGAUAGCCGGCCCGGCCCAGAAAACCCAGUGGCCAUCCCAGAGAUGGCCUCCUCUAACGAGUGCUGGGCCCAAACAUCUUGCCGGGUUGAACCCAGCUCCGGCAUAGCCCUUUUGAGCAGUAACAGUUGUCGAGACAAAAACCAGAAGACCCAACACUGUUCCAAUGACAAUGCAUACGGUAACUCUGCCAAGAGCCUUGGCUUGUCUGGAGUCAAAAGCCAUCCACACAGAAGCAAAAAGGAACACAAACGAGCAAAUUAUCUCAAGCCAAAGGGCCUGCCUAGUCCCCAAGCCGAUCUCAAUAGGCCCAUCUGGCCCAGGUACCACAACAUUCAGGCUGCAGCCUCCAAGUUGUCAAAUAUUUAUAUUAAACUACAAUUGCUGACUAGAAAAAUCAAGAUCGUAUUACAAGUGGGUCCCGAAUUGGACGUGCCUAAAUCUUUUUAUAAUUUUCCCAGUGUAGCGGACACAGGUCAUUACUAAAUUUCUCUUCCACACGCCACAGCAGCUUCGGUUAAUCAAACUCAAUCAAUUUUCUUGGCUUCUCCGCUUAUCAAUAUUACAAGGUAUGGGUAGCAUUUUUCAAAUCACAUGCGCUGGUACUAUUUUCAAUCGUUGCUUAGAUUGCUUUCUUGGAAAAGCAGCAUACAUAAGUAACCUCCAAUUUAAUCUCGUUGCCUUGGAGACUGAACUAAGGAAACUAAUCGCAGCAAAGAACGAUGUGAUGACGGCGGUUGUCAAUGCUGAACGGCAACAAAUGAGAAGGCUGGACCAAGUGCAAGUGUGGGUUUCGAGGGCGGAUGCUGUUAAAACUGUUGAAAAAUUAUGUCUUAGAGGGUUCUGUUCCAGGAACUGCACGUCAAGCUACAAGUUCGGAAAACAAGUGGCUAAAAAGCUACGAGCUGUGGAGACUUUAAUCGCCGAAGGAGUUUUUGAGGCGGUGGCUACGGAGGUGGUGCCUGAGAGAGCUCCAGAGCCUGUAGCAGAUGAAAGACCUACCGGGCGAACAGUAGUAGGCUUGCAAUCACAACUUGAACAAGUCUGGAGAUGUCUUGCAGAAGAAUCAGCGGGAAUCAUUGGCCUAUAUGGUAUGGGCGGUGUUGGUAAAACUACACUAUUGACCCAUAUCAACAAUAAAUUUCUCGAGAGUCCAACCAACUUGAUUGUGUGAUUUGGGUAGUAGUUUCAAAAGACAUGCGACUUGAAAAAAUUCAAGAAGAUAUUGGGAAAAAGAUAGGUUUGGUUAGUGAUUCAUGGAAGAGUAGAAGUGUAGAGGAGAAAGCUCUCGACAUCUUCCGGAGUUUAAGAGAGAAGAGAAUUGUAUUGCUGUUAGAUGAUAAAUGGGAGCGGGUUGAUUUAACAAAAGUGGGCGUUCCACUUCCCGGACCACAAAAUACUACCCCAAAAGUCGUAUUCACAACCCGUUUGAUCGAUGUUUGUGGUAGCAUGGAAGCUGACAGGAAGUUCAAAGUAGCAUGCUUAUCAGAAAAGGCUGUUUCGAAAAAAAGUUGGGGAAGAAACUCUUGGAAGUCAUCAUGAUAUCGUUGAGCUAGCCCAAACUGUGGCCAAAGAGUGUGGUGGUUUGCCACUCGCACUUAUUACUAUCGGUCGAGCUAUGGCCUACAAAAAGACAGCCGAAGAGUGGAGAUACGCAGUUGAAGUUCUAAGAAGAUCAGCUUCGGAAUUUGCUGGUUUGGGAAAAGAGGUGUAUCCUCUUUUAAAGUUUAGCUAUGAUAGUUUGCAGAAUAAGACGAUUAGAUCUUGUUUCUUAUAUUGUUGUUUAUAUCCUGAAGAUUAUGGCAUUCGUAAAUGGGACUUGAUUGACUGUUGGAUUGGUGAGGGAUUCUUAGAGGAAUCUGACAGGUUUGGUGCAGAAAACCAAGGAUACUACAUUGUGGGCACUCUUGUUCAUGCGUGUUUACUAGAAGAGCUAGAAGAUGAUAAAGUAAAAAUGCAUGACGUUGUUCGUGAUAUGGCUCUAUCUAUAGCUUGUGAAAUUGAGAAGGAGAAGAGAAACUUUUUGGUUUGUGCAGGUGCGGGACUAAAGGAGGCACCUGAUGUUAAAAGAUGGGAAAAUGUGAGAAGAUUGUCAUUGAUGCAAAACCAAAUUGAAACUCUGUCAGAGGUUCCUGCAUGCCCUCAUCUCCAUACUCUAUUUCUUGCCUCUAAUAAUAGUUUGCAGAGGAUCACCGCUGGUUUCUUCCAAUUUAUGCCUUCUCUCAAAGUUUUCAAGAUGUCAAACUUCUGGAAUUUAAUUUUGGAAUUACCUCAAUGAAUUAUUGAUUUUUAAAGGUUUUUGAUGGUUGUCGAAGCCAACAAAAAUAAAUACAUACUCUAAAUAAAUUGUGUAUAGUGAUUGAGCAGGGUCAUGUCCACAGAGAUCGGUAAUUAUUUAAAUCCUUUUAAAACGUAAAACAUAAAAUGGGGGUUUUGUUGACAAUAAUAAAAAUCAAAUUAAAAUAAUAAGAAUGCAAAUUAAAGUUGUAAUUCAAAUUGGAGAAAGCUCUGGUUGAAGGAAUUAAUUCAACUUGAUUCGACUACUGAUCAUUGAUUCAAAUAUAGAUUAUUAUUACUUAUGAAUAGACCAGUUAUAGCUACCGAGAUCCUCUAAUAGCCAAUCUCUCCUUAACUAGUCGAUAACUAAGGUACGACCGUUGGCUAUUUCCCUAAUCAAUAGACAACCCUAGAUACGAUCAUAUGAUUUAAUCAAUUGACAGCCUGAAAGACCAGAGAGACCCAAAUCCUAAUCAACACAUAUGAUGAUUCAUUUAAAUUAGAUUGUUUAUUCUCAUAACACAACUCACUGCUAUGUUAUUUGUCACAAACAUUAAAAUCUUCAUACGAUGAAUCCUUUAAUUAACAAUAGAUUAAGUUGAUAAUUAAAUAGUGGCCAAUUACCUAAUUAACAAACAUAAUCAUGAAACUAAUUCAGAGAAUAAACAAAUACCCAAAGAGUAAUAAAACAAUUAAAGCAUAAGAAAGAUCUCACAGUAGUGAUGAAUCAAAGCUUCAUUAUCCUUCAACCAAAAAAAUAAGUUUAGUUCUUCAUAGAGAGAAGAUAAAAAUUAGAUGUAGGGUUUCUUUCUUUUACUCCAAUUCCAAAAUUCUCUUUUUCACAAUAGAUUCCUCCUUAAAUACCCUCUCUCUCUCUCUCUUCUCUUUUAGAGUUCUAUUUAAAAUAAAAUAAUAAUAUUUGAAAUAUUAAAUUCUUAAUUACAAAAAUAACAAAAAAUACAAAACACGUUAAACUCAAAACUGCAGGUUCGCAGUUGACAGCACGCGCCCACGCCUUAUCAACAAAGUUCUUCUGCCGCUCAUAAUUUCUCCAAGAGAACAAUCAUCCUUAAACAUCAUCUUGUAACUCAAUUUUAUCACUAAUCAAUAGAAUUGCACCUACAAAAGUAAAACACAAGUAAAUCACUAUUAUUAAGUGCAAAACAUCGAUAUUAAGAGAAGUAAACAAUGCAAAACUAGUGCAUAAAUUGCACUCUAACAAAUUCCCCCACACCAAGAUGAUGCUUGUCCUCAAGCAUAUAACUCAAGAUAAAUCUCAAAUCUCCACUCAAUUCUCAUCUCAACUUAUCCAAAAACAAUUUUAAGCAAGCAUACCUUAAGAAAUUAAGUCGAUCAACAUUCGAGAGACAAGGAUUUUAAAGCAUAGAAUUUCAUAAGAUAGAAUAAGAACAUUCAACCACUAAGAAGAUCCAUUCAAAAUUCAAGUGCAACAAGAUUUAAUAGCCCUCUCAAUAACUUCACUCCAUGCACUCAAAGUGUUUAGGGUGUCAUUUAUUCACUCAAAUCAAAUCAAAGAAUGCUAUUACCAUAAGCUUGCUCAUAUAUCACAUUUCAAUCCACAAAACAUGAAUAAAAUGCAAAAAUCUAAGGGUCUUAAAAGGGUUGUAAUGGGGUUAAAUAGGUUAAAUGAAAAAGAAAGGUUUACGAAAGAAAAAGAGAUCAAAAUGAGAAGAAUGAACUCAUUGAAUGAACUUAUGAUAUCAAAAUGCUUAUUUCUACUCAAGUCACCAAGAAUGUAAACUUUUUUUUUUCGAUUUUUCUUUUUUUCUUUUUUUUUUCCCUUUUUUUUUCUUUUUCCUUCUUUUUUGUUUUUUGUUUUUUUUUUAAUCAAACAAAAGAAACGAACCUUGCACAAUUUAAUUCAAGCAUAAUGCUUGUUGAUCUAAUUGAGAAACUUUAAUACAAGGUAGAAAAAGCAACAAAAUAUAUCCACACAAUGAGUCCAAAAAUCUCCUUAAAUUGAGGCUCAAAAAAAAGAAAAAUGGUUAAGUAGACGAAGAGAAUUAGAUGGGUAAUGGUUAAGGUUCAAACAAAGGUAGCAAAUAAAGGUCUUCGGGUAGAGAAAAAGGAAAAUGCGAGAAUAGAAAAAUGGUAAAUGGUUUGCCCUUAUCAUUUUAAUGCAUAAAAUCCCGAAAUGUGGCUUCAACAUGCAUAACAAAGCAAGUUCUAGAAUAAACAAACUAGGAUUGAUAUUCACAUAACAAAAAUAAUUAGAGCAAAGUGGUUGAUCAUAGGCUCAAAUCCUCACAAAGUUGGUAAAUUUGCCAUCAAAUCAUGUACACUCUUCAAAUGAAUCAAUCAUCAAUAGUGGUGUAGAAUGAGAAGAAGGUAUGAGUGAGAAAUAAAAGGAAAAGUAAAAAGGAUAAUAAGCGAGAAAGAUGUAUGUAGUAAAAAAAAAUGAAAGAUAAAAUGUGAGUGAUGAAAGAGUAUGAUAGAGAAAAAAAAAUAGAUGUAAAUAAUUUGAGAUAGAUGGGAAAAAAGUAGUGAGAGAGAAAGGAAAAGAAAAUUAAUAAUAUAUGAAGCAUGCUAACUCCAAAAUCAUUUAAGGAUGAGUAGAGUGAAAAUAGAUGAGCAGAGUGAAAAUAAUAAUUCCAGACAUCAAUAAUAGUGAAAAUAGAUGAGCAGAGUGAAAAUAAUAAUUCCAGACAUCAAUAAUGCAAAAAUCCCUCCCCCACACCAAGAACUUACAUUGUCCCCAAUGUAAGAUAAUCAAAGCUCACAUAAAAAUUAAAGCGUAAGGAUAAAAGAUUGAAGGCAAAAAAAAAAAAAAAAAAAAAAACUUCCCUGAAUUGUGAGCUUUGAUCCACAUAACGUCUAUGAGCUUGGCGGAAAUGGUGGGGUAAAUCCCACACUCUCGAAGUAUACGGCCAAAUUCUGCUCCAUCUUGUUCAGCUUGUGCUCCAUUUUCUCUAACUGAAUGCUCAAAGGUGGUGCGGAUGUAGAAGGAAUAGUUGGCGGGGCAGCAGUGCCGUCGUCAAACUCGUCAUCAGAGGUAGCACCACUCCUAGCAUAAAGCUUCUUCGGAGGUUGAGUGGGUCCUGGUUCAGUAAACUGAAAUCUCCCCUCCUUGAAUUCGACCACACCUGUUCUUUCAAACACAGACAUAUCCAAAAAUUCCUUUUUGCAAGCAGGAUGCAAAUCAUUAUUGUCGAGAUCAAGCACACAUAGGUUUAUACCUAACAGAGUAAUGUAUGGACCAAGCAAUAAAGUCCUAUACCGUUUAAGCACACUUUGAAAUUGAUCCGCUAACCAAAAACCUAAAUUAGGCCUCACAUCAUUUAACAUGCACCAGAUAAAAUAAAAUUCAGUUUUAGAGAAAAUUCCUGAAUGAUCUUUCUUGCCUAAAAAAUUAAAUAUUAAGAAUCGAUGCACACAUUUCAAAACAGGAUCACGUAAGAAAGAACUCUUUGAUUUACUCGGGUCAUAGGCAUUGUGAUCAACAGAUAAAUUACGCCAAAGACCAUAAGUCUCAAAAUUUUCGCUAAAGUCACAAGUUGUUCCUAAAUAUUCAUCACUAGUAGAAUAAUCAUCAUCAAUGAAUCCUAAAGUUAGGUUAAAAUCCGUGAUAGAGUGUGAAAAAUUUCGUCCCGUUAACCUAAACUUAAUGACAUCCGGGGUAUGCAAAGUAAAAUCAUUCGGCAUAGUAAAUUGAAAAGUAGCAUAAAACUCCCUAAUCAACUCAACAUAACCCAAGCAAUCAACAUCAACAAACUUACGCAACCCAAUCUUAUCUAUCAAAGAAUCAAAAUUAUUCUUAACAUUCAAUUUUUCAAGAGUCGGGUAAUGAAUAUACUUAGCUGGAAGUAUUUUACGCGUGGAAAUAUCUUUGUACCUCUCUUUCUCUUGUUGAGUCGCGAAUGCGAGGCACCCUCCGAGAUUGGAUUCCGCAAGUGGCAAAACACUCAUGCCUUUUCCAUGCUUUGAUCUUUGUCUCACGGCUUGGCGUGAAUCUGAAAUUAUGUUCCAUGGAACCGUAGUGGGAGCGGCAAUCUUAGAUUUCUUUGCGACGGGUGUCUUUUUCGAUGACUUGGAAGUAGAUGCUUUCCUCUUCGGCAUUGUUACAAUAAUUGCACUCACGGAUUUCGAUUUACCCGGCUGGAAUACAGGGUGUAGGCUGGUUGCGUUGCGUUGUUGCUCGGCUGGAGCUUGCUGAGCGGCUUGGGGCUGGUUGCGAACUGCUGGUUGCGUGCGGUUGCUGUUUGCAUGGAUGUGUUGCGCGCGAGAGCUGGUUCGCGUUGCUGGUUCGUUGCACUACGGGACUAUUGCGCGCGAGAGCUGCUUCGCGUUUUUGCGGCUGCUUCGUGGGCUGUUGGUGCUGCGAGACACGAAAUGGUGGUGCUGCGCGGGCGGGGUGGUGCUCGAUACUGGUGCUGCGCGCUCGGGGUGGUGUGUUUUCCGGCGGGCUAGUGUGCUGCUGGUGUGCUGCAAGCGGCUGGAGAAGAAAACAAGUUCUGGAAAAUUAGAGAUUUUGUGAACAGUAAAUUUUUUUUUUGAACAGUGAUUUUUUUGAAUUUUUUUAAUAAAUAAAUAUAUAAAUAUAUAAAAGAAAGAACAAAAGAAAAUCUCUUUUUUUUUUAAUAAAUAAAUAGAAAAAAAAUAAUUUUUUUUUUGUAGUGAUGAAUCACUUUGAGACACCAAAAAUUUUAGAAGUACUUUUUUAAUAAGCACGUGGGCACGCCUUAAAACUAUUUUACUUUAAAAAUUACAAAAGUACUUUUUUAAUAAGCACGUGGGCACGCCUUAUCAAAAAUUUUCUUCUGACCAAAAUAAGCAAACACAUUAAAUUUUUUUUUUUGAAUCAAAACUAAAAGAAGAUAAAACAAAAACCAAAAUAAACAAAUCAUUUGGGUUGCCUCCCAAAAAGCGCCUUUGUUUUAUGUCUUUGGCUAGACACAUUUAUGUAUCAAUCUCCAUAAUUGGGACUCUCGAGAGCCACAUCCUCCACAAUAUUCACCGAAAAACCUUCAUAAAAAGAUUUUAAGCGAUGGCCAUUAACCUUAAAACCUUUGUCAGAGGUCGGACUCCGAAUCUCAACUGCACCAUGAGGAAAAACAUUAGUAACAAUAAAAGGUCCAACCCAGCAAGAACGUAAUUUACCUGGAAAAAGUUUAAGCUUAGAAUGAAAAAGAAGAACUUUUUGACCAACAGAGAACUCCUUUCUCAAAAUCAUUCUAUCAUGAAAUGUCUUCGUCUUUUCCUUGUAAAAAACUUCCUGCGCUAUAGGGUUAAUAACAUCCACAGAAAAUACCGAAUGUUCCUCACUAGGAUAUUUCAUGGCAUCAUUCAUAUUGAAUUCUAUAACCUCUCCAUCAAACUCCAUAGUGAGAGUCCCUUUAUGUACAUCCAUUUUAGUCCUAGCAGUCUUAAGAAAAGGUCUUCCUAGCAAAAUUGGGACAGAAUUAGAGGAGUUAUCCUCUUCCAUAUCAAGUACAUAAAAAUCAGCAGGAAAAACUAACUCAUUAACUUGUACUAAGACAUCUUCUAAUACCCCAUCAGGAUAUGCAUUAGACCUAUCAGCUAGUUGAAUUAUCAUGCCAGUUUCUUUUAAUGGGCCAACAUUCAAAGAUGAAUAAAUGGAACGAGGCAUGACAUUAAUAGAAGCUCCUAGAUCUAGCAUAGCCUUUUCAGCUCUGACAUUACCAAUUUUGCAAGGGAUAGUAAACAUACCUGGAUCCUUGCACUUAGGAGGUAGUUUCUUUUGAAGAACUGCUGAAACAUUCUCCCCCAUGUGAACUUUUUCAUCUCCUCUUAAUUUUCUCUUAGAGGUGCACAGUUCCUUAAGGACUUUAGCAUACUGAGGUAUUUGUUUUAUAGCAUCUAAUAAAGGAAUAUUUACCUCAACCUUGCGAAAUGUCUCAAGGAUGUCUUUCUCUUGUUCCUCCUUCUUGGAUUUUGCAAACCGGCUUGGAAAAGGAGGAGGUAGCACAAUAGGUAGGGGUUUCGCUCUGGUGGGUUCCGCAUCUUGAGAUUUAGGCAUCAAUUCAUUCUUCUCAAGCUCAUCUUCUACAUGCUUUGUCACUUUCUUACUAGGCUCUUGCAACUCCUUCCCACUUCUAAGGAUGACAGCACUAACGUUUUGCUUUGGAUUCACCUCAGAUUGUGAAGGCAAUCUCCCUAAUGAUUGAGACUCCAGAUGGCUCACUAUAGUCGCCAAUUGACUCAUUUGAUCCUCCAAAUUCUGAAUACUUGCUGUAGUUGCCUGCUGAAAUUGUUGAGUGUUAGUCGCAAGUGAUUUAACAAUUUCUUCAAGAGAUAUACUUGACUUGGAGUUUGACUGUGGAGGUUCUGGUUGUCUUGGGGGAUACUGUUGUGGGAAUCCUGACGGGCUAACUCCAUAGCUGAAGUUGGGGUAAUCCUUCCAUCCCGGAUUGUAUGUUUGUGCAUAAGGAUCAUACCUCCUCUGAGGCAUGCCUGGAAAUCCUCCAACUGCAUUGGCUUGUUCAACGAGUUCUUCUUGAAGUGUAGGACACAUAUCAGUUGAAUGACCCAUAUUGUAACAAAUGCCACAAGUCUUCACCUCAUUCACCUUCCUUGGAGUGGGAUCUUGCCUGCUGCCAAAUUGUUAUGCAUUGGCAGCCAUAUUAGAGAUCAACUCCCUUGCUUGAGUAGGGGUCUUGUUCACCAACACACCUCCACUAGCAGCAUCUAUCAUACUCCUCAUAUCCAUCAAUGACAGUCCUUCGUAAAAAUAUUGAAUAAGAAGUUGAUCAGAAAUCUGAUGCUGAGGACAGCUGGCACACAAUUGUUUGAAUCGCUCUCAAUACUCAUACAAAGUCUCCCCAAGAAGUUGUCUGAUCCCACAAAUGUCUUUUCUGAUGUUAGCAGCUCUUGAAGCAGGAAAGUACUUCUCGAGGAACUGCUUCUUCAAACCAUUCCACGUUGUAAUUGAUCCAGGAGGCAAGUAGUACAACCAGUCUUUAGCUAGUCCAUCUAAAGAGAAAGGAAAAGCACGCAGCUUAAUCUGCUCUUCAGUCACGCCUUGUGGUCUCAUACUUGAACACACAGCAUGAAACUCCUUAAGAUGUUUAUGAGGAUCUUCACCUGCAAAACCAUGAAACUUGGGUAACAAAUAAAUGAGACCAGACUUUAAUUCAAAAUUUGCCUCUAAGUCUAUAAUUCAAAAUUUGCCUCUAAGUCUACAUAUUGAAUGCAGAGUGGUUGUUGAUUCAAGUCUGGUUCAGCUAACUCUCUAAGAGUGCUUUCUGUAGGUGCAGCUCUAUCCAUCACUUGUUCUUCCGAAUCGCUAGAUGAUUCAACUAAAUCAGGCACCGUAUCUGUUUCAGAAAGCAAAGGUGACGAGGAUCGUUGCUUAGCUCGCUUCGUCUGCUGUCUCAGCUGGCGAGCCGUCUUCUCAAUUUCAGGAUCAAACGAAAGUGUACCUGUAUGAGAAAAACGAACCAUACACCAAGUAAAACGUAAAAAGGAUUAAAUAAAUGACACCAAUCCCCGGCAACGACGCCAAAAUUUGAUGGUUGUCAAAGCCAACAAAAAUAAAUGCCUACUCUAAAUAAAUUAUGUAUAGUGAUUGAGCAGGGUCGUGUCCACAGAGAUCGGUAAUUAUUUAAAUCAUUUUAAAACGUAAAACAUAAAAUGGGGAUUUUGUUGACAAUAAUAAAAAUCAAAUUAAAAUAACAAGAAUGCAAAUUAAAGUUGCAAUUCAAAUUGGAGAAAGCUCUGGUUGAAGGAAUUAAUUCAGCUUGAUUCGAUUACUGAUCAUUGAUUCAAAUAUAGAUUAUUAUUACUUAUGAAUAGACCAGUUAUAGCUACUGAGACCCUCUAAUAGCCAAUCUCUCCUUAACUAGUCGAUAACCAAGGUACGACCGUUGGCUAUUUCCCUAAUCAAUAGACAACCCUAGAUACGAUCAUAGGAUUUAAUCAAUUGACAGUCUGAAAGACCAGAGAGGCCCAAAUCCUAAUCAACACAUAUGAUGAUUCAUUUAAAUUAGAUUGUUUAUUCUCAUAACACAACUCACUGCUAUGUUAUUUGUCACAAACAUUAAAAUCUUCAUACGAUGAAUCCUUUAAUUAACAAUAGAUUAAGUUGAUAAUUAAAUAGUGGCCAAUUACCUAAUUAACAAACAUAAUCAUGAAACUAAUUCAGAGAAUAAACAAAUACCCAAAGAGUAAUAAAACAAUUAAAGCAUAAGAAAGAUCUCACAGUAGUGAUGAAUCAAAGCUUCAUUAUCCUUCAACCAGAAAAAUAAGUUUAGUUCUUCAUAGAGAGAAGAUAAAAAUUAGAUAUAGGGUUUCUUUCUUUUACUCCAAUUCCAAAAUUCUAUUUUUUACAAUAGAUUCCUCCUUAAGUACCCUCUCUCUCUUCUCUUUUAGAGUUCUAUUUAAAAUAAAAUACUAAUAUCUGAAAUAUUAAAUUCGUAAUUACAAAAAUAAUCAAAAAUACAAAACACGUUAAACUCAAAACUGCAGGUUCGCAGUUGACAGCACGCGCCCACGCCUUAUCAACAAAGUUCUUCUGCCGCUCAUAAUUUCUCCAAGAGAACAAUCAUCCUUAAACAUCAUCUUGUAACUCAAUUUUAUCACUAAUCAAUAGAAUUGCACCUACAAAAGUAAAACACAAGUAAAUCACUAUUAUUAAGUGCAAAACAUCGAUAUUAAGAAAAGUAAACAAUGCAAAACUAGUGCAUAAAUUGCACUCUCACAGUUUUGAGUUGGAAGAAUUGAAGAUUAAUUAUACAGAGAUAGUACGAAAAAGGCGGGAACCUUUUGUUUUCCGCAGCCUUCACUGUGUUACCAUAGAUUCGUGCCUUAAAUUGAAAGAUUUGACAUUCCUCGUUUUUGCUCCAAACCUCAAGUCUCUUUCUUGCCGUGCUAUGGAAGAAAUAAUCUGCGUUGGAAAAUUUGCUGAGGUUCCUGAGAUGAUGGGACAUAUAAGCCGUUUUGAAAAUCUCCGAAGUCUUCGUUUGUCACAUUUGCCAAAUUUGAAGAGCAUCUACUGGAAGCCAUUGCCUUUCACUCAUCUCAAAGAAAUGACGGUACAUGGGUGUAAUCAGCUUAAAAAGCUUCCACUCGAUUCCAACAGUGCAAAAGAGCGUAAAUUUGUUAUUCGUGGACAAGCAGACUGGUGGAACCGACUUCAAUGGGAGGAUGAAGCCACUCAAAUUGCUUUUAGUUCCUGUUUCCAACCUUAACUUGAUUUCUGGUUAGUGCCGUUUCCUUAACUUUUACAUAUAUUCUCGUCGUUUGCUUCGUUCAAAAUACUAGGUCUUUUGUUCUCUGUUUUUAUUUCGCCAAUUUUUUUUUUUUGUCUUCUGCAAAUGACGGACAAAUGUUGAACUAAAAGGAAUUAAUGCUUUAUAACUUUGCCGGCAUUGCUUUCUUCUUUUUCUUUUUUGUUUUUUUGGGGCGAGGGGGGAUCGAAUUGAUGCUCUGGUUUUUGACUUUUUGUUGUCAAAUUUUACUCUGUUUUUUUCAAAUUGAUGCUUGAAUAUUUGAAUCAAAUUAAUGCUCACGUAAAUUUGUUCAGUUGCCGUAAAAGGAUAUAAGAAAUACACAACUCUAGAAUGAAUAGAAUUAAACAGAGAAAAUAUUGAGUAUAUUAGCCGUCUUCACAUAAAAUCAUAUGAAAAAUAAAUUUUGAAGUUUUGAUUUUCUAUGGUUAAUCAUACCCUUUAUAAUUUCUUCUGUUCUAACUACAAUAAAAUUUUUAGUUCAAGGAUUUUUAUUAGGGGUAUUAAUAAUAGUCCACCAAAAGAGUGAACAGUUGGAUGCUGCCCUAAGGGUCUCCAAUCAAUAGCUGGAAGCAAUUGAGAAGGCGGUCGUUACUGUGUACAAAGCCAUGCAGUAUUUGCUAUUCAUCUUAGUAAUUAUGAAGCUUUGGUAAAAUUUUCAAACAAAGUUGACAUGUUAUUUUGAGAUUUGGUUCAUGAUUUUGUAUGAAUAUCGUUGUUCCAUUGAGUUGUAUAUGAAUUCAAAUGUAAAAUAUUCUUUGGUUUUCAAUUUUGAAUUCAAUUUCAUUUUCUUAAGCAUGUUGUGCAGAAAUGAUUUCUACUAAAUCAUUUUUGAUAAACUAUUUAAAUUAAACAACUGGGAUAAGAACUGUAAGGAUUUAUCGUAAGCAGACUAAUAUGAUAAUUCUGAAACUAUCAUUUUUUUUUUCAAUUUGUUGCAGGGAAAGCCAAAUUUUGUGUUUUUCAGUUUUAUCUGAUAUGGAAUUUAUUUCCUCUACACUAGCUACCUAAAGAUUUAUCAAAUUGCUUCUCUUCCCUGCUUCAAAUUAAUAUCUUUAUGCAACUACAAUCUCAUAGGAAAAGACAGUUUGGGUUGUAUUUAUUAUAGUUGUUUUUUUCGUUAAGAGCAAUUUAUUUUAAAAUCGUUUAGUAGUAACAGUUUUUAUUGAAUAAUAAUGGGGAAGGAUUAUUAUAAGUUCAAAUAGUUGUUAGAACAUUAUAAAAAAUUCAUUUACUAUCAAAUGUUUUAAAUUGGUGCAACAUGAUAAUUGUCCCACAUAAUUUUUAGUAAUAUAUAUGGCCCAUAAAUUUAAUAUGAAUAAAUGAGUUUCGAUAGUUAAAUUUGACACGAUUAUUAAAUAAGUUAUAUCCAUGUCAAUUCGACUUAAAAUCUGGUCAAAUUUAGAUUUAGAGUUUAUAACAUGAUAACUUGUUUUAUGACAUGAUUUACUAAUCAAUUAAUAUUAAAUUAUAUUUUAGCCAAUCAGAUAUGUGGUACAUUUGUCAAAUUUUAAAAAUUAUUUAUUUAUAUAUGAAAUAAAUUUGACUAGACUGUGUGUAGGUAAUAGUGCAUAAUUUCUAAAAAAAUGUAAUAAUAACACGUUAAAAUGUUAUUUUUAUGAAGAAAAAUUGAAAUUUUAUUAAAUAGGCGACACAAUAAUAAAUGGGGUGAGAUUAUUUACACUUUAAGAAUUACUUUGAACAUUAUUUUAUUUUAUAAAUUUUAUAUUACAAAAACACCCAUAGUUUAAUUUACCAUUAAGAACAAUUUUGUGCGAUUAAAUAAAAUACAUUACUCUUUACCCUUUCACUACAUCGACAUAAAUCCUAAUUUUUAUGUUUCUAAUUUCUUUGAUAUGCUUAUUGAAGUCCACAUUAUAAUCAAUUUUAAACUAUUAUACCACUUAAAUACAUUUUAGAAUGAGAAGUUUGGUUUUCUUCAUGGUCUGCCUUGCUGAUGCUGUUCUUGAAACUAUCGAACUUAAUAAUUUUAUGGCCAAAAUGAUAUAUGUUGAACCAGCUUUUACAUCGAAUUCUACCACCAUAAAAAAUCAUACUUGUAAUAUCUCAAGGUUCCAAUUUAUCAAAAGUUAAUAUUUCAUAUUUGUUAGUUCCUAACAGUCACAAGAGCGUACAAGCCAAUUUUUGUAGCUCCUUUUUCUGCAGUAGAUUCAAGUAUAUUAUUAUCAAGCAUUUUUGUUACACCCUUAAUUCCUUAUCAUCAUCCCUUCAUUCAGAGCAACUAAACAGAGGUCAAUGUCAUUAUGUUAGAGUUACGAGGAAGAGUACUGCCAAAAAAGUUCUUUGUAUGGGAUUUAAUUUUCUGGGUUUGUAGUGAUGAACAAAUUGAGGGUUGUUUUGGUAUUUUCAAGAGUGUAUUGAGUGAAAAUUAUUUUUAAAAAAUUUAACAAAUGAGUGUAAUGAGUAAAAAAGUGUUUAAAGUAUUUUUUAGAGUACAAAUAGCUCCAUCUUAAUAAAUGAGUUCUUGUAAAAAUUGAGAUUAUUGAUAUAAUUAUUAAAUAGGUUGGAUUGAAAUUAGUUUAAUUUUGACAAGAUAAUAAGACGACGCGACACAAAUACAACCAACCAGUCAACCCCAAUUGCAACCUUUUACUAAUAAAAGAUACCUGUUUGAAAAGUAAUUAUAAGCUAUCUUCUUUGUGUUAUUUCUCUAAAAAUUUGCGGCACAAAUGUUAUUUCCAUGGAGAAAAGUACGAAAUACCCGCUUUCACUUCAGCAGAAGCAAAGCAAAGCUAUGAGCCAUCUCUGUAUAAUUGAAACGCCAUUGCUAAACGGUUCUUGAUGAUGGGUGCCACCGUGCCAGCGUUGUCGCUGAUUUGCAUGAUUUAUUAGUUGUUCAGAUGGCGGAUUUUGUACUCUCACUUUCAUUUCAUUCUUGAGAGCCACGUACAAUACUAGGUGGCAUUGAAGUUGCCCCAGUGGUUAGUUUUCUGAUUUUUUUUAAUUCAAAUUUUUAUGUUUUAGAAAAAUGUAAGAAAAAUGUAGAAAUGUUGACAGCUACAAUUUUGAAACUUUGCCUAAAAUUAUUAUCGUUACUUAUUGUUUCUUAGCUAAAGAGAAAUCCUAGAAACAUGAAAUUAUUAUUCUAUGCUUGUUUUAAUAUUAUACAUUAGCAGGUUAAUUAAAAAUUAGACGUGAAUACAACAAGAGAUAAGUGGAGAGAAUUUGGUAGUCGACUGCAUUUAGAAUUUAAUUUUUCUUUUAGCUGCCGAUCAUUAAAUUUUAUAUUUCAGAAAAUUAUACCUAGAAUAUUUCAAGGAUAUACUACGAAGAUUAUGAAGGUUUGAUUACAUGUCACUAUCAAUUGCCUCAAUCAUUUGUAGUAAAUUAAUUAAUCAUUUUGCUGCAAAUGAUUUCCUAUUAAAAAAUUCAAGUCAGAGCUGAAUUGCACAGUAGUUAGUCGUACUUGCAAUUCAAAUUAAGUAUUGUAUUUUCUGCCUGAUUUGGUUGAUUCAACUAUGUGCAUUUGCAUAAUGGAGAUGCUUAUGAACGUUGUAGUAUAGAAAUCGAAACGUCUUGUCUUUUGCUAAGCCCAGAAGCAAAGUUCUUUGUAUUAUACUCAUCAGUUUUCUUCGUUCUCUUCGUUGAAAUUUUAUCCAAACAGCGGUUUCUUCGAAUUUUUGCCUUCUCUUACAUUUUUAAAUCUAUCAAAGAACGGUUACCUGAGAAGAUUGCCAUCAGGUAUUUCGAAAUUGAUUUCAAUACAAUACCUUAAUCUAUCAGAUGCUCCCGUCACUCAGUUGCCAAAAGUGACAAAAGCCUUAGUAAAUUUUUAGAGUAAAAGCUCAUUUUAGUCAUUGUAUUUUAAAAUUAAUAUCUAUUUAGUCCUUAUAUUUUGAAAAAUACCUUGAAACAUCCAUGCCGUUAAAGUAUUGAUACCCUUACCGUUACUUUUUAUUUAUUUUGGCUUAUUUUUACAAUAUUACCCUUUAAUAAUAUUUUUUUGUUUGGACAUUAAUAAAAAUAAAAUAAUUAAAUUACCAAUUUAAUCCUAAAAAAUAAAAAUAAAAAUUUAUAUUAAUUUUUAAUUGUCAAAAAUUGUAUGCAAACUACCAAGUGUGCAAACGGUGCUUGCAAAAAAAUUAAUAUAAUUUUUUUUUAAUUUUUAGGGUUAAAUUAGUAAUUUAAUUAUUUUCUUUUUAUUAAUGUCCAAAAAAUUAGUAAUUUAAUUAUUUUCUUUUUAUUAAUGUCCAAAAAUUAUUAUAAAAGGGUAAUAUUGUAAAAGUAAGCUAAAAGAAAUGAAAAGUAACGGUAGGGGUAUCAAUACUUUAACGGUAGGGAUGUUUCAAAGAGUAAAUGGACACUAAUAUUAAAAUACAAGGACUAAAUAUGUUUUUACCCUAAAUCUUUAAGUGUUUGAAUUGGAGUACAUAAAUUAUCUCUCUACAAUUCAAAAACAACAGAUUUGUUACUUUUCAACGCUACAGGUUCCGCGAAUAUUCAGUUGUGGUUAUCUUGUUGAAACACCAGAAAAUAGCGUUCUAUUUGGUGGUAAUGAAUUCUUGGUUGGGGAGUUACUUAGUUUAAAACAUUUAAAUGUAUUAAGCAUCGCCUUAAAAGGUUUUUCUACCGUCCAAAAACUUAUGAGCUCCCAAAAGUUUCAAAGUUGUACAAAAUGUUUGGAGCUUAUAGACAGUGAUGAUUCAAAGUCGUUUGCCUUGGCAGAGUUGAAGCAUCUUGAAAAACUAGGUAUUUCAAAUUGUGGAAAUUUGGAAGAGUUUAAGUUCUGCUGUGUCGAAGUUGGAAAAGCUCGAGAAGAUUUUUGUUUGAACAGCCUUCACCAAGUUAAGAUAAAGGCUUGUCAUAAAUUGAGGGAAGUGACAUGGCUUGUGUUUGUACCAAAUCUCAAGGUUAUUCAGAUAGAAAAAUGUAUGGAGAUGGAAGCUGUUGGGAAAGAGACUACCACAAGCAGCUACAAAUUAAGCGAAUAUAAAAUUCUUUCCCUCUUUGUGUGAUUAAAAUAGGAUGUGUACUACAAACAAAUAAGCAGAAAAAUAAACCAAUAAAUCCAAAGCAAAAACCAAUCACAAGAGACACCGAUUUUUACGUGGAAAAUCUAAAUUGGGAAAAAUUACGGGAUAGUAGUCUGAUAUAAACUUCCACUAUAUUAAUGAGAUUACAACACAAAUUCUUCUCCAGAUAACACUAGAGGCUAACAAUAUUAAAAUUCUCAACAAUCUUGGUUUACAAUAAUAGAUCUAAAAUCUAUUUCUUCAAUAAGUGAGUAUCUCAAAUAAUAGCUACUGAGAGAAUAAAAUACAGAUCAACACCAGUAGAAAUAUAGAGGGCAAUGUCAGGAACUUACCCUCCAAAUUUAGGAGUAAUUAGAGCUAAAAUUACCUUUUGAUUGUUGAAUUAAAGAUUGAAAACCCAAAAAAAAAAAUCUCUUUCUCUCGCAGUGUCUUCUCACUUUCGCGAAAUGGCUACAGCUCUCGCGAUUCUUCACUUAUUUCCUUAGUUAAUUUCAUCCAAUUCCAAAAUUUUACAAUAAUUACACAUCAAGCAAAUUAUUUUGGACUUUAAACUUUUUGGUCCACUGAAGUGAGAUGGACCCUACAAAUCUCCCCCUCCAUCUCAUCUUAGGGGCACCACCAAGCCCGCUCUCUGCUUACAGCUUUCCAGCUUGUCCUUGGGUAAUGACUUUGUCUCAAGCUGCAACUGUUUCUACUCAAGCACGUCUUGUAUCCAAUGAUACUUCAUAUCAAUAUGCUUCGAUUUCAAAUGAUAUGUUGAAUUCUUUGCCAAGUGGAUGACACUUUGACUGUCACAGUACACAACAUAACUAUCUUGAUUAACACCUAGUUCUUGUAGAAAAUUCUUCAUCCACAAGGUUUCUUUGUAACUUUCGGUCAUUGCAAUAUACUCUGCUUCUGUAGUAGACAAAGCAACACACUGCUAAAGUCUGGACUGCCAUGAAACUGCUCCCCCUACAAAGGUGAGCAAAUAUCCUGAUAGGGACUUUCUAGAAUCAACAUCUCCUGCCAUAUCUGCAUCCGUAUCUACUUGUAAUAUAGGUUUGUCACCACCAAAACAUAAACAUGCCUUGGAAGUGCCUCUGAGAUAUAUGACAAUCUACUUUACUGUUGACCAGUGUUUUUUACCCGGAUUAGAGGGAAACCAGUUGACUACCAACUGUUGAAGCGUACCUCAAACUACCAACUGUUGAAGCAUAAGGAACUCUUCUUAUCUCUUGCUUCUCUUUCUCACUUGUGGGACAAUGCUCGAAACUAAGCUUGAAAUGACCUGCAAGUGGAAAAUAAACAUAUUUUGCUUUGUCCAUAUUAAAUCUUUUAAGAACCUUUUCAACAUAUGCUUCCUGAGAUAACCAUAAAUUCCCAGUUUUUCUGUCACGAGAAAUCUUCAUGCCAAGAAUUUGUUUCGCCGAUCCCAAGUCCUUCAUUGCAAAAGACUUGCUAAGCUCUCUCUUCAAAUUGUCAAUCUUACUAGUAUCCUUGCCAACAAUCAACAUGUCAUCCACAUAAAGUAAAAGAAUAAUAAAAUCAUUAUCACUAAACUUUUUCACAAACAUACAAUGAUCACACAUUGUCUUGCAAAAGCCAUGAUUCUCCAUAAAAGAAUCAAACUUCUUAUACCACUGUCGUGGUGCCUGUUUCAGCCCAUAUAAAGUUUUUUUCAAUUUGCACACAAGUUCUUCUUUACUUUUGACACUGAACCCUUCAGGUUGUUCUAUGUAUAUUUCCUCCUCUGAGUCAUCGUGUAAGAAAGUAGUCUUUACAUCGAACUGUUCAAUUUCCAAAUCCAAGCUAACUGCUAAUCCCAGAGGUGCUUGCUCCACUGGUUCUGCUGGACCAUUAUUAUUAUCCUCUCCAGCUCCCCUAUGAUCAACAUGAACAACAUGUGGAGAAACCGAAGUUGGAAUAAUAGGAAUCUCUGGAGAUGGUUGAGACUUAUCGUUUUUUUUUCAUCACCAACUAUUUAAUCUUUAAGAAACACAACAUCUCUACUUCUGAUUAGUUUUCUUGCCACUGGAUCCCAUAAUCUGUACCCAAAUUCUUCAUGUCCAUAGCUUAAGAAAAUACAUUUCUUGGCUUUAUCAUCAAGCUUCGAUUUCUCAUCUUUAGGGAUAUGAACAUACACUCUGCACUCAAACACCCUCAAGUGUUUAUAAGAAACAUCUUUCCCAAUCCAAACUCUUUUAGGUACAUCGUCAUCUAAUGGAGCUUAAGGAGAAAGGCUAAUCAAAUCAACUACAGUACGCAUAGCCUUCGCUCAGAAGGAUUUAUGAAGCUUGGCCUCAGAAAACAUACAUCUGACUAUCUUUUCAAUUGUUCUGUUCAUCAUUUCUUCAACACCACUCUGCUGAGGGGUUUUUGGUACAGUUUUCUUAAGUCUGAUUCCAUGAGAUCUGCAAUACUGCUCAAAUGGUCCUCUAUACCCACCAUCAUUUUCUGCCCUGACACAUUUCAAUUUUUUUCUUGUCCCUCUCUCAACAUAAGCAUAAAAGAAUUUAAACAUAUUAAGCACGAAAGAAUUUAAACAUAUCAAGCACUUAAUCUUUAGAUUUUAAAGCAAAAAGUCCAUACUUUUCUAGAACAAUCAUCAAUAAAAGUCACAAAAUAAAGUGCACCUCCUAUUGAUCUAUUUUGCAUCAUGCAAAUAUCAAUGUGAAUCAAAUCAAGGAUUUGUGAUUUCUAGAUGGAGAAAAGCUUUUAAAAGUUACUUUAUGUGUCUUUCUAGCUAAACACUAAACACAAGUCUUGAGGGACAUACCUACAAAGCUGGGUAGAAAUCCUUUUUUGGCAAGAGUUUCUAACCCUUUCUCACCAAUGUGACCAAGCCUUUUAUGCCAUGUCUCAAUGUCAGAAUUGUUUACAGCCACAUUCAUAUAUUCUUUCUUGAUUUUGGCUUCUAUUACGUAGAGGGUGUUCAUUUUCUUUUCUUUAGCCAACACUAGAGAGCCUUUGGUGAGCUUUCAUUUUCCUUCACCAAAUUAGUUAGUAUAACUAUCAUCAUCAAUUUUUCUUGUGGAGAUCAAAUUAAGACGAAUAUCUAGUACAUGCAAGUUUGCCUGUGGAGAUCAAAUUAAGGCGAAUAUCUAGUACAUGUCUGACAUCUUUAAGGAGUAGCUUACAGCCAACACUGGUUUUCAAGCAAAUAUCUCUUAUGCCCACAAUCUUGGAUGCCCCCUCAUUUCCCAUCCGAACAUGGUCAUAAUCACCAUUAACAUAGGAUGUGAAGUAAUCACGAUGUGCAGUAACCACGAUGUGCAGUAACAUGAAACGAAGCACCUGAAUCAAUCACCCAAUUACUGGUAUGGCAAGUGAGAUUUAUAGAGCUAUCAUUCUAAGCAAUGCCCAUAUCACCAUUAAUUACGACUGCAACAUUCUCUUUGUCGUUUUUCUGACCAUCGCCUUUUUCUUUCGCAUGUUCUCUUUUCCACAAUCUACACUACCUUUUUACAUGGCCCAUUUUCUGACAAUGAAAGCACUUAGCUUCUCCUAUGGGACUUAGAUCUUCCUCCAGGGUUAUCAUUAUUCUGAUGACGGAAAUUUCUGCUUUGACUUCUCCCCCGUCUUUCUUGGUUUUCUGAAACAAGUGUAGCUGACUCAGAGGGAACUACUUUAGCAUUCUUUCUUCGAGAUUCUUCAUUCCGCAGUCUAUCUGUAACCAUAUCCAAGUUUAAUUUACCAUUCGAUGCCGAAUUAUUCACUGACACCACUAAUGUCUCCCAACUAUCAGGUAAAGAACUAAGCAACAACAAUGCUUGUAACUCGUCAUCUAGAAUAAUCUUCAUAGUAGUCAACUGAUCAACCAAACCCUGAAACUCACUAGUGUGUUCAGUUAUACUGUGGCCUUUUUUAUAUUUCAAGUUAACAAGCUUUUUCAUCAGAUUGACUUUAUUUUGUGUUGUUGGCUGCUCAUAAAUUAUUUCUAAUUUUCUCCAAAGAACAUCAGCCUUGGAUUCCUUCGCGACAUGAUGGUACACACUCUGAUCAAUCCAUGACCUAAUAGUGCCCACGACUUUCUGGUUCAAUUGAGCCCAUUUCUUAUCAUCUAUAUCAGCAGGUUUAACUUCAUCACCUUCAAUAGGUUCAUGUAAGUCUUUCAUGUAGAGCAAAUAUUCCAUUCUAGACUUCCAAAUAUCAUAAUUCCACGACUCAAUUUAAUCAUGAACACCAAAGACUCCUCUAUUUCAACCACACAAGUAAUAAAACUCUUUCCCUCUUUGUGUGAUUAAAAUAGGAUGUGCACCAUAAACAAAUAAGCAGAAAAAUAAACCAAUAAAUUCAAAGCAAAAAUCAAUCACAAGAGACACUGAUUUUAACGUGGAAAAUUCAAAUCGGGAAAAACCACGGGACAAUAGUCUGAUAUAAACUUCCACUAUAUUAAUGGGAUUACAGUACAAAUUCUUCUCCAGAUAACACUAGAGGCUAACAACAUCAAGAUUUUCAACAAUCUUGGCUUACAAUAAUAGAUCUAAAAUAUAUUUCUUCAAUAAGUGAGUAUCUCCAAUAACAGCUAAUGAGAGAAUAAAAUACAGAUCAACACCAGUAGAAAUGUAGAGGGCGAUGUCAGGAACUUACCCUCCAAAUUUGGGAGAAAUCAAAGCUAAAAUUAUUUUUCGAUCGUUGAAUCAAAGAUUGAAAACCCAAAGAAAAAUAAUAUCUCUUUCUCUCGCAACGUCUUCUCACUUUCGCGAAAUGGGUACAGCUCUCGCGAUUAUUCACUUAUUUCCUUUAUAUAUUUUUUUGGUUAAUUUCAUCCAAGUCCAAAAUUUUGCAAUAAUUACACAUCAAGCAAAUUAUUUUGGACUUUGGGCUUUUGGUCUACCGAAGUGAGAUGUACCCUACAGAAGCAAUAAUCAGUGCAAGAAAAUUGGGUGAAGUUCAAGAGAUGAUGGCAGAUCUAAACCCUUUUGUAAAACUCCAAUAUAUUGGCCUCUGAAUUCUACCAAAAUUAAAAAAGCGUCUAUUGGAAUGUGUUGCCCUCUCCACAUGUCAGGAAAAUUUUUGUAUCUGAAUGCCCAAUUCUCAUUAGGGGAGAGGAACACUGGUGGAAUGAGCUGCAAUGGGAGGAUGAAGCAACCUAUAAUGCUUUUCUUCCUUGUUUUGGAUCCAUUUGACGGGCAUCAACAUGGAUUAAUAUUUUGCAGCGGACCAAUUUGAAUAAAACUUACGGUAAGUGCUUUUCCAUUUAUUGCAUAUUUAUAUCUAAUUUUUGUUUUCCUUUAUGGUUAAAUUUUGCCCUGUAUAUGUUGUUGUACGGUGACAUUCUUGAAUCAAUUAUUAACUUUUUUAAUUCUCGUCUCACAACCACCCUUCUGAUCAUGAGGAUAUGCCGAUAUCAAAGAGUCGUAAUUUGGGAUACAAAUGUAAGAAUUAGGCAGAUGACAUGUUGUUUCAAAGCUUUCGAAGAAGGACUAAAUAUGUAUUGAAAGCCUCCAAUUUUGCGACUGAUUUUUUUUUAAUUUGUUAUUUUUAUGGGUGGCAAAAAUACCCGUCCGAUCUGGACCCGGCCGAUUUGGGCCGGGUACGGGGUAUGAAGCCGGGUUGGUCUUGAGCAUCACUUGAAACUUGGAACUUGGAUUUUAUUAAAAAAUAUUAUAAAUAUAUAUUAUUUUAAAUAUUUAUAUUUAUUAGACUCAUCUAUUACAUAUAUGUAAAAUUUUAAACAUUUAAAGUUUAUAUUUUCAUGUCUAAUUUCAUUGAAAUAAAUUUAAAAAUUAUAAAAUUACCAAUAUAUAUAUAUAUAUAAUAUUAAAAAAGUAUAAAAUCUGAGUACUCAGAUUAAAACCCGGUUCAAGUGUCUAAAAAAUACAUGUGGACCGAGUCCGAACAUUGCGAUACCCAGACCCAAACUUGGGUUUUGCCAACCCUAGUCUUUUAAAUUGCUUGAUUGUUAGUUGUCGUAAUGUAAUGUUUUAGUAUAGAAAAAUGAUAGCCAAGACAACAAUAAGAGGGCACAUUGUGCAUGCACAAUAGUGGAUAAUUUCGGCAUUCCGAAUCCAAUUAGGGUGGAUAACCUUUUAUUAGUAUUAACCUUCUCUCGUACUCGAGUAAUGUAAAAUAUGCUUAGAAGCUGUGGAUCCCCCUUUAUAAGUGUUAGGCUUCUGCCAAACUCGAUUGAUGUGGGAUGCCUUUAUAGGCAUCAAGUUUUCUCCCAUACACUUUACGUUAAAAAUAAUAAUGAUAAAAUAAAUCCAUUUUAAAAUAGACUCAUUUUUCUUUUCUAUAUAAACAAACUCAUUCUUCAAAUCAGUUGUGGGUAGAAGGAGCUGAGUAGAGAAGAACUGGGCCCCUUUCGUUCCCCUAAAAACCUCACCAAACCUCUCUUGUAAGCUUCUCAGUGUCCCUCUCAAUAUUUCUUAUGAUCUCAUUUUUGAUUGAAUCACUUCUUUUGCGUGCUGCAUUUUUGUGUGUCGUAUUUAGGUUUAUCUUAUCUGGAAUCCUAUUGUGAUUGAUGGAACAAGUAAUCAAUUUUUAGUUUAUUUGGAAUGGAACUAUGGUUUAUUUGGAAUGGAACUAUCUGGGUGUAACGGAUUAAAUUAUGACAUUGGGGAGAAGGCACUAAGGGGUUUGCUUGACACAUUUGGUUUUGUGUUUACUCUGAAAGAAAUAGCUUUUGCUUAUCGCAAUGCAGUGCGAAAUCCCGAUUUGGGUGGUGAAUUUCUCUAUCCCAAUUAGGCUGGUGAAUUUCUCUGUGACAAAUAGGCAAACACCUCAACCUCUUCUAUCCAUCUUCUACUAGUGAGGCAAGGGAUAAAAAGUCUUCAAAAUCAUCAAAUAGUAACAUCUUCGAGAAUUCAUUUUAUGCAAAUGGAAAAUCUAGACCUUCUAAGACAAAAUGGCGUCCAGUAUCAGGAGGUACCGUUUCAAGUUUUCUUGGUAAAAAUUAUGUAAACCUGCACAGCCAGCUAACGGCACUUUUCUAGUUUUCUGGCAUCAAAACCAUUGAAGUCGUAUCCAAAGGAGUUUCCCAUGUCUGCACUUUGUGGAGAAGAAACUAAACAAAAACAAUCAAAGGAUGACCAUUUGCAGAAGGAUGCGGAAGAUUUUCUGUUUAAAUUGCUAGGAGAAGUGUUCCAGCUGAAUAGGGAUGUGAUUCGGGAAGUUCCAGUAAUGUCUUAAAUAUGUUGAUGCCAAUUUAAUACAUAUUGUCAUUUUCGAUGUUCUUUCUUUCUUUAUCUUCUUUUCUUCUUCUUCUUAUUCUUUUUCUUUUCGUGUGCAUGUGAUCACUAAUUUGUUAUUAUACUUAACUUGCAGGUAGUUGUGGAUAUGAUAUGCAAAAGGUAAGGACCGUAUCUUCCUGAUAGAGGCCUCUGCUUUUUCCCUUUUAUGUAAUUUAGUAAAUCUCAUCUCCCUUUGUGAUUGUUAUAUCAUAUCAAAGUCAAGUCUUAAAUACUACUGUCAUAUGUUAAGGUUCAACUUGCAUUUUGAUUAACAUCCAUUUGCUGCCGCUUCCAAAAGUGAGAAUGAGAUACUUCGGUUAAUUUCAGUAGUUCAACCCAAUAGAGUACUUUAUCUAGAUCUUCAUGGUUCAAAGGCCUGAAAAAACUUGCCCGUGAUUGUAAAAUGAUAUUCUGUGCUUUUAAUGCAUAGAGGGAACAGGGUGUCAAAGGAAUUAGCAGAUUCUAUGGCAGAUUCUAUGCCUAUACAGCUGUAACAAUUAUCUUUAUGAUUGUAAAUCUUAUAUGUUUUCCUUAUUUAGGAUAUACUAGCUGUAGGCUAUUUUAGAUAGUUAUGUAUAUGAUAGUUUAGCUAUGUUUAGGGCUAAACAUAAGCUUGUAUUCAUAGUAUAUAAAGGGAAUUCUCCUCCAAGAGAAAGCAUAACUUUUGCUCAAAAUUCUCUGAGUUUAUCAUGGUAUCAGAGCCUCAGUUCUGAAUUCUCUUCUUCCUAGUUCAUUCCCUUGUUUUUAGUUAUUCUUUUUUUUAUCAAGUUAUCUCAGCCUCAUGUCUUCAGACAAGUAUGAUGCUUUUUUUAUCCGUUUUAAUGGCACAAAGUACUCAGCCUGGGCAUUCCAUUUCGAGAUAUUUGUCAAAGGCAAAGAUCUAUGGGGACAAGUUGAUGGCAGAAAACCUGCCCCUGACAAAGAGAUAAACCAAGAUGGGCACGCCAAGUGGGAAGUCAAGGAUGCUCAAAUCAUGGCAUGGAUUCUAGGAUCUGUGGAAUCCAACUUCAUCUUGAAUCUUCGACCCUUCAAGACUGCAGCAGGAAUGUGGAAUCAUCUAAAGAAACUCUACAGUCACACCAACACUGCUCGUCGAUUUCAGCUUGAACAUGAGCUAGCCAAUCUCCAACAAGGCAGUCUCUCUAUUUCUGAUUUAUCUCCAACAAGGUAGUCUCUCUAUUUCUGAUUUUUAUUCUAUCUUCAUGAUUCUUUGGGCUGAAUAUACUAAUAUAAUCUAUGCUACCUUACCUCCCGAAGGUCUUAGUUCUAUUCAAUCUGUACAUGAAACUACUAAGAGGGAUCAGUUUAUGAUGAAACUGAGAUAUGAAUUUGAAAGCACUAGGUCCAAUCUUAUGAACCGAGAAUCUGUCCCUUCUUUGGAUACAUGCCUCAAUGACUUAUUUCGUGAGGAGCAACGACUUCUUACUCAAAACACCAUGGAACAAAAAAAAUCCACUUCUGUUCCUAUGGCUUAUGCAGCUCAAGGCAAGCUAAAAGGUAGGGACAUAAGUACAGUUCAAUGUUUUUGUUGCAAAGGAUUUGGACAUUACGCUUCAAAUUGUUCAAAAAAAUUCUGCAACUACUGCAAAAAAGAUGGACAUAUCAUUAAGGAAUUCCUUACUCGACCCCCCAAGAAAUCUGAAACAAUAUAUGCUACCUCAGUUGGUUCUUCUAGUGCUGGUAGUUCUGUGGAUACAGCACAUUCAACCCAAAGUGCUCCUGCUCCUGUUCAAUCUGUGACCCCAGAAAUAAUUCAACAAAUGAUCAUUACUGCAUUCUCCUCAUUAGGACUCUCAGGUAAAUCACCCACUACAUCUCCUUUGUACUUUGAUUCUGGGGCUUCCCAUCACAUGACAAACAAUGCUAAAUUCUUCACCAAUGUAAGUAAAUACCUUGGAAAUCUAAAAAUUCAUACAGCUGAUGGCAACUCUUUACCUAUCACAACCACUAGUGAUGUUUCUUCUUCUAUAACCAAUGUCUUUGUCUCUCCUGGUCUUACCACUAAUCUUGUUUCAGUCGGUCAGUUAGUUGACAAUAAUUGUAAAGUAGAAUUCUCUAAAUCUGGUUGUGUUGUGCAGGAUCAGUAGUCAAGGAAGAUGAUUGCCAGGGGGCCUAAAAUAGGACGUCUUUUCCCUCUCCAAUUUGCUAAGUCUCCAUGUUUCUCUUUGCCUGUCAUCACUUGCAAUUUUGCUAAUGUUAAUUAUCGAUCAUGGCAUAAACGUCUAGGACACCCAAACUCUAAUGUACUUUAUGCUUUGCUAAAUUCUAGUUUACUUGGGAAUAAAAGAUCACCAUCCCUUAGUGUUGUUCAAUUUGAUUGCAAUUCUUGCAAGCUUGGAAAAAGUAAAAUUCUGCCAUUUCCCACUCACACACCGAAUGUUGUCCAGCCUUUUGAUUUGAUACAUAGUGAUGUGUGGGGUAUGGUGCCUGUUACUAGGGAUGGCAAGAUAAUCCGGACCCGGACCGGACCCGCACGAACCCGGAUGAUCCGGACCGGGUUGAACCCGCACCGGAUGUAUAUUUUAUCCGGAUCCAGUUUUAAUUUUCUUAAACUCGGACUUAUCCGGGUUCGGUUCCGGGUUCACCUGAACUCGGAUUUUCGAAACCCGGACCCGAAUUUUUUGUUUUAAAUAUUAUUUAAUUAAUUUUUUAAAUUAUUAUUUAUAAGUAUAAAAGCAAAAAAAAAAUGAGAAACAAAACAAACCCUACAUUUCCUACGGCAGUCGCUUCCUCAUGUUCAUUCCCCAGAAUUCAGCAAAUAAAUUCAAAAUCAACGUGGCCUCGAUUCUUUCGACUGAGCAAUCAAAGAAUUGGUUAAAGCUGAUUGAAAACAUUGAUUUGACUGUACCUCUUUGAUUGCUUAUUCUUCUCAUGUCUUUGACCUUCUCGAAAUCAAAUGAGUUUUUUUAUUAGCCCAAGUCCUAUCGUUGAAGUUUAGCUCAUAUCCUGGUGAAGAAGAGGUCCUAGGUUUGGUUCGAAGAUUUCUCUCUCUCAGUAGUCGGUUCAUCAUCAUCCAUCAAUCAUCAGCAUCACAACAUCGCGACGGUGGCCGCACUUUUCUGCAAGUUUCAAUUUCUACCUUAUGUGUUAAAAUUAGAUUUAUUCUGAGAUUUGGGCUCAAGGAAUCAUGUGGCUUUCUUUGUUUCUUUAAUUUUCCCAUCUUCCUCAUCCUCCACUAUCUUCGCAAGAUCCCAUGAGUUCUAUUUGUUUCUGCAAUUACCAAAGAGUCAAAAUUGGCAUGCUUGAAUUUUUUUUUUAUUUUAGGCAUAUAUUCGGGUUUAAAACCCGCAUUCCGGAAACCCGGACUUUUCCGGGUUCAACCAGGACCGGACCUGGAGCUAAAAAAAUCCAGGUUAUAUGCAGGUCCGCUAAUUAAAAUUGAUCAUCCGGGUCCGGAACCGGAAAGACUAAACCCGGACCCGGACCCGGAUUUUGCCAUCCCUACCUGUUACAUCUCAUGCUAAUUACAAGUACUUUGUCACUUUUAUUGAUGACUAUAGUCGCUUCACAUGGAUUUAUUUUCUACAUUCUAAAGAUGAAGUGUUCUCUGUUUUCAAGCUUUUUCAUGCACAUAUUCAGACCCAAUUUUCUACUAAUAUCAAAAUUCUUUGCUCUGAUAAUGGGGGUGAGUAUAUGUCUCAUUUAUUUCAAGAAUUUUUGCACACCAAUGGUAUAAUUUCUCAAAGAUCUUGUCCUUCAACCCCCCAACAAAAUGGGGUGGCUGAAAGAAAGAACCAUCACCUUCUCGAUGUUGUCCGCACUCUUCUAUUAGAGUCAUUUGUACCCUCUCGUUUUUGGUGUGAAGCUCUCUCCACUGCUAUCUAUCUCAUCAACAGAUUGUCCUCUCCUUCCUUGAACCAUGUCUCCCAUUUCUUUCGGUUAUUUGGCCAUACACCAAAUUACUCCCAUCUCCAUACCUUCGGUUGUGUGUGCUAUGUUCAUCUUCCUCCACAUGAGCGUACAAAACUCACAGCCCAAGCUGUGAAAUGUGCUUUUCUAGGAUAUUCUAUGCACCAAAAAUGUUUUCUUUGUUAUGAUCUAAAUUUGCAUCAUAUAAGGGUUUCUCAAAAUGUGAUUUUCUUUGAAAAUCAGUAUUUCUUUUCCGCACACCACGACGAUUCUUCCCCUUCAUUUUCUGUUUUGCUAAAGUUUACUAACCCUUCUGCAGAUUCUGUACCUUCUAAACCUAUCAUAGUCUAUCAGCGACGCAAGAAUUCAGUACCUCUCGGGCCCCCUCCAGCAACUUCCCUAAAUGCUGAUCCAGUUCCAGCAACUGCACCUGAACCUUUCAAACACAGUACUCGGGUUCGUAGACCACCAGAUAGGUAUGGUUUCACCUCUCCAUUAUCUUUGACAACCACUUUGUCUUCUAUUCCUAUUCCUUUAUCAUAUAAACAGGCAAUGAAGCAUGAAUUUUGGCGAAAAGCUAUUGAAUCAGAACUUCUUGCACUUGAAGAAAACCAAACUUGGGAUAUUGUUUCAUGUCCUCCAUCCGUGAAACCCCUUAGUAGUAAGUUAGUGUUUUCUAUCAAGCUGCUUUUUGAUGGAUCCAUAGAUCGUUACAAGGUUCGGUUGGUGGUUCUUGGCAACAAGCAAGAAUAUGGCCUAGACUACGAUGAGACCUUCGCGCCGGUAGCCAAAAUGACCACUGUUCGAACAAUAUUAGCCCUUGCUGCAUCACAAUCAUGUUCUUUACAUCAAAUGGAUGUAAAGAACGCUUUCCUACAUGGUGAUCUCAAAGAGGAAAUUUACAUGAAACUUCCCCACGGUAUGACUACUUCCUCUCCUAAUGAUGUUUGCAAACUAAAACGUUCGUUGUAUGGGUUGAAACAGGCACCGCGAGUAUGGUUUGAGAGUUUAGAUCAACUCUUUUCGGUUUUUAAUUCACUCAAAGUUAGUAUGACUCCUCCCUUUUUUUCCAACAGACAUCUAAAGCCAUCGUUGUUCUCCUUGUUUAUGUGGACGACAUCGUUAUCACUGGUUCUGAUAUGGAGGCAAUUUCUAAACUUCAGAAUUUGUUGCACUCCACUUUUCACAUGAAAGACCUCGGUCAACUCACCUAUUUUUUGGGGUUAGAGGUACAUAAUCUGCCUCAAGGUAUCUUCUUGAAUCAGCACAAGUAUAUUCAGGAUUUAAUUCAAUUAGCUGGACUUAUGGACAAAAAUUCUGUUGACACCCCAAUAGAACUUAAUGUGAAAUAUCGAUGAGACGAAGGGGAACUACUUCAAGAUCCUACUUAUUUAUCUAACUAUCACCCGCCCAGACAUCUCUUAUGCUGUCCACAUCGUUAGCAAGUUCAUGCAAGCCCCUCGACAUCUCCACCUAUCCGCAGUCCGCCGCAUCAUUAGAUAUAUUCUUGGCACUCCUAGCUGCAGUUUAUUCUUCCCUACUGGUUCUUCACUCCAACUACAAGCCUACAGUGACGCAGAUUGGACUGGCUGCCCGGGCACGAGAAAAUCUACUAUGGGAUGGUGCAUGUUUCUUGGUGAUGCCCUUAUCUCUUGGAAAUGCAAAAAGCAAGACUCAGUCUCCAAAUCAUCCACUGAGGCAGAAUACCGCGCCAUGUCUGCAGUCUGCUCCGAGAUCAUUUGGUUGCGUGGUCUCUUAACAGAGCUUGGUUUCUCACAACAUCAACCUACUCCCCUACAUGCUGACAACACAAGUGCCAUCCAAAUUGCAGCCAACCCUGUCUACCACGAGCGCACGAAACACAUAGAGGUUGACUGCCACUCUAUUCGAGAGGCCUAUGACCGCCAAGUUAUCACCCUCCCGCAUAUCUCCACUACUCUACAGAUUACAGAUAUCUUCACCAAAUCCAUGACAUGUCAGCGACAUAACGUUCCUGUUAGCAAAUUGAUGCUUGUAGAUUUACCAGCAUCAAUUUGAGGGGGGAUGUCAAAGGAAUUAGCAGAUUCUAUGGCAAAUUCUAUGCCUGUACAACUGUAACAAUUAUCUUUAUGAUUGUAAAUCUUAUAUGUUUUCCUUAUUUAGGAUAUACUAGUUGUAGGCUAUUUUAGAUAGUUAUGUAUAUGGUAGUUUAGCUAUGUUUAGGGCUAAACAUAAGCUUGUAUUCAUAGUAUAUAAAGGGAAUUCUCCUCCAAGAGAAAGCAUAACUUUUGCUCAAAAUUCUCUGAGUUUAUCACAGGGAAGUAUAGCUUUGGAAAAGGCCGGAUCAAUAACUAUGGAGAGAUUUAUAAGUGAUAAAAAUUCCCGUAACCCGCAGUCAAGAAAAUUUCACAUAGUUAAAGACGCCAUUUUGUUUCAGCCAAAAAUGUUUGUUUCGAUUAAAGACUUGAACCAUUUUCAUUUAACCUGAUUGUGAUGCUUUAUGUUAUGUAUGUUCCUCUCAAUCAAGAAAAGUUGAGGUUCAUGAUUUUAUAUUUCCAUCUUGUAACUUGAAAUAAUAACUGGUCUGCUUGUUUUUGUAGCUUGAUAACAUGAAUUUUCCUUCUCAAGUUAAUUUGAUCAAUAAAGUAAUUCUUCAAAGAAAAUAUGCCCAUUCUAUAAUCAUUUUCUUAGCUAAUAUGUUUUUUUUUCUUUACUCUUCAGAGUGUGUCGAAACUAAUUGAUUGCUCAGUAGAGACUUUGGGUGACAAGACAAAAUUUCAUGGUAAAUCCCCUGAAAAGGUAUGCAUAAUUCCUGAAUAUUAAAUAACCAAUGGUCAUAGUUUUUGUAUACGACUCUUUUUGUGGAGAUCGUUAAAAGUGGUUGAUGAUCCAUUUGUAAUUUCAUUGAGGGAUCAUCAAUUCCUUUUCUUUUCUGUGGCUAGGCAUCACUUUCGUGCCAAAGUAAGGAAAUCUAUUUUAGGUAAUGUAAAAAACAAUGGUAGGAUGUAAUAGCUUAUUAUGCACUGACAAUAACUUUUUGUAUAAUUGUCAGUUUAAGGAAUACAAGAGGAACUCUGUUGACAAAUUCAUCCAAGAUAGAUGCUAAAAUUAUUUAUGCAUGCCAGUUGCCUUAACUAAUUUUUCUUAACACUUGUAUUGAACAGGAAAUGAGUAUGCAAUUUGUGUACGUGCCAUUGUGGAGAAUUUGGAUAUUCUUAUUUAAGUAAGAAGAAGAGUUUGCCUCAUCUUUAAACAAUGAAUCUUUGAGAAAUGAGGAGUGGGUGAUUGAAAGUGUCUUCAUGUAAAUGUUCAUUUACUUUUAUUUUGAACUAUUAUGAGAAUCUUUUAUAUGCCAAAUUAGUAAUACAAAUGUUCAGAUGAUUUUUCCUGUUGAUCACGCGUUUGUGUCUGCAGACAACCAUUGUAUAUCACUUUAUUCUGAUGUGCAAUUAUGUAUAGAUUAGAAGAAAAGAAAUAAUAAUCUUAUAUUAUUGUUUGGUUCAUGAUUAUUAAACGAUUAUGGCUUCAAAAAAUCUACAAAUUCCUUCUGUUCAUAUAUGAAUGUGCCAAGUUUUCUAUAUCUUAGAUUGCCUUCUUCCAAGAUAACAAGUUCAUAUGUUUUUUAAUCCUCUUCAAUCACAGUUGAAUUUUAAGUGUUAAGAUUUGUUAUUAAUACCUGGUUCCCUGUUAUUAUGAUUUUUAUUAUGAUUUCAUAAACAGUGUAUGGACAUGUGCUCUACGUUUGAAGGGCCUCCACGUGAAAGAAAAUUGCAACAAUUGAAUUCUUCCGGAGGGUAUGGCAUUUAAUUUAUUUUCUCAACUUCUUGUAAGACUAAUAUAUUUCCUUCAGUAGGCAGGGCAUGGUGGGACGGGCUUUUAUUGAAAGAAUUCUGAUAUUUCUUAGACUUUGUUUUGGAAGGGGGGUGGAGGGAUUUCUCAUCCAUAUAUGGUUACUUGAUUAGCUUUUGACUGUAUUGCCUCAGUCGUGCAAAGGAAGAUCCAAAUACUAAUGAACGAGAAUUGCUUAGAGACCCAAAAGACAGAAAUGAACUACAGAAGGAAGUUUUUGCUGCUUUAUUUAGUGUUCCUGAGAACUCUGAUGAAGAUGGAGUGGAGGUCCAAAGCAUUAAGAAAGGUGGUGAGUGAACCGCCAGAGGAAUUGGUACCAGAAUACAAAGCUAAUGUGGUGCACUUGCAGCAAGAUAACCAGACUAGUAUGUGCUCUUAUAUUAACUAUAUUGACUGGAUUUGUGAGCAUGUUCAUUUUUGUGUGUAUAAUCACUUUUGUAUUUAUGCAUAUUAAUGUUAGUAGGAUUCUUGAUUUCCUCCACUUACUGGAGAACUAGUGGAAAGCUUUAUAGUGAAAUAUCUGCAAUAACUAAUGGAAACUAUGAUUUGAAUAUUUUCUCUCACCUGGAGAGCUUUGCAACAGAUGUACUUUGUGGCUAUGGAAUACUAGAGAUUCUGCAAUAACUAAUGGAAACUCUGAUAUGAAUAUUUUCUCUCACCUGCAGAACUUUGUAACAGAUACACUUUAUGGCUCUGGAAUGUCUAAAGAUUUUUGUCUGCUUCAGUUAGAUAAAAUAUCUUUUAGUUACCUACAUUAUGGAAAAGAUAGAGUUCUCUGAAUCUGAAAGACUGAAACAUUUUGCAUAUUUCGUGAAAGGGAAAUAUCUGUAGAUACUAGUUCAUGCAUUGAGGUAACAUCAAUGUUAAAGAAAAACGGCAAUAACUUAUUAUAUAGAAUUAGGUUCACUUGCUUUAAAUGCUGGUCUGGUCAACCAUAUCAACCUGUAAGUGUAUCUGCAGAAAUAUAUAUGGGGGGACAAACUAGCUAAAUUUUCCUCUCAUUUCUGGCUUUGGUCAUUUGUUCCCCUUAUUUUUCAGCUUUCCUUCUCCUGAAGUAUGUUAACAAUUGCAGAUAAUGACUAAGAGGACAGCUUGCAGGCUCUUCGUAGAGCUGUGAUGGAAUAUAGGGGCACAAUGAAGGAACAUUGUAAAGCUGUAGGUUCUUUUUCUCCUGUCAUUUAUGUUUUCUCACACAUUUUUUAUAUGCUCCAAGCAUGCAAGUUUGUAUGUGUCUUUGCCUUUUAAGUUUUAAAAACCAUAAAGUAAGAAUACAGUUCCUCGUCAGGCUAUUGAUGCAUUCACUCAGGGGAAUCAUGUUCGAGCAGGAAAACUUCUAGAACAGGCAAGGUUUUCCAUCUACAGCCAUCUAUUGACAACAGAUACAUUUUCAUUCAGCAAACACUGUUAGCAUUCAAGAUACUGGCAGAUUCACUUGAUUCUUAUCAGUUUGUUUAGUAGCAAAGCAUAUAACCUGUAUUUCAAAGCCAAGUUGUGCUAUUGAUUAUGUUAACUUUAUUGUUCACAUAAAGUGAUAUGGAGGAAAUAAUCAUUGUAGGAAAAUUAGGUGAAGAGGUGAUGUCAAAUCUUGAACCUGUUACAAAACUCCAAGUUCUUUACUUGAAGAAGCUACCAAAUUUGAACAGGGUCCACUGGAAGGCCUUGCCAUUCCCUGAUGCAUGCAGAAUUUUUGUAUUUAAAUGCCCAGAGCUUAAGAAGCUGCCACCGGAUCUUGAAAGGGCAGGCCAAGGUAAAAUUCUUAUCAAGGGAAAGGAAGAUUGGUGGAAACAACUUCAAUCGGAGGAUCAAGUAACUCAGAAUGCAUUGCUUCCAUUUUUAAAAUCAACUGACAAGUGAUUGAAGGGGGCAUCAUCAACAUCAUCAACAUGGAUGGAGAGAUUCAGGAGCAGAUCAGCAGGGUUUAUUACGACCUGUGGUGGUUGCUUUUUUGUGACUUGUUCCCUUUCAUUUUUUCACUUCCUGUCAUAUUAUCAUUUCUUUGUCUCUGUUUCUAUUGCUGAUGUUGCUGCAUGCUUGCAGCCCUUGACAAAGUUAGCUAGUUUUUUUGUUUCUUAAAUUUUGUAUGUUCGGGACUGUCACAAAGUACUACUUGUUCUAAAUGGGGGUGAUCCGGUGAUGUGAAUCAACUUUUCAAAUAUAUAUUCUGUGGUAAUUGUGAAUUCAAUUUCAUUUGUCUCCUGCAAAUUAUGAAGAAAGUGCAGAGUUACAAUAUGGAAAAGUUCACUGGCAAACACUUUGUAAAAGCUUCGGAGUGAAACAGGGAAUGCACUGGCAACUAAGGACAAAUUGGUGGCCAGCUAAUGCAUUCAUUUUAUGUACAUUCCUCUUUUUAAUUAUUGAAGAUAAGUGGUUCGUUGCUUUUGUUGUAGAUAAAAUUCAGACGACCUCAAUUGUGAGAUGACAAUAUUUAAAAUAUCUCUUAAAUUAUUAUAAACUUUAAUUUAUCUUAAUUUUAUUUAAAAGAUAAAAGAAAAAUGUGGUAUAUGGAUAAGAUUUUUUUUAUCUUCUUAAUAAAAUGAAAUAAAUUAAAAUUUAUAAUAAUUUAUAAUAUUUUAAAAAUUAUUAUUUCAUAAGAGAUUAAUAUGAAAUUAAUCCUUUUUACUUUUUGAAUGUGAAAGGACAGGAAAAGAGAAGCAAGUGUCACUGCUUUUUAUUUUAUUUGAAAUCGGAGUUAUCCCAUAUACUUUACUACUUUAGCUCUAACAUUACAAUGUUUUUAGGCUACACUUUUAUUUUUCUUUUUCCCCCUUUUUUUAUACAUGCAUGUGGAUUACUUUCCUCUAAACUCCUUAAUAUUUAAGACAAAUCAUAAAAGCGAUUGAAGUAUAACCAGAUGAUCAAAACAUUUAACCCAAAAAAAAAAAAGAAAUAAAACAUUGAAAAUGGAGAUGUUGAUUAAUUUAGAAGAGAUGCAAGUAAAAGAUAUUCCCAAAAAAAAGAAAAAAAGAAAAAAGCAACGUUAGUUCAUCCAUGUCUGUCAAUGCGUUUUUUAUGGUUUUUUUUUCCAGUUGUUUGUUGUAAUAGAUUGAUUGUAAAUUGAUAUGAACUUGAUGUUGUAAUAUGUUUGCUUUUGUGGAAUUAAAUUUGAAUAUUCAAGAUUAUUCAAGUCUUAUUUAGUAUGUGUUCGGUUGUGUUGUCGAUAAUUUUACAUUCUAAUAAGUUUUCACCUAAAAUAUUAGCAUGAGUAGUAGUCCUUAAACCUUUGGUCAAAAUUAUUGUUGUUGUUUCUUUUAGAGGAAAUUUUUUUAUUAAAGCCUCGUUAACACUAUUCCUUAUUAAGAUUAUAAGUUAGUGUCGGUGCAGGAUUUGCAGCGACAAAUCUUGUCUAGCCACGUGUCAAAGUACAAAUAAAUCAAGGGAAAGCACAUGACAUGGAUUAGGAUCCAAUAAAAUUUAAAUCCCAAGGAAAAGGACAACUGUAUCCUAAAGUUUCAAUAAGAGAUACUGAGAUAUCUUUUGACUAAUGUUAUUUUUUGGCUUUAUUAAUAAAAAGAUCCAAUAGUUUAUAACAAAUAAAAAUAUAGUAUUAAGCUAAAUGUGAUAAUUUACACAUUUUACAUAAUUUCAAUAAAAAUUUUUUUAAUGUUUUACAAUCUAUCAGACAUAUUUUAUUAAAUUAAUAAGAAUUUUCUUAUAAAUAGCAACAUAAUAUUAAAAUAAAUUUAUAAAGAUUUAAAUGUAAAAUAAUUUUAGUAUAAUUAAUACGUGGGAUAUAUUUUGUAAAUUAUAAAAUUACUUAACCCAAUGAUUUUUAAAAAUCUUUAAAAUAAAUAAAAAUAAAUUAUUCACAUUUUGAUGUAAAAUAUUUAAAACAUUUUUAUACAUUAGUCCACAAUUAUUUAUGUUAUAUUUGUAUUUAUUAGAAAUUUUGAAAGUCAAAUAUUUUUCACCUCUAUCUUACUAGAAUUAUUGCACACAGAGAAAGAGCAAUAUAUGCUUUAUAGCUUGAAAAUCGAUUUGUUUUAUAGCUGGGAACAGAGAUGAUCAUUAUUAUAAGGAUUAAAAAAAAGAUAAAGAAUAUUAAUGAUUAGCGAAAUCUUUAUGGAAAUUGAAUUUAGUAAGAAAAAAUUGUGCUGAUUUUAGUGGUAUAGUAAUAUUUUAUAUAGAGAAAAAUAAAAGCUGCACCUCAAGGUUAAGGGAAAUGGUCAAAACUCUUUUUUAAUCAUAAUACCCUUUUUCCUAGAUAAUUUAAAAAUUUUACUCUAAUAUUUUAUAAUAAAUAAAAACAUAUAAUCCUAAAAUAAAUAAAAUAAUAUAUAUUUUAAAAUAAUCUCAAUAUUUAAAAUAUAUUUUAACAUUUUAUAAUCUAUCAGAUAUAUUUUAUUAUAUUAAAGUAAAUUUUAUCAUAAAUACAAAACAUACUAUUAAAAUAGAUAUAAAAAUUUUAAAGUAUUUUGAAUAUUAUAUAAAAUAACUUUAAUAUUGUUAAUGCGUGAGAUGCAUUUUAUUAACUAUUAGAUAGACUAAACUAUUUAUUUUAUUUUCUAUUUAUUAUAAAAUUUCAAAGUUAAUCUUUUUAACUACUAUUCAAAAGAUAUUAUGAUAAAAAUAAAAUUUUUCUGUUUUUAUUAAAAAUUUAGAAUUUACAUCUAUUUUUUCAAAUAUUCGGGGUGUAACUGUUUUUUCCCUUUUUUAUAAACGAACGGUGGUGAGAAAGCUUGAGUUAACGUUAUUUAUUUAAAUAAAAUCUCAGUUAAAAAUGUACAGAGAAGAAAUUUCUGUUGGUAUUUUAGUCUUUUACCAAUUAUCAUGAUUAGGCCUUGGCCUUGAAACAUUAAUUGUUUCAGUUUUAGCGCUAGUGGCGUUGAAAGUUGUCAAGAAAAAGCAAGGCCAUAUUCCACAAAAGCAAAAGUAACGUAGGCUCUUUUAUUAAAGGCAAAGUAUAGUCAAGAAUCGAAUAUCCUGUCGUCUACUCUUUUUUAAAUUCUUCUUUUAUUAUCUUUUAGAACAGUUUUAGGUAAUUACAAUCAUUAUUCAGAGUUAUUGUUAUCUACUGGGGCAGUCUCUGUUCAUCGAAGUCGUUGCCUUUUUUUAUGGAUCAGUUCCAGUGGUAAGCAGUAAUUUUCUUAGAACUCCGAUCUUUAAUUCGAGUUUCUGUGUGAAUUAAUAAUAAAAAAUUUUCAUUACACGCAAUUUAAGCUACGAAUUACUUUUUGCAAAGUUGAAUAUGAAAUUGGGGGAGAAAUUCAGUAAUUUAGAAUGUUGGUAAAAAUUGACGAACAUAUCUCCAAUUACAGUAAAACCUCUCUACAGUCAUAACAUUAUAACAAAAUUAAUUUUAAACCUAUGUUGAGGUAAUAUAGGUUUAGUUACAAAAUCAUUGUUUUAAUAUGGUUAGUGUCAAGUGAUAUAAAGGUUAAGUAUGCAGUACAUUGAUAAUUAAAUAAUGAAGCGUGUCAAAUCUAAUGUAUAUAUAUUAAUGAUAUAGAUAGACAUAGUUUUAAAAAACUAAUUAAUGUAUAUUUAUGUAGUUUUAUGAAUAUGGAAAGUCAAGCCUACACUUUACAUUAUCCUUAAUUUUUUCUCUCAGUUAAAUUCUACAAAUAUUGUACAAUGAUUGGGCAAGAACUCUAAAUUAAGAAUAAAUUAUUGUCACACAUAAUUUUAGAAAAUAUUUUAUUUUGUCUUAAACCUGUAAUGUAAGUAAAUAUAUAUAUAUAUAUAUAUAUAUAUAUAUGGGUCCGCCUAAGUUACAUUUAACGUAGCUUACGACUGUCAUGUAAAAUAUCAUGUAGACUCUUAUACUCGUUAUUAUUUAUAAUUUAUUUAUAAGUAUUAUAAAUUUUUUACAUUGUAAAAUUUCAUUUAGUCCCUUACCAUCUAUUUUAUUUUAUUGAAACCCUUAGAAUACCAACUCGCCCUCUAUAAUUUUAAAUUCUCAAAAUUCCCUCUAUUUAAUUGAAAAUUAUAAUUAUUAUUAAAUGAAUUAUAAUUAUAAUAAUUAUUUUAUUAUAAUUAUAAUUUUAAAAUGGAUGAUGAUGAUGAUGAUGAUGAUGAUGAUGAUUAUUAUUAUUAGCAACAAGAAGAAUAAAAAGUAUUAUAAUUAAUUAAUCUAUUAACAAUAAUUAAUAAUAAUUUUUUAGUUAAAUUGUUAAUAAUAAUUAACAAUAAUAAUUAUUAAUAAUUAAUAUUUUUGAAUAAUAAUAAUAACAAUAACAAUAAUUAAAAUACAAAAUAAUAAUUAUGAUAAAAAUUAUUAAGAAUUUUAUAGUAAUUUGUUACAAUUUAACUGAUUUUAAUUUUGAUUCUAAGACAAGGUAAGCACAUAAAUCGUAAUACAACUCAUUUUAAUUACGAUUCUUACAGUUCAAGUAAACAAAAUUAUUCUGAUUCCAAUUUUUCAUUUUAAUUCUAACUAUUCUGAUUCUAACUCAUUAUAUUUCUAUCUAAUUUCGAUCCUUAUUUAGUAAAUGCAAUAUAAAAUUCAUAAUAGUUAUGAAUAAAUUGUGAAUAAUAUAGAGUGGUUUACAAUUUUAUAGUGCAUUAACUAAAGAUGAAUCGAAAUUAUUUGGAAACAUAAUGAGUUAGAAUCGGAAUAGCUAGAAUCAAAAUAAGAAAUUGGAAUUAGAAUAAUUAUCUACUUGAACUGUAGGAAUUGUAAUUAGAAUAAGUUGUAUUACCGUUUAUGUGUUUACUUUGUCUUAAAAUUAAAAUUAGACUGAGUUAAAUUGUUAAAAAUUACAAAUAAAAUCCUUAAUUAAUUUUUAUUAUAAUUAUUAUUUUGUAUUUUAAUUAUCGUUAUUAUUAUUCAAAAAUUAAUUAAUUAUUAUUUUUAUUAUUAGCAAUUGAACUAAAAAAUUAUUAUUAAUUAUUGCUAAUAGAUUAAUUAAUUAUAAUAUUUUUAUUCUUAUUAAUAAUAAUAAUAAUGAUAAUCAUCCAUUUUAAAAUUAUAAUUAUAUAUAUAUAUUUAUAAUCCAUUUAAUAAUAAUUAUAUUUUUAAUUCAAUGGAGGGUAUAUUUAGAAUUUAAAAUAAUAGAGGGCGAAUUGGUACUCUAAGAGUUUUAAUGAAAUAAAACAUAGGAUAAGAGACUAAAUAAAAUUUUAUAAUACAAAAAAAUUUAUAAUACUUAUAAAUAAAUUAUGAAUAAUUAGGAGUAUAAGGGGCUAUAAGAUAUUUGACAGGGCAGCCGUAAGUUACGUUAAAUGUAACUUAGGCGGACCCUAUAUAUAUGUGUGUGUGUGUGUGUGUGUGCAUAUUUUGCAACGUAUAGAUAAUUGUUAGUAUAUGGAGACAAGUCUUUUAAGGUAGGACCUAGAAAAAUUUAUAACUUACUACACUGGGGAGUUUUUAUUCCUUUUUAUAAUUGCUCAUAUUGAUACGUUCUUACACAAAAUAUUACCAUUGACAUAUUUUACUACAAUUAGUUUAGAACAUUUGUUAGGAAAAAAAAAAGAAAAGAAAACAUUCCUUGGAUGUAGCUCUCCUGACUAUUUAAAUCUUUUAAGGAAAAAAAGAAAAAAGAAAAACUGACACAUUCAAAUCUUGAAGCAAUUACAUUAAAACCUCUCCAUAAUGAUAGGAAUAAUCUCCAUUUAGAAAUAAAAAAAUUUGUUCGCAAUUUAGGCAGAGUUAUUAAUAAGAAUAAAAUCCUCAUUGUAAUAAGUUAUAUUUAUUAUGGAUCCCAUCCUAAGGAACUUGUCUCUAUAUAGUAAUAAUUAUUUGCAUAUUAUAAAUAUAUAUGUUGCAUUAGAUAAAAUGAACUUGUCUCCACAUACUACUUAGACAAUGAGAGAAAGUUAUUAAAGAGAACACAAAUAUUUAGAGAUUUUUAAGAUUACUUUGCAUAUUUAUAACAAUAAUACAUUAAUAUAUGUAUUAGUUUUUUGAUAUAUUAGAUUUGACUUGCUCUAUUAAUAAAUUAUUAAUACGAUGCAUACUUCAUCUCUAUAUCCUUGCAAUAAAAGUAACUAAGAUAUAACAAUAAUUAUUAAUACGAUGCGUACUUCAUCUCUAAAUCCUUGCAAUAAGAGUAAUUAAGUUAUAACGAUAAUUUUUGUAACUACAUGCUUAUUAGGUUUUAACUACAUAAUAAUAAAUUAGUUUCGUCCUAAUAUUAUAAUUAUGUAGAGUUGUAGUGUAUAGACACACCCAAUUUAAAUAGUAAAUCAAAUAAAAUUGUCCCCACAAAAAAGAAAAAAGGGGUAAAGGAUUGUUAUUUCUUCAAACAUCAGGAGCACGUUUGUGCAAGUGCGAUGCCUUUCUUUUGAAGGCAACGUCAGUGGGUACCCAAUAGGACGUGUGUAAAUCUUUCCAAAAUUUCUCCGGUAUAACGGACAGAGAUCAUUACUUUUCUCUUCCAUAGACCACAGCAGCUUCAGUUAAUCAGACUCAAUCAAUUUUCUUGGUUUCUUCGCUUAUCAAAAUUCCAAAAUAUGGGAAGCAUAUUUCAAAUCACAUGCGAUGGUGCUUUUUUCAAUCGUUGCUUGGAUUGCUUUCUUGGAAAAGUAGCAAACACAAGUAAGCUCCAAGAUAACCUUGUUGCCUUGGAGACUGAUUUGGGAAAACUAAUCGCAGCAAAGAACGAUGUGAUGAUGAGGGUUGUCAAUGCUGAACGGCAACAACUGAGAACGCUGGACCAAGUGCAAGUGUGGCUUUCGAGGGUGGAAGCUGUUGAAACUGAAGCUGAUGAAUUGAAAAGACACGGGUCUCAAGAAAUUGACAAAUUAUGUGUUGGAGGCUACUGUUCCAAGAACUGCGCGUCAAGUUACAAGUUCGGGAAACAAGUGGCUAAAAAGCUACGGGAUGUGCAGACUUUAAUCGACGAAGGAGUUUUUGCGGCGGUGGCUACUGAGGUGGUGCCUGAGAGAGCUCCAGAACCUGUAGCAGAUGAAAGACCCACUGAGCCAACAAUAGUAGGCUUGCAAUCACAACUUGAACAAGUUUGGAGAUGUCUUGUAGAAGAAUCAGUGGGAAUCAUUGGCCUAUAUGGUAUGGGCGGUGUUGGUAAAACUACACUAUUGACCCAUAUCAACAAUAAAUUUCUUGAGAGUCCAACCAGUUUUGAUUGUGUGAUUUGGGCCGUAGUUUCAAAGGACUUGCGACUCGAAAAAAUUCAAGAAGAUAUUGGGAAAAAGAUCGGUUUGGUUGAUGAUUCAUGGAAGAGUAAAAGUGUAGAGGAGAAAGCUCUCGACAUCUUCCGGAGUUUAAGAGAGAAGAGAAUUGUAUUGUUGUUAGAUGAUAUAUGGGAGCGGGUUGAUUUAACAAAAGUGGGCAUUCCACUUUCCGGACCAAAAAAUACUACUUCAAAAGUCGUAUUCACAACCCGUUUCGUCGAUGUUUGUGGUAGCAUGGAAGCUGACAAGAAGUUCCAAGUGGCAUGCUUAUCAGAAGAGCAUGCUUGGGAGCUAUUUCGAAAAAAAGUUGGGGAAGAAACUCUUGAGAGUGAUCAUGAUAUCGUUGAGCUAGCCCAAACUGUGGCCAAAGAGUGUGGUGGUUUGCCACUCGCACUUAUUACUAUUGGUCGAGCUAUGGCCUUCAAAAAGACAGCCGAGGAGUGGAGUCAUGCAAUUGAUGUGCUAAGAACAUCAGCUUCCGAGUUUGCAGGUUUGGGAGAAAAGGUAUAUCGUCUUUUAAAGUUUAGCUAUGAUAGUUUGCAGAAUGAGACGAUUAGAUCUUGUUUCUUAUAUUGUUGUUUAUAUCCCGAGGAUUAUGGCAUUCUUAAAUGGGACUUGAUUGAUUGUUGGAUUGGUGAGGGAUUCUUAGAGGAAUCUGACAGGUUCAGUGCAGAAAACCAAGGAUACUACAUUGUGGGCACUCUUGUUCAUGCAUGUUUAUUGGAAGAGUUAGAAGAUGAUAAAGUAAAAAUGCAUGACGUUGUUCGUGAUAUGGCUCGAUGGAUAGCUUGUGAAAUUGAGAAGGAGAAGAGAAAAUUUUUGGUUUGUGCAGGUGCUGGAGUAGGAGCGGUAUCAGAUGUUGAAGGAUGGGAAAAUGUGAGAAGAUUGUCGUUGAUGCAAAACCAAAUUGAAAUUCUGUCAGAGGUUCCCACAUGCCCUCAUCUCCUCACUUUAUUUCUUGACUUUAAUUAUAAAUUGGAGAUGAUCACCGAUGGCUUCUUCCAAUGUAUGCCUUCUCUCAAAGUUUUGAAGAUGUCAAACUGUGGGCAUGUCAAAGUUUUGAAAUUACCUUUUGGGAUGUCAAAGCUGGGUUCACUACAACUUCUUGAUAUUUCACAUACCGGCAUAAGAGAGUUACCAGAAGAGUUAAAGUUGUUGGUAAAUCUGAAAUGUUUGAAUUUGAGGUGGACACAUAUGUUAAAUAAAAUUCCACGGCAGCUAAUAUCAGAUUCUUCAUGGUUACGUGUGUUGAGAAUGUUCGCUAUUGGCUUUGAAAAUUCUAAAGAACCAUCAGAAGACAGCGUUUUAAUUGGUGGGGGUGAAGUUUUAGUAGAUGAAUUGCUCGGUUUGAAAUAUUUAGAGGUAUUGGAGUUGACCUUGCGAAGUUAUGAUGCUCUCCAAUUUUUUUUGAGCUCAAAUAAGUUAAAAAGUUGUAUUCGAUCUCUUUUCCUCAAUAAGCUGGGAGACACAAAGUCGAUUCAUGCUACGGCUUUCGCAGAUCUAAAGCAUCUCAAUGAACUAUGCAUUCGUUCGGCAGUGGAGUUGGAAGAAUUGAAGGUUGAUUAUACAGAGAUUGCGCCAAAAAGGUCGGAACCUUUUGUUUUCCGCAGCCUUCACCGUGUUACUAUGGAGCGGUGCCAUAAAUUGAAAGAUUUGACAUUCCUCGUUUUUGCUCCAAGCCUCAAGUCUCUUUCGCUAUACGGUUGCAAUGCUAUGGAAGAAAUAAUCAGCGUUGGAAAAUUUGAUGAGACUCCUGAGGUGAUGGGACAUAUAAGCCCUUUUGGAAAUCUCCAAACGCUUUAUUUAACUGAUUUGCCAGAGUUGAAAAGCAUCUACUGGAAGCCAUUGCCUUUCACUCAUCUCAAAGAAAUGACGGUACAUGGGUGUAAUCAGCUUAAAAAGCUUCCACUCGAUUCCAACAGUGCAACAGAGCGUAAAUUUGUUAUUCGUGGAUACACACUCUGGUGGAACCGUCUUCAAUGGGAGGAUGAAGCCACUCAAAUUGCUUUUCAUUCCUGUUUCCAAUCUCAUGAAAUAUAAAUUCCUGAGCGGUGGUUGCAAAAUUUGAUUUCUAGUGAGUGCUUUUUUCUUAAACUCUUACAUAUAUUCUCGUCGUUUGCUUCGUGCAACAGACUAGGUUUUUAUUUCAGAUUCGUUUUUUGUCUCCUGCAAAUCACAAUUAAAUGUUGAAUUAUAUGGAGUCAAUGCUUUAGAAAAUUUUCAAGGCACUGCCAUUUCCUUUUUCUUUUUUCUUUUUUUUUUUUGGGUCGAAUUGAUGCUCUGUCUUUUUACUUUUUGUUGGCAAAUUUUGCUCUGUUUUUUCAAGUUGAUGCUUGAAUAGCUGAAUUCAAUUAAUGCUCACAUAAAUUUGUUUAGUUGCCGUAAAAGGAUAUAAUUAGACUGAAGUACACACUUCUAGAAUGAAUACAAAAUGUUAAAGUAUACUAGCCCUCUUUACAGAAAAUCAAAUGAAAAUCAAUUUUUUGGGGCUUUGAUUUUCUAUGGUCUAUUAUAUACUCUUUUUAAUAUCUUCUGUUCUAACUAUAACCAAAUCCUUUGUUCAAGGAUUUUUAUUUGGGGUAUUGAUAACUGUCCACCAAAAGAGUGAACACUUGGAUGCUGCUCAAGGAUCUCUAAUCAAUAGCUGGAAGCAACUGAGAAGGCGGUCGCUACUGUUUACAAAGCGAAUCAGUAUUUGCCAUUCAUCUUAAUAAUUAUGAAGCUUUGGUAAAAUUUUCAAACAAAGUUGAACAUGUUGUUUUGAGAUUUGGUUCAUGAUUUUGGAUGAAUAUCGUUGUUCCGUUUGAGUUGGAUGUGAAUUCAAAAUCUAUAUAUUCUUUGGUUUUCAAUUCUGAACUCAAUUUCUUUUUCUCAAGCAUGUUAUGCAGAAAUGAAUUUUACUAAAUCAUUUUUGAUGAAUUGUUCAAAUUAAACAAUUGGAAUAAGAAUUGUAAAGGUUUAUCAUAAGCAUGCUAAUAUGAUAAGUUGUUUUAUGAACGAUUAAUUAAUUAAUCAAUUAAUAUUAAAGAAUAUAUUAGGCAAUUAGAUAUGCGUUACAUGUCAUGUUUAAAAACUAUUUAUUUAUAUUUCAAACAAAUUUGACUGGAUGUUGUGUAGGUAAUACUCAUAAUUAAUUUCAAAACAAAAAAAGUAAUAAAAACACGUUAAAUUUUGUUUUUAUGAAGAAAAAUUUAAAAUUUUGUUAAAUAGGUGAAAAUAAUAAAUGGAUUCGUGUAUGGUUUGAGAUUCUUGACAUAAUUAUGAAAUAAGCCGGAUUCGACUUAGUUCAAUUUUGACGCGAUAAGAAGACGACACCACACAAACACACGAUAAGAACCGGUACCUGAGAAGAUUGCCAUCAGGAAUUUUGAAAUUGAUUUCACUACAAUACCUUAAUCUUUCAGAUACUCCCAUCACUGAGCUGCCAGAGGAGCUAAAAGCCUUGGUAAGUCUUAAGUGUUUGAACUGUACACAAAUUAUCUCUCUACAAUUCAAAAACAACUGAUUUGUUACUUUUCAAUGCUACAUGUUCUGCGAAUAUUGAGUUGUGGUUAUCUUGUUGAAAGAUCAGAAAAUAGAGUUCUAUUUGGUGGUAGUGAAUUGUUGGUUGGGGAGUUGCUUAGUUUAAAACGUUUAAAUGUAUUAAGCAUCACCUUACAAGGUUUUUCUGCUGUCCAAAAACUUACGAGCUCUCAAAAGUUUCAAAGCUGUACAAAAUGUUUGGAGCUUAUAGACUGUGAUGAUUCAAAGUCUUUUGCCUUGGCAGAGUUGAAGCAUCUCGAAAAACUAGUUUUUCGAAUUGUGGAAGAGUUUAAGUUCUGCUGUGUUGAAGUUGGAAAAGCUCAAGAAUGUUUUCGUUUGAACAGCUUUCACCGAGUUAAUAUAAAGGCUUGUCAUAAAUUGAGGGACGUGACAUGGCUUGUAUUUGCUCCAAAUCAUACGGUUAUUCAAAUAGAAAAAUGUAUGCAGAUGGAAGUAAUAAUCAGCGCAAGGAAAUUGGGUGAAGUUCCAGAGAUGAUGGCAGAUCUAAACCCUUUUGCAAAACUCCAAUAUCUUCGCCUGCGAGUUCUACCAAAAUUAAAAAGCGUCUAUUGGAAUGAGUCACCCUUUCCGCAUGUCAGGGAAAUUAUUGUAUCUGAAUGCCCAAUUCUCAAGAAGCUUUCACUCGGUUUUAACAAUGCAAAGGAAUCUAAAAUUGUCAUUUAUUACAUGUUUAUAUCUAACUUUUGUUCUCCUUUAUGGUUAAAUUUUACUAUAUAUAUGUUGUUAUACGGUGACAUUCUCGCAUCAAUUAUUAGCUUUUUAAUUCUCUUCUCGUAUUAAUUGCCCUUCUGAUCAUGUAGGAUAUGCCGAUGUCAAAGAGUAGUAAAUUGGGAUACAAAUGUAAGAAUUAGCCAGAUGACAUGUUGUUUUGAAGCUUUCGAAGGACUAAUUAUGUCAUUCAAAGCAUCCAAUUUCGCUACUUUUUUUUUUUUUUCAUUUGUUGCUUUUUCUAUUUUUAGAUAGCUUGAUUGUCAGUUGUCGUAAUGUAAUGUUUUAGUAUAGAAAAAUGAUAUUCGGCCAAGACAUCGAUAGGAGGGCACAUUGUGCAUGCAUACUCGUGGAUGAUUUUGGCAUGCCGAAUCCAAUUAGUGUGAAUAACCCUUUAUAAACAUCAGGCUUCUCUCAUACCAGAUAGAGGUGGCAAAAAUACCCGCUCGGUCCGGAUCCAGACCAUACCCGGGCGUUGUGGGUCGGGUAUUACUUAAUCUGGGUAUAAAGUCGAGUCGGUCUUGGGCAUCACUUGAUAAACCCGGAACCCAGAUUUUAUUAAAAAAAUAUUAUAAAAUAUAUAUUAUUUUAAAUAUUUAUAUUUAUUUGACUCAUUUAUUAUACAUAUAUAAAGUUUUAAACACGUAAAGUUUAUAUUUUCAUGUCAAAUUUUAUUAAAAUAAAUUUAACACUUAUAAAAUUACCUAAAAAUAAAAAAUAUAUAUACAUAUAAUAUUAAAAAAUAUACAAUUCGGGUACCCAGAUUAUCUGGCCCGGACUCAGACCCAGACCAAUUGCAUCCAAGCAGGAUCCAGUCAUUGCAAUAAUCGGACCUGGCCUGGGGUUUCGCCAUCUCCAAUACCAGAGCAAUGUAGAAUAUGUUUAUAAACUGUGAAUUACCCUUUAUAAGUAUUAGGCUUCUUUUAUACUCGAGCGAUGUGGAAUACCUUUAUAAGCAUUAAGCUUCUCCCAUACACUUUAUGUUAAAAAUAAUAAUAAUAAAAUAAAUCCAUUUUAAAAUAGGCUUUUUUUUUUCUUUUUCUAUAUAAACAAAAUGCAUUCUUCAAAUCAAUAGUGGGUGGAAGAAGUGAGUAGAGAAGAACUAGGCCCCUUUCAUUCCCCUAAAACCUCACCGAAACCUCUCUUGUGAACUUCUCAGAUUCUCUCUCAAUAUUUCUUAUGAUCUCGUUUUUGAUAGAAUCACUUCUUUUGCAUGCUGCAUUUUGUGAGUUGUUUUUGGGUAAUAUCUUAUCUGGAAUGCUGUUAUGAUCAAUAGAACAAGUAAUCAAUUUUUGGUUCGACGGAAGUCGAUUUAUUUAUUUACUAUUAUUUUUAUUUGAAAUUUUGUACAAUUGUGUUUCAUUCAUUUCUUUUCUUCUUUUUAUUUUUUUAUUUAUUAUGUAGAAUUGUGUUUCAUUUGAUAUUGAUCAUACUGUAGAUAACUAUGUGAUUGUAGCUGGGGAUUUUAAGUUUUGUGAAUUCAAGAAACUGUCAAAAUGCUAGUGAAAUUGGGACCUUUAUUCAUAAGCUUGUGGUUUUGAAAAGUAGCCCGGUUCAACUGAUGAAGUUCCUUUUUGGGAUUCUUUUUUUUCUAGGCUGCAAUUCGGAUAUGUACGUGAUAGACAAUCUUUUGUGGGUUUAGCAUAUCUUCUUCGAUUUUAUCUUUUAUUCCCCAAUUUUACAGCUACACACCAUGAAUGCUGGGUGAUUGUACAGAAAAUUUGUGUUAGAACAAAAGCAUUGUGAAGGAGUUUCUGUGCUAUAAGUUAUUGGCUUCAGUUUUAUUGGCAUUAAUUGGGUAGAUUAUGUGUUACAGUGAUUCAAUUUGUGAUCCACACUUUAAUUUUCUCUUUUCCCCAAUUAUUUAUGUCAAAUUCAAAUCCAGAAGCAUGUGCUGAUUUUUUUUUUUUUGUGUUAAUCUGUGAAGUUUAUUUGGAAAGGAUGUAUCUGGGUCUAAUGGAUUAAAUUAUGACAUUGAGGAAAAGGCACUAAAGGUUUUGCUUGACACAUUUGGUCUGUGUUUACUCUGCAAUAAAUAGCUUCGCUUAUCGGAAAUCCCGAUUUGGCUGGUGAAUUUCUCAGUGACAGACAGGCAAACACCUAAACCGCUUCUAUCCAUUUUUCUGCUGGUGAGGUAAGGGGUAAAAAGUCUUCAAAAUCAUCAAAUAGUAACAUCUCUCAGAAUUCAUUUUAGAAAAAUGGAAAAUCUAGACCUGCUAGGACAAAAUGGCGUCCAGUAUCAGGAGGUACCGUUUCAAGUUUUCUUGGUAAAGAAUAUAAUAAACCUGCGCAACCAGCUAAUGGCACUUUUCUGGCAUCAAAGCCAUUGAAGUUGGAUCUAAAGGAGUUUUCCCAUGCCUGCACUGUGCAGAGAAGAAACUAAACCAAAACAAUCAAAGAAUGACCAUUUGCAGAAGGAUACGGAAGAUUUUCUAUUUAAAUUGUUAGUAGAAGGGUCCCAGCUGAACAGGGAUGUGAUUCAGGAGGUUCUCGGUAAUGUCUUAAAUAUACUGAUGCCAAUUUAAUACAUAUUGUCCUUUUCAAUGUUCUUUCUUUCUUUUUUUUUUCCCUUCUUCUUCUUUUUUCUUUUUGUGUGCAUGUGAUCACUGAUUUGGUAUUACGCUUAAGUUGCAGAUAGUUGUGGAUUUGAUAUGCAAAAGGUAAGGACUAUAUCUUCCUGAUGUAGGCCUCUGCUUUUUCCCCUUCUAUGUAAUUUAGUAAAUCGCAUCUUCCUUUGUGAUUGUUAUAUCAUAUCAAAGUCAAGUCUUAAAUACUGCUGUCAUAUGUUAAGGUUCAACUUGUAUUUUGAUUAACAUCCAUUUGCUGCUGCUUCCAAAAGUGAGAAUGAGAUACUUUGGUUAAUUUCAGUGGUUGAACCCAAUAGAGAACUUUAUUUAGAUCUUCAUGGUUCAAAGGCCUGAAAAAACUUCCUGUAAUUGUAAAAUGACAUUCUGUGCUUUUUAUGCAAUAGGGAACAGGGAAGUAGAGCUUUGGAAAAGCCUGGAUUGAUAACUAUGGAGAGACUUAUUAUUUAAGUGAUGAAAAAUUCCCAUCACCCGCGGUCAAGAAAAUUUCAGAUAGUUAAAGACUCCAUUUUGCUUCAGCCAAAAAUGUUUGUUGCAAUGAAAGACUUGAACCAUUUUCAUUGAACCUGAUUGUGAUCCUUUACGUUAUGCAUGUUCCUCUCAAUCAAGAAAAGUUGAGGUCAUGAUUCUAUAUUUCUAUAUUGUAACUUGAAAUAAUAAUUGGUCUACUUGUUUCUGUAUCUUGAUAAGAUGAAUUUUCCUUCUCAAGUUAAUUUGAUCAAUAAAGUAAUUCUUCAAAGAAAAUAUGCCCAUUCUAUAAUCAUUUUCUUAGCUAAGAUGUUUUUUCUUCACUCUUCAGAGCAUGUCAAAACUAAUUGAUCGCUUGGCAGAUACUUUGGGUGAGAAGACAAAAUUUCUUGGUAAAUCCUCGGAAAAGGUAUGCAUAAUUCCCGAGUAUUAAAUAACCAAUAGUCAUAAUUUUUGUACAUGACUCUUUUUUCUCUUUUUUGUGGAGAUCAUUAAAAUUGGUUGAUGAUCCAUUUUGUAAUAUCAUAGAGGGAUCAUCAAUUCCUUCUCUUUUCUGUGGCUAGGCAACACUUUCUGGCCAAAGUAAGAAAAUCUAUUUUAGGUAAUGUGAAAACCAACGGUAGGAUGUAAUAGUUUAUUAUGCACUGACAAUAACUUUUUGUAUGAUUGGCAGUUUAAUGAAUACAAGAGGAACUUUGUUGACAAAUUCAUCCAAGAUAGAUGCUAAAAUUAUUUAUGCAUGCCAGUUGCCUUAACUAAUUUUUCUUAACACUUGUAUUGAACAGGAAAAUGAAUAAGCAAUCUGUAUAUUGUGCCAUUGUGGAGUAUUUGGAUAUUCUGAUUUAAGUAACAAGGAGAAUACUUGUCUCAUCUUUAAACAAUGAAUCUUUGAGAAAUGAGGAGUGGGGGAUUGGAAGUGUCUUCAUGUAAAUGUUCAUUUAUUUGUAUUUUGAACUAUUAUGAGAAUCUUAUAUGCCAAAUCAGUAAUACAAAUGUUCAGAUGAUUUUUGCUGUUGAUCAUGCAUUUGUGUCUGCACACAACCAUUGUAUAUCACUUUAUUCUGAUGUGCAGGUAUGUGUAGCUUAGAAGAAACAGAAUAAUAAUCAUCUAUUAUUGCUUGGUUCAUGAUUAUUAAACGAUUAUGGCUUUAAAAAGUCUACAAAUUCCUUCUGUUCAUAUAUGAAUGUGCCAAGUUUGCUAUAUCUUAGAUUAUCUUCUUCCAAGAUAACAAGUUCAUAUUCUUUUUAAUCUUUUUCCAUCACAGUUGACUUUUAGGUGUUAAGAUUUGUUAUUAGUCCCCUGUUAUUAUGAUUUCAUAAACAGUGUACGGAUAUGUGCUCUAACUUUGGAGGACCUCCACGUGAAAGAAAAUUGCAACAAUUGAAUUCUUCCGGAGGGUAUGGUCUUUAAUUUAUUUUCUCAACUUCUCGUAAGAUUAAUAUAUUUCAUUCAGUAGGCACAGCAUGGGGGAAGGGUUUUUAUUGAAAGAAUUCUGAUAUUUCUUAGACUUCGUUUUGGAAUGGGGUGGAGGGAUUUCUCAUCCAUGUAUGGUUACUUGAUUAGCUUUUGACUGUAUUUCCUCAGUCAUGUAAAGGAAGAUCCAAAUACCAACGAAGGAAAAUUGCCUAGACACCCGAAAGACAGAAAUGAGCUACAGAAGCAAGUUUUAGCUACUUUAUUUAGUGCUCCUGAGAAAUCUGAUGGAGACCGAAUGGAGGUCCAAAGCACUGGGAGAGGUAGUGAGUGAACCGCCGGAGGAGUUGGCACCGGAAUGCAAGGCUAAUGUGGUGCACUUGCAGCAAGAUAACCAAACCGGUAUGUGCUCUUAUUUUAACUAUACUGACUGGAUUUGUGAGUGUGUGCAUUUUUUUGUGUAUACUCUUGUAUUUAUGCAUAUUAAUGUGUGUAGGAAUUUCUGCCACUUACUGGAGAACUAGUGGAAAGCUUUAUACCGAUAUAUCUGCAAUAACUAAUUGGAAACUAUGAUAUUAAUAUUUUCUCUCACCUGAGGAACUGUGUAACAGAUAUACUUUGUGGCUCUGGAAUACUAGAGAUUCUGCAAUAACUAAUGGAAACUAUGAUAUGAAUAUUUUAUCUCAACUGGAGAACUUUGUAACUUGUAGCUCUGGAAUGUCUAAGGAAUUUUGUCUGCUUCAGUUAGAUCAAAUAUCUUUUAGUUGCAUACAUUAUAGAAAAAGAUAAAGUUCUCUGAAUCUGAAAGACUGAAACAUUUUGUAUAUUUUGUGAAAGGGAAAUAUCUGUAUAUACUAGUUCAUGCAUUGAGGUAACAUCAAUGUUAAAGAAAAACAGCAAUAAGUUAUUAUGUGGAACAAGGUUCACUUGCUUUAAAUGCUGGUCUGGUCAACCAUAUGAACCUGUAAGUUCUGCAGAAAUAUAUAUAUGGGGAGAAACUAGCUAAAUUUUCCGUUCAUUGAUGGCUUUGGUCAUUUUUUUCCCCUUAUUUUUCAGCUUUCCUUCUCCUGAAGUAUGUCAACAACUGCAGAUAAUGAUGAAGAGGACAGCUUGCAGGCUCUUCUUAGAGCCAUGAUGGAAUAUAGGGGCACAAUGAAGGAACAUUGCAAAGCUGUAGGUUCUUUUUCUCCUGUCAUUUAUGUUUUCUCACACAUUUUUUAUAUGCUCCAAGCAUGCAAUUUUGUAUGUGUCAACUGCUUCCUAAGUUUUAAAAACCAUAAUGUAAGAAUACAGUUCUUUGUCAGGUUAUUGAUGCAUUUGCUCAGGGGGAUCAUGUUCGAGCAGGAAAACUUCUAGAGCUGACAAGGUUUUCCAUCUACAGCCAUCUAUUGACAACAGAUACAUUUUCAUUCAGCAAACACUGUUAGCAUUCAAGAUACUGGCAGAUUCACUUGAUUCUUAUUAGUUUGUUUAGUAGCAAAGCAUAUAACCUGUAUUUCAAAGCCAAGUUGUGCUAUUGAUUAUGUUAACUUUAUUGUUCACAUAAAGUGAUAUGGAGGAAAUAAUCAAUGUAGGAAAAUUAGGUGAAGAGAUGAUGUCACAUCUUGAACCUCUUACAAAGCUCCAAGUUCUUUACUUGAAGAAGCCGCCAAAUUUGAAGAGCGUCUACUGGAAGGCAUUUCCAUUCCCAGAUGUAUGCAGAAUUUUUGUAUUAAUGCCCAGUUCUUAAGAAGCUGCCACUGGACUUUCAAAGGCGGGCCAAGGUAAAAUUCUUAUCGAGGGAAAGGAAGAUUGGUGGAAACAACUUCAAUCGGAGGAUCAAGUAACUCAGAAUGCAUUGCUUCCAUUUUUAAAAUCAACUGACAAGUGAUUGAAGGGGGCAUCAUCAACAUCAUCAACAUGGAUGGAGAGAUUCAGGAGCAGAUCAGCAGGGUUUAGUACGACCUGUGGUGGUUUCUUUUUUGUGACUUUUUUCCCUUUCAUUUUUUCACUUCCUGUCAUAUUAUCAUUUCUGUCUCUGUUUCUAUUGCUGGUGUUGCUGCAUGCUUGCUGUCCUUGACAAAG
rnacentral:lncRNA from 1 species